CUGGUCUUACAGAUUCUCAGUUUUGUCAAAACCCUCCUAACAUCAACCAUGUGAAGCGCACGCCCAAACAAUUGACUUGUCUCACCAAAUAUUUCCAAGUUUAAGUGUGGAACAUAGGAGACCCAGAAAGCUUUGAGACGGGAUAACACUUCUGGGAAUAUGUAUACAAGCACCCUCAAACAAAGGAACAAUACAGCAAAUACCAAAUAGGGUUCUCUUUGGAUAAUCUCCCUCGUUGACGAAACAAACCAUGGGUGGUCAGUCCUCUCCAAGCUGAUUGAUUCAUCUUCAGCAAAAUACUCCACCGGAUCAAAUCCUGAAGAAUAAAUAGUGAGGUGAAGAAAUUCACAGAAAUGAACAUUACACAGCAUGAUUUCACAAAUUCAGCUGAAUCAAAAAUGCUGGCUUUUUGAGAUGUAUGCCCUGAUAGAACAUUGAUUAAAGGACAAACAACUUCUUAGGUUCCACAAGGGCAGUUUCAAUAAUCAAUGAUUUCCGAUCACAUUUUUCCUCUAACUCAGUAAAGCUUGAUAUCAAUUCUUUAAAGGUAGAAAUCAAAAGAAACAAGUAGUACUCAGGAAAAGCAAUUUUUGGCAGAGAGAAAGAGACCUUUACCUGUGGUUUUCUCAUAGAAUUGUACUAGUGAAUGCAGAUCUUUUGGACCCUGAUACUGCAAUCUUGAUGUUUGGUUCACCAAAAAAAUUGAGGGCAAGCUAUGGAUCCCAUAUCUUGAAAAUAUACUGCAACAAGAACAUGCAGCAUCGAUAUCAGCAGACAGAACAACAUUAGGAACAUUUGAUACAUAAUUUCAUAACCAUUUAGGAUUCUUGAUCAUCUUUCAGUACGAAAAAGUAUUGAAUAGAACUGCCCCCAAAAAAAAAGAAAAAGGUUCUGCCAAAGGAUUGUAGCAAAUGAUAAACUCGCUUCCCAGCAGAAAUUAGAGGGGGCCUACAAUGGCUGCAGAGCUCUAAGUUCAAAUUCCAUUUUCACCAAUUGACAUUCUCCAUGACUGACAGGCACACCAUCAGUAGAAACAAGUUUUCUAUGUACUGAAGCUGCUUCUUUCUAACACAACCAAUUAAAAACAAAAAAGAAAGGAAAUAAAAAAGAAAGGACAGAGAAAUCAAUACAGGUUGAAAAAAUAUUUCUUUCUUGAGGAUGCAUAUUAUGUCUAAUAGUACCAUCACAACACUCAGCAACCCACCACACAUUUUAUGUCAAACAAAAUAAGGUCAUCAAAAUCACAAAAUGAGGCCAAUCUAACAGAAAUGAUCUUUCUGUCAGACUAUCUGUUAACCAGACCAGCCAAAAGGACACUGACAAGUAAGAAAUUCAACAAAUCACACCCAAUAAAGCCAUUAUAUUGCAAGUAUGUCAGUAAGUACCUUGGCAGGGCUGAAGAUUGUUCUAUUGUGUAAUGUUCCAUUUGUGGGAACAUUGAACUAAGGGCUUCAAAAGUAGGACGCACAUCGCGAGAAAAUGGGCACCAGGAAGCAUAAAAAAGUACGGAAGUAUAAGCAUUUCUCUGUUUUGAUGUCAAAGCUCUGUCCAGGAAUUCUCCAUCCACCUGCAGAAAGCAAAUCAGAAGCAUAGAUAAUUACACAGAGAUCUUCAUCAGCUCAGUGCUAGAAAGUAAUGCAAAAUGUGGAAAUUUCAAAGCAAAUGUUAUGCAGUCUCAAUCUAUUUCCUAGUGCUCUAGGAGAGAGGAAGACGGUAAUAAUAAAUAAAGAAAGACAGAAAAAAAUUGAUAAAGAAAUUGCAACAAAAAGAAGAUAAAAUUUUGAAAGGCAGGCUCAUAUUUUUCAAUCUAUUAACAGGAAACCACAAUAAAGGACAAAGUAACUAGAAAGUGGAAUUGACCAUGAGGAAUGCAGAACAAAAUUUACAACAGUAUAGCUCCCUUUACUGAUUAGUAAUUUAGUAAAACUGGGGUGCCGGAAAGUUUGACUAACAAAGUAAAAAGAAUACAACUUCUUUACAAAGGGAGGAGGUUGGCAGAGACCAACAAGUAGGAUUGGUCAAUGUUGGAUACCUUCUGUAGACUGUACACAAAAGGAAUAUCAAACCGAUUUAUAAACAUAUGGUGACACUAUUAAAAUUCCAUAUUACAGUGGCUUAUAGAAAUGUUGUAGACAGAAAGGUAAAAAGAAAAAGGAAAAUCAAGAGCUCCUUCAGUACCCAUAAGCCAGCCAAACAAUGUCAAAAUCUAGCAUGAGCAACGGGUAAAUGAACAUCAAAAGAAAAUAGGUGCCACAUAUAACAUUAUGGUAUGACUCAAAGUUUCAGCCAAAUGCACAGAUGAAAUCUCUGGUAGUUUUACUCAAGAGCCACUAAAAAACCUAGUAACUCAGAUUAACUAAAUUAAACUACCAAAAAACUCAUAAACACAAAGGAAUCGUACAAUUAUGGUUUUUCAUUAAAAAAAAUAUUUCAUAACUCCUAACUUUCUAAAAGUGAAAUUACAAUAGUCUUCACAUGAUUGCAUCUGAUUGGGUGCAUAUGUGAAAACAGUUAAAUGUUUUCACCACAGAUAAUGAGUCACACAAAUCAAGGAAAAGAUAUACCAUUUCCUAUCUUGUGACUACACACUCACCAAAAAAUCAGAAUGAGGGUUCUCUGAAAAUUUCACAAAUAAAAAAUUCAUUCAAUGACAUAAGCAGCCUCUAUUAUGUAAAAGAAACCCUCCAAAGAGAGCGAAUCUGUCUACUAUGCCAUUACAGAAGAAUUUCUACCGUAACCUAUCAUCAAGACAGUUCACAAACUUCUCUCUCUUAAGUCUUAACAGCAGAAAACAAGACAGCACAGAGUCAAACUCGCAUGCUUCCCAAUACAGAAGUCAAAUACAAAGGAUGUGCCCCUUAAGAUUAUAAAAAAGUGGCCUAUAACUCCACUCGCCAGAAUAGGAGAUACCAGACCCCCAACCACAUUAUAAAUAGAAAUCUCUAACAUAUGACACGUGCAACGGACCAAUCUCUGUCAGAAAGUUUUGAUCCAGUACUUUGAAAUGCUAUUCUUCAUAAUAGUAAGAAGAAUCAGAAAAAUGGGUAUGCUUUGCACUUCAAAGGUAAACCGGUCAGAGAGCAAAAAUAUAACUAUAGUCUGACAACAUUGUACAAAAAUAUACAUUCUCAUAUAAAAGUAAAUAAAUAAAUUUUCGUAAUCAUCAAGCAAUGUCAUAUGUUUACUCGCACUUCUGCAACAGCCAAGAGUCAAAAUGAUACUUGUACAGACAUCUUUCCCAUAUCAGCUCUGAAUAACCCCAUAACAACAAUUUAACCAUAAAUUCCUAACUGCCACCAAAAGUAAGACAUAGAUCAAUGCCAUGUCCCUUCAACAUAAGGGUUGCUGCUUCGAGCUAAUACUAUACACGCAAAUACUACUUACCACUCAUGUCUUCACUCAUUCGGCCACUAGUAACAUUCUAGAGAACCAAAUCAAAAUUUCAACAAAAGGCUUAUCAUACAAUCCUGCCUAGCACUUUUCAGGAACCAUUUUUAGCUCGUUAUAUGUGGUUCUGCUCUUCAUAGCAUAAAUUACAAUUUAAAUAUUCUAAAACCAAAAAUAUGCAAAGUCCUUAAUCUCAACAGGCAUUCAAAACACAAAUCCAACUACAUAUCUCAUAAUUUGCUUCUUUUUUUUUUUGCCCCACUUAUUGGAUUAAAGAAAAAUCAGUUUUAUUCUACCGACACAAUCAACCACCCUUCAGUCGGCAAAUCAACCUUUAAUUCUCCUAACACAAAAUCCCAUCACAUUAAUCAAAACAUGACAUUUUCAACAAGAACCCCUAAAAAUACAAAACAAUUACAAAUACCCAGAAACCAAAAUCAACCAAAUAGAUCAAUAGAUCAAAUACAAACACAAAAACCCUACAAAUUAACAAAUCAGACCAAGAAAAGCAAGAACCCAAUAAUCCAUAACCAGCUGCAAAUUCGUCAAAAUCAAUUAAAACGAACCCACAUAUAAAACCAACCCAAAAAUUGAAAUUUAAUAACCAAUUAAAAAUCGUACCUCGAAAGGAGGAUUUGGAGAGAUCCCAGGAGGGCACUGCGAUUGAAGAUUAUUAAGAAACACAACUGAAUCUUGCGGGCACAGCGAUGCCGAUGAAACGAGUCGUAUAGAUAAGAUAACACUAAAAAUGAAAAUGAAACGAUAAAAAGAUGAUGGUGAAGAAAUCAUUGAGAGGGGUACGACGGGGGAAAUUGAUAGCAACGCCGAGGUCAAAAUUGGCAGCAAAAACAAACAAAAAAACAAACAGACAGAAGAGAAACAGAGAAAGAACCUGCUGAUUCAAGGGGAAAGGGGAAAAAAGAAGAAAAAAGCAAACACAAGUGUAGCCCAGAAAUAGUUUCAGUUACGAGUGUUUGGUGAUGAAUAGAUAGAUUGAUUAUUGAUUGAUAGCUUAGCUAUAUUUUCCUGUCUGUUUUGUUUUAUUUUUGGUUAGUUAUUUUUUAAAAAAAAUUUAAUACAGAAAAAAGUGUAAAGUUCGCGUUUUGAUUUUCCAGCUCCCUAAAACUAAUUAUAUUGGAAGGCUUUUUAUUUAUUUAUUUAUUUGUUUAUUCCAUGGCUGCCUGGUGUAAGAUGUUCAGAUGCUAAAGUCUAAAGAUGAUGUUUUUAUUUUAUUUUAAUUUAAAAUUAAGAUAAUUUUAUUUAAGAUAGUUUUAUUAGGUGAAUCCUAUGCAUGACAAUAACAAGAGAGUCCCCAAUUUAUUACAUAUUUUUAAAUGAGGACAUAGAUUGUCUGUUUGUAUCAAAUAAGUUCCUCACUUUUUAAUGACCGAAGUACCCUAAUACUAAUGUUUUUGCACAUACCAAUUGAAGAUAUUGCGUUACAGAUAUGCCCAAUUUGCGUCAAAAUACCAAAUAUAUCUUUUGACUCAGUUCUAUUUUUAUUUUUACACAAUUAUGUCCUAAAAUUCAAUGAAAUUAUAAAAUACAUUUAUUUAAAAUUAAAUAUUUACUCAACUUAGUACUUAAUCGACCUACUUAAAUUUUUUUUUUUAACUUAUUACUUGACAUUAUCAUGAAAGUUGGAAAUAGAGUGAGUUUUCUUAACUUGAGUGGAUUUUUUUUUUUUUCAGGAUAUAAUUUUUUUUACCUCAUUAGUGUAUAUUAUGUAAUAUGAUUUAAUGGGUGUCCUUGUUAGUUGUGUUUCCAAAUAAUUGGGGUAUGUGCUAAAUAAAAAGCCGUGCCAUGUGUCUACGUCGAGGGCAGCUACUUUCAGCCUUCUUGUUUCCCUAGAAUUAGGACUUAUUUUAUAUAAUUGGAAAAAAAACUACUUCUUUCGAGAAAUCAUAAAAAAUUAUCAUUGCCUUGCUAAAUGAAAUGUUAUAGUUUUUUUUUUCCUCGGUUGACUGCCCCUUUUGUUUUAUACGUAUACUUUAAGUUCAUUUUUUUUUUCAAUGAAAGGCCCAUUAGGCCAUUAGGAAAAGUAUUUUUGAAUGGAAAUCACAGCUUCAAGAAUAUUAUUCAAUGUUGAACCAUUACAUAUAUGGUAUAUAAUAGUAUAUAAUACACAUCAUGUUUACUAUUCACGGCAUAAAUUUAAAUAGAAUGAACAUCUAAAAAAUUUAUAGUGGUAUGUGAUGUUACACUCUUAUUGGUGAAUGAUUUAAACAAAAAAAAAAAUUAAAAAUGUAUAAUAUUAUUUUAUAAUUCUACAUUGUGAUAGUCGUUUUUAUAAUAGUCCAAUAUAGUCGUAAUAAGAACUUCUAUAAAUAAAGGUAAAGGUGGUGUAUGAACUUAAACGUGUAUAUAAUAUUUAAAAAAUAAACUAAAUAUCAUAAUUUUUUUUUUAUAAGAAAUUAUUUCUACAAUUAUUAGGGUGUCUCGUAUAUUCCAUUUUGAAGUCAAGGAAAUGAGUUCCAUGAUUGAUGAUCCUCAGAUGUGACUAUGAAAGACGCUACGAGUUUUCAAAAAAUCAGAUGGACAGAUAGGUUAUAGCUCUAGCUCAGGAAUAAUCCAAUCCGGUUUGCCAAACACGCUUGCAAUUCCGAGUCAUCUCUCAACAACUGUCAACCUCAGCCAAUAAUACGGUGCGUAGCAAGGCUACCAGACGCGACGACGUUUUAAGGAAAAAGGAGACAAAAUAAAGCACAGCACACGAAAUUCAAUAAUCCCUCCUCUGUUCACUUCCUUGUUUGGUUAAAAGUGAGAAAAUUAGGGCUUGAGGUGAAGAAGAACAAAAUUUAAAAAAGAAAAAGAAAAUCAAUAAAUGGAAAUAACAGAUAAGAAGGAAUCCGAUAUCAAUAACACACAAACAGUCGCCGAUUCCGUCGAUAACAAUAACAAAGACGCCGAAGAACGCCAAGCUCGUGAACUUAAAGCCAAUUUGCAUCCUCUUAAGGUUCUUAUAAUUUCGGCUAUUUUAUUGAAUGCGUUUUAUGGUUUUCAUCUGAUUGGAUUUUUUUUUUGGUUUUAGUUAUUACAAUUUUUUGGUGCUUGAAAUUUGUUAUUUUUUUAAAAAAAAUUAUAUUUAUGCUCUCAAAAAAAAAAAGUUUGGCAUGGAUCUUCUCCGUAAAUAGUCAAAUGGAGGCGAUGUGAGUUUUCGUGUGUACUCGUAUGUACUGAAAUUUUAUUAAUUAAAAAAAAAUAGUUUUGAUGUAAAUUUGUAAAAACACGCCUUAUGAAACCUUUUGAGGAAUUGUAGAAUUUUAGGUUAAAGUUUGCUCUUGCUCAUAGUUUGUGAUAAUGUAUGCACUGAAAUUUUAGUAAUUAAAAAACAUAGUUUUUUAUUUAAAUUUGUGUAAACAAACCUUAUGAAACUUUUUGAGGAAUUGUAGAAUUUUAGGUUAAAGUUGCUCCUGCUCAUAGUUUGUGAUAAUACUCCUUUUUAUUUUUAUUUUUAUUAUUUUUAACCAUGAUAUUGCUCUUGUUGAUGCUGUGAAUGAGAACUGAAAAGUUGGGAUACUAUUAUUUUCAUUCUAAAAUGCAUCAGAGGAAGGUUGUUGAUUGGAACUCACACUGAACAUUUUCCUUGUUGUGGUUAUUAUAAGGCUAUAAUUACCCUAAAUAUUUCACAUACAGUGAAGGGAGAAUCUUAUUGACAUGGCACAAGUAAAAUGUUGCCACAUUUUGAUCUACUUUUUUUAUGGUUUUCUUUUUUCCCGACUAAAACGUGUAGCCCUUUCUUUUAAAAAUUUUAUAAUUGCUAUGUUAUACCACUUAAUUUAGUUUGAAAUUCCUAUAAACAGAACAAGUUUGUCUUUUGGUACACUCGUCGAACACCCGGAGUUCGAACUCAAACAUCGUACGAGGACAACAUAAAGAAAAUUGUGGACUUCAGUACUGUAAGUUCUUUUAUGAUAAGAUCCUUGGGCCACAUGUGAUUCAGUAUAAGUCCUUAGCUUUACGUAUGUGAUUUUACUAGUUCAAAUGCUGAUCUGGCCUUUUAAUAUAAUUCUUAUCUAGGUUGAAGGUUUUUGGGUCUGCUAUUGCCACUUGGCUCGUCCUUCUUUGUUGCCAAGCCCUACAGAUUUGCAUCUUUUCAAGGAAGGAAUUCGCCCAUUAUGGGAGGUAAACAUCUAAAGCUUGAUUUUCAAUUGCUAAUGCUAUUCAAUAAUCAUAUGUUUGUUGCUUUGUUUGGACCCUAAUAUUUCAGAAGCUUGUAACUUUUGGAUAUCAUAUCUAGCUGUAAUUUUUGUAAUCUUUGUUUUAUGUCAGGACUCUGCAAAUUGCAAUGGCGGUAAAUGGAUAAUAAGGUUCAAGAAAGUUGUAUCAGGUCAGCAUCUUUCAUAAAAUUAAUUGAUUAAAGCUUUAGUUUAUUUGACUUGACUUGUUGGAGAGACAUCGAGGAAGUGAUGGAGAAAAUCAGUUUGGCUAUUGCCAUAUAAGUAGGAUAAUUGCCCCAAUUGAUAUAAUUGUUCCAGGAAAGCACUAAAGUCAUUGUUCUACAGCAUCUAUGUAGAAUAGAAAAUGUUGGUUAUCCAUGAAUUUUGUUAGUUACCAGCCUUCAUAUGGUAAAUUAUCAAAUUUUCAUUCAAGUACAAGCUCCUGAAACUCAGUCCAAAUUAUUCAAGUUUUCAUCCUCUGUUAGGCUCUUCUUUUUGCACUAUUUGCAAUAACAAUAAAUAAAUUGAUAUUUCAAACAUGCUGAUAUUAUUCUUAUGGUGUAUAGUUUGCUCUUCACAUCACUAUAAUAUAUGAUAUCAAUAAUCUCAUAGCUAGCAAUAUCCAAAAAAAAAUUAUGCAUACACAAACUGAAGUUGAUGCCAUAUCCUCUUGAUUUUGCUAUCCCAUUGACGUAUUGGGUUUUACGGUUUCUUUACAUUUGGCAGCACUUUUGCACUCUCUUAUGACCCAUCUGUUAUCUGAAUAUUAAGAGAUGCCUUCCACAAUGCUAAAUUUUCACCCGGAUGCCUGUUUUACUUUGAUAAUCAUUUGUCAAAGAUGUAUUGUUUAUUUACAACUGCACAUUUUUGCAGGUUCUUGCCUUGGUGGGUGACCAGCUUGACUAUGGUGAUAACAUAUGUGGUGCAGUCCUAAGCAUUCGAUUCAAUGAAGAUAUAUUGAGUGUGUGGAACCGCAAUGCAUCUGAUCAUCAGGUUUGUGAUUAUUGACUUUGCAACUUGAAAUGGCUAUUGUCUAUUUCUUUCACAUUCUGUUGAUAUAUGAUAUCUCCUCCUGUUUUGAUCAGGCUGUGAUGGCUCUUAGAGAUUCUAUCAAACGGCACUUAAAGCUUCCCCACAGCUAUGUUAUGGAAUACAAGCCCCAUGAUGCUUCUCUGCGCGAUAACUCGUCAUACAGAAACACAUGGUUGAGAGGCUAGAAUUUCACUAGGCUUUAUGAUACUGUACUGAUGGAGAAAGAACAUGACAGUAGGAAGUCUUCUGUUUUUAUUACAUGCUCUGUUUGAAUUUCUUUCACCCGAUCAUGCAGUUAUCCGUGAAUUGUGAUGUGAGAAUCAUGUGGGCUGUCUCGAUAGGUUAAAAUCUUGAUAAUUAAUUGUAGAACGAUACCAUAAAAAACUUUAAGGUUAAUGAUGGAUUCAUAAAUGAGUAAUGUCUUCAUAUUUGGAUUUCAUUGUAUCUUUGCAUAUUAGUUCAGAUAAAAUGUCCGCUCCUGUUUUGCAACUCAAAAGACUUGCAUGUGCAGUGAAUUAGACUAUGUAUUUAGUAUGUAACAUGGUUAUGAUAUUUGCUUUGAGGAAUCAAUGAAGGAUUUAAGUUAUUGGAGAGCAGAUAACUCUUAUUUGAUGAGUUGACAGCCCUUCACCUCGCAAGUUUUGAGCUCCCUUUGUUCAUGACUGACAAGCAUAGUCAAAGCAAUCAAAACGCUGACGAAAUUCUUAUUCAUAUAUCCACCUCUAACCGGCCAUUUUAAACUACUUUGGAGCUGAUACAGAAGUAGACUCCUGGAGCUGAACUUAGCAAAUCAUUGCUCAGCUUCAUUUAAGCAAAAAUUGCCUUCCAGUAGAGUAAACAACCUGGAUGCUUUGCUAAGGAACUGCCUAUGAUGGCUAUUGGCUAAUUACAUCAAGACAAACUGAAAAGAGAAUAACGAGUUUUCAUAUAUAGUCUCAGCAAAUGUCUCUCAGCCAUCCCAAAACUUGUUACAAUUUGACUAUCAAGAGAAUACAUAGAUUUUAUUAUCCGGAGGUGACACAUCUUAUUAAGAAUUUUGAUCAUUGAUCUAUAUUAUGUGAAAUGAGGUGCAUCUAAACAGAGGACUGAAUCCCAAUGAUACCUGCCAAAAUGAAUGAAAUGCAUAAUGUCAAGCAUCUACAACUGCAUAAUCCAUAGUGUGUAAACAGAAAAAAAGAAGAAGAACAAGGAACACCACGGAAUGGUUAAAAUUUAAAAUCAUUACCACAUCCAACUCUCGCCCCUGCAUUCCCAGUUGUUUUGCUGAGUUCAUGUCCACCUGAGCAUUGGUCUCUGCUAUUAGUUAAAAUACAACGAGAAAGUCUAAACAACUUUGACCAGAAAAGAAAGAUAAUUGAAAAUAGCAAACGGGUUAUUACCGGGCCACAAGCAGAAACAAAAGAGAAAAGUUAUAACUUAUAUAAAUUAGGGGCAUGUAAGAUGCUUUCACUACAAGUAGUUCAGGAGCUUGUGCAUGCAUGUUUAAGAUUGUAUGUCUCUGUGGUCUAAAAAUAACUGAGAGAAGAAACUGAAUUUAGUUUUACUUCAAACAUAGAAUCUAAGACACCUCCACAACAAAGAAACCCAACUAACCAAAUAGACCAAAUUAGAUAUGCAUCUCCAUCUUAUGCAGGUGAGCACUUUCCUGUCUACAGCAUCAAACAUUCUCUUGUUUGGCACGUUCACCAAUCCUCAUUCAUUAAGAUGAUCAGAAGUAAUCAACAGUCUUCCAAAGCUAUUCACCAAACUAUACUGGGGCAUUUUGACUGAGAAUUAGGCUGUCCAAAUAACUUAUAGAAACUUCCCAAUGUAUAAGAUCUAUUAAUCCCCUUUGCCUCCAUACGCAAUAAGUUAGAUUGACAAACUUCCUUUGACUCUAUACAAGGGCACAGUCAAAUAAUGUUUCACUAAAGAGAAUAUAAGCACCUUGGCCUAGUACCACUCUUUACAAAAGGAAGGUAGAAACUUUCUGAGAGUAUAUAACCGAUAUGUGACUCAUUCCACUGUGGGAUCAUUUAAAAAACACACAAGACGCACACUACUCAAAACAAACACGAUAACACAAGGUGCAAAAUAAACGGCCCAAUACUUAAUAUGGUGAUUGCAAGCAAAUUGUGCACAAACUACACUGAAUUUCUUACAUUUAAAACUAAACUCUUCAAAGUAGUUGUAAAGAAUCCAAUGUACCUGAAACUAAGAGGAAGAAAAAUUUUUUUUACAUCCUUACCUUAAGCUUCAACCUGACAUAUUAUUCUCCAAAAGAACUGACAGUUUAAAAUAAACAUACUUUUGUGUACAUUUGUACCAAUAAGCUGUAUCCUUGUAAUAAAAAAGAUUUGUAAUCAAAAUUAAGGAGAAACUACUAAACUUGCCUUUUCCAAGAUCAUCAGGAUCAGCAUGCACAACAACAGCCCUCCCCAAUAUUGAGUGUUGCCCGGUCAGAGGAAUCUACAAUUGCAAGAGAGGGAAUACAAGGAAAAACAAGCAACUAGCUGAGAGAAGAAUUUCUAUGGCAGCUCACAUCAAAGAAAACAAAACAAUUGCAUUCUUAUCUGUAUAGCAUUUGUAAAUUAUACUGAAAAUUUAGCAGGAUAUUUAAGAAGAGUCCGCUGCACAAUAUGCAAGGCUCAUGAAGAAUAUUCGAAAGUAAAACGAGGUCAACUACCACUCAAAAUAGCAGAUAACAUAAAUAUAGUUGUAAGUCAUGCCUCUAAAUGAUUUGGUGAAAAAAUAAAACCAAUCUAAUUUCAUACAGCCGACAGUGCACACUGCGGAAGUUUUUGUUUAUUAAUCCAUUUACCAUCCUGUCAGCAAUUGAAACCUCAGCAACUCCUGCAAUGUAGAAAUCAAUACAAUUAGAAUCACAGAAACUGAACUCUUUUACCUCUCCAUAUUAUCAUAUGACAUCCAGAUAAAAACAAAGCAGUUUAUACCAUCAGGGCCUGCAACAAUGUUUCCCAAAUCACCAGCGUGCCGCUCGUUAUCACUGGGAGCCCCAUGAUCCUUCUUCAAUGGAUUGAAAUGAGGUCCUAAACCAAAUUAACACGGCAAGACAGCACUCAUAAACCCGCUCAAACAGAAGACAAACAGAACCUCAAUGAAAGAUAGUCGAAUACAGACCUAUGGGUAUGUUAAGAACUAAGGUUGAUGUGGAGCGGAAUCAAAAGUGGGUGUUUACCAAAUACUAAAUAAUACUAAAUGCUGUCCUUUCAAAAUUAAAAAGAGGCUUAACGGUUAAAAAUAUACCGCAUAGUUGCAUAAACAUUACAAUCUAAGCGGAACACUCACCACUUAAAUAUAAACAUAAAUCAGCAAGGAAUUGCAAAAAGAUUAAAAAAUGAAGAUCAAAGUCAUCUCUUAAGAGAGAAAGAUAGUACCAGUAGAAUUGCAACCAUUAGUGGUGUCACCGAGGGCGUGAAUAUGGAAGCCAUGAAGGCCUGGCUUCAGUCCUGUAAUCUUCCCUUUCACAUGUGUAACUCCUGCGUAUACAUAGCUAAUAAGUCAUAUGAAUAAUCAAAAAAUACAAAGUUUAUUUUUCAAGAUUAUGUUUUAACGAGUAAAAAAAGGGGGAAAAGAAAAAGAACAGAGAUACCGUUGGGUCCUUGAACAAAGUGAAGAGAGCCUUUAACGCUGGUAGCACCAGAAAUGAGAGCCACAGCUUUCACUGUGGCUUUUGUAGCCCCUGUUUCCAUUUUUUAUCUCUUGCUUUCUCUAUCUGGGUCUUCUCGAUAUCAAAUAUUCAUAUUACAUGAUGCACUUUAUUUGAUUUGUUUCUUCUUGUGAUUUAUAAGUUAAUUUCGUAAGCUUGUGGUCUCUGCCUAUCCGUUGGAAAACCAGAGCUUCACAAUUUUCUUCGUUUUUUAUAUUUUUGUUUUUCAGUUAGAAAUUAGAAAAACCUCAAUAUUUGUACUCGACUCAAAUUGAAUUAUCUUAAAUUUAAUAAAUAUUACUAGUAUCAAUUUGAUUAAUUAUUAGAUAGAGAUAUCAUAUUAUUAUUGGGCGGGCAGGGACACAUUUCUACCUCUCUUCUAGAAAAUAGUUACAAUGAGUUCAUAGUUUUUUUUUUAAAAAACAAAUUAAUAAAAAUUCUGUAUAAUUAAUUAAUUAAAUUCUUCUAUUAAUUAUUUUUUUCUUAAAUUUCAUUGAUUGUCUUUGAUCAUAAACUUUAAUAUAAUUUUUUUUGUUAAUUUAUUAUUAUGACAUAAAAUGAUCAAAUUGCCCUGUACACGUGUUAUUGUAUUUAACGAUUCAGGUAUUUAAUUAUAUACUUAUAAUCUAAUAUUUUUAAAUGAAAUCUAAUUAUUAUUUUCACUACCCUUACUUGUAAAUGAUAUAAAUUUGAUAGCGUAAUAAUUUACAUGAGUAUUGCGCCAUAAAGACACUAGGUUAUUUUAAUUAAAGUUUAAUAAUCAUACUAAUAAAGUUAUAUUAGAAACAAUGAAUUUGGUAUAAAAUUAUAAAAAUAUAGAAGUUAGAGUAAAUUUUUGGUGCUUUUACCUUAUAAGGGUAAAAUUAUCAAUUUAAAUUAUGCCAAAACAAUCUUUAUAAUAAGAUAUGAUAAAAAAAAAUCUAAGUUGUCAAAAAAAAAUUAAGAAAGAUUUAAUCAACAAAUUCUCCAACACUCUUUUUUAUUUGAAACUUCUUAAGAAUCACGUGCACUUUUUGUAAUUAUUUUUUAAAAAUGAUGUGGGUUUACAAAAAUUAUGGAAUGGAAUAUAAUUACUUUUAUUAUUUUACCAUCUAAUGUUUUUUGACAUAUCAUUUCAUUAUUGAAAUUUUUUAAUAAUUUUUUUCAUUUUAACGUUUCAAUUUUUGAUAUUUUAUCAUCAAACUAUUAACUCCAUUAAUGAAUUGCUAAUUUCAUAGGAGUAUUUUAUAAUUUCCAUAUAUUCAAUAUUUUAAGAAUUUUACAAGGUAUAAUAUUUAUAAUUUUAUGAAUUCAUUGUUUUAGAUAUAUAAAUUAAUCAAUUGGUAAAAGUAUCAUUUCUUUGUAUAUAAUUAAUUAUAUGUUUUUUUCAGUUUAGGGAGUUGAAUUAUAAUUACAUUAGUUUAUGAGAAAAAUAGGCUUUUGUUAUAAUUUUCGCUAGCUUUAACGGUUUGAUGGUAAAAUGAUAAAAACUAAUGCAUUAAGUGGGAAAAAAUAAAUGAUAAAAAAUUUUAGUAAUAAAAUAAUAUGUCAUAAUAAAACUUUAGUUGAAAAAAUAAUAAUAUUCGUAUUAGAUAUUUAAAAUUAUUUUUAAUUUAUAAUAGAAAUUAAUGUAUAUAUUUGAAUUCAAUGUAAAAGUCGAUUCCAUGCCAUAAAGGUGUAUGGAAUUUUUAUGACAAGCGUUUAUAUGUUUAAAACAAAUAGGCAAUGUCGUACUACUUUCUUUGGAUAUUGUGAUUGGAUGUAGGACCAAGCCCACAAUUUUAGCUAUUAAACAAACUCCCACUAAAUCCUGAAAAUAUAUGGUCAGCCCAGCCCACACAAACUCCUCCCAGGGUAAUGCUUCCCAUAAAUUAUAAGAGUUAAUAAUAAAAGAAUGAUGCAUCAUUGGAGAUAAAAUAUUUUAGCAGUUAACAUAUUAUUUGGAAGUGUAAAAUUGUUGAUUUAUAUAUUUUUAAAAAAUUAAAAAUAUCCCAAUAAAUUUAUUUAUUCUUUGUAUGCAUCAAAUUUAUCAAUCCAGCUACAAGGAUAUAUAAUUAACAUGUUGAAGCAUGAAACUAAGGUACUAUAUAAAGAUGAAAUGACUGGGAAAAAAUAUAUUAUUCAAAUUUAGAUCGAUUUAGACUCAAAGUGUUUUUAUAAUUUUGAAUUAAGAAAAUAAAGUCUAACUAGUAACAUAAAACUUUAAAAAUGAAGGAUGAAAAACUACUCUCUUCAAUAGCAAAAUAUCAUUUAAGACUCCGAUUAUAUUUAUAAAUUAUCUCUUGUACAUUCUAGAAAGGAAAAUACACGUUGUUGGAAAAUAAAUCCAACCGAAGUGUAAUUUAUUUAUUUAUUAUUUUUAUUUUAAUCUUUGUGAGGUUUAUUUUCAGGGAGUAUAUCACUGCUCUUCUAGAAAUAUUAAAAAUAAAAUGAUUGGCGCAUACCGUACAAUAUUCAAAAAUUGUUUUUUUGAUAAGGUACGAUUAUUCAAAUUAAUCCAUCUAAAAAAUAGAUUUUUUUUUUUUUAGAUCAUGAUGAAGAUAUAAUUGAUGGAUAAUGGAUGUGAUAGAAGAGAUAAGAGCGGGAGGGAAAGCCAAUUGUGUGGGCCACACAAAACGACAGUGAGCCUAGCUGUGUCAACCCCACAGAGCAAAACAGUCGGCCGGGCGCCAAGUGGCGGGACCCACGGACCAAACCCCGUGAUCAACUGUCAUUUAAAAUCCAACGGCUAUGACCAAUCCAGAAGGGCAAACGCUUUUUCUUCCAUUUCUUUUGAUAAUCUAUUAACUAGUUAAACUAACUUUUUCUUUUUUGGGUUUUCGCCUUUAUGUAACAACGUUCAGUAAUAACAAAACAACGGGGAAAAAAAAAAAGCUUCUCUUGGUUUCUCUUCUUUUCAUUAUCUGUAAGUAAUUGAUCAUAAAUCAUAAUAAGAUUGUGGGGUUUCGGAUUUGAAGAGAAAGAGAGAUGAGGGAAAUAAUAAGCAUUCAUAUAGGACAGGCAGGGAUUCAGGUUGGGAAUUCAUGUUGGGAGCUUUACUGCCUCGAACAUGGGAUUCAGCCUGAUGGAACCAUGCCCAGGUACUUAUUUUUUAUUUUUUAUAUAUUUUUUUUGUACAUACCUAUAGGGGAAUGAUCUAAUAGACGCUGAUGUUUUUGUUACAGUGAACGACGCUCUCACAUGAUGUUGUUUGUUAAUCUAACAGCUUAGCACCAUUAGUCAUACUCAUAUGCAAACGAAUACUUGUAUGUGUGGUCAUCAUUGUUAUGUUGAGAUAGGUCAUAGAUUUUUGUUUUUGAUUAUGUUAAUUGUUUUCUGGAUAGGGUUUAUUCCGUUUUUGUGAUUUUUUUUUUUUUUGUUUAUGGUUAGAAUGAAUUGUGUACACAAAGAAGUAAUGCAUGCAAGUUUGUACAUAUGUAUGUGAGAUCUUCAACUUUGUGUUGAAAUAAAUUUGCUUUCUAAUGAAUUGGUUUGCUAUCAGAGGCUUUUUAAGCUGGAUUUUAUCCCAAGGGGGGGUGGGGGGUGUGGUGUGUGAUAAUAUAUUAUGUUUUUUUUUUUUUUUUUUUUGCAUGGAAGUGAAAUGAUUAGGUAAACUUGCAUAAAGUAGAGUGAUCAAUUUAGCAUGUUAUGAAGAUAACUCUGUUGAUUUAGUAUAAUAUGAUGAUUUUAUGCCAGAAUUGCUCUUUGUCAUUAUGAAUUUUAUUUUCUUAUCUAUUCAUCAAAUUGGGUUAUUUCCCCUUUUUCCUGAUUUUUUUCAUGUUUAGAUCUUUUUUUUUUUUAAUUUUUAAUUCAAGUGAUCCAUAGCUAUUGUGCUGCAUCAAUUCUGAGUUAUUUAAAUAAGCCUUUGUAGGUUUCUUGUAAAUAAGUACAAAAGCAUCAUGGUUCCAUUAAAUUUAGUCGCAUUAGCAAUUCGGUACCAUGAAAUUUAAAUCAUAGAUCCUAUAGUAGAAUGAUAUAUUUGUGACUGAAAUCAGUAUUGAACAAAGCAACUCUGUUACCUGAGAGAGAAGUUGAGGUUGAGACUCCAGUUUUAGUAUUAUGAAUUUGACUGUAGCCUCUUUCCUUAGGUAUCAUUUUCUUAUGGUCUAUGCUGAGAAGUCUGGGAUGAUUAUUUAGUUGUCAUAUGUACCUUUUUUUCCUUAAAGGCUAUGCUUAAAAUUUGUUGCUGUUAUAGAUUUCUUGUUUUUUCUCUCUGGUUUAAUAGAUUUUCCUGAUGUAUUCUCCCUAUUUGCUUCCAGUGACACCUCUGUAGGUGCUUGCCAUGAUGCUUUCAAUACAUUCUUCAGCGAGACUGGUUCUGGGCAGCAUGUGCCUAGAGCAGUAUUUGUUGAUCUGGAACCCAGUGUUAUUGAUGAGGUAAGAACUGGGUCUUAUAGACAACUUUUUCACCCAGAGCAACUCAUCUCUGGCAAGGAAGAUGCUGCCAAUAACUUUGCCAGAGGACACUACACAGGUAAAUCCUAUAGCUGAAAAUGGCUGUAUUUUUAUACUUAAUUUAUUCACUAAAUUGUUUCCCUGGUGUUGUGUAUUGCAGUGGGGCGGGAAAUUGUUGAUCUCUGCCUUGACCGAGUAAGAAAACUGGCUGACAAUUGUACCGGUUUGCAAGGAUUUCUAGUAUUUAGUGCUGUUGGUGGUGGCACUGGUUCUGGUUUGGGUUCUUUACUUUUGGAACGCUUAUCGGUUGAUUAUGGAAAGAAGUCAAAACUCGGCUUUACUAUCUACCCAUCUCCUCAGGUACUACCUCAAGAACCUUAGUAUGCGAAAGAAAAUUUGAGGAAUUUUUAGCGGCUAUUUUAUGCACAUAAGCAUUUGCUCUUUUUAAUUUGUCUAGGUAUCUAGUUAAUAGUAACAAACUCUUAGGAAAGGUGAAUCAUUAGUCCUUAUAUACAUAUACUUUUCUUCACUCAGGUGCUUAAAAUAUUGGAACAAGACUCUUAAUAAACUAUUUCCAUAUUGUGCAGGUUUCAACUGCAGUUGUUGAACCUUACAACAGUGUGCUUUCCACUCAUUCUCUCCUUGAACACACAGAUGUUGCUGUGCUUCUGGACAAUGAAGCUAUAUAUGAUAUCUGCAGAAGAUCUUUAGACAUCGAACGGCCAAAUUACACCAAUUUGAACCGCUUAAUAUCCCAAAUUAUCUCUUCAUUGACUACCUCCUUGAGGUUUGAUGGAGCCAUAAAUGUGGAUAUUACGGAGUUCCAGACUAACCUAGUGCCAUAUCCUCGUAUCCAUUUCAUGCUUUCUUCUUAUGCUCCGGUAAUUUCAGCUGCAAAGGCCUACCAUGAGCAGAUAUCCGUUCCUGAGAUCACGAGUGCUGUUUUUGAACCCUCAAGUAUGAUGGCCAAAUGUGAUCCAAGGCACGGAAAGUACAUGGCAUGUUGCUUAAUGUAUCGUGGAGAUGUUGUACCAAAGGAUGUCAAUACUGCGGUUGCCACCAUCAAGACGAAGCGGGCAGUUCAGUUUGUUGAUUGGUAAGUUCACAUUCCAUGUGUUUCGAUUUUAUGAAAUAAUCAAAAUUGAUCAUAACUUUUACUAGGAUGGAUAAGAUAAGCAUUAUAAUAAUGGUUGUGAAAUUAUUGUUUCUAUAUCCUAUGUUCUUGGGACCACUGGAUCUUUUGAUUUCUCUUCCUCUAGGGAAAGGGAUCAUGGUCUUAAACUGUGUUUUCAUUAUAAGUCAUACCAGUUUGGUAUCUGUCAUUUGCAAGUAUUAUAGAUUUUAUUAUUCUCAGUGUACCAUCAAUGACCAAUAUGGAAACGGAGGCACAUAAGCCCGUAUAUUACAAAUCACAUUUCUUCCCAUCUUAAGACCAAAGAUGACAGUAAGCAGAAAAAUUCUCAUCAAUUAUUAAGUCGGUGUAGACAAUUAAUAUAGCACAAUUAAAUAUUUGAUUUCUCAACAAACAUUAGAUACAUCAAACCAUUUUAAAUGUGUUAUUCGUUAUCACGAUAAUUAAUAAUCUUAGACAGAGGGUUGGCACACAUGUACUUUCUUUGUUAGGCGGAUGUAUGUUGUUGCAUUAUGUUUUUGGCAUUCAGUGAACUGUUGCUAAGUAAUUGUGCUUUUACAUGGUAUGAUGAGAACUCUUCUGCCUCGUGCUAGGACUAGAUACUUUUUUGUUCAUUUCCCUUUCUUUCAUCUGAAUUACAGUUAUAUAUGAAUAUGUUUCAGGUGUCCAACUGGUUUCAAAUGUGGUAUCAACUACCAGCCACCGACAGUGGUACCAGGGGGUGAUCUUGCUAGAGUUCAGCGUGCAGUUUGUAUGAUAAGCAACAACACAGCUGUGGCUGAGGUUUUCUCCCGAAUUGACCAUAAAUUUGAUCUCAUGUAUUCCAAGCGAGCAUUCGUUCACUGGUAUGUAGGUGAGGGCAUGGAGGAAGGUGAAUUCUCAGAAGCUCGAGAAGACCUUGCUGCUCUUGAGAAAGACUAUGAGGAAGUUGGGGCAGACGGUGUUGAUGAUGACAAUGAGGGAGAAGAUUACUGAAAAUAAUCUUGACAGGGUAGCAGCAACUGUUUCUUUAUCCUAUCUCAUCUCCCAUAUUUUUUCUCCAGCUAUGUAUUGUCUGAAUUCCUAUCCAUUCUAUUGAUCUUCUAAAGUGCCUCUGUGUUGUUGUAUGGCUUUGUAAUUAUGUUGGUUUUAGAAGAACAGUGUGAGAAUCAACAGUCCUCAUUCUUAGAAAUGAGGCAUCUCACUGCCUAAUAAAAUCACUUCCUUGUGCGCCCACUGAAGUGACUGAGUUCCUAGUGUCUUUAAUCUAUUUUCUAGGUAUCCAUUUUUGCAACAUCAUAAAACAUUCUUUCUUGAUGGUCGCUAAAUGCAUGCAUGGAGUUCAAAGGAUCAUGACAAUGAACUUACAUUUUGAUUCGUCUGUGUUCGCCAUUCCUGACCAGCUGACCCUUGUAGACCAGUGAAGAAAUUUUAAUUGGUAUGCAAGCAGGAUUGAAUAUGUUAAACGUUUUGAGUAUUUGCAGUAUUUCCUGAAUAUUCAAUUCUUUGGCCUUCUCCAAAAUCUGACCUUGCUAAUAUUAGUUUAAGAGCAGAGAGCUGCAUCAUGCAACUACGCUAUAAUACAAUAUGCAGUUCAAUUAGUUGAUGGAGAAGUGUUAAAAAGAAGAAAAAAAAAAAAAAAAUUCCUUUCUCUUACCUUCUAGAUUCCAUAUCCAGUUGUCAAAGCCCAUGUGGCAAGACACAUGAUUUUUCAUUUUUGUCAAGGCAUUGAAACUAAAAAUCAUCUAUUAAUGUCUACAUGUCACUAGAAAGUGUUUGGAGGAAUUUACAAGAUAUUUUGCUAAUGAUAUCACUUGAAAGUGAUUGGGAACAGCAGUACAUCACCAUCUGCUCUUUCCUCACUUCAACUAUGCAGAAUUUAUUAACCCAACUUACAACAGUAACACCAGAAUUUCAUGUCUGUUGUGUUCACAUUCUCAUCAGUUACACCAUAGGCAUUACAAGAGCCACUUCCACACUCCUCGAAUUUACCACCUUUGUUUCGAAUCUUCAAGUUCACAUCCGAAGAUGGUUGCAUUAUCUGAAAUGAAUGCAUCUAAUUAAUUGACUUUCGCAAGUAAUUUUAUGUUAAGAAGGAAAGCUUUCAGUUUUUUUGUGACAAACCAAACGUGCACCUAAUGCAAAAUUAGAAAAUAAGCAAGAUUGGCUGGCAAAAGCAUCACCAAAUGAUUUUUUUAAUUAGUCGAUUCUAGUGUGUCAACCGCAAAUGCAACUACCAGGAAUUUUUAGUAUAAUGAACAUGGAGAAAGACAACAUGUGCAACUAAUUUGCAGUUAUUGGUUAUAUGGCCCAACUGGAGCUGUAACAAGAAUACAUGAUGCUGGAUUUCAAUUAUUAUUAUUUUUUUUCCUGUUAAUGCGUAAAAGAUGUUGAUGACAGGACUUUUAAUAAUGUGGGAUAAAGAUAAUUAAUCGAACACGAUUGCUUACACUUUGCAUUGAGUGAUGAAUGUGUUGAACUUCCUAAAACAGAAAAAAUAAAAUUCAAAUUCAUGUGUUUAGCAAUUUACAUUACAAAAAUAGCAAGAACAAGUUCAGGAUAAACUAAUUAAUCUCCUUUUGAUAUUUGUUAAUUCGGCAAACCAGUCCUACGAUCAUAUACUCAACUCUAAUUUUUCCAAUGCAAAGAAACGGAAACAAAAGACUGAACAGAAAUAGAACAUUUCCAUGGUGAUUUGAACCAUGUGGAUCAUAUUUUACAGAGCAUAUGAACACAAUGGUGGAAGAUCCCAGAAAGCUUCAGCAGCAUCAUGGACCGUGUCCAUGUACUCUUGCACACCAUUUAUAGCAUAAAGCGACGCCGAUAUUUGCCUUUCAACUUUCAUCCUUUCAAAUUCUGCAAACUCUGAGUCAGUAGUAGUCUCAGGCAAAGCACCGUUCUCUGGUAAAUCCAACAGUUCUUGAGUAUACGAAAAUUGGUCAACCCCAUUUCCAGAACCCCAAGAAUGAUCAAUCUGAGCAGAACCCAGUUCAAAAUCCUCGAUGCACUUACUCAGGUCCGGCUUGUAUGCAUCAUCAAAUAACUGAGCAUCUUGAAUUAUGUCACUUGAAGAAGAUGAAAGUUCCCCACUUAUGACACCACUGCAGCUGGUGCAGCUACUAUUAGAAGUUGCAGUACUAGUAGGAGUAUAAGCAGUAGUUGUGGUGGUGGCAGAGGCUUCAACACUUUGUUGUUGACAUCCCUUUUUGUUGUUAACAAGGUUUCUUAUCCGAGAUGCAAGAGGAGAAUCAAAGCUUACGUUGGUAUCAAAGUUGGUGCGAGUGUUUGAUCCGCGGAGAAGGCAAGCAGCUUCGUCGUAGGCACGAGCAGCUUCUUCUGCAGUUUCAAAGGUGCCAAGCCACACCCUUAUCUUCUUUGUGGUGUCUUUGAUCUCGGCUACCCAUCUACCCGAAGGCCUUUGCCUCACACCAACAAACUUGCUAUUGCUUUUUGUCCUGUUUCUUCCCUUGAACUUGCCCGCUCUGUUAACUUGAUUGAUGCAUGCUUUCUGCAGCUGUUUUUGUUGUUGAAAUUGAAUUUCCAUUGAAAUUUAUUUUGAAAAAGGAAAUCUAGGACUGUGAAGUCUCAAAGAAGGGAAACUUUUAUGUCUCCUAAAUUUCUUGGUUGUCAUGUCAAUGGAUAGCGAGAAACUUAUAAGCAAGUUUGAGUUCAAUAAUAGGGAUUUGUGGUCACAUUACAGCGACAUUUUCAUUUGUUUUUUUGCGUUUGUUGUGUAAUGAUUUGUUUAUUUUGAUGCACAUAAAACUAUUCAUCCUCAUAUUUCUGUUUUUUCCUAAUAUACCCUAAGUUUGACUUGGUAAGAAAUAAAUAAUUCAUCCUCCAUAUAAUUAAACCUGGAUGUCUGGAUAUGUGUGAAUCAAAUUCAAGACAUUUGGGUUUAAAGUAUAUUACAAUUUCACUUGUGAAAAGUAUGUCCAAUUGCAAAAAAAAAGGGCAUCCCUAGAGCAUCUUAAUACCAUCUCUCCAAACUAAAUCCCUAAUUAUGAAAUUUUUUUCCCCAUUAGGGACAGGAAAGUCGCUUCAGAUUUCGGAAGCACAAAGUCAUAAGAGAGGAAAUCAAAAAAUUCCUUGGUAUGAAUUAUUUAUGGUUAAGGUAUUGUCCUCUUUUAUGCAACCAAGUCAAUAUGAAAGCAAAAUCUGUGAAGGCGGGAAGAGCUGCCACGUGGAGACAGCAGAGAUAUACUUUAGAUAAAACCAAAGAACUAGGGUUUAAACAAGAUUGGCAGUUACCAUAACAAGAUAAAGGCCACGGCAAUUUUACCGAAGACCAAGUCAUGAUGCUUAAAAAGAUCGUCUCACCGUGCACGCUGGGUUUGUUCCAACCUCCUGUCCUAUUCUUUACAUCACCAGACAAAACUUGUUCUUUUUGCAUUAUAUUAUUCCUCGAUUCUUUAUAGAUUCUAAAAUCCCUACCCCAUUGUGUAGUCUGUGUCUGUAGAUGACUGGCAAAGACUACUUUGCUAUUCUAAUAAAUUAGCAAUUCCAUGUAUAAAAAUUAAAAUAAAACGAUAUUGUAUUUUGUUCUUUAACUAUGUUACCUUUUGUGGAGUGGUAAGUUGCUGCUCUCGCAUCAAUUUCAGUCCUUAUGUUAAAAUAUUUGAACUCAAUUCCUCUCUUAAUUAAAGAAUAAUUGAAUGGAAGCAGUCGGUAGUCAUCUGAUUAAAUGAAAGCAGUCAGUAAUCAUCUGAUAUAGCAUCAGUAGUUGUCUGAUUGUAUUAUCAAUAUAAAAAAAAUGUUACAUUAUAUGUAUCAUACAAUACAUCCAUAAGUUGUUUGUUUCAUAUGUUAUAAUUUUUUAAUUUUAGAUGACAACAAAAAAGUUGCUAUAUGUUACAUAUAAUAUUACAUAACAUGAGCCAUUCAACUGAUGUAACAUAAGACAUGGCUUCACCAUAUAAUGAUAAUCUUAAGUAAUUAAUUUUCUAAUAAAUAAGUAAUUUUAUGAUAAAAAUUAAUAAUUUUAAUAUAAACAAAAACCCAAUCACCUUCUCACUCAUAUGAAGGAGAUUUAAAUAUUAUAUUAUUUGAAAUCAACUUAAUAAGAGAUUUUACCAAUUUAAUCAAACUAGCACUCACACCUCAAUUCCAUUUGUUUACAUAAAAUAUAAACAACUUGGAGAUAACAAUUAAUAUCGCUUUCAAAGAUUAUGGUUUCCGUUUUCAAGAUGAAAUACCCGAACAUUGACACUGACCCCAAAAAGAAAAUUUUGUUUGUAUGUAUUAUACAAUUGCAAGUGGUCGCACCCACGAUUGAUUUCUCACGCCCAAGAAGAAUUUGUUGUUCUCAUUCCAUUUUUUGUAUUAAGGACACUUUUGUCAUACGAUAAGGUUUUGAAAGUAACAGCUCCCAUCAACUCUAAAACUACUAAGAGGCUACAAGUGGCAAUUUACAAAGAGAUGCAUGCAACACUUUUAAGGUUUUUAAUGGGAAAAUAAAUUAAAUCUAUCAAACAGAUCAGCCAAAUCUGAAUGAUUCUACUGUGCAAAUUUAUUGAGACAUUGUUCUACUCAUUCAAAAAGAAAAAAUCUCACUCACCCACAUGCGUGCAAAAGAUUAAUCACCAGCAAAGUUCAACUAAAAUAAUCUCAAACGCAAUUGUAUGUCGCAUGAAACCUUUCAUUCCAGAACCCAAAAAUGGCCAAGAUCUACAAACAGACCAUAGUAAAAUGAACCAUAAUAGUCACCAAAAAUACAAUGCCCCAAAACUUCUACAAAAAUUUCCGCCGACCUCAACCUCAAAAUAUGAGUACCGACUAAAACUUCAAACUCAUCCCUUGACUGGACCUUUUAGACACAGGAAUUUACCAAAAAUGUGGUCAAAAAAUUAUACACACUAUACUUUCCUACAUAUUAUUACACUCUCAUCCGCAACCAAUCAAACAAAUACAGACAUACCGUGAAGAACCACACUACACAAUAUGUAUAAUGAAUAAGAAUAGAUGACUGAACACAUCAUUGACAGACUGCUCACAUGCAGCAUCUUCACAUCAAAAAGUCAAUGACCAACACAACAAUAAAUUUCGCUUGAUGAAGCACUGGCCAAGAGAGGUAACACGAUAUACCCAGCAACAAACUUGACUACUGGACAUAAAUGGCUUUUCACAAAGAAUAAUUGGAGUGCUCAAAACAGCAAAAGAAUUUAAGAUGAGAGGAUGGAUUGCAAAGCAAGCUGCUGCUGGGGCUGCAGGGAUGACCAUGUUGAUGCAAGAGUGGAGGGUGGUAAUGAUUGUUGAAGUUGCCUCAACAGAUUAAUCAUUCUGCUGGCAGUUUGCUCAGUCACCAGAUCCUUACCCCCACAUAAAACCUACAACAAAAAUUUUCCCCCAAAAGGAAUUUAAAGGAAAAGAAAGAGUCAAAUAAACAAUCUUAAAAACAAAGAAGAGCAUCGACAUCUGAAGUUCAGAAAGAAAAUACCUCUGCAAAGAUUGUGACUAUUUUGGGCAGGUAUUGAUGGUUAGGCCCUAAAAUUUCCCCAUCUGACCUGUAACGAGAUGCAAUUGUUUUUCAAAAUUACUGUGAACAAAAAUGGAUAAUUCUGCAUCAAGAAAAGAAAUAGAAAGAAUAUCAAGUUCAAGAAAAUUCCAUAUCUCCACCUUUCCACCAUUGAACAAAGCUGGGCGUGCACAACCUUGGCCUCAAUCAAGUCACCUUUUAGAGGCAAGCAACUUAACCAGGCAGGGACAACCUGCCAAACAAAACAGUUGUAACAGUGUUCAACCUUUUUUGUUUUCCUUUUGAAAAUUCCAGACUCUAAAUAAACACCUACUUUUGCCAUUAGAAAACUGUCAGUUCUGAUGAUGGUUUUCAAGGCAAUGUCAAUGACAUAUAUUAAGAAAUGAAAACUAUUUAAGUACCUGAGCUGCAUCUAUACUAUCCCGAUGGAAUUGGCAAAUCUUUCCGAGAGCUGAAACAGCAUUGUCAUAUGCCAUUACAUUGUCUGAAUGCAGCGCAUUUGGGUGCCUUAUCACAAAAUUUAAUCUGGAAAGGGCUUCUGUAAAAUGAUAAGAAAAGGUUUACUAAUAUUACAUAAGACUAUACUGCAGAGAAAACAACCAUUCAAGUUAGAAACUACUUACCCCCAACAAGGGGUUUGAAAACAGAUCCACCGAACUCAGCACAAACUCCAAUCCCAUAAACCGCAGCCUGAAAAAUUAUUGGCACUUACUUUCUCAGUGGAAAACACAAUUGAGUAAAGAAAUACAAAAAGUUACAGGAUUUAAAAGAGUAGAAACCUGACGAACAUCUGGAUGUUUGUCAUUGCAGGCUUCCAGUAAGAAAGGAAGAUAAGUGUCAUAGUAUCUGUUUCACUCACACAAGUUAGAUACAUGCAGAGAAAUUAAAUAUUAUCAAUAUUCAUGAUUAAUCAGAAUUCAGAAUAUUUUCUAAAGGUAAAACUCUUACUUGAGCGCAGCUUCACGGCAGUGCUCCAUAACAUCAUCAAAUAUACAAAUGGCAAUUCUCCUCUCUUCUGCUGUUUUAUCCUUGCCCUAGUCAAUCAAAUGGCUAGUUAGCAUUACAAAGGCCAAGUGCCUCUUCAGAGACAAUCAAAAUUGCCUUUAUCAUUCUUUCUUCACAUUCAGUUUGCAAUAUAUAACCAGUGAUUGUGCUUAAAUGGCAUUUCACGCAGAAAGAAAAGCAAAUAUAUGUGUGCAAUUUCGCAUCAAAGAAAGUUCACAGGAGGUGUUAACUAAUUGUUUGCUUUAUAAAGAAUCAGCUAAACCUUUUAUCAAGCAAAAUAGUAAAACCAUUUAAAUCUUAAAUGAAAUCAUGUUUCUCUGUUUGGUUAUUCAAAUACUAUCUCAUUGCAGUACACCACAAAAGCCAAACCAACAAGUAGCUUCAAACUGCUCACAAUCAAGUGGUAACGGUAAGCAUUUAAAGCUGCCACAACAUCCAGAGCAGGUUCGACAGUUGGCACCAGCACAGAACUCAAGCUGUGAUUAUGGCAAAUAAUUUUAUCAUUAAAAACAGGAGACAGGGUGGGGAGGGCACUAAAAUAUCUCCUUAAAAACCAAGGCUUGUAUGCAAGGAAGAAUAAUAAAAAGGAGGGAAAGGAAAAGUAAGACUACAAUUAAUAUGUAGAUUUCACAUACUCCUCCUCAGAGAGAGAGAGAGAGAGAGAGAGAGGGGGNNNNNNNNNNNNNNNNNNNNNNNNNNNNNNNNNNNNNNNNNNNNNNNNNNNNNNNNNNNNNNNNNNNNNNNNNNNNNNNNNNNNNNNNNNNNNNNNNNNNNNNNNNNNNNNNNNNNNNNNNNNNNNNNNNNNNNNNNNNNNNNNNNNNNNNNNNNNNNNNNNNNNNNNNNNNNNNNNNNNNNGGGGGGGGGGGGGAGAGGGGACAGAAACAUAAGAUAUAACUCACCCACAUAGGUGUCAAGUAAGAAGAGAGCUCGUCAAAGAAAGUCAAGAAAGAGGCUCUGAAUGUUUUGGUCAAUGUUCCCAAGCAAUCGCCAACCUUGGAUCAAGAAAAAGAAAAACAGUAAGCAAAUAAGAUCAGAAUUUGCUGAUAGUCAUGGAGAAAAAUAUAAUCAACCAAUGAAAAAGCCAAAAACUAAUGAGGUAUUGGGUAACAAAACAUACUCGGUCAAAAAUUUCUUCUUCUAGUUCGUUUUCUUCCUUAAGCAGUUCCCCUUCUUCCACAUCGAAGUCCUCCGCUUUUGCCCUAUCUGCCCUUUCUUGUUUUCUGGAGGCGCUGGCUAUCAUCACCUGUUUAAUCUCAUCCACGAUGCACCUUACUUGGCUUUCAUCUAAAAGCAGGCCACAAAUCUGACGAAAACAAAUAAAGAUCAAGCUUCCCAGGUCAUCAAAACAACACAGGAAUCUGAGAAAGAAAAUGCUGUCACUAAGGCAUUGGCAACACAGCACACAGCAUUAAGAAAAAAGAACUUCAACAGCAUAAUCAUUUUGUGAUGUAUGCAAACAACAAAUGACAAAAGGACAAGCAUAAGCUAACACAGCAAUUAUCUAUACAAAAGAGAUGACAACCAUCAGAAUUUUCUUGUGAUAAUAACAAGAGAGGUAUUGCUGUUUCAGGAGUUAGUCAAAAAGCAAUGGCCUUUCAAUUCCCAACAGAGGUUGUCCAACGUCACUUAUAUAGCCAAAAAUUUGAAACUCCAGGACAGUGUUAUUGAAGUUCAAGAUGUCACACUAUACUUAGAUUUAAAAGUAAAGCAAGAAAAACAUUCAGUGUCCCCAUAUCCCAGGCUCAACUACCUCAACAUCAUAAAGUGCACAAUACCAACCUGUAUGCUUUCAUUCAAUGCAUCCAACAUGCUUGCACAAAUAUCUAUCUCAGGCUCCUGCAAGCCAGUUGCAAACACGUUAACACAUAAGCGCAGACUACUAUAGGAAGGAAAAAAAUUGAAAAAGAAGAUAUAUAGCUAAAAAGUCUGUGUUAGAUAUGUGAAAAAGUCAAACAACCAAAAACUAGAACAGAAGUAUGACCUUGUGUAAAGCCUCCACCAAAGCAGGUAUUAUGUAAUCAGUCAAUUGCUUUACAUAGGAUUCAUUGCGACCUUGGGAUUGCCCCUUCUCUACAGCUAACUUAGCCGAACGCAGCAAUUCCGGCAUGGCUGAGGACAUACAUAAAUAUUAAACAUCAAGAUUUCCAGAGACAAUCCGCAAGAACACAUGCAAAUAGAAGGGCACAAAAAAUAAUGGCCAAGCUAAUACCUGAAACAGCUGCCUUCCUCACUUCUUCAUGGAAAUAAAACUUCAGAAGGGGAACCAAUGUAGGAGCAACCUGCAAUUAUUAUAUCUUUACCCUGUCAACCUAGUAUUCUUUAAUAAGAAAAACUGAAAAUUAUUAACCUGACCUAAAGAAUGGACUAGAAAAACCAUGAUAUUUAAACCAAAAUUGACCUGAUCAAUCCAUGGGAAAAACCCUUCCUUCAACUCAUCAGCAUAGCAACAUAGCAUGUUACAAGCUGUAGCUUUUUCCUCCAGGACGCUAGUUUUUAUCCCUAUCCUUUUAUCCCCAAGAGUAAUUGUUUGGAUGCUGCAAAAGCAAAUUGGUGGUAUUAAAAUUAACGAACACCCAAAAAAACCGAACCUCCACUUAUCUCCAUCAAAUUAAGCAGCGUGCUUUACAAACAGAAGACUAGAAACGACAUUAUGCAAUAUAUGGCAAGCACUUAUAUAAUAACAAAGAUUUACCAAUGAGGAAUCAACAAAUAUGCAAGGAAGAGUUCUCAAGACAAGGGGUUCAUAUGAUGCUUUUUUUGUCCUCUUAAUAACAUAUUUCUAUUAACUACAAAAUCAUGACACAAUAUAUGCAACUUUCAGAAAAUUUAAAGUAACAUAAGGUACAAGCAAUCAAAAUCAGAAAACAAACCUUUCAUCUUCAUCAUCAAUAUCCACAUCAGAAUCUGCAGAUGUAAUGAUUACAUCAGGCUUAAGUUGAGCAGACUGAAGCAAAGGGGGCAUGACAACACUCAUGUAAGGGAUAAAUUCCUGUCCCAGACACUUGCAGAGUCUGGCCCAUGCCUGCAACCAACUUAGGCAGUUAUGUAUUUCCCCAAUACUAUUCCAAGUAAAUUAAGCAUUCAUCAGUUGAAUAAAUGCAGAGUGUGUGUGUGUGUGUGUGUAAACAUCAAAGUAAUAUCAUACUUGUAACAUGUAGCUUGUUGUGGGGUCAUCCGCCUCCAUUUGGGAACCUUGUAACGACAUUAGGACUUCCAUAACCUAGUAAUACACAACAACAGUGAGGCCAUAGUUCAAAAGAAAAAAAGAAGUUUUUACAGCUACCACAAUCUAAUAUGUCAGCAGAGAAAAUGUGCAUAACCAAUGGAUUGCAAAAAUGAUGUUAUCAACCAUAAAUGAAACCAGAAAAUUUCAGUAAAUUAAGAACCUAACUGAGAUAUAAAAGGUUAAAAGAACUGAAAAGUAGCAAAUAAUCGGUGGUUUUUAUAGAUGUAUUAGAGGUAACUUAGAGAAUCUAAAAUGAAGUGGAUAAAUAGUAAAGCUUCGGUAUGAGAAAAAAUUCACACAGAAUCUUCAUCCACAUAAUACUAGAACCACAAAGCAAAAUGACCAUCACAAUGAAAAUCAUAAUCUUCAUCCACAUAAUACUAGAACCACAAAAUCCACAAAAUUUUUUCAGUAAGAGAAAAAAUUCACACAGAAUCUUCAUCCACAUAAUACUAGAACCACAAAGCCAAAUGACCGUCACAAUGAAAAUCAGCAAAGUAGAAUAUUAAUACUUAUUGUCACCUGUUUAGCGUCAUCCCUGAAUUUAUCCUUUCCAACAGCCAUUCCAACCAAACUAAUGCACUCCAUAGAUUUGGCACGUAGCAUGCGGUUAGAUUUAUCAUUUGCAUUCACCAAAAUAGCUUUCAAGUAUGGCAUUACAGCAUCAUAAUAUUUUUGGAAUUGUCCCUGUUAACAAGUCACAUAAGACAAAAAUAUUUGAUAUUAUAAUAAAUAAAUGAGGUCUAUUAGGUAUAUUAUAAGCCUACUAAGUACCUGAGAUGAAUCAGCAACUGAUGCCAAGGCAGUCAAAGCCCCCUCUUGCACCAUUUGCUUCCCAUUCUACAUUGCACACAAGCAAACCAAAUAAAAUUAAGGUAUCUUGCAUCACAACGGGAGGGGAGAAGAUAGACAAUAUCACACACAAGGAAAACAUGAGGCUAGGGUGUUCACUCAUUGCAAUACUGGAGUAGGCCUUUCAGUUUCUUUUUUGAUAGUAAACAUAAAAAAGUAUGUUUAGAAAUAAUUAGAAAAGAGAUAAUCAGAGAAAAGAAUACUCGGAUGUUGCACAUAAAGUAAAAGCGUGGUCAAACAAAUAAUAUCACGAUUGCUCUCCCACCCCGAAAUCUGAUAGUCUAAGCCCGGCAAGUGGGUGAAAACUAAGCUUAAAAAAGAGGAAAGUACACAUAAUGCUGAAAGGUAGAUCUUUAUUCCCCUCCCCAGAUCCUACAGCUCCACAUCUUCAGUGUCCACAGAUAUCUUUUCCAUUAUCUUCAAACCCUCCAAAACUUACUUCAACAACGACGACUGUAAGCUGUAUUUUUCGGAUUUUUAGAACUACCAUAAAAGUUGCAACAAUGCUCACCAAGAAAACACCUCGCCAUUAUUUCUCCAUCUCCUAAGAAUAUGAUUCCAUUUAUCUGUGCCGAAAUUCUCAAUACUGUUGUCACUCAAAAACUAUGUAAAAAUUGAAGAAAAUGAUUAACUAGCAAUUCUUAUUAACUCUUUCAUUCUCAUUCUCAGUUUUAUGUCGCUACCUUGUUGUAUAUAUAAAUGGGAACAUCUUGUAACAAUGAGUUUACCAGAUGAGCUACCAAAUGCUGAGGUAUUAAUACCCCUCCACAAUGAAUAAGUAAAAGUCAUUAUUUCUGUCAACUUUUUAAAACCCUCGCAAGGAAAUGAGUAAAUUUAUCAUAUGUGAGAAUUAAUUUAAUUGUACAGAUUUAUGCUUCAAGACAAAACUAAAAACAUUUAUCACUUUCAAUUGAAGAGUAAAUAAGAAGAGAAUUUACAUACCUGUAGAAGCACAAGAAGUUUGCUCACAAUCCCAUCCAAAUAUGGAGUCAAAAUAUCAGGGGUACAAUUUUCACUGAAAUUGAGCACUGCCGAUGCAGCAUGAGCCUGUGGCCGGGAAACAACAACAUUUUAAAAAAAAAAGUUUCAUUGAAUAACAAAAUACUAAGUUAUUAAAAAGAAAUUAUCAUCAUAUACAUAGACACUGCUUCUUAAAGAUGAAACUCUCAGUGAAAGAAUUUACAGAGACAACCAAAGACAAAUCAAAUUUUUAGAAAAAAAAAAUAAAAAAUUUAAUAGAUUAGAAAGCAGAGGCAAGUAAAUCACUCUUAGCUACGGGAACACUUAACAUUUAUUUCUUUGAAAAGCCUUACACAGACAGCCCCAUUUGCUUUGGAAUGAAGGCAAUCCUCACCCAACAAUUUUCAACAAAGCACCAGCAAAGUUAAAUAUAUUAAUUAAAAGGAAAAUUUUAAUUUCUUAGUAAACAAAUGGAUGAUAAUUCCAACACAAAUGAACCAUUCCACAAUGUUAUAUAAAAGAAUGCCUCCAUUUUAAAUCACCAACCCGGAUGUGCAAGCUCAAAAAUUACACAUAGGACACUUAUGAGACAAGUGACAUAGAAAGUCGACAUUGCUCAUUCAUGAGAUAAUCACUACUUUUUAUCUAAAAGAAAGAUACUGCUAAAGGUACAAGCAUAUUAUAAAAACAGAUAUGCAGAUUACCUGUACUCGUGGAUUUUGGAAAUCAUCCAUAGCCCCAACUAGUGCUGGCAACAGACGGUGAUGAAAUUGUGUUUGCAGUUCUGGACCCAAGUCAGUGGACAACUGUCCAAUCGCAUUGAUAGCAGCCCAGCGCACUCGAGGAUGGGGAUCUUGAAAUGAAUUCAGAACCAUAGACACUACCUGGUCCAGAUUCUUUAUCAUUACCUACAGCAAGGGACAAAAUUUAGGAACAGCAGAUACUUUUAACUUAACUUGUGAGUAUAUACCAAAAGUUUUCUAAGAAUUACCAGUAUAAAUCAUAUUAGCCCAGACACACUGCAAGAAGACAUACAAGAUUCAAGAAACAAAACAAUUUGCACAGCCAUAACAAGCUGCCAACAGAUCUUUCACAAAGGGCAUAAGGUGGGACUUGCAUCAUUAGUUAAGUAUAAAAGCAGUCGUAGACCUAUCAUCGGAUAAUCAACAAAACUUACCCUGCAACUCUCUCUAAAGAAAAUAGGAAUAGGAAUGCUUUUUAUUAAUCCUAUCAAUUUGUCUGGCUAAAAGUAUAUAGAACUAAGGUGGAGAUAAAAGAAUUUAAAAGACUGCUUUUGGCAAAUGGAGAAGGUAAGCGAUUCAAAAGUUUUAAACAGGAAGCAAACUGAAUCAUAUAGUUUACUACCUAAAGCAUCUAAGAUAUCCCAACUACUUGUACAUACACCCAAGCAAGUAGAUAAGACCUUAAUAGAAGAUGACAAAAUUUGCUACAUCGGACAUGCAGUUACAAAGAUAAACCAAAAUCAAUGUAGGGAGGCACAUUUUCAUUUUGACUUCAUCACGUAAAACGGGUACAUAUUGGGUCAUCGUGAAAUUGCCUAAACAACCACAUAAAAUCAAAUGCACAAGUACAUGCAAAAGUAGAAAAACACACAGCCAAAAAAAAAGGGAGCAGAUACGAAUAACAGUUAAGCUCCACCCAUCAUACAUGCUAUCAACAAAGAGGAACUUUCGUAGUAAAACCCACACAAAAUUCAAUUUCCAUAUACGAACCUAAAUAAACUAUCAAAAAUUAAUGGUUAUAUGCUUAUUACCUUGGAACAACCCUCUGCAAUUUGUGCAAGUGCAAUCAGCACAGCAUGGUGCUUCUGCCACUCAGGGGCAGCCAAAAACCCUGGAAAAACCGCUGAAGCAACAGGCAAAAUUGUGUUUCCACCCAAAGAUAUUGCCAACCUAUCCAAACACUCCUGCCCAAACCCAUAAUCACUCGUCUCCCCAGCAUCCUCGUCCUCAGUCUCUGCGCUAUGCCACAUAGGAUCAUCCUCCAAAUCCAACAACAUAUUCAUCAACACCAAAAACAACCUCCUUAUAAACUGCGGCAACUUCCUCAUCAUCCCAGGGGCCCUCUCACGAGCUUCAGCCAACGACACCACAAACUCAAUCGCCAAAUGCCUCGUCCCUUCUUCCAAACCCUCAGCCUCCGCAACCUGCAACAUCGACCCCACCACAUCCACCAACUGUUUCCUCAAAAACCGUGGCUCAGUAGCCGCCAACUCAAUCAACAACUCCAACGCCUCCUGCGCCGAUGACUCAUUACCCUUAUUCAGAGCCUCAGUCAAAGUCCUCAUCAUCAAAGGCAACAAAUCAAGAAACCUCUCCUUCUCACCCAAACUCGGCAAACAGUUCAUAAUAAAAUUAACAGUCGCCUCCAAAGCCGCAAUCCUCAAAUCAAAGUUAUUACUUUCUAAAAACUUCGAAAACACCUCGUGCAAAGUAUCGCCAUGAGCAAUUAAAACUUCACCGACAAACUGACUCAUCCGCGACAAGAUCAACAGCGCAGACUCCUGAAUUUUAUCAUUGAAUGUAACCAAACACUGGAAGAUAAAAGGAAUGAGUUCAGGCCAGUCCCCGUCGGGUAAUACGGAGGCGGCAAGUUCCGAGACGGCGUCGCAUAUCUUUUUUAUUAUGGACUUGUUGGUUUCGUUUUGGAGUUGGACUAAGAGAACGGAUUUGAGAUUGGCUUGUGUGGAGGGAGCGAGGCGCGUGAAGAUGAAGGAGGUGGAAUCGUCGCGCGUGAGGUGUUUACGAAGGAGGAUUGCUGACAUCGCGCGGCACUCGGGGAGGGAAGACGAGGAGAGCAUGCGGGAGAGGUUUAAGGCGAGGGCGUCGGGGUGGGACUGGCGGAGGUGAGAGAGGAGGACUUCGGCGUGGGAGCGGUGCUCGUUGGAGGAUGACAUGAGGUUGGAUAUUAGGGUUUCGAAAUGGGCCGGGUUCGGACCGAGGAGGAGGGCGAGCUCCUGCUGAGUUGAAUCAGUAGUGGCCAUGGCCGAGUUAAUUAUUAGUUUGUUAUUUUAAUUGGGGUUUUAGAGGGGAGUUGAAAAUUGGAAGAGGAGGAUGGCGGGAGAUGAGUGGGUGGUUAUAUUGAAUGAAGAGACAAGUAAAAGAAAAUGGAGGUUUUUAAAUGAAAGGACUAAGGGAGGGUUUGUUUGAUUGGUGCUGUCCAGUUUUCUAUGGUACGGUUCGGUGCAAUGAACAAUGAGAUUGUGCCACCAGCCACGUCAAUUGCGCGUGAAUAAAACUUUAAAAGUCGUCUUUUUCGGAGAUAUUUUUAUGGUAGUUUUAACUUUGGGAGUGUAUAUUUCCAAGUUCCAACCCCAUUAGCCUAAUUUUUUAAAAGUAAGUAAAACAAGUUGAUAUUAUUUUUAAAUAUAUAAAUCAAUCAAAAUUUUAAAAACUUAGUUAAUUAAAUCUUUCUUAUUACUUUUAUAUUUGGGUGUCUUUGACCAUUAAAAAUUUAAUAUUAUUUUAAAAUAAUUUUUAUUUGAUUAUUUUACCAUUAUAAUAUUAAUAACUUAUUCAAAUAAAUAUAAACUCUUAUAUCUAAUAGUUUAAGUAUUUAAAUUUAUUGGUUAAAUCUAUAAACUUUUUCUUUAUUUAAAAUUUUUAAAAAGAAUGUGGAUUAAUUGUAAUUAUAUUUUGGAAGUGGGGUGGGUUUACAAAAAUUAUGAAUAGAAAAUAGGGAAAUUAUCAGACAUAUACCCUUAAAUGACACCCGUAUCAAACGUAUGUGAACACUUUUCAAGUAUAUCACUUGUAUACCCUAAGUUGACAAAACACUUCUGUCGUCCACCAAUCCGUUAACUUUCGUUAGAAAGUUAACAGAAUUGUGACAAAUUGAUUAUUUUGCCCUUGAAACUCGAAAUGAGGUAAAAAUAUAAAUUUACCCCAAAAAUUAACGUAAAUUUUCAAUACACAAUUUUUUUUAUUUUGUUAUUAACAAUACAUUUUUUUGAUUAAAAAAAGAAUUAUUAAUGGUACAUAUUAUUAAUAAUUAUCCAUAAAAAAUAUCCAUAUUAUACCAUAAAAAUUUAUUAACAACAUAUUAUUUAUAAUUAUACAUAUUAUACCAUAAAAAUUUCCAGUCGGAGCUUGGAGGAGUAGAUCUUCAAAAAUUUAAUUUAAAUUUUGGAGGAGUAGAUUCGGUUGUAAAGUAGUUUUUUUAGCAAUUAUUAAUAAUUAUCCAAUAAAUGGGAUGACAUGUCAUUUUUAUCAAUAUAUAUCAUAUGACAUGUCAUUUUUUACUAGGUAAAUGGGAUGACAUGUCGUUUUUUUAAUCAAAGUUUCGUCAAUCUUAAAAGACUAGAUUACCCUUAUGAUGUAAGCGCUUGCGAACAGCAAUUAACAGAUUGGUGAACGGCAUAAGUAUUUUGUCAACUUAGGGUAUACGAGUGAUACACUUAAAAAGUGUUCACAUACGUUUAAUACGGGUGUCAUUUAAGGAUAUAUGCCUGAUAAUUUCCUUAGAAAAUAUUACCACCCUUAUAUUGUUAAAGUAAAAUUUCACUCUUUCACCUUCAUAUAUUUACAAACGUCAAGAUAGUUCCAAAUUCAUUGUAAGUAUACACUUUACCCUUACGCUCUAUUGUUUAAGCAAACUGAUGGAGAUAGAGCAUAGGGGUGUCAAAAAAACCCGCCCGGACCGGAUCCGGCCCGGACUCGGCCAAUCCGGUCCGGGCAAAAUUCGGACCGCAUAUAUUGAAAAAGCGGAUCUGGGUUUCAGAAUUUAAAACCCGGACAUUUCCGGGCACGGUCCAGGUUUAGCACCAAAAACCCGGAACCCGGACCCGUUUUCCGAAUAAAUUUAACAAAAAAAAAAAAACGAAAACCAGUUACCCAAACCCAAAUCGCAAAACACCCAAAUCCAAAAAUCCAUAAUUCCCCAAAUCGCAAAACACCCAAAGCCAAAGGCAUAAGCAGCGACGCUGAGACUGCAGCACGAGUUGUGGAAGAAUUUAGACAGCAAGAACCGGAGGAUUCGGAGGAUAUAUUCGACAUCAACUGGGAGCGGGAGCGGCAGCAGGAGGAGGAGGACAGGAGGGGAAGCAAUUUUGAUGAUGAUGUGGUGUUGUUCUCGCAACAGAAGCACGAACAAGAAGAAGAAGAAGAAGAAGAAAAAGAAGAAGAAGAGGAAGAAGGAGAAGAAGAAUUUGAGUUUGCAGUUGUUUGCAAUAAGCAGCAAGAGUGCUCGUCCAUCACAGCGGAAGCAUGCCGUUUAUGAAUGAGGAGAAUAGCAAUUACCCCUUCGAUUUAUUUCUCCACUGUUUUCAGAGAUAGCAUGAAAUCAAAAGACAAAUAUCUGAUUUAAAAUAUUUUUUUUUGAAAUAAUUGUUUGCGGGCUUAGAAGCCCGGAAGACAAAACCCGGACCCGGGACACGCCGGGCUCAAGCCCGGACCGGACAUGCAAAAGCCGGGUUUUGUCCGGGUCCGGAUUUCAAUUUUUGGCGUCCGGUCCGGUCCCGGGUUGCACCAAACCUGGACCGGACCCAGGUUUUGCCAAGCCUAAUAGAGCACCUGAGAAAAAAAUGAAAGUAAAAAGGAGGAAGUAAAAUGAAAAAUAGUUUCAAAGUUUUUAAGUGGUAUAUUUUUAACAAUAUUUUUGUCAUGAUUAACACUUAAUACGGUAAAUUGUAUAGGGAUGGAAUGUUGACUCGCAAUAAAUUUAGAGGCAUACUAAAGUUUAUUAAUAAAUAAUGGGAGGGGAGUGAUAUUUACCCAAGAUUUAAAAUCCCGCUAACAUACCACUUAAAAAUGAUAGUGAAUUUUUUUUAAGCUAAAAAUAUUAAUUGAAAAGAAUGUAUAAAAAUUUUCGAAAAACAACUCUAAAAUGCAAUUUCUAUUUUUUGAAAAACAUAUUUAUUCUAGUUAAAUAUUCUAAAAUAUAUGUAAAAUGCAAAGUUUUUACAAAACGAGUGAUGACAAAUUAUAAUUGUUAUGGUUAUCUUAAUCUUGUAUUUAUUUUAAACGCGAGCUAUGCGAUAAAAUGUAAAUUGAUAAUUCAUCAUAAGAUACUUUUUUAAUCUGUUCCCAAAAAGGGGGGGAGCGCAAAGAAGGGUGUAUGUAAAAUUAUCAAACCCAAAUGAAACUUCAAAGUUAAAAAAAUGAAAAUAAAAAUAAAAAUUGAAUUCACUGUUGCUCUGACAAUUUGGUUAUGGAGGGAAAUGCAGUCCGGUAGUCCCGGGUCAGACUCCAGAGGAAUAUGCGUUAGGCUUUUAGCCUUUACAGAUAUGAUAUGAUCAGAUCAGAUCAGACUAUCACCACCUACUCAAUUUGGUCCCACUUAUGAUGAUGAUGGAUUUUGAAGAAUUGAACAUAUGUUUUGGUCCGACGACCCAGUGUGGACCAUCUGAUCUUUUGAAAUAAUCAUGACGGCUGUAAGCCACCAAAGCCUUUAACAUGCGACCUUCACUUGACGGUGAGGUGGUGGCUUCUUUAGUACGUCACUGGAAACCUCAUGCUAAAAACCUAUAUCAGGAAUUUGGACAACUGUAUUGAGUCCAAAUGAGCUUCGGCGUUCUUAGAGAGCUGGGCUUUGGCGCAUCCAAGCGGAACCAAACAGCUCUUAGUGACCACUGGGCCUUCAAUUGUGAGUUUACUGUUUAAUCAUUUAAUUUGAAGUUUUAAUUACUAAUCACUUCUUUUAUUUUCCAAGAAAGGGUAUUUUUGGAAAUACAAUUUUUAUUUAUUUUUUGCAUAGGGCGAUCUCUGGCAUUGUAACUAACAAAAUCAUAUUCUCAAAUGCAAGAUUUUAGAAAGCUACUCUACCUGGCUUUUGAGAAUCAGAAUAUUUCAUAGUCACUUAAAUUAAAACAUUUUUUCCUCAUCCAUCAAAUUAAUUUGUGUAAUCACACUCCAUUUAGUAAAAUAAAUUGUAAUAAUUACCUUAGCGGGGGGUUGAAUAAAGUCUUAGAAUCAUAUAGAGGAUUAGGCAAAAACGAAUUCAAAAUACAGUAUCGUUACCCUUCUGCUGCGUUUACUUUUUGGAUUGAAGUGGGAAUCAUUGGAUUAGGAGUGUGGAGUGGGAGUGAGAGUAGGGUGUUUACUUAUACUAAAUGAAAGUAUGGAUUGUCAAUUAGAAUCCCAAUUAUUUGUUUAUUUUGUCUUGGAUUGGGAGUAAAUUAUUUUAAAUUACAAUUUUAUCCUUAUGUACAGAAUUAUAAUUUGUAAUUAAAAAAUUAAUAAAAAAUAUAUUUGGAAAAUAAAAUAAAUAUUUUAUUAUAUUUAUAAAUUAAUAAUAAUUACUAAUAUUCUUAAUUAUGUAAAUCAUAAUUUUUUAUUAAUUUUAAUUUAAAUUAUGUGAAUAAAAAUUUUUAUUAAAUAUUAUUUAUUUAUUUUAUUAAAUAUUAUUUAUUUAUUUUAUUAAAUAUUAUUUAUUUAUUUUAAUUUUAUAAGGAUAAAAUGGGAAGAGGGGAGAGUGGAUUCCCACUCCCACCUCCCUCAAUGGGAGUGGGAAUCCCACUCCCCACUCCAAAUUUGGGUGGGACCCACGGAUUCCUACUCCCACUCUCCCCAUUUUUAAGGUAAGUAAACACUGGAGUGGGAGGAAUUCACAUUCCACACUCCCACUGCAGAAAGUAAACACUACCUUCUAGUACUUCCCACCCAUGGAAGUAUAAUUACUAAAUGGAUUUAUACAGCAAUGUCAAAGAGACUUCAAAUGUUUCAGAUUCUUUUUAUUCAGUCAACACAGGAAUCACAUCAACAUUAAAUCCACAUCUCAUGUUUUCCCCUUGCGUUUGGAUAUAAUAGUAUUGAUUUAUCUAACUUUGUUCGUGAUAAUCACUCGAAAGCAUAUCCUCGGACAUAGCUCAAUUGACUACAAAUAUGGGUGAGAUUUCAAAUUUGCAUUCAAACAUUUUAAGCCAAAGGCUUGGGUAGGGGGGAGGGGUGUUGUUGUUCUUGAAUCACUCGUGCAAGCACUGUUCUUUUGCUUUUCAAUUUUAAUCAACCAUACAAACCCCCCAUUAUGUUAUGUGAUAAAAAUUGUCAUCAGUACGAAAAUUUCCAAAGCUUUCAAAGCGAUUCUAACAUGUGUUAAAAAUUGUUGAAGAAAGAAAUAUUGUUAUAAAUCUGGAAUUUUUGAACAUUAAUUGGAAAUUCAUAAUGAUUUCAAUCCUUGAAAUAUAUUUUAAUGAAACAAAGUUUUUACAUAAUCCUUGUAAAUUUUAAAUAAACUAGUGUAGUUUGUAAAGUGUCACCACUAGUUGCAUUAGUGGCAUGACUUAUUGUAGGGACGACAAAGCAAAUAAACGAAUCGAAUUUGAAUUGAAUCACAAACGAAUGGGUCAACACUCUGCUGAUUUAGAUUCAAUUUGUUUAUUAAUCGAAUAUUCAAUUCGAUUUGUUUAAUUCGUUUAGUAAAAUUAAUAAAUGAAUCAAAUGGAAUCUGCAUUCAUUUACUGUUUAUUUAUCCUAUAACAAAUCCAUAACGAAUUGAAUUAAAUAUGAAUUUAUUUACAAAUAUAAUUAAUAAACAAAAGUUAACCAAAAUAAAAUAUGAAAAUACCACAAAUUUAACAUCCUACAGAGGGUUAAUCUCAUUUGGAUGAUACAUUUUUCGAAAAAUAUAGAAAAGUUAAUAGAAAUUUUAAAACUAGGCAAACAGAUGACAAAUCGUUAAUUUUUACCGUUAAUUAUAAUGAGGUAAGGGUAAAAUAGGAAUAAUUGAUACAAAUAAUAAAGAGCAAAUGGUUAAUGACAUUUUAGCGACACAUGUUUUGACAUCUAUCAUACAUGUGACUAUUGUUUGGAAAAACACUCUUACACAUAACAAACUGUUAAGUUCUGUCGUUAACUCUGACGAUACAAAAAUAUUGUAAUUGAUAGAGAAUAUGACAAAAGGAUAUUGAUAGAAUUUUGCUAAAAAAAUAUAUUGGAUACCUUUGUUGCUAUUGGACUGGGUAGAUAGAUUGGUUGCUAUGAACAUGAUUUUAAAAUAACAAAUGUUCACUAAGCCAUCAUAUUGGAUUCUUGAAGAUUUGAGUCUAAUAUUUGCAAAAUUAAUGCUAAUGAGAUAAAAACAAAUAUUGGAUUUAUGUCAUGCUUCAUGAUUAGUGAGAGAUUUGCUUCUUUCUUUUAUGUUAAAGAAUUAGUUUGGUGAUUUUUUCUUUAAACAUUAGCUUAAUUUAACCCCCAAACAAGUUUAUAUUUAGAUUUAAUUUAUAUUUUUAUAAAAGAAAAUUAAAAAUCAAUGACUAGCAAUAGAAAUAUCAUUUUCUAAUUAACCGAUUACUUUCAUUAGCGUUAACAAAGAAAGUUAAUGGUUUGUCACCUAUAGGAGUAUUUUCAAAUAAUUUGUCACUUGUGUGAUAAAUGUUGAAACACGUGUCACUUAGGUGACAUUAACACUAAUAUUUUUUUUUUUAAAAUCACAUGGGGUAGAUACGUUAUUUCACCAAAGGCCAAUCAAUUUUGUUAAAGUUAAUGGAAAAGUUAAAGAUUUGUCACAUAUUUUCCCUUUUUGAUAGUUGUCCAAAAAGAAAAAAAAAGUCAUAAACGAAUCGAAUGCAAUCUACCCAUUUAAAAUUCGUUUAUUAUUUAUUUAAUUAAAUUACUUAUUAAUCUUUAAUAAAUAUGAAAAAAAUUUAAAGUUUGAAGGUUAAUCUAGUAAUUAUAAAUGAUAAUAAGUUUGUAUUUUGGAAGAGGAUUAAUGACACCUGGAUGAUAUGGGUGGAUAUGGGUUGGGUUGGGUUGGAUAGGGUUUAUCAAGACCAAACCCAACCCAUUAUUAAAUGGGUUGAAAUAAAAUCAAUCUGAUCCAAUUAAAUAAACAUGUUUAACUCAACCCUUAGAUAAUCGGAUUGGGUUUGAUUGAUUGGGUUGAUGAUUUGAAGUUCAAAUCAAAAUUAAAAAUUAAAUAAAGAAAAUAUAUGAAACUUGAAAUAAAAUUUAUUGAAAUCAAAUAUAAAUAUAUUAUAACAUGAAAAUUGUAUUCACGGUAUGGUAUUUGACAAAAAAAAAAACUGAAAAACCAACUACAUUAAAAUCAAGAAAAUUUCAAUAAUGAGCUUCUAAACUUUAUUAUCGGCUUCCCACAUCUCUUUUUUGAAUUCCAAAUUCAGACCUUUUAGAUAAUUAGCUAGUAUCACAUCCUGCAAUAAAAUGAAAUUGAUUUAUAAUUAUGUACUGCUAACUUGUUAAUUAUUUACUAAAAAAUAAAGAGAAAUAGAAACUAACUUACUUUCAAAAUUAAAUUUAUAAGAUAAUAAAUUUACCAGCAAUUAUAUGCUACUACAUCAAUCAAUAGCCACAGGCUUAGCUGGAAUAAUUACCAACUCUAAAACAAAUAUAUAUUAGUGAAAAAUUAGUUUAAGAAACAAUAAAUAAACAAGACAAAAAAUAUACAAUACACACACACAUAAAAAAUAUAUUACUUAUUUCAAGUGAUUCAUAAAAUUAUUUCUCCUCCAUUGAUGGCUCACUAUCUAAUGCAACUAGUGAAUAUCGUAACCAAUUUUGUGAGCAUAUUAAAGCUUUUAUUGUUUUUUGAUAUAAUGAACUUCAAAAUAGAUAAAGAAUACGCCCUCUAGCACCAAAUGCAGACUUAAAAGCUACUGUUGAUACUGGAAUUGCAAACACAUCUCUUGCAACAUGUGAUAAAAUUUGAUAUUUCGAAGAAUUAACUUUCCACCAUUCUAAAAUAUCAAAUUUAGUAUCACAUGGAUCUUCAUUGGGCUCCAACAUAUGCCUAUAUACCUUUUUUUUAUUAUUAUUAAAACGUGUACCUUCUCUUUCAUUUUCUUCAACUUCAAUAGCAUUGCUGUGUGAAAAUCCUUAUCACCAUUUUCCUUUUCCACAUCAACCACAUUAACCAAAGGUGCAUCAUUAGAAACUUGGUUAUUGGCAAUUAUGUGACUAUCUCUAAGGUAGAAUUCAUAAAGGCGUGACAUAAGCCCUUUGAUUCCUUUUGCCACCUCUUCUACUUUUGUUUCACCAUACAUUUCACCAAUAAAAAAUGUAACAUAAUCCAAUUUAUACCUUGGAUCAAGAAUAAUUGCAAAAACCAGCAAUGUGUUAACGUUUUCAAUUGUGCCCGAAUACUUAUCAUACUUCUUUUUUCAUAUUAGCAGUCAUACUACCCAAUAAAAAGUCUUCACUUUCAGCCAAAGAUGUCAACUCAUAUUGAAUUAAAUAUAAGUCAUGAAAGUACAUGUGAGAAGUAACAGAUAAAGAAGCCCUAAAUUUUAAAGUAACUUUAUAAAAAGACUCCAAAAUUUCACAAAUACUUCAACAUUAGCCCAGUCCAUAUCCUUUGCCGGAUCCUUCUUCUUUUUUUCCACUGUCACCUUCUGAAAAAUAUAUCAUAUAAGGUUCAUCAUCGUCUACCAACCUAUCAAAAGUUUUUUGAAAUUUUAAAGCACUUGUUAACAUCAGGUAAGUAGAGCUCCACCAGGCACAUCUAAUGUCGCUAUACUUUUACUUUCAACUUUUUUCAUGCUCACAACAUUUCUUAAAUUUUUGUAACCAUGAGGUUGAAGAUCUUACAUAUCACACGACUUUGCGAAUGCCAGCAAUUGAAUCAUGCAUGUCUUUCGUCCCAUCAGCUAUAAUUAAGUUAACAAUAUGAGCACAACAUCUUAUGUGUAUAAAUUCCCCAUCUAACACUAGGCAAUCAUUAUUCCAAUUUUGUUAGUCUCUUUUUAACAUAAUUUAUAGUCACAUCAUUUGAAGUUGCAUUAUAAACCGUGAUUGUAAAGAUUCUCUCAAUACCCCACUCUAGUAAACAACUCUCAAUCAACUUCCCUAUUGUCUCUCCUUUAUGGUUGGGCAUUGUAGAAAAACUCAAUAUUCCCUUGUGUAACUUCCAUUCAUAAUCUCAAUAAAAUGGGCAGUGAUUGCCAUAUAAUUAAUACUUUGAAUAGAAGUCCAACAAUCAGUGGUUAUACAAACUCUUUGGGCAUUUUCAAUAAUUUAAUUUCUCAUCUAAGUAAAGCUGAUAAAUAUCCAUGGCAAUUGUUCUUCUGAAAGGAGGAGUAAAUUUCAGACAAGCAACCCUACAAAAAUAUCAAAACCCUUCCUUCUCAACAGAGCUAAAAGACAUCUCAUCAAGAAUUACCAUCCUAGCUCAUACCUUUCUACAUUCUUCCUUACUAAAUCCCACAGAUACUAGACUACCAGGAGCACAUAUAUAGGUAAUUUUUGCAUUCACCAAAACCUUUUGCUUUUUAUCCUCUCCUGCCACAAUAUUAUUAUAUUUUGGACAUCUAAAUUUCAAAUGAUUCAACAUAUUUUUAGUCCCAAAACCUGAUUCACAAGAACAAUCUUUUUCACAAUAAUUACGCUUACAUUUAUUACCUCCGUCAUACUUGGUAAAAUGUUCCCACACAUUUGAUGGUGAUCUCGUAAGUUUUCGCUUUUUACGCUCGACAUUAGGAUUUUCAGUUACAGGAACAUUAACAUCAUUCACUUGCAAAGUUGAAUUGUGAUCCAUUUAUCAAAAACAAUAACAAUGAAUGAAUAAAUAUUGAUAACAGUAAAACAAUCUAUAUUUAAAUAAAGAAUCAUUUUUAUAAUGUUUUCAUGACUUGUCUUCUUAUGGCUGUGAGUUCCAACUUCUAAUAUUCUAUAGUCGAAACAUGCAUGUUCAUAAAAUAAAAAAGUAUCUAGAAUAAAUAUAUAAGAGAAAAUACUUACUUGUCUGAGAAUAGAGAUUUGAGAAUUGAGAGAGCGAGUUUAGAUUUAGAAUUAGAGUUUAGAGUAGUAAAUACAAUAAUGAAAUAGUCUCUUUCAUACAAAUAAUAAAAAAGGAUAAAAAAUAGAUUAGCCAUUUGGAUCUUUAGGGUUUUGCAAUUAAAAUUAUUAUUAUUAUUAUUAUUAUUAUUAUUAUUAUUAUUAUUAUUAUUAUUAUGGGUUGGAUAGGGUUUGAUGAGUUCAUCAUAAUUAACCCAACCCAAUUAUAAAUUUGGAUUAAAAAAAUUGACCAAACAAACCCAUAAAAAGCCAAUCAACCCGUCAAAAUUUAAUUGGGUUGGGUUGGGUUGAGUCCAUUGAUUUUUCCCACCCCUACAAAUAAAUGAAUCAAAAUCCUCAAACAUGAUUCAAUUGGUUUAAUUAGCAAAUCGAAUUGAAUUUCUGCUGUACGGCCAAGGCGGAUGUAUUAUUAUUAUUAUUAUUAUUAUUAUUAUUAUUAUUAUGGGUUGGAUAGGGUUUGAUGAGUUCAUCAUAAUUAACCCAACCCAAUUAUAAAUUUGGAUUAAAAAAAUUGACCAAACAAACCCAUAAAAAGCCAAUCAACCCGUCAAAAUUUAAUUGGGUUGGGUUGGGUUGAGUCCAUUGAUUUUUCCCACCCCUACAAAUAAAUGAAUCAAAAUCCUCAAACAUGAUUCAAUUGGUUUAAUUAGCAAAUCGAAUUGAAUUUAGCUAUUUAUUAAACGAAUCAAUUUUUUGAAACCCAAACCCAUUUAAUUCAUUUUGAAUUGAAUCGAAUAAAUGAAUACUGACCCAAAUUACCAUCCCUAAUAUCCUUAAAUUAAAAUCUAGAUAAAAUAAGCAGGCCAUUGCAUAUAAUAACAAUAUUAAACUAGACAAAAAAAUUUAGAGAAAUGAUAGACUUAUAAAUUAUUGUACAAAUUUAUGUGGUAUAAUUCAAUUUUUUUUAGAUAAAAUAGCUCUUGGCAUAUAAUUUCUUUUUGUAUUUUUAUCCAGUCAAUAAAUUUAUAUUACAUUAAUUUAUACAAGAAUUUAUAAUUCUAUUAUCACUCGAAAAAUUAAUACAUAUAAAAAUAAGGUAAGAACAAGUCUAGUUUACACUGUUAAUUGAAAAAUACAUAAAAAAAGAUUAAUUCUACCCAAUUUUAAAUUAUUUGUUAUGUUGGCGCUCCAAUUUUUUAUUAAUAUUUUGUAAUUUAUGUAAAAAGUAGACCAAUGGUAACCUUUUGUUUAUCUUGUAAAAAAAAUUGUGUGGUUAUCUUCACUCUAAAAUUUAUCAUGAGGUGAGAAUAUUUGAACUCACUAAAUUUCUCUCUAUAUCCACCUAAAUAAAUAAAUAAAUAUGUAUGUAUGUAUGUAUGUAUGUAUGUAUGUAUGUAUGUAUAAACAUAUAUAUUAGAAUUUUCAAAAUUUUAAAGUUACCAUUCACUCAUUUUCUCUCUUUACUUUAAGAUUUAUAUUUUAUCUCUCUAUUAUCACGUUAUACAUCUUGAAAUUUCAGUUUUAUUCUUUUGGCCAUUGAUUAUUUCUUUCUUAAGUAAAUCAAACUCCAUUUCUUUCUUCUUAUUACCAUUCUUUUCUUUUUCUUCAUCUUAGAUUUGUUGUUUCAAGGACAAUUAUGAAACCCAAAUAAACUUUUAUAAUUUCUAGGACUUGUAAAAACUUAUUGAUAUUCUUUCUUUAUUGUAGGUUUAUUAAGUAAUUUUAUAAAAAAAAUUGUUAUGAAAAUAAAAAUUUAUUUAAUACAAGGAUUAUAAAGAAAAUUAGUGGGUUCAAAUAGUUUCAUCCUUUAUCAUGAGCACCUAAAUUUUUAUAGUUUUUUUAUUACAAAAAUAUCCUCAAUGGAAUUUAUUAUUUAGACAAUUUAAUUUAAGCAUAACUGCUGUUGCUCAUUAUAAGACUUAGCACACCCAUCCUAUCCAAUUAUCAAACUCAUUUUCAAGCACAGAAGAAACAAUUUCAAGUCCAAAUGCAUCCAUUUGAUGCAGGUUCAACUCAAGGGUUUGGAAUGCUCUCCGUUCUGGGGAAAUGGACUUGAACUUGAAAUUGCAUCUUCUGUGCUUGAAAAUUAAUGCUGGUUUACUUUGCUGCAGCUGUUGAAUUUUUCUAAAUUUGUAACAUUAUCAAACUGUUGAUUUUCAAACUUAGUAAAUCAUCAGAGAAUAAUAAUGUUUACAUUUGAUGAUUUUCUUUUAAUACUUGUUUACUAUUCUUAUUACAUGGUCGUUGACUAUCAAAUUGGGGAUUUUGGCACCACUACUAAUGAUAAAGGACUUCAUGAACAGGAGAAACAGCCGUGUUUUUUGUAGCUUGAUAUUUAAACAGCAGGAACAAACCAGAACCAUAUCAAUUCUGCAUAUGGUCAUUCUAAUCUUUAUGUUAUUUUCUUGGCAUUAAAAUAUUAUUUUUUAUUGUAUAUUGUAUAAAAAUAAAAGAUAAUGUUAGGAUUCUCAAUAUUUAAGUACAAAUUACAAACCAUUCAAAAUAAAUAAAGGGUUCCAACUUCAAGUAAAAAAACCUAGAUCCUUGACCCUUGUUGAAUAAUAUAUGAGUUAAAAAGACCCAAGAAUUCCCAACGUCAUAAGACCAAAGUGUAUACGCAAGGGCCUUAAUUUCAACUUUAGUAUUUUACAAUUAAGUAAAAAAGAAAGCAUUCUCCUUUCAUAUUUGUUCUUUUUUUUUUUUAUAUACUAAUAUAUUAUAAGAACAAUUCUACUAAUAUUUACAGUUAAAAAUCUAUUUUCUAUCCUCAUAUUAUAGCGAAGGAAUAUCUAUUAUGGCAUAAUUUAAAUUUCUACCCUCACAUAACAAAGAGAUAUUUAUUUUAUUAUUAAAUUUCGACCCUCACAUUAUAUCGAAGAAAUAUUUACUCUAUCCAGUAUUAUAAAAAAAUAAUUUCACCUUAUCUAUUUUUAUUGAGAGGAAAAUUAAGUUCUAACUAUUAUUCGGACUCAAACCUAUGCACCACCGUUAAAGUACACUCAAACCGUAAGUGCAUGGUCGUGGGAAUGGGCUCGCAGCCCAUUGGCCUUUUAUAUUUUGUUCUUUUCAACCUGAAAAAAUAAAUUAAUUAAUUGAAACCUCACCGUUUGUCUUUGAACCUUCGACUGGAGAGGCCGCCUGCAAUUUCUCGACUUCCCACUAAACUCAAAAGCCUCAACUCACUCAACUCACUAUUAUCACAUACCAGAUCUAGGGUUUUGCUCUUAUCGUGAGUUAUAGAAAUGGCUAUUUCAUCACAAACGCUUGAUAUUCUAGGUGAACGCCAAGCCGGCCAAGAUGUUCGCACUCAAAACGGUACUCGCCUUCUCUCACUCUAAAAAUUUGUUCGCAUAUCAUUCAUUUUCUUUCAAGUUUUGACUGAAGAUUGUUUUGUUUCGUUUAUAUGUGUGUAUAUAGUGAUGGCGUGUCAAGCAGUUGCUAACAUUGUUAAAUCCUCGCUCGGUCCUGUUGGACUCGACAAGGUAUUUUUCAUUUCUGUUAAUACUGCAAAAGGUGCAAUUUGAAUAGCUUAGUUGAGUUAUUGAGUGUGUGUAUUUCAUUAAAAGCUUUUUUUUUGUGGAUUAAUUGCAGAUGCUUGUUGAUGAUAUUGGUGAUGUAACAAUAACUAAUGACGGUGCUACAAUUCUGAAGAUGUUAGAAGUUGAGCAUCCGGCUGCCAAGGUAGGAUAUAAUAGUUACUUUUUUUCUCAUUGUAUACUAUAUGUUUGCUAUGAUUCUUAUUUAUUCACAGUUCCUUAUGUUUGAUUUUUCUUUUCUGAGGUGACAGGUACUUGUGGAGUUGGCUGAGCUUCAAGAUAGGGAAGUUGGAGAUGGAACUACAUCAGUGGUUAUUGUCGCUGCGGAGUUGCUGAAGGUAAUUGAAGCUAGUGUUUUGCUAGAUGAUAUGCUGAUACUUUUGUCUUCAUUCUCAGCUUUAAACUCUUACGGAUUAGUAGGAAAUUUUUUAUAUGGGAGUAUGCGGACUUGGUGGUAAUUUAUGAUUUUAUCAUACUUUUUGCAGAGGGCUAAUGAUCUGGUUCGGAAUAAGAUUCACCCAACAUCUAUUAUCAGUGGAUACAGAGUGAGUUACUCUUGUUUAACUCGUUCGUUUCAUUAUAGAUUUAUCCUCCAUAUUUUCUCAUUUUUUGAUCAUAUGGAUAGCUUGCAAUGAGGGAAGCAUGCAAGUAUGUUGACGAAAAGUUGGCAGUGAAGGUAAGUCUCCGGUAUUCAAUCUAUAUGUCUGAUAAGCAGUAAAUCAUUGAUUUAAUUUUUUAUUUUUAUAAUUAAGCAUUCUGGUAUUUGUUUCAUUGGUUAGCGUCUUUCAUGGUUUCUUUUUUACAGGUGGAAAAGCUUGGAAAAGAUUCUUUGGUAAAUUGUGCCAAGACAAGCAUGUCCUCGAAGUUGAUUGGUGGUGACAGCGACUUCUUUGCUAAUUUGGUAUGCUCUUGUCGCAAAAAUAUAGAUUUUCAUUGAAACAUAUUCAUAUUCCUUCAUGCCUUGUUAUAAGUUAAUCCCACUUGUCACUGAGCCGUAUUUUGAUGCUCCAGGACAAUAUUUUAUUACUGCUACAUCUAUCUUUAUCUUAUCAUAUCCAAAAAUGAAAGAAGGGGAAAAAAAAACGUUAAUCUGUAUUAUGUAUCAUGUAUUUCAAUUGUAAUUAAUGUUUUGAUCUCUUUCUAGGUUGUAGAAGCAGUUCAAGCAGUAAAGAUGACUAAUCAACGAGGUGAAGUCAAGUACCCAAUCAAGGUUGGUAUUUUAUGAUUGUUCAAUAUAUUACCCGUAUGUCGAUCCUAUUAUGGGAUUGAAAGAUGUUUUAUGUUUCUUUUCUUGGAGUUUCAUUUUCCAACAUGUAAAGUACUUCUUUAUUUAUUUAUCUUUUUGGUGCUGCUUUUGUUUGCAAAAGUUGCAAUACUAAUAGUUACUUUCUGCACAUUCCAGGGGAUCAAUAUUUUGAAAGCUCAUGGCAAAAGUGCCAGAGAUAGCUACUUUCUAAAUGGGUAUGCUCUUAACGCUUUUCGUGCUGCUCAAGGAAUGCCUCUUAGAGUUGCCCCUGCAAAGAUUGCCUGUCUUGACUUUAAUCUCCAGAAGACAAAAAUGCAAUUGGGUGUCCAAGUCUUAGUCACCGAUCCGAGGGAACUUGAGAAAAUUCGUCAAAGGUGAUCUGACAGUGGGUUGUAAUUUACAACAUGGAUUUUAUUAUGCUGUUCACUCUUUUAAAACAUUCUAUAUCUGAUUGCAGCCAGUUUGAUUGGUUUUGCCCUGUAUAUUUAGAUAUGGGAGCAUGCAUGGUGAUAGUGUGGUCGUAUCUCUCCCUUUUUGAACCUAUUAAUUAUAGAAUGGAAGAUUGUGUUAUCAGAUUAAAAAGAAACAACUAUGAACUUAUGGCUGGACUAUGAAUUGUGUUAUCAGAUUAAAAAGAAACAACUAUGAACUUAUAGCUGGACUAUGACCGAAGAAAAAUUGAAGGUCUUUGUGUCUUUGAACUGCAAAUAGCUUGGAUGAUUCAGUCACUUUAGUUAUUGAUUCCUUUGUUUGUGAAUACUGCAUCUUCUCUUCAAGCAGCAGUUGGGUUAUAGCUUCAGUUGUUUUGUUCUAUUUUCCUUUCUUUAAUGGACACUUAAUUUAUGUUAAUCACUUAAUCGGUCUCUGAUGAUACCACUGCUUUCACAGAGAAGCUGAUAUGACGAAGGAACGUAUUGAGAAACUUCUGAAAGCUGGAGCCAAUGUUAUUCUGACAACAAAAGGCAUCGAUGACAUGGCACUGAAGGCAAGCCGUUUAUAUUUUUCCCCUUUUGUUUAGUGCCUGCUUAGCCAUGUGACAAUAUUGUGUUAUAUACUCUGCAUUUACAAAUAUCAUGCCUCUAGCUUUAUGGUGUUUUGUCCAAAAAUAUUUCCAAAUGAACUGUUUCUAUGCAAAAUCAAUAAUAUUUUGGGAAAUGUGAUAACCAUGUAAAAUUAGUGAUUCUGCAACAGUGUGCUCAGGAUGGCCUCGUCCCAUGCUUAGCCGGCUGUACUUGUGUGCCUUGUUUUUAUUUCUAGUUUACCUUGUACCAUGUGUGUGAGCCUGGCUUUGUCAUAUGUAUAACAUGCUUUUUUUGUUUGGUUCUCAGUACUUUGUGGAGGCUGGGGCUAUUGCUGUUAGACGUGUUCGGAAGGAGGAUAUGCGACACAUUGCCAAGGCAACUGGUGCAACUAUGGUAUUUUUUUAAACAAGCUCAGUCAUAUCACUGACUUCCAUAACUACUCUAAUCUGCUUUUGACCUCACUAAAUGCUUGUGCUAUCAUUGAGGAAAUGAGCUUAAAGGUUUAUGAUUGAACAAUUCUUAUGUUUUGACUUCUGUAUAGACUCUUCCUGAGCGCUCAGAGUUUAACCUGUUUUUGUUGGAGAAAUGGCCAAAUUGUUUCUGUUAUACUAAAUAACUUGAGUUAAUCCACAUUUGGUCUUCCAUUUUAUGUAUUGGAACCUACAGGACUUUACUCUGCUAACUAAUGAGUGCUAAGGGUAUUUUGCAUGUUGAAGAACCAACCUACCAGACUUGAAGUUGAGAUCCUAUUUUCAAGUCAUUUGUGUGGUUGACAUUAGUAUUUUGCAUGUUGAAGAACCAACCUACCAGACUUGGAGUUGAGAUCCUAUUUUCAUGUCAUUUGUGUGGUUGACAUUAGCAUUUUCCUUCAUAGAUGAAUUGAUAUUCUAUUGAGCAUGUUGUUAAUUGGUUGUCAAUUUGUCAGGUUUCAACAUUCGCUGACAUGGAAGGGGAGGAAACAUUUGAUUCGUCACUUCUUGGAUCUGCUGAUGAAGUGGUAGAAGAGCGUGUUGCCGAUGAUGAUGUGAUUAUGAUAAAGGGGACUAAAACUACAAGUGCGGUAUGUGGUUUAAUUUAAUUCGCAUUUAUAAAUUUGGUGACUGCUCAACUUUAAAACCUUUUAUAUCUUUCGGACAUGACUCAUUUUGGGUAAAGUUCCCAGUACAUCAUUUUAGGUAAAGUUCCUAGUAUCAUUUUGAGGUUUCUAUUCAUCUGGAGUGGUAAUCAAGCCUAAGCCUUCAACUCCACCCAACUGCUUUACCAACAGAGUUAAAAGGCAGGGUAGCAACAUUUUCUGUGUUUUUUAUUUGGCCAAUGCAAAAUAAGAAGACAGUUUAUCAAGUUUGAAUUUAAUAUAUAGCAUAUUGGAUUAAUUAUUGAUAAAUGCUUAUUAUUUUGAUUGGUGAAGCCUUUUUUUUUUUUUUUUGGGGGGGGCCUCCCUGUCUUGUUUUUCUCUAGGUUUCCUUGAUACUUAGAGGAGCAAAUGACUAUAUGCUUGAUGAGAUGGAGAGAGCCCUGCAUGAUGCUAUAUGUACUGUCAAGAGGACCCUUGAAUCCAACACGGUAAACUUCAGCACUUUCAGAUUAUAUUCUUCUAUUUACUUUCUGAGUUUUAAAUUGAUACAUUUAAAAUUUAGACUUUUUUCUUCAUGUUUUUUCCAAGUUUAGAUAAUGGAAUAGGAAUAUCUGGUGGAAUGAUAUUGAUUAGGACAUGAGAAACCUAUUAUAGAUAAGAGUAUUGGUUUUUAUGGGCCUUUGCCAUUCAAAGUGUGGGAAAUAUACAUAAAAUGAGCUCCAAAUAUGGAAAUGAUUUGAAUCUGUUUGGCUUCCAAAAUUGGGCAUUGAAUACAGGGAGUACUUAUUGUUAUUCUUGUAUUAACUCUUCUUUGUUCAUUGUUGUAUUGGUAAUGCAGGUGGUGGCAGGUGGAGGUGCAGUUGAGUCUGCCUUGUCUGUCUAUUUGGAAUACCUAGCUACAACGCUAGGAUCCCGAGAGCAGUUGGCACUUGCUGAGUUUGCUGAAUCUUUAUUAAUCAUACCAAAGGUCUAAUAUGAGCUUUGGAGGCUCAAUGCACGAACUUUAAUGUCUUAUUUCCACUUGUCUUAUUAUGUUGAGAUAGUUUUAAUGCUUCUAUGCUGCUGCAGGUGCUUGCUGUAAAUGCUGCUAAGGAUGCGACUGAGUUGGUUGCAAAACUACGGGCCUACCACCAUGCUGCACAAACGAAGGCUGAUAAAAAACACUUGUCUAGGUAUUCUGCUUUAUGGAUUAUGGUUCAUCCUCAACCAAUAGCAUACCUGAUUGUGUUUCUAUUCUCUAUUGUGUAUUUGAUUUUGCUUUGUCAAAUUGAUGUAGCAUGGGACUGGAUCUUGCAAAGGGGACCAUUCGUAACAACUUGGAAGCUGGAGUCAUAGAGCCUGCAAUGAGCAAAGUGAAAAUUAUUCAGGUAAUGAUCAUGAAACACAUGAAUGCUUUAGUUUAUGGUGAAGUUUAUCUUCACAUUUUCCCCUGAUUUUGUUUUGUUUCUUAAAAUCUGGUCAACAGUUUGCAACGGAAGCAGCAAUCACAAUUCUUCGUAUUGAUGAUAUGAUCAAGCUUAUGAAAGAUGAAAGUCAGAAUGAAGAGUAGGAUCAGUUUGUCUGAAUUUAAAAUUGCACUAUUUUUGGAUUUCGGGCUGUUUUUGGAUGAAUUGUAAAGGGCUUAUAGUUUACAUUGUGCCGAUUCAGUCCUACCAGAACUAAUUUUGUUCACUGAUUGUGGCCCUUGUAAUUUUCCUGUGAUAGAAUUUUGGCACUUACGAUUCAAAAAAUUUCUCCAUAUGCAAAACUCUCUCCCGAGAGCUUGAUGUAGGAAGCAAAAUCUCGAGCUUGCCCCCAAAAAUUUAAGACCUUAUCAAGAGGCUGGUAGUUGCAAGAACUGAUGCUUUUUAUUAUUUUCCCUUUGGUGUAAAGGUUGUUUGGUUACGUUUUUUAUUCGGUUUAAUUGGACAUUUUAAUAGCCUUUUUACAUUACAACGAUAUGGAAUUGAAUUGUCCAUCUGUGAAUUUUUUCUAGACAAAUAAAAAUUUUCAAGAACGCACGUUUACCAACCAUCCGUUGUAGUCUAGUCGGUUAGGAUAUUCGGCUCUCACCCGAAAGACCCGGGUUCGAUUCCCGGCAACGGAAAUUUUUUUUUUCUCUUUUUCUAUUAUUUGAAGUUUUAAAGCUCGAAUCGGGUUUGUCAGAAAUUUUGCUACUUGUAAGACAUAUUCGUCUAGUUUUAUUACUAUUUUAAUCCAUCAAUUACUAACAUAAUGCGAGUAUAUGUCUGGUUUUUUAUUACAUUUGGUUCACUCAUAAAAAAAAAGUCAAAUGUAGCCAUUUUUUUAAGGUAAUUUCUGACCAACCUUAAUUAAAUUAAUUCCGUAAAAUAAUAUGUCAAAUUUAUGUCUAAACUUAGACAGAUAUGCUCAUCAUGUGUCAAUUAGAUUUUCAAGUCUUUAAACUUAUUAUCGAAGUACUUAUCAAACAACGUAUGUAUUUGAAUUUUUUGGUAUGACAUCUCAAUCACUGAAAAGCUUCGUAACUAGGCACCAUUCUCUAAUCAAUAAACAUAUCAAAUGCUCUUCAAUAUGAAAACAAAGCUAAUCUUCAUUGAUUUCUUCACGUGCCACUUGCUUAAGCAAUAAGUUGUGGAUUAUAACACUACUGAAUGCAUAACUCUUCAAAUUGAUAAAAUGCCUGAAAAUAUAAUUCUUAAAUAACAAUAAUUGUUUUCGCGUUAACUUACUCCAGAUAGUUUUGAGGACAUUUUUAAAUUUUGAUGUCUCUGCAAUAUAGCCCAGGAAAUGAUCAUCAAAGCCUAACUUCAUCAUGCACAUAUCGUUCCUCAGUGCCAGUCAAUUACACUUUGCCAAAUUAUUUUUCGCAAUGUAUCUAUAACAAAAUCCAAAAUUUGUUUGUUAUUAAAAUUUAUAAAAUAAUAAUAAUAAAUUAAUAAAUUAAUAAAAAUUAUGAAAAAAAUACAAGAAAUCUGUUUUUGUGCUCGGUGCUACCCAUCGCAUAAAAACACAAUUGUAUGACAGAAUAUCCGUGCGAUGGCCAGCACUCAUGGCACCCAAAAGUCUUGCAAUGGCCAGCCCAUUGCACACUCUCAAGUCUCAAACAACCACCACCACCACAUUAUGCUCAAACAACUACCAACAUUACUCUCAAAUUUCAUUCUUAACUAAUGAAAUAGAGCAUAAAGAAAAUAGCUAAUCUUGGUUCUUCUCACUGCAUAAUUGAUGUUAGUGAUUUUUGCCACCAUUGACUCUAAUUUCAGUGAUUUGCUGAGAGGGACUUGGGUGACAAGAACGAUUUUGGUGAGAGAUUUGACAGGAAGCCACCAAUGACGGGUGGAUUACAUUGCAUUGAGAGAGAAUUCAGUGAGAAGAACAAUUUCGGCUGAUGGUUUGAUAGGAGUAUUUUGGACUAAUUAUAAUAGAAAAAAAAUUAGGGGAGUCAAAUUUGAAAAACACUAAAAUUUUGUGAUUAUUUUAGUAAAUUUCCCGAGAUUUUCGGGGACCUCUCAAAAUAAAGCUAAAUUUUUAAUAAGAAAUUAUGUUGAGAGGCCUACUGAACUCCAGUCCAUCAGUGACAAAAUUUAAUGUUGCACUUAGAAAUUUAUAAUAGUUGCCACCCAGGCUAUAGUAGUAGGUGGGUGCCUUCAACAAUGUUAAUGACAUUAUUUUAAGUCCCUUUGUUGGUGAGCUUAAUACAAAAUUUCCUCUUAAAAUAUGAGUUUGAAAAAUAAUUUUUCUUGAAUAAUAAUGGACAUAGAUAAAUCCCUCAUAAGUAACGGUAGAUCAUAUUUCUAAUGAUAGUAAAUUUUUAAAUCAUAGUUAGUAGAUUGAUUAUAAAAUUUGUAGUAACAAAUUAAAAAAAAAAUAAAAGUUAUAAUUGAUGGAAUAGACCCAUCAAUAUGGAUAACUCAAAUCCACAUUAUCAGAGGAAAAUAGUAAUUCACCUAACUUAAUGCAUAAAUUAAAUCACUUGGGCUUAACCCAAGUGGCUAGAGCCACUCCCUCACAAAUAUGAGGGAAGUGGUUCGAGUCCCCGCAGACGCCUUGCAGGGAUUUAAUUUAAAUUUUCUUCCUUAGAGCCUCAGAGCUUGAGUGAAGACAGUUUUUCUCUCACAAUGAGAGUUGGGCGUCCCUCGAAUAUUUGAGAGGGUUAAAAACUCUGAACGGUGCCAUAUCAGAGUUGAUGUAAACUGAUCUCAGUAAUUUGUAUGGUAUAAAUAUCAUUAGCAAUAGUUCUCCUAAAAAAAAAUGCAUAAGUUGAUGUGAAUUUAUUAAAUAUGGUCGGUGUAAGUAUACAAAAAACUGAUCAGUAUAGGGUCAUAUUAUUCUAGCUAUUUUGUGUGAAUCAUUUCUAUUUUAGAGUUAUCUUUACUUGAAUCAAUCGUUGCUUCUUCUUUCCCCUUAUGCAGCAGCUCUCCCCACUUAAAUUUUGACUUGAUCAAACUUUGAAACCAAUUAAAUUAAAGGAACUUCGAUUAGAUUGUUCAACUUUAUUCCACAUGUAUAUAAAUAUUAAUCAAAAUUAAGAAUGAGAAACCCAUCAUCUUCAUCGUCUUCUGACGGUACAAAGAAGAUUACGCCAUGUUGUAGCAAAGUGGGUAUCAAGAAAGGGCCAUGGACUCCGGAGGAAGAUGAAAUCUUAUCAAAUUACAUCAAGAGAGAAGGCGAAGGCUAGUGGCGUACCCUGCCGAAGCGUGCAGGGCUGCUUCGUUGCGGCAAGAGCUGCCGUCUCAGGUGGAUGAACUAUCUCCGUCCAUCUAUAAAGCGCGGCCACAUCGCUCCCGACGAAGAGGAUCUCAUUCUUCGCCUUCACCGCUUGCUUGGUAACAGGUACUAUAUAGACUGUUGCUCUAACAAUUUUAGGGUUUUCUGUUAAUGGUGAUAAUUAAUUAAUCUUUGUGGUUAUGGUCUCUAGCUCACUCUCUUAAUUAAUUAGGUGGUCUCUGAUAGCUGGAAGAAUCCCAGGAAGGACGGAUAAUGGGAUCAAGAAUUAUUGGAAUACAUGUCUUAGAAAGAAGCUCAUUAGUCAAGGGAUUGAUCCAACAACCCACAAGCCAUUAAUAUUUAACCAAGUAGUACUUCAUGAUCAACUUGCAUCAUCAUCAUCAACUUCAAACCCUAAUACUCCUUCUUUAGAGAUCAUGGAAGAAGCUGGUGUCAGAAGUACUCACCAAGCAGCAGCAGCAAAUUUCACGACUAAUUAUAAUAUCCCAAUUGAUGGUGGGUUCAUGAUGGGGUCAUUAUUACCAAGUAGUCAUGGUCAUGGAUACAACUGCAUUGAAGAUUAUAUCGACAACUGUGACGCGGAUACAUUCUCUUCAUUUCUCGAUUCUCUGGUUAACGAUGACGAUUUCAUGAAUCAUAUCAAUGAACAGCAGCAGCAGUCAAGCACUUCCAGCUACAAUAAUAUUGGCACCAUUGAUUGGGAAUUCGCUGAUGUCCUAUCCAAAAAGGUGGGUUCAGAUGAUCAACAUGGUGCUGCAGCCAGCUUGAAUGAUCAACUUUGAGUAGUGAAGCUACAAAUGACUGCACAACAAGAUUAAAUAUUAGUUAUAUUUUGGCUUGAUUAUAUAUAAUUUUAUGUUUGUGAUAAUAUUGUUUGUUUUUCUACUAGUUUUUUCGCUUACUUUAAUUUCCCUUGUUGUUGUGUUCAUAUAGCAAUUUUCUUGUGAAAACCCUUUACGUUUGUAUUAUUAAUUGUUUCAAUAUUAUUACGUAAUGCUUGUGAACAUAUGCAUAUAUGAAUAUGCUCAUAGUUUUUUUCUCUCUCUUUUGAACUCAUACAAAGAAAAUUAGGCUAAAGAUGAAGAGAUGAUGAAUCACAUUAAUUAAUCUUUCAUUUUAUGAUGUAUGAGUGAACUUUCUGCUCUUUGUUAGCAGUAUAUUGGUGGAUCAUAUACAUUAAUAUUUCGUUAUUGUUUCUCAAUUAUAAGACUCAAUUCGAAAAUUCCAUUUCUUCUAUAUUUUAUAUAGAUGCAUGUGUUUAGUUAUACUGCUUUCAUUUUACUUCUUUCAUCACAGUUUAUGUGUGCAGAUUGUUUCAUUGGCAAGGGUUUCUUUAGUUUCAAUCCGUUUUAAUUAUUUUCUUUUCAUCCUUGAUUUCUUAAUUUAUACUAGAUAUCGAGAAGUUGACGAAAACUCAGACAAAACUACAUGCAUGUACUUGCUUUAUUUUUUGUAAUUCAUUUAUGCAAUUAGCUUAGCUAUUAUUUUAGUGUAAUUUAAUUCACAAUCGGGCUAUUAUUAGUCUAAAUGUACCCAACUAAUGUUAAGAUAUGCGGAUAUACUGAAUCUUUUUCACUUCUUCUCUUCAUGUUUAUGUUAACAAUUUAACAUACAUAUAUGGCAAAAUUUAAUUCUCUCUUCAUUAUCAUCUUUAUUUAUGAUCGAUCUCUCUCUUUCUCAUAAUCUGCAGGUCUCAUCUUUAUAAGACAUUAUAUCUUUUGCAUGCUAUGUUUCCAUUUUACUUCUCAUAUAUAGUCAAAUAAUUAAUAUAGCAUAGAACAACACAAUUUGUAGCCUUAUAUUAACAAACAACUGAACAAUGAUUUUUACAAAAUUGACUAUAAAGUAAAUACCAAUUAAGUUUUAAUUAGGUUUGGUGUGUCCACACACACACACAUGUAUAACUAUUACUCACCACAUGAUAUUUAAUUCCUUGGAGAAGCUAUAAGAAUGGGAGAUGAUUGAUAAAACAUACAUGUGUGUGAGAGGUAAGUACAUAUUUGUAAGUUGGUGGAUGGCAUGCUCAUUUGACCAAUAUUGUACAUAUUUGUAAGUUGGUGGAUGGCAUGCCCAUUUGACCAAUACUGAUGGGAUGGGGUUGUGUAUAAUUUUGUCAUCUAAUAAUGUCCCAAACUCUUUUUGAUAAUCACCAAUGGCAACGUUACACUCCCUUUCACUAAUAUGAGCAGAGUUUAAAUCUUGAACUUCUUAUAUCACCCUUAAGAGAUGUUACCAAUACCUCCUGGAUCAUCCUUAAGAGAUAUUACUAAACAAACUAAUUAGCACCGAUAUAUGAAAGUAAUUUAUUAAAAGGGAGAUACAACAGAUGUGCACAAUAUUCACACAUAUGCAACUCACAUAAAAUUUAAGAUAAAUUAGAUAUGUAAUUAUGAUAGCAUAUAAUCGCGGUCUAAAUACAAAAUGAUUAAUAAUUUAAUUUAUAUGAUUUAAGAAAAUGGUUAACCUCUUCUGUAAGCAACGUACUCUUGGUAAAUUUUCCCAAACGCAAGGACCAAGAGAUAGAAACCAAGGCAAGCAAUAUAAUUUUUCUUGUAAAGCCAUUUUCAAAGUUAUGACACAUUUUUUUUUUUUUUUAAUGUAACUGUUUUCCCAUUUGGUAGAAGAAACCGAAGAAGAACAAAAUUAAAAGCACCGAAGCAGAAAAAUAAUUCACUGACCUGGAAAAAUGGAAAUGCAAAACCUGGCUGGCUAGCUGAAAUGCCCUUCAUUGUUGAAGAGUGUUUAAUCACUAACUGAAGAAACAAACAAUAGAGGUAGUUCUGAUUGAAAAAAUAAUAAUAAUGAACUAAUUCAUAGAAUUAAGGAAGAAAGAAUAAAGAAUAUGGGUGGUUUGUUUUUGCCGCUGUGUGUAGGUUGUAGUUCAAGCGUGAGAGCGUUAAACGUUCUACUCUAAGGAAACACGCACGCUUCUUCUUUCACACACAUAUCAAUUAAGCGAGACCUACCCUUCUCUAACUUUCCAUUAUUAUUACUUCUGUCAGUAAGUUUCAAUUUAACUAGUAGUGAAACACACUGUUAGCUAAGUACCUAAGAAGCAGUCUGUAUGUGUCUGUAAAAUUUUGUUAUCAAAAUAUUGUGAUGAUACAAUACAAAUGAUCAAAUAGCAUGAUGACAUAUAGUUUAUAUUUUCAGCAUAUAAAUAACGUGUUACAUAGUUUUGAUUUGAGAGUAAAAAUCAAAUGACCUGUCAUUAGAAUUUUAUUAUGUAGAUGACAUAUCAGAAUCUUUUAUAAUUUAUAGUAACACAUGCAAGAUCUAUGACUAGGAGCAUAAACAGUAUUGAGUUUUCCCUUCUUGUAGUAAUCAAUUUUGAGAAGAUCGUGAAACGUAGGUACUUAACACGAAAGAAGGUAGUUCAGUCAUGCCGAUCGGAAAUAGGGACCUAUUUGGUGAAAAUGAAGUACAUAUGUCAUUUUUUAAGAUAUCUUAAAACUAUAGGGUGCCAAUGUUAUUUUGAGUCUGACUGUGACCAGCCGCCACCAUACUUGUUGGUUGCGCCACUUGUCCGCUGGAAACCCAAUUAGCGCGCUUGACUUACUCUUAAGUCGCGUGUGCGAGCGUCUGAAGUUUUGGCAUUUGUGUAGGUUGUUAAGUCAACUUAACUCAACUGAAGAAGCUGCCCUCUGUUGCCUCUGUUUCUGGAACCUCAGCAGCUCUUUUCUUGGUGUUUUUCUGUAAAUCUUUGAAGCUUCUUCAAGAUUCAAAUGGCUAAUAACUCUUCAUUGAUCCUCUAUUUCUCUCGCAACCGUGGCUUAGUCAAAACCUUCUUCUUCAUUCCCACAACAUUGGCUCUCUUAUCCACUCUCUUUAUUCUUUUUUAUAUUUCCACUACUUCCCAUCUCUUCUUCAAUCACCACCAACGCCAUCAUCAACACCAGCUCACUCCUUUUAUUCUAAAAAACAACCCCCUGCCACCACCACUCAAGUCCUCGCCAGUCCUAGUGUCACUUCUCAACGUGUCUAACAACAGCCACGGUGAUGGGAGAGUGAGGAAUCAACGGUCUGUGAAUGUUCCGAUGGAAGCUAAUGGUAUGUGAUUUUUCGGAUUUUUGUUUAUGGGUAUGCAUGCUCUAUGAAAUUGUGUGAUGAUGUUUUGAUGUAAAGCUUCUGUUUUUAGUUGUCUGGAGAUUCUGUUGGACUUGAAUUUUGAUGUCAUUUAGUGUUGUGCUUUUGGGUGUUGCUUGGUUUCCAAAUUUGUUUGAUAUUUUUUAUGGGUUAUUUGGUUGGCUGUUUUGCUAUUACCAUUGUUGUGUUAAAAAGGCAAUCAGGACAAUUGGAAGCGGUGGAUUAUCUGCAUUAUUUGAAAAUUUUUAGUGGUUCAAUUUUAUGGAUAUUUUGAGCUUUUUGUUUAAUACUUGUUGUAGUUAGGGGAGAAAAUUUUGAAUUUUUGGCUUGUACGAUUGCUUAGUUUAUUUUGUUUUAUUGUAUAGUUCUGAUACAAACAGCACGGAAACAUAAAGCGUCCUUUUUAUCUUCCUCCACUUUUGAUUCAUAGUUGCCUCAGUUACCAAUAAUUUGCUUCUGGAAACAUAAAUUUUUUUAUAAUUUGUUCAUUGUUAGAUCCAUAGCAUCGCUUUUAGAGUGGGUAGGGUGAACAGAAAGGUUGAAGAGACUUCACUAUAUGUGUAUUGAACUUUUAUUUUCUUAAUCACAGAAUCUGGAAACUUCUGGUUUUUAUGCUUCAGGAAACAGUAUGAAUAAGGAGGUGUUCCAUGACAGAGAUAUCUUUCUGGAAGACUAUAAGCAAAUGAAUAGGAGCUUUAGGGUGUAUGUUUAUCCUCAUCGUCGAAAUGAUCCUUUUGCAAAUGUACUCUUGCCUGUGGAUUUUGAACCCCGUGGUAAUUACGCUAGUGAAAGUUACUUUAAGAAGGUUUUCAUGAAGAGCCAUUUUGUCACAAAGGAUCCAUCAAAAGCAGAUCUUUUCUUCUUGCCUUUCUCCAUUGCAAGGAUGCGGCAUGAUCGUAGAAUUGGUACAGAGGGUAUUCCAGAUUUUAUCAGUCAUUACAUCUUCAAUAUUAGUCAGAAGUACCCUUAUUGGAAUCGGACUGGUGGGGCUGAUCAUUUUUAUGUUGCUUGUCAUUCCAUUGGAAGGUCUGCCAUGGAAAAAGCAUGGGAAGUGAAACUCAAUGCCAUCCAAGUUGUGUGCUCGUCAAGCUAUUUUAUAUCAGGACACAUAGCUCAUAAGGAUGUCUCUUUGCCUCAAAUUUGGCCAAGACAAGAAGAUCCCCCAAAGCUUGGCUCAUCAAAAAGGUGAACAUACUUACUCCACCCAUUUGCCACUUUCUCAUUCAAUACAUACUAUACAUACUGAAUUUCAAACAGUAAACUUUACUCCUAGAUAUACAUUCACUGGUUACAAUUUUGAGUAUCAUAUACCAGAGAUGAAUUACGUGUUCAAAAAAUUAUUAUAUAAUUUCUUCCAUUUUUUAAGAAAUGAAAAUGUGAUUAUCUUUUACCAUAUCCGUUAAUCUUGUUUCUGUUCACUCAUAUACAGAAUUGGAAGUCUUCUUGUCCGAGGCAUUUUGUAGUUUGUAUGACUUAGAAUUUAGUCUAAACUAGACUAGUUGUACAUUAGAAAACCUUGUGCUUAAUUGCAAUCUAAUUUAGCUUAUCGGUAAUGUUCCUCUACACAUCUGCAUCAGGCGAAGGGGAAAAUUUCGACUCUGUGCUUUUGGGCUAAUUUCGACUCUGUGCUUUUGGGCUAAUUUCUUCAUGCAUGAUUUUGCCAGUCUCUGCUCAUUUGGAAGUGCUAGAAGCACUCAUAAGAGCGUGAACAAACAUAAUUACAACGUAGUAUUUGAUAUAUCCCAGCUAGGUUGCUGUUGAACUUCACUGCAGCCAUUUUUUGUUCAAGAUUUGCAAUGUAUUGAGCCCUUAUAUAAUUCAUUUGAUAACUGUCCCAAAUAUUUCCUCCAAAAAACUGAUGCGAAGUUCACAUGGCUAUUUAUAUUAUGAAUAGAUUCUAAACCUUAGUCUUUGUUCUUCAGAGUUGAUUCUAAUUCUUACUCUAGUCAUGAUUUUCACUUUUGUAAUUCUACCACCAUAAAAAAUAAUGAAAUUGCAGGAACAAGCUUGCCUUUUUUGCUGGAGCUGUCAACUCCCCAGUGCGUGAGAAGCUUCUUCAAGUUUGGAGAAAUGACUCUGAGAUUUAUGCCCACUCUGGUCGGCUCAAAACACCCUAUGCUGAUGGGCUACUUGGAAGCAAGUUUUGUCUCCAUGUCAAAGGCUUUGAAGUAAACACAGCUCGUAUAGCAGAUUCACUGUAUUAUGGAUGCGUUCCUGUGAUUAUUGCAAACCACUAUGAUCUUCCAUUUGCUGACAUACUAAAUUGGAAGAGCUUCUCUAUUGUCGUGGCCACUUUAGAUAUCCCAUUACUGAAGAAAAUUCUUAAAGGGAUCAGCUCCGAAGAAUAUUUAUUGUUACAAAACAACGUGUUAAAGGUGCGAAAACAUUUCCAGUGGCAUGUUUUCCCCAGUGAUUACGAUGCUUUUUACAUGGUUAUGUACGAUUUGUGGCUUCGGCGAAGUUCUGUCAGAGUUCAAUGGAGUACUUCCCUUGAUUCCAAUUGGUAAUUAUACGUUAUUCUCUCUGGUGAUUUGGUUGGUGCCACUGGCCGUUGGCUUUUGUAUAUUUUUAUGACCGAUUCUUUUACUCCUGAUAAAGCCUGUGAGCUCAGAAGUCCAAUUCCUUUCGUGUUUUUAAUUUGAUUAUUCAUAAUGGAAUUUUCAACAGUAUAUAAUAAUUUUAAUUACUAUUACGCAGUAGUAUUUUUAUCAGAGGAAAUUUUGGAAUUUUGCAGAUUUGUUUUGAUUCUAAGACCAAAAUGAGUCUUUAGGACCCCCACAAACACUUGUUCAUCAUCAUUUUUCUGAGAUUUGAUGUAUUUUAUUGUUUUCUGAAAACAUGUUUGCUUUUGACUGAAAUUGUUUCCAAAACUCCACAAAAACAGAAGAGGGGAAUGUUCAAAAGAGAAAUUGACAACAGAGCACAAAUUUGGUGUCAUUUGCCAUGGCCGAUUCAUCAACUUCUUGGUUGUGGAUUUGUACAAUGGACAGACGGUCCAGCCGUCAAUUUAAUAAGAUUACGAGGACUAAGUGUUAAAAGCUUGUUUUUAUUUAUUCCGUACAUUGUUUAUAUUCUAGAUGAUUGUUUUUUUAAAGGAAGGUCUGACAGCAUAUGGAAUAAAGAAUUUCAUUUUAAUAAAAUGAUAAUGAAAAGGAAUUGCAAAUUUGAAUACCUACCUUAACUUUAUCUUAAUUAGUUAAUUAUUUUCUUGAUUGAUUUGGUUAUGGCGUUAUUUUAUGCAUAAAUGAGUGAGAUCGAAGAAAACAAUCCCUUGCUUCAACUGCGUAGUAAACAACUAAUUGCGUAGACAGUUUCCUUGAAGACUACAUAACACAACCAGAAAUAAUUGUGAUUGUUAAUUUUUUGAAGUAGAACGAAUUAAGUAUAUACAUUUUUAUUUCAAACAUAGAAAAACAAUUCAUAAAAUAUGUGGAGGACCAAAAAGUGAUUUGAUAGUUAUACGUGAAUCGUGUAGUUACAUUUAAAUUAUUUCUAAGCCCAUAGAUUGAUUUGUGACAAUAAUAAUAAAAUAAGAUUUUCUUAAAUGUAACUUACAGUCAAUUAAAUUUUUUUUUUUUUUUGUCUUAACCAUGAGGUAUCCUGGGAAUGGCCCCAACUGUGGGAGGUACAUGGCCCCAACUGUGGGAGGUACCUUUAAGCCUAUACUUAAAAGUCCCCGGUCGAACUGGGAGGCACAGAUUCUCCCAACAAAGGCGACUUCCCUGCGAUUUGAACUGAGGAGCAAACCCAGUCAAGCCACUUAAGGAGACUUCAUUGCCAGUGGAGCCAAUACUUUAUUGGUAUCCAAACAAUAUUAUUAUAACAGUAGAGGUUGGUUUGCUUUCAGAUAUUUAGGAGUUUUCAAGGAAAAAAAAAGAUUAAAUCAUUGAUAUUAAUAAAUAAUAAUGGACUCUCAAUCAAAUUUCUCGGCAGUUGGCAGGGAAUUAAAUAUAGAAAUCUUGUAAAAUGUGUUCCUUUUGUAGUAUGUUUAAAGAAAAGGGAUCUGGAUGUUAUUAUCUGAACUUUUGUUUUGUAUACAGAAGUAGUAAACACAAAAAACUAUUUUCCCUUUUUUUUUUAAAUAUAAACAGUAAAAUAUUCAAAAAUUAAGAAAAAUCUGUUCUGUUCGCAGGUUCAGUUAACAGAAGAAUCUUGACCAAUUAAAAAAGGAGGUGAGAAAGUUCCAUACUCUCUCUACUGUCCACACCCUAAAAUGAAGUUUUCCCGGAAAAUCAUUUUCUAUUAAGAUUUCUCGAGAAAUUUCUUAACUAUCCCAGAUUCAAAAUCUCCCUUAACGCCGCCCCCUAUGUUUGGAUGCCGAAAGAAUCGAGAGAAAACUAAAAUAAAGUCAAAUCUUGAACCGAAAUCUUACAAUUUCACCCCUUCUACUAUGAGUUAUCUUCUACUCAUUACACUUUUCGGGUACUUCAAAUCUCAUUUCUUGGCAGUUCACUACUUUCUUGGAUUUGUUAAUUUUACCAAUAUUUAGUUAUUUAUUCGUUUGUUUGUUUAUUGUUUGAAGAUGUGAUUUUUGGUUUAUUCGUUUGUUUGUUCAUUGUUUCAAGAUGUGAUUUUUGGUUCUUGAAAUGUAAUGUAGGGUUUGUGGUUGAAUUUCGUUUCAAGACUGUUUUUUUCUCAUGAGGGAAGAUGGUUUUUAAAUCUAAGAUCAAAUGGGUAGCUUUAUUCGUGCUGGCUUUGUCGAUGGGAUCUCUUUUGGUGCAUCUUUCUAUCACAAAGUUUUCGGCCGCGGGAUUGGUUCAGUACAGUCCAUUGGCUGCCCUUCGCCAGGAUUUUGGUUCUUUGAUUGGUACCCAGGUGAGCUUUUCAUCUUCUUUUUUCUAUAUUUAUGUUGAUUUUGUCUAUGUAACUACAGUAUUGCCUCUGUGUGUGCGUGGUUGCAUGCAUGAUACGGUUAACUAAAAUGUAUUAGCUAUUGAGUUUGGUAAUGUUGCAGGGCAGUAGGAGCAAAAAGCUGUGGGGGAAUGUGAAGGCUUUUGAGUCUUUGCAACCUUAUGCAAAUCCUAGGACCAACUAUCCUGGUAAUGAGUUUUCUUCAAACUGCUAUUCAUUUAAUUGAAACCUUUGUUCUAUUUAUUUAUUUUUUAUUGUACUUUUCUUCAACUCUUUUCUAAUUUUAUCUGAGGUGGGAUUUGAAAUAGCUAUAGUCUGAUAGAAUAAUGGAUUUUUCUUCUUGAGAGGUGGCAUCUAAUUAUGCUGUUAAUUUUAAGCUAAAUGGUCGUAUAGAUAGAUAUGUUAAGCUAGAUGUGUUAUUGACCUGUGUAUUUAUGUGAAGAGCAUUUUGAGUAAAUUUUUGUUAUCUAUAAUUGUUGUUUCGUUAAAUUUAAGAAUGGCCUUGCCUAUGACUGCAACAGAACUUUGUAAAUCUUUAUGCAUUUAUCUAUAUUUGUUGUCUUUCCUAUGUUUGAGCUAUCUUCAAAGUUGAAGUCUAAAAUGUAAUAAAUUAAAUAGCUGUUGUCUUGUCUUGAAAACGAUGAAUGUGAUUCUGAUAGGAGUUUAUAAUUUCAUACUCACACGUGAAUUUAUUUUUAUUCAGAAGGUAUGGCUUGUAACAGUUGCUCAUUUAGCUUCUAUGGGCAGAAGGGUCCAUGCAAAUUGAGUUUAUGACAUUUAGAUUAAAAUUCACUUUGCAUUUUAAGGGAUCAUCUUAUGUUGUUGAUUUCUGUAUCAUAUGGUGAAUUUGGUGAGCAAAACAACUUUACAAGAACCAGAACAUUUUUAUAUUGAUUAUUAUUUAAUUUUUAAUUAAAACAGUUUUUCAACUCAACAUACUCAUCCCGGGUUAUCAACAAUUUUUUUUCAUAUUUUUUAUACAGCUCCAAAUGAAGAGAACAAUGGUUUCAUCUAUGCAAAAGUUUUUGGUGGCUUUGAGAAGAUAAGAUCUUCGGUAUGAUUAGUUCGACGAAAUAUAUGUAUCUUUAUUAUAUUUUCUAUAGGGAGUUCAUAACAUUUUUGUUAAUUUUCUAGAUCUGUGAUCUUGUCACCAUAUCCAGGCUUUUAAAUGCUACACUUGUCAUUCCAGAGAUUCAAGAAAGUCUUCGCUCAAAGGGAAUCAGGUGUUUACACUUGCUCAGUUAAUUAUUUGUUUAAUGUAAGUCUGGUAUGCCAGUAAAACUGACUGUUUUUUGCUUUUUACCCUUUGUAUAAUCACGCAGUUACAAGUUCAAGAGUUUUUCCUAUCUUUACAAUGAGGAGCAAUUCAUAGCAUCACUCACAAGAGAUGUGAUUAUCGUGAAGAGUCUCCCUGAAAAUUUGAAGGCAGCAAGGAAGAGGAAUGAGUUCCCAACGUUUAAGCCCAAAGUUUCCACUUCUCCAAAUUAUUAUAUCCAAGAAGUUUUACCAAAAUUAAAGAGAACACAAGUUAUUGGGUUGAUUCUUACUGAUGGAGGAUGCCUGCAGGUAUGUUAAUAUCUUAAAUGCAUUAGUUUACUUGGACCUUUUCCGCAAAUGAUGUCCUCUUCAGACAGUUUAUAAUUUCAAGUCUUACAUAUGAAUUAUGGGGUGGUUGAAGUUGUUCAGGAUUGCCGCUUUCAACUUGCUCACUGACAUGUUUUGCUGAUGUUGAUUUCCACUUUUACCAUUGUCUUCUGCUAUAUUUAUUUAUUUAUUUAUAUAUUUUAAAGAAAAAGAAAAAUCCUGCUUGGAGAUUUGGUUGUUAAGAAGAAAAGGGAAAAAUUUCCCAACUUCGGGUAGCAAAUAGGACCAUCAUUUCAAAUUGGUCCUUGCUUCACUGUUGCAAAAUGGUUUGAUUGAUGUUCUUGUGGGAAAUUUGAUGGUGUCAUGAGGUUUUCCAUCUUAAAAGUCCCUUACUCAGGAAUUUUGGCUUGUUACAUACCAAAGGAAAAAUACCUUCUGACAGCAGGAAGAACACUAAAACAAACUGAGAGUGAACACUGUCAACUCUCCAACAUAUGGGGACUCUUUCCUCUACUAAACAUAUAUAGGCUAACAAUUCAAACAGCAGAAAAAACUCAUUUUUCUCGCGCGUAGACGGUAUUUAAUUUAUUGAACUGUCUGCUUGAGAUAUUCUAGUCAUUUUUCCCUCCUUGUUGGCACUGUGAGCAACUUAGUUGCUGUUGGCUGCUUGCGUCUUUUAUCUUAUUCAGUCUAUUUGUCAAGAUGCCUGAAUCAUCACCAGGUUAAGCACUUAAGCCAAGGCAUAGGAUGUAGGAAGUAAAAGAGGCAAAGUCGAGCAACCAGGAGCGCAGCGGAUUCCCAUGAUUGUAGUCAUAUUGGUAGUUUUUAUUGCAUGAUGAUUAAAGGCCAUUAUCUUUGGCUCAAAAGUGGAUUUGGAUGCCUUAAGUGUAUUAUGUACAGUAAUGUGGUGCUAGUGUCUUUUGGUCACUCAGUCAACUUUUCAAGAUUGGUUUGAUUCACAGUCAUAGUGUCUUUUUUCCCUUAUUUAAGUGACGAUUUUGGAGCACAGAAGUUAUAGUGGAGCCUUGUUCAUGUUAGAGCUGUAUUAGUUGCUUCUCCGUUAAUUUUUAGUUUACUUAAUGUUGUUUGGAAUCCUAGAUAUUUUUAGAUGAAAAUAAAUAGUGCUGCUGUUAAAGUAUUUUCUUUCUUCUUUUCAGUCAAUUCUUCCACCUAGCAUGUCCGAGCUUCAGAGGCUUAGAUGCAGGGUUGCCUUCCAUGCACUCCAGUUUCGUCCUGAAAUUGAGAUUCUUGGCAGGCUGAUGGUGGAGAGGUAUAACUUUCCUAUUUUGUGAGAAUUUUAAUUCAUGUGAUGAGUAAAAGUUGAGGGAUACACAUCAUUUGCGGUUUAAUUUAUCUGUGGCAGUUAUUCUUACAAUGGAUCUGACUGUGUGACAUGAAUUCUUACAAUGGAUCUGACUGUGACAUGAAUUAACCAAUGAAGUUAUACAUUGAGUAUUUGAACUUAAUUUUUUUUUCUUUUUCUAUUUUGUUUUAAAUAUACUACCGUGUUCGGCUAGUUGUCUGCUUUCUAUGGCUUCAUAUGCCAGAAAUUUUUGCCUGCCCUUGAUGAAUCUUAGCUAUCUAAUCCUCUUUCCCCAGGUUACGAGCAUGGGGCCAACCUUUUCUAGCUUAUCAUCCUGGCUUGGUGAGAGAAACCUUGGCAUAUCAUGGUUGUGCAGAACUCUUCCAGGUUAGUUGCUUGAGCAGUUUACUUUUCUUACCAUUUCUAUGUCGAGUUGCAUGUUUCCUACUCUUUGCUCUUUUAAUUCUAAUGUAAAAAUGGAAGGCCAACCAGUACAGGGGAAGCCUCCCCCCCCCCCAAAAACAAUUUGUCUUUGCCUCAAAAUAGUCUGAGAAGGAAUGAACAAACUUGUUUAUGGAUUUCUCUGUAAUUUUGCUUAUUAUCUUACAAUUUGGUGCUUCUUCUAGGAUGUUCACACUGAACUCAUACAAUAUCGAAGGGCACAGAUGAUCAGACAAGGAAUUGUUAAUGAAGAACUAAGUGUUGACUCUCACUUGCGUAGAGAUAAUGGUUCAUGCCCUCUCAUGCCUGAAGAAGUAAGUUAGAUGUCAAACUUGCUAAUAAUUUACAGAAGCCUUGUACUACUAGCUUUGACUGGUUUAUUUAUUAGGUGGACCAUGCUCAUUAUCCCGAGAUCUUAAUUUUUGGUUUUUGUUAAUCUUAGGAAAUCCAUGUUCAUUUAAAAUUUAAAAAUUAAUUGGAAUUUUGACAUUGAACCUUUUCAGGUUGGAAUUCUCCUUCGAGCAAUGGGCUAUCCUCCUAAAACAAUUAUAUACCUUGCAGGUUCUGAAACUUUUGGCGGUCAUCGUGUUCUAAUCCCUCUACGAGCCAUGUUUUCCAAUUUAGUGGAUCGCACUUCCUUGUGCAGCCAGAAAGAGUUUUCUGACCUCAUUGGUCCUGAAACAUCCCUACCUCAAGAUCUUUUCCAACCACCUCCUGCCAAAAGUGAGAAACAACUUAAAGAAGAGUGGAAUAAGGCUGGUCCUCGGCCUCGGCCCCUUUCACCACCUCCCGAUAGACCCAUUUAUCUACAUGAAAAGGAAGGCUGGUAUGGUUGGAUCACUGAGAGUGACACAGAACCAAGUCCUUCGGCCAUGGAUCUGAGGAAUCAAGCCCACAGGUUGCUCUGGGAUGCUCUUGAUUAUAUAGUCUCAGUGGAAGCUGACGCAUUCUUUCCUGGUUUUCACAAUGAUGGAAGUAAAUGGCCUGAUUUCGCAAGCUUGGUCAUGGGACAGCGACUUUAUGAGAGUGCUGCUUCUAGAACAUAUCGACCAGACAGGUAAGAUGUGCAUUGAUGUUCUCAAUUUUGAUGUGUAUUUGCUUUGCAGUACACAACCAAACACAUCCAGCUAUAUAGUUCCUGAUAUUCAACUUGCUUUGAGCACAAUGACUGUUUUGUCUUUUACCAACAUUCGGCCACUUUUUAUAGAGAAACUGAUCCUUGAUCAGUUUGACUUUUGCUCAAGGUGAAUCAAUUACGAAGGAGUAGUGGUAGUUGAAUAAAAAAUUUUUAGAGUUCUAUUAUGGCUUUCUUGAUAUUAUCUAGAUGUGUCUCUCUGACCAUAAAAUACAUACUAUUCUUUGAUAAUCAUCUCCACAGCAUCCUGACCUUUUAUUUUAUUUUUUAUUUUUACUGGACUUCUGCUUAUUUUAAUGAAGCUGUAUGGUCUAAAUUAUAGUGAGAAAUUAUGCAUCUUGAGAAUAGUUUUCUAACAAUAUUUUUGUUCAAACAGAAAACUUCUUGCGGAACUUUUUAACAUUACUCGUGAAAAUAUGUACCAUCCGAAGCAUAACUGGACGGUUUCAGUGAAAGAACAUCUGAAUAGAAGCUUGGAUGAGAAUGGGUUUAUUAGGCAAUCCCUGUUUUCGAAACCAGUCUCAUUCCUUUCGCACCCUCUUCCUGAAUGUUCCUGUAGAACUUCAUCUGCAACGGUUCCAAAUGAAUUAAAAGGUAAGGAUGGGCGAUUCUUGUAUGGAGGUGAAGAUGAGUGCCCCAAAUGGAUACAGCAUGGGCAGGAAGCUGGUUCGUUGGAGUCAGCAGGUGGAAAAACUGAUGAUAGUGAAUCAUCAGACUAUGAUGAACUGCCAGAAUCUGAUGAUGGUGACAGCAAAAAUGGUACAACUUUAGUCUUUGAUCGAGAUGAGGAAUGGGAUCCUAAUGACUAGUGAUAUUGUUUCCUUGUUUAUCAUUGAAGGCGGCAUUCAGUUUCCAGCAAUUUCCUCUGGGCUGAAAUUUUUGGGGGAAAAAAGAAGGUAACCUGCUAAGGUCAAUUUUUUUUUCUCCACAUUUCUAGCUUAGUGCUUGAGACUGAAAUUUUGGGGGGGGAAAAUGAAGGUAACCUGCUAAGGUCAAUUUUUUUUCCACAUUUCUAGCUUAGUGCUUGAGAGAAAUAAAUCUUCAAAUUUAUUCUUUUUGAGUAGAUUCAAGAAAUCUUCCAAUUACAGAAAAGAAAUACUUGUAUACUUUCAUACGUCAGACAUUUCGAACAAGUUUUGGAAAGACCUAUGCAGUGAGGACAGGAUUACACGCCAUCGAAGAGUCAGAUUUUUCAUUAUGGAUGAAGUUGUAUGAGGUUGGACUCAAAUGAUUGUUAGAUCCAUCUGAAAUUCUGAGGUACAGAGAAUUUUAAUUUGUAUCUUGUUAAACUGUUUGCCCUGUCAAUAGUGCAAAUUUUGCUUCGGGAAUAUUUCAAUGAUAAAGUGUACAUUUAUUUAUUUACUUUUUUUUUUUUCAUGUUUCAACUCUGUGGUACUAAAAAUAAAAUGGUAAAAUAUAUAGAAAUGUCAUAUCCCUCCAUGAGCAUGUGCCGAUCAUGAUGUUUCGGUAGGGUGCCAUGAAAAGGAAAUAUAGUGUGAUUGCGGUUAUCAUGCUAGCUGAAAUCACUGAUAUGAAACGAUUCAUUUUCAAAGCCAAACAAAUUCAAAUGUUACAUAAAGUAUGUCAAAGAAUAUAGAAAUAUAUACUUCGGUUAAAAUGGCAUGACACAGAGUUGACUUGAUCAGAAAAGGGCGAGGGAGGGAAUGAAAGAGCUACAGAAUCGGAACAUGGAACUCGAAUCACAGAAAUUGGCAGGAAGGGUAAAGAAAAGGCAAAUGACCAUUGACCACUCAUAUCUAUACAAACAAAUGUCCAGCAGCUAAGCACCUUUGUUGCUACUCCAUGGCUUGAUCACCGCAACAACUAUGAUUGCAACAAUAAUGAGAAGGAUGAUGAUGGCAAUGCACAUCCAUUUCCUGGAGUUCUUCUGUAGCUUUUUCGCCUUUUGGAGGGCAGUAUUGCCUGACUGCACGUGAUCUACAGCACUUGACACCUGAAAAAGAGCAUAAACGGGCAUGUCAGCGUUAACUAACACCAUUAAUUCUACUUGAUAAAAACAUAAACAGGAAUGUUAAUGGAUAUAACCCUUUUCAAUAUAAAAAUUUAUAUGCAUGCAGAGAAUUUAUACUAAGAAGAGAAGAUGAGAAUGAGUUUAAUUUACCUGAGAUUCUAUAUUGUCCAGCAUGUCUCCCUGUGCAUCUACCAACACCGCCAUAUCCAGAAAGAUCUGCAUAAGACAAGUGAUUAACAAAUGGAAUAAAAUAUAUGAGCUCCUUGACCAUUAUACUAGCCUCUCCAACUUAUAUGACCCUUUUCAGAAGCAUACUGAUCCUAUACCAACAGGCAGCCAUUGGCUUAUUGAAACUCCUUUUGAUUUUCAAAUCAUCCUAUUGACCUCUAUUUCCACCCAUUGGGCUAAAGGAUAUUGUCUCACUGAAAGUAACUUAUAGAACCCCAGCUUAAGGAUAAUUUUACGUUGCUCAUGGCUUGCCUCUUUAUAAGCCAUUAUCAUGAAAUAGAUCCAGCAGCACUAGUAGAUAUUGUAAAUGAGAAAUACUACUCUUUCAUAAUUCAUAUUCCACUAAUUUGGACUGCUAUAUCAUUUGCUACAUUUCUGUCAUCCAUAUAUAUAGCAAUGUCAUGUCACUUCGGAUAAACUUUAUUUUAUUAACUUGAGAAGCAUAGUACUAGUCUUCAUUAAUAUCAAAUUUGAGAAUGAUACUCAAUUUAAAGAGUAUAGCAGGGUUGCCCAUUUAAGCCAUUAAAAUUGAAGAGAAAAUUGGGAAGUUUCGGACGAGCAUAACAGCAACAAAUGUUCAAUUUAAUAAUUUGAUUGACAAAAUUCACUCUAAUAAACCAGUGAAGUACCUGUUGUAACUCAAGAAGCUUCCUUUCCAAAUCUCUAACAGCAUCAUGGCGUUCUUGAAUUUCAGCCAGAGUGUCCAUUAUCUGCAAACACAACAUAUAUCACUUAAGAUUUUCGACGACUAAUAUUGUCAGAUCAAUCUUUCAGUAACUUACUGCCUACUGCCUUAAUUAUACUUAAAAUAUACAAUCCCUUAAGACCUCGCCCCCAAACCUAAUCCCUAUUUCCUUCUCCCAAAAAUGAAAAACAAAUAAAAAUUACAAUAUUCAAUGAGAUUAAGUCCUAGUAGCAGCUAAAUUGAGGUGCGAAUAUGGCAUAAAUUGUUCAAUACACCAGGAAAGAGAGAUCCUCCAGUAGAGAGGAAAUUACAACUUCAGAUAGGAAUAAAGGAAGAAAGAGAGACAAACCUGGCCUCGACCUUGUUCUUGGAUUGCUUUCUGGAAUAUCUGUUCACUGUCCCCGGUCUCAAUCAAUUGGUCAAUUGUCUGUACAGCAUUGAAUAGCAAGAAUGAGCACAAGAAUGCAGAUAAGCUUGGAAUUUCAUAGAGAAAUGAAUUAUACCUCUUCAUCAGCCCUUUUGCCGGUUACUAAGAUCAUUGCAACCAGUUAAAACUAAAAUUAGCUCCAUUUCACAGAAAGUUUCAAACAACUUAUGCAAAUUGGCUGCCACGGAUAAGUAGCAGGUGAAGUAUUCAAACCUGUAUAAACUCGCCUCUCCACCACCUCUCGAUACUCUUGAUGGAUGUUUUCCCUUAGAACCUGCAAAAAGUUUUGGAAACCUUAAAAGCAAGAUACAAGAAACCAGAAAAAAGUACAUCCCAAACAAUUUAUUAGAGAUAAAGGAGUAUUUGUCAAAUACAUUUAUAUCCAAGCUACCUGAAAUUCACCCAUUUUGUCUUUGAACUUCUUUUUCAAGCCACUGUCGUAAAGUAUAACAGCUAAAUAAGUCAGUUAUCGAUUCAUCUCAUGAUAGCAUAGUUCAUAUGGUAAUGAGAACUGAGUGAAAGAGAGGGAAAUUGGAAGUGUAAAUUACAGAGUCGUUGCUGUUCUUGAUCGAUCUACUCCUGUUCCUUUUCCACAGCCAGGCUUCUGCCUACUUGUUAAAUUCUAGACCAUAUAAAGGAGGAUACAUGAGAAAUCUAUGGACUUGAAUCACUAGAACACAAGCAGCAAAGCAUUCUUUCCUUAAGCCAAUGUCUAGAAAAGCAUUCUCACCUCUCUAUCCAGUUCUUCAAUCUUCGACUUUAUGAAACGAGAAAUUUUCCCAACUUCAUCAACAUCUUUCUCCAUUCGCUUCUUGAUUGCUAACGAUAAUAAAAAAUUCUAUCAUAAAUAUAAAUCAAAUGUAUGAAAGGCAUUUAAAAAAAAAUGUGUGUGUAUAUAUAGAUAUAGGCAAAUCCUUAUUACAUUUAUAAACAGUACGAUAACAUAAUUUCUGGACUUUCACCUACAAGGGAGCAGGCUAUUCCAGUUUCAUGGACAAGGAAGAAAGUUUCUGUAAUUCACCAAUCCACUUAAACAGGCAAAUAUGCAGAACGUUAAACAUAUAUCUCUACAUAUGUCGCUAAAUGUCAGAUAUAUAUCUCUACAUAUAUCAAUAAAUGUCAUUAAUGGCUUGCAGAAACCAGUAAACAGCUUGCAGCUCAAAGAUUGAAUCAUUAAAUACACUUCAGGCCUUCCUCAUCAGAAGCCUCUGUCUGCUAAUAAUUUGCAUCCAACCAAGUCCAACAGGUUUGAUAUAUUUAGUAACUUAGUUUUAAUAUUUUUAUUGAAUUCUCUAACCACAAGACAAUAAAACCUGGGACUAGUCAUGAACAUGUAACACAAUUUAUAGUCUAUGUGGUGAGAGUUAUUUUGUACAACAUAAUGCUCCAGCUUUCUCGUGAGUAAUUUUGUUCCUUUUUGCUGAAGCACAGUUAUAAUCCUUAACUUACAAAAGAAAGGGGGAAAAAAAAGGAAGAAAUAAAAGAAUAUCUUUGCCGGAAACAUGCAUGCUUGAAUAAAUAUUAUGAAAACUGCACAAGGUUACUGAAUACCUUUCAUGGCAGGAGCCUUGGUUACAGACUUUGACUCCUCAUGUGCACCCUGCAUUCCAGGUUCGCAGAAAAGAUAAUAGAGCAUAUCUUACUGACAAAAUAACUCAUUAAAGAGAAUUUUCAAGAUUUAGCACUUUUUUGCUUACAAUAUGUACAAGUUUAGCCCAUAUUUUUUAGACAUCCAUUAUUUCCUCUCCCAGAAAACAUGGUUCAAGUGCAAUGCAGAUUCUUUUGAUGUACUCUUAACCAUGGAAAACUAACUUAGUCUCUACAUUAGGAAUUUAGUUUCUCCAUUAGGAAUUUCUUUAAUGCCUCUGCUGUCAAUGUUGUUUUGUAAGUAAACAUUAAUCACUGAUCCAGAAAACCACUUAUUAUUCCUUCCAGCACCCCGGUAAUCAUAUAACUUCCAAAAUGAAUGUUUCUCAACACCUUCUAACAUUGGACAACUACACAGUUAAAUGUGCUAGCAACCUGCCAAAAAAGGAGAAUUCAUACCUGUAGCUUUUUGAGUAGUUUCUCCAACUUCUCAUAUUCUUUGUCAAUAUCUUGAACCUGCCAAAUAAACAAAAUAUGGAUAUGGCAUGACAUUAUAUACUUCAUAUUUGUAAACCAUAAAUUUUAUUAAAGCCCAUACAGCAGACAGCAGACAAUUAUAAGUUGAACAAAAAAUAAGGAAACGCAGCAAAGAGAAACAGAAGGUAACUAUAUUAAUCAUUCCUUUAGUCUGGCAUAUAAAGAACAACAAUAGCAGUAAGAAGUCCAACAGCACCUUUUUAAAGAAAUUUUCCAAGCCAAGUUCUCCAGAAUUCAUUUGCGCUCCUAACUCAAUAUCUCCACCUCUGGAGCUUUGAUCCCGAGGGAGCUCAAAAGAACCCUGCAAGACUCACGAAGUUAGUAAAUAUUAAGACUCUGGCCAACCAAACCUUAGAUUGUAAUUAUAACAGCACCCACUCAUCUAUGAAGCAAUAUAGUCAGUAGCAAUCAAUUUUUAGGCAAUAGCAGAAUAAAGUACAAGGCUUAGAACAAAUAAUUUAUUGCUUUGCUCCUCGCAUGUUCAGUUGCAUUCAUGAUCAUUCCAGAGAUUUAGCCAGCCUAUGUACGAAUUGGAAAGAACCCAAUUUUCCAAAACACACUACAUAAGCUUGACUGAAAAUGAGCACUAGGAACACAUAUCAAUGUAAUUAUGAGAUCAGUAAAUAAAGUUAGGAUUGGGAUAAUGCUAUGCAUUUAGUUUACCAACUCUCCUAUUUUAGAGUUGCCGAAGCUGAUUUUCACUUGAUAAUUUUAAAAAAUUAUCAAAUUAGUCCUUCUCAUAUAGACGGACAUUUGAAUUUAACCAUGUUUAAUAUGACCAAGAAAACAAAACUAUCAGAAUUUCACUAACAAAAUUGGGUUUUCACACCAUCGUUCUGCAAACGACAGAGCAAGGAUCCACACAAAUCACUAUUAGAAAUGUUCAACUCUGUGAGCAAACACAUCAUCUCUUAGCUCAACAAAAUAUAAUAUUACAUUCUUAAGUAUUUCAAAGUCCAUGCUUAUCAGUUAAUCCCCAAGAACUUUACCUACCAUAUUAAUCAACUCAAUCCAAUGCUUGACCAAUCAUUUGAAUCCAUUAAUUCCAAAAUGUAUUAUCAUUAUGAGAGUUCAAUCCUUGAAUAUGAGACCAACAACAUAAUAAUACAUACCAUUAGUUUCCUUUAAAAUUUUAGAUUUUUACUUCAGUUAUUAUAUUGGUUUUUCAAUUCCGAACAACAAAUCAAUCGUUCAAAUCUUCAAUUCACAUUGAUAGCAAAAAAACAGAAAAUUUCAAAUUCCCAUUUAUACAACUCAAUUAAAUUAAUAAACCUAUCAUAAUCAAGCUCAGAUCAAGACAAAACAAACAUAACAAUGACAUUACCAAAAAGAACAAGUCAACAUCCCUACAAAUAAACAAAACAAAAUAAAAUAAAAAGAAAAGUGAGCUGAAAAUGUUACCCCUAAUAGGUCGUUCAUUGUCGAGAAGCUUGACGAAGAACCUCUAGAGAAGCUUUAUGCGAUGAAUGACCAAACGAAAUAUAUUAGCUUACAAUGAGAUGAGAUCUAAAAUUAAAAUUUGUAAUAGUGUUGCUGCUUUUUUUCAAAUUCAAAAUUAUUAUUACCAUUAGAUAUUAAGACCUGGUUAAUAAUAAUUUAAAAACCAGGUCUUUUUUAGGGUUCCUUUCGAGAGAGAAAAGGAAAUGAAGAAUGAAAAAGUUUCGUGAUUUUCGUGUCGAAGCUUGAAACAAAAAGAGAGAGACAGAGCAGAGAUCGUUGAUGGUGGAGCGUGCGGAGGCUUUUUUGAAAAUAAAUUAUCUACGACGCGUUUUAGAAUUUGGUCGAAUCUACACUGUCAGUUAUGUGGGUCCCGUAUAUUAACGGUCCUAAAUUCUUGUAAUGACAGGAAAAUAAUGGGCACGUUGUAUGAGAAGACUGUUCUGGUACUAAUUAUCUUGAAAUGGAAAUUAGUUAUUUUCGAGACUAUUUUAGCCCUGCGGUUUGAUUGUUUUUAACAAGUGUGAUUGUCUGUUGGUGAGGACAUUUGUGUCAUUAAGGUUUUGGGAGUGAGGCUGGAUCUGAUAAGUGGAGGUUGAGUGGGGAUUAUUUCCUGUACAAAGCAUGUCUGGUCCGAGUUGGAUGCAUGAUGAGUUGAUGACUUUCAUCCGCUUGUAAUAAUGUUUUUAUUUUUCAUUAAAAUAAUUAGCCGCUUUAUCGCGCUUUUUUUUUUUAAAUUAGCCUCAUGUGGGCCCUACUUCCAACUAAGUUGAACUGGCACUCACAAGACACAGCGGUUCAGCUGCACUGUUGCCACCGGGGAAAUAGACACGCGGUAUCUGAUUAAAUAAUAACAAUUAGAUCCUUGAUUUCUAAGUUUUCUUAACUGAGGAUAUAUAUUUUCUAUUUUUAAAUAAAUAGGUCCCUAUGGUUAAGAGAAGCCGCCUCCCGUACCCGCCUACCCGGAAGCCACGGUUGGAGUACUCUUAUUGACUUUUGACGUUUCAAAGCUAGAGUAUGCACUUGAUUAUAUAGGACUUUGAAAUUAUACGACUUUGAAAUUAUAGUUGAGCUCUCAUUAGAUUUAUGAUUUAAUAGAUUGUAAUAUAAUUUAUUUAAGGAAAAUUCUAUAAUGCCGUAAAUAAAUUUACGGCAUUGAUACCGUAAUAAACGUGGACCAUUGGAUUAAAUCAACGGUACCUAAUAACUAUAAUAUAAUAAAAGUAUUUAAAAAAAUUUCAUUAACAGGUUUACAACCAGUUAAACAUUUAUUUAAAAAAAUUAACCGGUUAAAAUUUCAAAAUUAUAUAUAUUUUAAAUUUGAAAUCUACGAAAGUCCAAAUAGAAUCAAAGUCUGGUCAUAAUUCGAAGGUCCCGGAAUCGAAUCUAAAACUCGCAGCACGCCGGAUUUUGUAUUUUCGAAGCAAUCGGGUUUGCUGGCCAACCCGAAUUUUGUUUCCUCGAUCGUUCCUCUUUUACUGCAAUCUUCGCUUUGAAAACUGUUUGAAGCCAAAAAGAAGCGAGAAAGAAGAAGCUCUACAAUGGUUCGUGUUCGUGAAGUGGUUUCGGUCCGACGAUAACGACUCGGCGACGGGAGUCAAGAGGAGAACCGGGCUGGGUUCGUCAUUCUUUACUGAUUCUCCUCUAUCGCAUUUGCAUUGUUUUGACCAAGACAGCAAAUAUGUAUAUCUAUAGAGCAUACAUUAUUCUCUCACCUAUGUGUGGUGCUAUUUCACUCAAUUCUCAAACAAGUUGGUUUCUCUAAAUCUCAAAGAAAUGGAACAAACUUUCAUCAUGAUCAAGCCCGAUAGGGUCCAAAGAGACUCGUUGCUGAAAUCAUCAACAGAUUUGAGAAGAAGGGUUUCUCUUGGAAUGGUUUGAAGCUUAUGACUGUGGACCGCCCUUUUGCUCAGAAGCACUAUGAGGAUUUGUUGUCAAAGCCUUUCUUUGGUGCUCUUAUUGGGUGCAUACCCUCUGGUCCUGUCAUUGCUAUGAUUUGGGAGGACAGAAGAACUUAGAAACAAAACAAAAAUUUAGAAAAAUGACAUAGAACUUAUAAAUUGACAUUAAGUGUGAAAUGAAACAAAAAAUGUGUAAAUAGCACAUAAUACUAGUAAAUUGAUGGAAAAAUGAGUAAAUUAAUGUCGGAGUUGUAAAUUGUAAGAAGAACUUCUAAACAAAACAAAAAUUUAGAAAAAUGACAUAGAACUUCUGCUGUACCGUACAUCCGCCUUGGCCGUACAGCAGUAAUAAUAACAACAAAAUUAUAAAUAUAAUAAUAUUUUUACUAAAUAAUAAUAUAAUAAAAUAUGAAUAAUAAUAACUUAUUAUUUUAAUAAUAAUUAUAAAGUUUGAUUACAAUAAUAUUUUCAUAAAUAAUAAUCAUAUAACAAAAUCAUGAAAUUAAUAAAUAAUAACAAUAAUGAAUUAGUAAUCAUAAUUAUAAUACUAUUUUAAUAAAUAUUAUGAUGAUGAUGACGAUGACGAUGAUGAUAAUGAUUAUUAUUAUUAUUAUUAUUAUUAUUACUACCACCAAUUGACAAUAAUCAACAAAGGGCAUUUAAGUAAAGUAUGAUAAUUCAUUCUGAUUUCAAGACAAAUUAAACACAUCAAUGGAAAUGAAUCUCAUUCCAACUUCAAUUUCUACAGCUUAAAUAAAUAACUUAUUUUUAUUCACAUUCUUGAUUCUGAUUGUAGCCCGUUCCGAUUACUGAUUAGUAAAUGCACCAUGAGUAGAUUAUUGUGGUUUAAUUGGGUCUGUUUUUUUCAAACCUAAUUAAUAAUUAGUUUGGGUUGGAUAAAUUAUAAUUAACCAGUCUAACCCAACCAAAUCUAUUAUUUUAUAAGAUUAAUAUAAAAGUAAGUUGGUUUUAAUUUCUUUUUAUUUUUUUAGUGAAUACUUAACGGCACAUAAUUAUAUAUCACUUUCAUUUUAUUUUUGUAUAUGAUGCUAGUUAAUUAUCUAAAAAGUCCGAAUUUGGAAUUGGAAAAGGAGAUGCAGGUGAAAUAAAGUCUAUAUGCUUUUUGUGAAAAUUUUCUUAAUUUAAAGAUAGUUAAUUUAUUAACUUUCUUUACGUUACUAGAUAGUGAAUGAAAAUUUCAUGUUAUGAAAGAUUUAUAUUUGAUUUUAAUAAGUUUCAUUUCAAGUUUCAUAUCAUUCAUUGUUCAAUUUAAAAUUUUGAUUUGACCUUCAAGCUAAUCAACUUCACCAGACGAUAUAAGGUUUGGGAAGAAUUGGGUUAAAUAAGUUUAUUUAGUUAAGUUGGAUGGAUUUUAUCUCAACUCAUUAAAAAGUAGACCAGGUUAGAAUUUCACUAACCCGAUCAAACCCAAUUCAUGCCCACCCUUAUAUCAUUCUAUCUAAAUCAUAAAAUGCCAAUAAUCCAACUCUUUAACCAUUUUCACAUUGGAUUUAAGUUGAAGCAAUUGACCUAAACUUAAUAACCUAAAUUCCAAAUAAAUGUGAAAUAACACAAAAAAUUUCUAAACUACACGUAUAACUCGUAGAUUCAAGGUAAAACAGGUAAAUUAGCGUUAGAGUGGUAAAUUGGUCUACAAAAUAAAAAAAAUAAAAAAAUAGAAAAAAACUAGUAAAUUGAUAGAAAAUGUAGUAAAUUAAUGUUGGAGUUGUAAUUUGUACGAAGAACUUGUAAACAAAACAAACAUUUUGAAAAAUGACAUAGAACUUGUAAAUUCACAUUAAGUGUAAAAUAAAACAAAAAAUAUGUAAACCACACAUAAACCUAGUAAAUUAAUGAAAAAAAUGGCAAAUUAAUGUUGGAAUUGUAAUUUACACGAAGAACUUGUAAACAAAAUAAAAACUUAUAAAAAUGACAUAGAACUAGUAAAUUGACAUUAAUUGUGAAAUAAAACAAAAAAUGUGUAAAUCACACAUAAAACUAGUAAAUUGAUGAAAAAAGGAGUAAAAUAAUAAAUUGCAAGAAGAACUUGUAAACAAAACAAAAACUUAGAAAAAUGACAUAGAACUAGUAAAUUCACAUUAAGUGUGAAAUAAAACAAAAAUAUGUAAACCACACAUAAAACUAGUAAAUUAAUGAAAAACAUGGUAAAUUAAUGUUGGAAUUGUAAUUUGCACGAAGAACUUGCGAACAAAACAAAAACUUAAAUGUGAAAUAAAACGCAAAAUAUGUAAAACACACAUAAAACUCGUAAAAUAAUGAAAAAAAUGGUAAAUUAAUGUUGGAAUUGUAAUUUGCACGAAGAACUUGUAAACAAAACAAAAACUUAUAAAAAUGACAUAGAACUAGUAAAUUGACAUUAAUUGUGAAAUAAAACAAAAAAUGUGUAAAUCACACAUAAAACUAGUAAAUUGAUGAAAAAAUGAGUAAAUUAAUGCUGGAGUUGUAAAUUGCAAGAAGAACUUGUAAACAAAACAAAAACUUAGAAAAAUGACAUAGAACUAGUAAAUUCACAUUAAGUGUGAAAUAAAACAAAAAUAUGUAAACCACACAUAAAACUAGUAAAUUAAUGAAAAACAUGGUAAAUUAAUGUUGGAAUUGUAAUUUGCACGAAUAACUUGUAAACAAAACAAAAAUAUAUAAAAAUGACAUAGAAUUAGUAAAUUGACAUUAAUUGUGAAAUAAAAUAAAAAAUGUGUAAAUCACACAUAAAACUCGUAAAUUGAUGAAAAAAUGAGUAAAUUAAUGCUGGAGUUGUAAAUUGCAAGAAGAACUUGUAAACAAAACAAAAACUUAGAAAAAUGACAUAGAACUAGUAAAUUCACAUUAAGUGUGAAAUAAAACAAAAAUAUGUAAACCACACAUAAAACUAGUAAAUUAAUGAAAAACAUGGUAAAUUAAUGUUGGAAUUGUAAUUUGCACGAAGUACUUAUAAACAAAACAAAAACUUAAAUGUGAAAUAAAACGCAAAAUAUGUAAAACACACAUAAAACUCGUAAAAUAAUGAAAAAAAUGGUAAAUUAAUGUUGGAAUUGUAAUUUGCACGAAGAACUUGUAAACAAAAUAAAAACUUAUAAAAAUGACAUAGAACUAGUAAAUUGAUAUUAAUUGUUAAAUAAAAUAAAAAUGUGUAAAUCACACAUAAAACUAGUAAAUUGAUGGAAAAAUGAGUAAAUUAAUGUUGGAGUUGUAAUUUGUACGAAAAACUUGUAAACAAGACAAAAACUUAAAAAAAUGACAUAGAAUUAGUAAAUUCACAUUAAGUGUGAAAUAAAACAUAAAAUCUGUAAACCACACAUAAAACUAGUAAAUUAAUGAAAAACAUGGUAAAUUAAUGUUGGAAUUGUAAUUUGCACGAAGAACUUGUAAACAAAAUAAAAACUUAUAAAAAUGACAUAGAACUAGUAAAUUGAUAUUAAUUGUUAAAUAAAAUAAAAAUGUGUAAAUCACACAUAAAACUAGUAAAUUGAUGGAAAAAUGAGUAAAUUAAUGUUGGAGUUGUAAUUUGUACGAAGAACUUGUAAACAAAAUAAAAACUUAUAAAAAUGACAUAGAACUAGUAAAUUGAUAUUAAUUGUUAAAUAAAAUAAAAAUGUGUAAAUCACACAUAAAACUAGUAAAUUGAUGGAAAAAUGAGUAAAUUAAUGUUGGAGUUGUAAUUUGUACGAAGAACUUGUAAACAAAACAAAAACUUAGAAAAAUGACAUAGAACUAGUAAAUUCACAUUAAGUGUGAAAUAAAACAAAAAAUAUGUAAAUCACAGAUAAAACUAGUAAAUUAAUGAAAAAAAUGGUAAAUUAAUGUUGGAAUUGUAAUUUGCACGAAUAACUUGUAAACAAAACAAAAAUAUAUAAAAAUGACAUAGAACUAGUAAAUUGACAUUAAUUGUGAAAUAAAACAAAAAAUGUGUAAAUCACACAUAAAACUAGUAAAUUGAUGGAAAAAUGAGCAAAUUAAUGUUGGAGUUGUAAUUUGUACGAAGAACUUGUAAACAAAACAAAAACUUAGAAAAAUGACAUAGAACUUGUAAAUUUACAUUAAGUGUGAAAUAAAACAAAAAAUGUGUAAAUCACAAAUAAAACUAGUAAAUUGAUGGAAAAAUGAGUAAAUUAAUGUUGGAGUUGUAAUUUGCACGAAGAACUUGUAAACAAAACAAAAACUUAUAAAAAUGACAUAAAAUUAGUAAAUUAACAUUAAUUGUGAAAUAAAACAAAAAAUGAGUUGUAAAUUGUAAGAAGAACUUGUAAACAAAACAAAAACUUGUAAAUGUUGCAUAAAACUUGUAAAUCAACAUUAACUUCUAAAAGUUUCAUAAAACUUGUAAAUCACACAUAAAAUUGGUAAAUGUAACCUGAAACUUGAACUAAAAAUAGUAAUUACCUGCUACUUAGGUAACAAGUUACCUAUUUAUUUAGAAUUAAUGGUAGAGAUUUUUUAUUCAAAUCUAACGGUCCACGUCCAUUACGACAUCAAUGCCGUAAAUUUAGUUACGGCAUUAUAGAAUGACCCUUUAUUUAAACAUAAUAAUGUUAAAAAAGACAUUUUAAUAAAAAUUAAGACACAUUUAAUAUAAACAGAAAAUAGUCAAUGUAUUUCAUGGUUAUAAUAUUUUUCAUUUUAGUAUGGGAAAAGGACAAACGCACCCCCAACGUUUAAGCAAAGAGACAAAAACUCUCUUAAUAUUUCAAAAAAGACAUUUACACCCUAAUUUAUUAUAAUUUUACCAUUAUACCCUUCUAGCAUAUAAAAAAAUUAUUAAAUUAUCUAAUUUGUCUAUAUAUUGUUAAUAAAAUUAUAAAUACACAAAUUGGAUAUUAUAAAAAAAAUUAUAAAUAUACCCUCAUUGCCCAAUUCCUCUAUUUAAAUUUUUAUCAAUAACCAAUUUUCAAAAAAGACAUCUAUACACCUAAAAAAAUUGUAAAUAAAUUAUAAUUUUAAAAAAUAAAAUUAGUUAUUAAUAACUAAUUUUAUUUCAACUUUAAACUUUUAUAUUUAACAAUUCUCCACAUGUCAAUCAUUUAAACUUAUACGUUUAUAACUAAUUUUCUAUGUUAUUUAUUAUGGUAUUAAUAACCAAUUUUAUUUUUAAAAUUAUAAUUUAUUAACAAUUUUUUUAAGUGUAGAUGUCUUUUUUGAAAAUUGGUUAUUAAUAAAAAUUUAAAUAGAGGAGUGAGGCAAUGAAGGUAUAUUUCUAAUUUUAUUAACAAUAGGAAAAUGAUGUUUGCCCCGGGUCAAACCCCGAAACUGCGUCAAACGACGCCGUUUCGUCCAUCGUUUUUUUUUUUUUUUUGUUUUGAUUCGUUUUGAAACGACACCGUUUCUGUUUCUAUUUUUUUUUCUUUGUUCUGAUUUCUACUUUCUCUUCGUUCAAGCCAACUGCAGACCCCUUGCUUUUUCCUCUUCGUUCUCUUAAUGACAAUGUUUUUGCUUCGUUCUCUUAAUCUCAACCGUGCCUUGAAUGUGAAGUCAAUCAGGAGACCAGAGAAAAGUAGGUGGUAGGAAAUCAGUGGGUUCUGGAGAUCUUGAUGAUAUAGGCUUCCAUAUCUCUACUUCCGCAAAGUAUCUCCUCAUUUCAGCAUUCCUUACUUCAAGAAACCCUGCCACUUUGGAUGCUUCACUUUUUUAUUCAACUGGGAUUUCUGAUAGUCACAAACGAAAAAGGAAGUGAGUGUUGUUCUGUUCCAAAUCUAUGUCAUAAUGGCUCUACAAUCAAGUUGUGAUGCUACUUAUUCAUGUGUUAGGAUGUUCCUCACAAAUUUAUCAAGCUGUGGAAAGGCCACCCGGGCUCUGUGGAAGCUUUUGAUUGAUGAAGGAAAUGGCUUUUGCUUUGCCAUUUACUUUAAGCCCUAAACGUCGUCGUUUCAUGAAAAAUAAAAACAAAAAAAAUGAUGGACGAAACGGUGUCAUUUGACGCAGUUUCGGGAUUUGACUCGGGGUUUGAUCCGGUGCAAACAUCAGCACUCUUAACAAUAUAUAGACAAAUUGGAUAAUCUAAUAAUUUUUUUUAUAUGCUAGAAGGGUAUAAUGGUAAAAUUAUAAUAAAUUGUGAUGUGAAUGUCUUUUUUUAAACAUUAAGAAAAUUUUUGUCCCUUUACCUAAACGUUGGGAGUGUGUUUGUCAUUUUCCCUUUUAAUAUUAUAAACUAACUAAUAAGAAGAUGAGGUGAGACAAACAAACCACUUAAUAUUUUAAAUUUUAUAUUAUAUAUAACUAAAUUUUUAUUUGAUAAUAAAACUUAUUUUCCAUUUUUCUUACAACCACCGAUGUUUCAUGUAGAGUUAUUGAGUUUACAUCAUGGAUUUAGAUUUGUAAUAAGGAAUUUACAUUUUACACACUUUGUAAAAUUCGUUAAUUUACUCGUAAUCAAAGGAUCCUAUUAAAAAAAAUUAUAAACCACCUGUCAUAGCCGCUGAAUGCCACGUAGCAUCGCCCACCGAAUACUGAAAAACCUUAGGAACUAAGCAGAAGGUGCUGGUGGGGGGUCAUCUCAUCUCACCCGCAGUGCACGUCAGCCAUCACUGUUUGACCAUCCAACCGACGCCAUACAGUCUAAAUUCUUUGCGUGUAUGUGACCGCCUUGAUGGUCCCACCUGAGUGACACGACCGAAGCCCAGACAGAUAUAAAUAUUAAACAAAUACAUGCAGUGCUUCCAGAGCUAUCUUUAAUGUCAACUUCGGUUCCGGGGAUCUCGUCUUCAAAAGCAAACCACUAAAGACUAAACUAAGGUACAAACAAGCUCUUUUGGAUUUUCUUUCCAUUAUCGUUAUCGUGUUUGUUACUCUUUUGAUUCAAACGGGUUGGUUCUGUUUUUUUAUUUUGUGAGGUUUAUGGUCUGAUUUUCUUUUGUUAGUGAAUCCGCCCUGGGUUUCUAGCUAGCUAGUUUGAGAAUUGACUGUUAGAUUAAUCUGCUAGAUAGAAAUUACGACUGUUCUUAUUGAUAUUUGAAAGCUUUGAUCAUGGGAUAAUAGUUGAUUUGAUAGUCGUUGACGUGAAUGUUUUUGGUCUGUUAAUGAUCGGCUCUUGGAUUAUAGCUGUUGUCGUUGUUGUUGAUAAGUACAUGGGAAGGGUUAUGAUUUUAUAUGAUGUUUUGAAGCUGCAAUGUAAUUUCCCGAUUGUUAUUAUAUUUACGCAAGGGACGUAGGGAUGGCAAUGGGCAGUGGAGGAGAGGGGACCGACAUCCCGUAUCUAUCCCGAUAUUCUAUAUGUCCUCGUUUCCAUCAUAAUUUCUUGAGAGAAUCUCUGUUUAUCUCCUUAAAUAAUAACAGGAGAUAUUGAGGAUCUUCGAUUUUUAAAUAACUGAUAUAUUUUUAGUUUUUAAUUUUAAUUUAAUUAUAUUAAAAUAAAAAAAUUUUAAAUAAAAGUAGAGUUAAGGCCGCUGCUGUCUACCGUCAAAAAUUAAAAAUUAGGUUUUACGAUUUUGCUUUAAUUUUUGUUUUAUUAUAUAAAAGUUUAAAAUAUUUAAUGACUAUUAUAAUUAAAAAAAAUUUGGGCCAACAAGAUCUUGUUCGACUUUUUUAAUGUUCUAAAUAGAUAUUUAAGACUGUAACUAGUUGACUAGAGCCAAAAGUUUAAUAAUAUAAAUAUUUUGAUAUUUGUUUUUUACACUAAUAUUUAAUAUUUUAUAAUUUAAAUUUUAUUAUUUAUUCACUAAUAAUUUUUAAAAUUAAAAUGGAAAAAUGGAGAGGGGAUGGGAAAAUCGUCCAUGUCCCUUCUCUGAAUAAGAAAUUGGAUAUAAAACAUCCACAUAAUCUCUCCGAAUGAGAAAAAUUCCAGAGGGUCCCCAUCUUCGUGGGGAAUUUCUGCCAUCCCUAAAAGGAUGUAGAGACCAGAUUAUUAGAGAGCGCUGACAGAAAACUGGGGUCGAACUGUUAACUGUUACUGAUAAUUGGAUUGUUGAGACAUGGAAUGAAACUGCUGUUCUGUAUUAAAAUCUGUCAGAAUGAACAAUUGAGACAUUUUAUCUCAUUUUUGGAUGGUUUUACUUUGCAUAUUUAUAUGGUAAAUGGUGCACAGAGUUGUUGAGAUCUCGGAAUGUGGAUGGAAUGAGCAAUGCAACAAUUUUUAAUCUGCAGUAGCACUUGUUUGCGUCUGCUGUACUUUUAUUAUCUUCAAAAAGAUGGAAGCACUUGUUUUUCUGCUCUGCUUCAUAAUCAUUCGAAUGAUUUGAAAGUAAAAUAAAACAGGAAUCACAUUAAUGUUUUUGCUGAAUAUAUGAACUGAUCUUUGGGGUGAAAUACAACUAUGCAAGAAGCAAGUGGUACAUACCAAUUACUGUGAUAUAUUUGUUAUUCAAUUUGUUCUUUAAAAAAAAUUCUACAUGGUUUAUAUUUUUCCUUCAGUUGCCUCAUUGGUUUUCUGCUUACUUGCCUGCAGCAACUUUUUCAGGUCAUCUAAGCUUCAGAAAAAAGGAUAUAAAUUGAAAUUUCAAGUUUCAGUGUGAAAUCCAAAGAUGGAAGGAAAAUCUGCAUCCAUUUCUGGAGGUCAAGAAAAGGUCGUCAAGAAGGAAGAACUGAAUCUCAAAGUCAAAACCAAGGAUGUAGAAUCAGAUGUUGGGAAGGAGCAGAAGCCUGAGGUGGAACUUGAAUUGAAGACCAAAUCAGUGGAGAAAGAAAAGCAAAAACACAAGGAGGACAAACAUGAAGAGAAGGAUGACAAGAAAUCGAAGAAAAAGGAGAAAGAGAAGAAGGUUGAUGAUGAAGAUGGAAAGAAGAAAGAGAAAAAGGACAAAGAAAAAGAGGAGAAGAAGAAGAACAAAGAUGAAGAUUUAGAUGAAGGAAAAAAGAAAGACAAGAAAGAGAAUAAGAAAAAAGACAAGGACAAAGAAGAGAAGAUAAAGAGCAGUACCGAGAAGAAAGAUAAGAAACACAAGGACAAAGCGGACGAGGACAGAGAAUGUGAUCGUGAAGAUGACGAGCAAGAAGAGAAAAAGGAAAGGAAGAAGGAUAAGGAGAUGAAAGAGAAGAAGAACAAAGAUGAAGAAGGUGAGGAAGAGGAAGAAAAGAAGAAGAAAAAGAUUAAAGAUGAGGAGAAAGAAGUGAAGAAGAUGAAAGGUAAGGAGAAGAAAGAUAGCAAGAAGCAGGACGAAGAAGAUGAAGAGGAGGAAGAAAAAAAGAAGAAAGAAAAGAAGCACAAAUAUGAAUUAGUGAAGGAUAAAGACAGUGAUGGGGAAAAGGGUGAGGUAGUAGUAACCACCAGGGAGAUUCAAAUAGAAGAAAGUGGGAAGGAAUCACAAGGUGAAGGACAAGACCAGCAGAAAGAUGAAGGCAAAGAGAAGAAAAAAGAAAAGGACAAGAAGGACGGCAAGAAGAGAAAACUAGAUGGAAAGGGUAAGAGCAAGGAUAUUGGCAAGCUAAAACAGAAGUUGGAGAAUGUUAAUGCCAAAAUAGAGGCUCUCAUCGAGAAAAAGGCAGAUAUUAUGAGGCAAAUUCAAGAAGCUGAACGCGAGAGCAGUGGCACAACCGAGAAGGAGACAGAUAAAGCUAGCUGAUUAUCAUAGCACUGUUGUAGGUGUGUUGCACUUAAGCUACUGUUGUAAUAAAAUAACAUGUUCAUGUGUCUCCCACAUAUGACUGAAUAAACCUCAGAACUCGAUAUGACGAAUAAAAAAAGCCUAUAUCUAUUUCGACGAUAAAUAAAAGUUGCUUGGCUUCCUUAUCACGGUAACAAUAUUAUUUAGUUGUAUGUUUAUCAUAUAAUUUUUGCAUUCCUAUCUGCUCUUUCCUUUCACUUUUUGAUGAAAUUAAAUCUUAGGUGCAUUGCCAACUGGAAGUAAACCUGAUAGGUAGAAUCAGUAAUGUCUCUGUAGAAGCUAGAUGUUGAAUGAUUAAGGUUCUAUUUGACGCAUCACCUGUGAAUAUUUGCUAUUGUUUAUCCAAAAACAAUAGUUUCACUAAAAUUGACAAGUUCAAACACACUCCAGCAUUUGAAUCAGCAAUUUUAGUGAAACUAUUGUUUCAAUUAUGAAUUAUGCAUCAGGCAAUGGGUAUAUGUGAAAUCCAUGGCCCUUAUGUUUAUAACAUGCGCAUACAAUAGCAGUUACAUUAUAAUUUGAUUUGAAGUUGGCCUUAUACAAUCACAUGUAGCCAGACUUAUUUACAAUCAGUAUAACGAAAAUCUUCUGCGUAACACUCUAGCAAGAAUUCUUGUAAUCACUCCAUCUAAUUUCUUUUUUAUUCUAUUAAUCACUAUAAAUACCAAUUUGAGGAAGUUUCUUAUAACAAGCAUGAAAAAACUAGCUUGUCUGUCUAGACUUGGUAGUGAGGCCAAAUCCAAAUGGGAAGAGAGGAUCAUAAUGUGGAUCUCCAACAUUCAUUGGCAGCUGAUCAACAGUCUUGAACCAUGUACGCGGAAGCUUGCCAGUGAAAUCGUAGUCACCAAACAGAACAUCAGCAACACCUUGACCCUCAGUUCCAGGGAGCCAAGCUGCAACAAGAGCAUCAAUGUAUGAAAGAUACGGUUGGAUCACAACAGGACGGCCAGAGAUUACGACAACAACACAUUCCACAGCUCCACAAACGUUUGUGAUGGUGUUAGGACCAGGGUCGGCAAUAUUCAGGUUCAUGCUGUCGCCGUUUGUCUCUGCAUAUGGGUGCUCUCCAACUACCACAAUGGCAUAUGAGAAGUUGUUGGACUUCACAAAGUUGGCAUCUGGAUUCUCCUGAUAGACAACUUCAGUUUGUUGAUCAACAGUAUUUUUAAUGGCAUUGAGUAUUGUAGUACCUGCGCAUUAGACGGACCAUGUUAGUUGGUCUUACCCAUAAUAACUUGUUGUAUAAAAGUUCUUAUCAGCAACAUUAGCCAUCUAUUUUACCUCUAGUGAGGUCGUUGCCACUAAGUCCCUGCCACUCAAUUGUCCAGCCACCACACUGAUAACCCAGAUUGUCAGCAUGGCUGCCAGCAACUAGUAUCUUUGAUGUUUUUUUAGGAAGGGGUAGUAUCUUUGAUGUCUUUUUAGGAAGAGGUAGUAAUGGAACCUCAGUUGAAUCACCAUUCUUUAGCAGCACAAGUGAUUUUCUUACAGCUUCCCUAGCCAGUUCUCUAUGCUCCUGCUUCGGUAACAGGAUGAAUGAGAAUACUUUUGAGACCCGUGCAACAUAGAGGUAAAAUAGUAGUUUAGUAACUAACCUGACUUCCCAGCUGAUCAACCAGGCUAUCAUCAGCCAAUGGAUUCUCGAAUAAACCCAUCACAAAUUUGACUCGCAAAAUUCUUCUCACUGCAUCAUCAAUUCUGCUCAUAGGUAUGAUGUUAUUCUUCACUUGGAAGGUCAGAUCAUCUAUGAAUUCUAUAUAGUUAUAGGGGACCAUGACCUGGAGCACGUUCAAAACAAAGAAUUAAAAUAGACUUGAUGAAAAUUUAUAAAAGUUUUGUUAUAGCACCUAAGCAAAGCCUAUGAACUGACCAUGUCAAUGCCAGCCUUGAUUCCUACUUCAACGGAAUAUGAGUAGUUAGCAUGAGGUGGAGAUGUGAUCCUGUCCAGACCUUCCCAAUCUGUGAUGACAAAACCCUGAAGAAAAUUUUCCGCAGUCAGUCAUCAAUUCAGUUGCUUCCUUUUCAAGUAAAAUAAAAAUACAGAGAUGUCCAUAGGAUGUGUCAAAAGAACGAAUUUUUUACCCUAAAUUGAAGAGUAUUUUUCAGAAAACCAGUGACAAGUUCCUGAUUAGCAUGCAUCUUAAUUCCAUUCCAGCUAGAGUAGGAGACCAUGACAGUUGAGACACCCUUGAUAAUUGAGUUGUAGUAUGCAGGCAUGUGUAUUGCGAGCAAACCGUGUCUGUCUAUGAUAGUGUUGUUCUCAUUUACUCCAUUUAUUGUCCCACCAUCACCUACAAAGUGCUUAGCACAAGCUGCAACCUUUGUUCUGUUGCAAAACAAUCAAAUCAUCAUUUCGUUAUGCGCAUUCUAUAUGAAUCUCUUUGAUCGUAUCUGUCAUUUGAGAAAGGAAGAAGAUAAAUAAUAUGCAAUAAACAUCUGCAAAUUAGAGAUGGUGCUUCUAAAUAUCUUACUUUCCAGCAACAUAGGGGACACCCUUUGGGGACCCAGCAGGAAUGUCCCCCUGGAGUCCAGGUAUAAGCUCAGUCAUCGCCUGGACGAUCUUGGGGUCUUCGCUGUAGCUUUCAUAGCAUCGACCCCAUCUUGGAUCCCUGCAGACCUGAACAAACAAAACAAAUAUAAGGAAUCGCCAUUUGCACAGAUGGAUUUUCAUUUUCUUUUAUGUAAAUCAGUAUUUAAAAUCUGAUAGGUACCGCAAUACAAGGUGCAAAAGUAUAUGGAAUGCCUGUAGCUCGAACUUCAAGUGCAGUUGCAGCUCCAAUCCUUUUAACAAGAUCGGGGUCCCUGGAUGAAUCAACAGAAUGUUAACUCAUGUCGGAUUUACAAAACCAAGUUUAAAGAGAACAAUAUCAUCCACAGAGCUACAUCCACUUGCCUUGUAGCUCCAAGGCCUAUAUUGUGAGGAAAAAUUGUAGCGUUGUAAACAUUGUUAUGACCAUGAACAGCAUCAAUCCCAUAAAUCAUUGGAAUCCCAAGUCGCGUGGAUAAAGCACCCUUCUGAAAAUCAUUGAUUAUGUUAAUCCAAGCCUCAGCAGAAGCCUGUCUUGCCGGAGCACUCCCUCCUCCAGUCAAAACACUCCCUGCCGAAAACUUAAAAUUCUUUAAAAACUUCUUUAGACAUAUUUCAUCAAUCAUCAAUCUGUUAGCGUUGCUUGCUUACCUAUGAAGUAUUUCUUCAUCACCUCAGCUGAAGCAACACCACGUUCAAUCUGUGUCAUUUGGCCUAUCUUUUCCUCCAAAGUCAUCCUGCUAACCAGAUCGUUCACUCGGACAUGUAAUGGCUGCUUGGGAUCUUUAUAUUUCAGGUAUUCUGCUUCUGCCAAGCAACACAAGAGCAGAAGCCCCAUCAAGGAGAUGAGAGUUCUAGCCAUAUUUUCGUAAACCAACCUUCAAAGCUGAAAAAAACCGGAAAUGUCCAUUAAAUUCCCAUUUGAGACAAGACAAAAAAAAAAUGUAAAAUUUGUUCUCUACAUUGAAGACUAAUUAAUUAUAAGUGAUUGAAAUAAAAAAACAAAGAGACUGGCUAAUUAACAAAUGAAGACAGAAUAUUAUGAGGAACAUAAGAAUAUAUGAAUGGGCGCAUACACAAACACAGAAACCAUAAAACGUAAAAUUGAAAAUUCAAAGCUGUGUACAUCCAAACAAAAGUGAAAGAAUAUCUUUUAGGUGACCAUUGCAUUUGGCUUUCGUAAUAAUGAAGCUUGAUUGUUAUUAUUCUUAUCAUUAUUAUAAUUAUUUAAACAAAAAAGAGUCAUAGGGGACUCAUAUGAAUGAACCGCGUCAGUCUUUAAGCAACAGAGGUUUCUUGUUUUCCUACAUUUUCUCAGAAAACAAACAGAGGAUUAACUGAAAGCAGCAGUGCAUACACAGAAAGUUCAAGAAAAAUGCGAGAAAUGAAAAGAAAGAUUACAACUUACAUUGAAAUAAAUAUACCCAAAAGAUUAGUCUGUUUGUUAUGUCUCAGUUUCACAAAUGGGGACUCAAAAAAAUUGUCUCCUUGAAAUGGGAAGCAGCAGUUUGUACGACAAUGCUGCAGAGCUUGAGCUGGUAUUUAUAGAAACUUGCUCCUUAAUUUACUUUUCUAAAACAACAUGGUUGUUACGUGGAAGGAUGAAAUUCAGUUGUGGUAGUGUACACUAACGGUCAACAAAUAUAUAUCUAGACAAUAAAAUGAUCCAAUUCUUCCGAGGUAAUAGGUUGUUCAAACUUCCUCUUGCAUAGAUAAAGAAAGAAUCUUGAAUCUAACUUAAAUUCAAUUCUUAAUUUCAAUAUUACAGUGUAAUUUUAUUGAUAUUACAAUUAAAAGUCCAUCACUGAUCAGGCUUGAUCCCCACAAUGACAAAAAAAUAUUUGAAAAUAACCCUUGAUGAGCACAACAAUGACGAAUAAAGUAACUGGAAAAACUGUCCCAAAAUCACAGGAAACUACUCGAAAUAUGAUGAAAAAAAAUAAAAAGAAUGCAUUCACAUUUUGAUGAUUGAACCUGAAGAAAAGAACGUGAUUGAAUUCAGGGUAAUUCACGCAAGCCCGACUGGAGUGGAUAGGGUUUAUUACAAUUCAAAGUUGGAUAAGAUACACAAAUUCUACAACUGCAACAAAACAAUAAUCAAACUCACGUCAUCGUGCUAUGUCGAGUUUCAACUGAAUUUAUUGAUUUUAUCCGCACAAACAUCUUUUUUCAACUCGGUCGGUUUGAUUUGUUUUCCUUAAAAUCUUUCAAAAUAAUCGCCUGUCAGUUUUUCUUGAGCAUUUCUUACAAGCCAAGAUAUAAGAUCGCUGUGACAAGUACAUUUUUUUCUGAUGAUAAUUUGAUUAAUUAAAAAUUAAAAAAUUGGCAACUUGUGCGUUGGGUACUUUUUUUUUUCGUUUUUAAAUAAAGGUAGUUGUUUUAAACACGUCCGUUAAGUGAACUGCUCUUCCAAUACUACCUGUCAAACGAAAUAAUGGUCUGCUUAUUGCUUGCUUGUUGCCUGGCUAGCUUUCACCAAAUCGAUAUUAUUAUAUACGCCCAAUUACUUCUGUUAAAAAUAAUCAAAAGGCAUAGUUUGUCCAGCUUAGCAUUGCAUAUUUGCAUUAAUUAUAAAUCAAUUAGAAGUUGACGUAUGAAUUAUUUUAUCAUCUCUUGUCCGAAUUGAACACCCAAUUUAGUGUAAAACGCCAUUUUGGUUCUUAAGGUUUAAUUCUUCUUUAGUAUGAUUUAUUUAAUGAUCAUAAAUACUUAUUUAAUCUUAUAAAUUCUUAUCAUAAUUUUGGUCGUUAUUUGGUUGUUUUCCUAAUAGAGUUUUUUAAGUUUAAAUAAGCUAUUUUGCCUCUACUAACAAAAUCUCAAAUUUUAAAUUUUUGCGAGUAAAAAUUAAAAAGUUUUUUUUAAAUAUUAAAAUAUCAUCUACUUAUUUGACAAUCUUAUUUUAUUUUUUUUAUAACAUAACUUUAAAAAACUUGUUUAUUAAAGUAAUUUCAUAAAUUUUUAAUAAAAGUUCUUACUAACAACCAAACAACUAAAUUUUUUUUGGUAAAAACUCCAUGUGUAAAAAUCUACUAACAAAAGUUUUAUUUAAAUAAGAUUUACUUGAAAAAUUGUAUCAAAUGGAGCAUUUGUCUAAUUACUUUACCUAAAAUAUCUAUACUUCACAACUUUUAUAGAUGUUAAAUCUGACUUUUUUAAGGAUAUAAUAAAAGAAUUUUUUUUAUUUAAAUUAAAAUUCGAACAGAUGUGACAACCAAUAAGUAAAAAGUAGAUAAGAAUCAAAUAGAUUUCCACAGAGUAUUUUGAGUAAUUUUGAAAAUACCAAAAUUAAUUAAGUAAUUAACUCAAACCUUUGGGACCAGAGAAGCAUAUCCUCAUCCAACAUUUUUUUGUUAUUAUAAUUUAAUACAUCACGUACCAAUUUGGAAAUCAAAUUGGAUAAUGUCGUCGAGUUAAUAAUAUUCUGUUCUAUAUGAAAUACACACGUACGUACAAUGAUCUUGUAUAUGAGAUACAUGCACAAUUAAUGAUCUUGUAGCUUUUGUUGAUAUAGAUGACACGAUGGACCGACGUGGCUAAUAAUCUUAAGAUUAUGGUUAAUUAAUAAAAGUGUCAAUACCCAGAAUUACUUAUCCAUUACAAAAGAAUACAAUUCUAACUCUACUUGUGUUCAGUUGAAUUAUACACAAUGCAAAUAUUCAACAUAAGGCGUGAUGAUGAAGAGAUGUGAAGCCCCGAAGUGUCUCAUACGAUUUAAUUCUUUCAAAGACUGCCCAUUAAGAUUAUGUAAUAAUACGUGCAAUAUAUUUUGUGCCUAAAACACAGAUUAUAUAUGCAUUGAUUGUUUAAGAUGGAAGCAGUUUAGACCACGUUAUAUAAGUGUUAUAUGCAUGUACACAUAUUUUAGGUCGUCAAUCACUUUCUAUAUCUAUACUCUAAUUAGAGACGUAAAAUGGAUGGUAUAAAAUACGUUAAUGCUAAUCUUUUCUUUAUCAUAUUGGAUUCUUCUUAUAUUGAUUAAUUAUAUUGGGGUCUUUAUUAAUUAUUGUUUGUUUGUUUGUUUGCUUAUUUUUGACUUAUCCGUUGCUUGUUGCAAAGGUAAGUUUGGUUUGAUGCAUGCUAGACGACGAAGACGUCACCUAUAUAUCCAAUCCACGAAUGAGUUUUAAAGAUUAAUACGUUAAAAGGAAAAAAAUGACCUUUUGGCAAGCAUCGAGCCCUUGUUGCAGUCACAUGUGAAUAAUGUGUGCUCCCCAUGAAUAUUUGAAAUUUGUUUUGUUUAGUUCGCGUGUUGACUGAUUCAAAUGCUUUGUACAAUUUUGAGUUAAAAGAAUUUAAGAAUCAAAUUAGACCAGAAUUUAGUUUCUAUCUAUUAUUUAUAAAGGAUUCAGUAUAAUUUUAUAUUGUGUCUUAUGGACCCAUUUAAAUUUUUCCAAAAAAAAAUGAAGAUAUAUAAUAUAAGAAGAUAAUGAAUGAUGAUGAUGAUGAUGAUGAUGAUAAUAUCUCUGUUUUUUAAGAUAUUGUUGAGUAAUGAAAAACUAUAAAUUAAUUUUAUUUACAUAUAAAAAAAAUAUAAGACGUGUGAAGAUCCUGAUAAGCUGAUAACAGAAGCUUUACAGAAUACUCCCCCAAAGAUCUUGAAUUAGAAUCAACAAGAUGCCUCACAAAUCAAUUAGAAAGCUUAACGAAAUAAUGUUCAAUUAACUAAGACUAAGAUUGUGUUUAGAAACAAACAAAGAAUUGAAUCGAAAUACAAGAAAUCACAGAACACAGCUAGCUAACGUAGUUCAGUCAAUUUGCAUUGACUUACAUCCACGGGGGAACAAACGCAUCAACUUUAUUGAUAUUGCUCAAGUCUUGAUUACAGAGAUUACCAAGCACUCAAUAAGAACAAGAAAACUAUCCUCUAUAUCAAGCUUUCUUUCUCUCGUUAUAAUGCUCUCAGUCUCUCGUCAACUCUCUCUUUCUCUCAACUGUGUACAACAGCUUAUAAACCACCUCAGAGGCAUUUCCAGAAACACACGUGAUGAUCAUGUGGAAUAACGGCUUCUUUAACAACCUUCUUGUUUGCACGUGUUCUGCUUGUGCUUCAUUAACUCCAAAACAACAAGAUUGUUGGUCGUUCUAACAAGCACUUGAUUUACUUAUUAAAACGCAGUCUUCGUAUGUCGUUUUGCUUAAGUUAUAGUGCAUCACAAAACGCGAGUCAGCACUGCCGUUUCAUCCUCUUUGAUUUGAUUCACUGAAUACACAACAAAACUCCACCUUGAAGCAAAUCAUCCCUGAUAAACUUUCUCCUCAUUAUCGUGUGCAUUUCUCAGGAGCUGCACACUCCAGUCAAAUCCAAACAGAGAUUGAAUUUAGCUGUAGGUACCACAUUUGUAAGCAUGUCAGCUGGGUUACUGUCACUGUGAACUUUAACCAUUUUGAUGACUCCUUUAGACACUUCAUUCCUGAUAAAGUGUAGCUUCACAUCAAUAUGUUUGGUUCUUUCAUGGUGUGCUGGAUUUCUUGCUCAGAUAGAUUGCACUCGAGCUGUCACAAUGGAUAUCAACAGACUGUUGCUUCUUGCCCAAUUCAGCUAACAUACCCUUAAGCCACAAUGCUUUUUUAACAGCCUCUGUAGCUGCAGUGUAUUCAGCUUCUGUAGUUGACAAAGCUACAAUAUGUUGAAGGUUUGCUUUCCAGUUGAUUAGACAGCCAUUUAACAUGAACAUAUAACCUGUUAAAGAUCUUCUUCUGUCAUUAUCCCCUGCAAAGUCUGAGUCUACAUAUCCACAUAGUCCAUCAUUUUCUCUCCCUGAUCUCCCAUAUUGCAGUCCAAUCCCCAAGGUACCCUUUAAGUAUCUUAGGAUCCAUUAUAUUGUUUGUUUGUUUUUUACUUAUCCGUUGCUUGUUACAAAGGUAAGUUUGGUUUGAUGCAUGCUAGACGAAGGAAGACGUCACCUAUAUAUCCAAUCCACGAAUGAGUUUUAAAGAUUAAUACGUUAAAAGGAAAAAAUUGACCUUUUGGCAAGCAUCGAGCCCUUGUUGCAGUCACAUGUGAAUAAUGUGUGCUCCCCAUGAAUAUUUGAAAUUUGUUUUGUUUAGUUCGCGUGUUGACUGAUUCAAAUGCUUUGUACAAUUUUGAGUUAAAAGAAUUUAAAAAUCAAAUUAGACCAGAAUUUAGUUUAGUUUCUAUCUAUUAUUUAUAAAGGAUUCAGUAUAAUUUUAUAUUGUGUCUUAUGGACCCAUUUAAAAUUUUCCGAAAAAAAUGAAGAUAUAUAAUAUAAGAAGAUAAUGAAUGAUGAUGAUGAUGAUGAUGAUAUCUCUGUUUUUUAAGAUAUUGUUGAAUAAUGAAAAACUAUAAAUUAAUUUUAUUUAUAUAUAAAAAAUAUAUAAGACGUGGAUAGGACUGCUACUAAGUAAAUCUAGCUAACUAAUUAGAUUUGUUGCAGACUGGGAUACAAGUUCUAGAACUUUAAUAAAUGAUAAUUAAAUUGAUCUUUUUUCAUUCUCAACGCUAUGAUUUUCAGUUUAUUAUUUUUGAUAUAAAAGAGAUGUGGUGUAUACAUGUCAUCGCCAAUCUCCAAUACCAAUUCUCCAAAACUGAAACGAAGAAAGUUGAUAUUGAUUUAUUAUUUUUAAGAAUUUGAAAAUUUUAGGUAAUGAUUUGGCCGCUAUAGAGCUAAAAUAUGAGUAAAUAUACUUGUUUUAUCUUUUAAGAACCAGUCGAUUAUAUGAUAUGAUGGCACUGAAGCACCAAAUUUCUUGUUUGGAAUGCUCUUUGAUACCACGAUCACUCAAAUAAUAUUAUUAUUUUUUAAAGAAAAAAAUAUUAAAAUGUGACAAACUAUUGAUUCAAUCAACAAAGUCUGUUACAAAUAUAACAUUAGAUUAAUUUUGCAUUUUGGGCCUGUUCAUGGGGAUUGCUAGUUAAUGACAGCAUUACCUAACAACUUUUACUAAAUUACAAGAUCUACCAUUUAUUUAGUUGUUAAAGCUGUUGUCUUUUUUUUUUUUUCUAGUCGUGGCCAUUUAUUUAGUUGUUAAAGCUGUUGUCUGUUAAAGCUGUUGUCUUUUUUUUUUUUUCUAGUCGUGGCCUACUUCUGUCAUGUCAAAAUUCAGUUUGGUUUAGUUAAUGCACGUAGACCACCAAAUCUGUGAAGUAAAAUUGCCACAAAGAAAUACCCACCCGGCAUCUCCACCAUCUAUGCUAGCCAAUCGUUCAUUCACCAUCAGGCGCAAUCUUUGCUACAUUAAUAUUGACAUUUGAUAACAGUAGUACAUGCUUAGCUUAGCAGGUUUUGUUACGUCACUUUUCUUCAAUUAGCUACAGCUUUUUUCACUCGUCUUCACAAAUCACAACUGCAUGGCACUUGCCAUAGCCAUUUUUUCAAAUCGUUAAAAGGAAUUUUGGUGUCUUUUAUUAAAAAUUUAGAGAUCUACAUAACUAUUUUCCAAAUCGUGUAGAUAUCACUUUUCCUUUUGUAUUUUGACAUUCCGUUUGAUUGAAAUUUCUGUAAUACCUUGACUUAUGUGUAUAUAAGUCAUUAUGUUAAGAAUAUAUAAGUUAAUUAUUUUGUUGGGCCUAAACUAAUUCAAAGCCCACACUAACAGUUAAAAAAAGCUGAGCCUAAUAGCCUCUUUAUACAUCACUAAAAAUAAAAAUCUAUUAUUUUGUUGGGCCUGAACUAAAUCAAAGCCCAAACUAAUACUAAUAAAAGCCAAGCGCAUUAGCCUUUAUACACACGCGCGUAUGGGGGCAGAUCAGCAGCCUCCUAAAAUUAUAUCUAUUUUUAUAUUAAUAAAAGAAUAGUACAUGUACCGAGAUGAUGCAACAAUUAGAACGUAAGACUCUUCUUAAAUUAAUAAAUAACUUUGCUAAAAUAAUUUUUUUUUCAUAGUCCCAAAAAAAUAUAUAUAGAGGUUUCUUAGAAUAUUUAGAUAUUAAAAACAAGUAACCAUAGAGAGGUCAAAGUAAAUUUACCUAAAAAAAUUAAGCUUAGCUGUAAUAUGGGACACUAAGAAAUUAGUUUAAACAAACAUCACAUACUAGCAAUGGUCAACAAAAUUUUAUAGCAGACCUAUUAAUUAAUUUAGGAUAAAAUUUAGAAAUUAAUUUUUAGAAAUUAAUUUAGACAAAAUUUCUAAGUUAUUAAUAGGAGUAAACAGUUCUUUGAAAUUAGUAAUAUUAAUACAUUAAGAAAAAACUUAGAUUGUAUUGAAGAAAUAUUAUCAUAUUCCAAUAGUCAAAUUAAGAGAUCCCGUAAUAUAAAAAGAAAUUGCGGAUUUAAAUAUAUUAUUAGAUAUUAAAACUCCUAAACGAACUGAGUUAGAAAUUGGAAUCAUAGUUGAUUUACUAAAAAUAGAAACAGAAAAUAUUACAAAAACACCAAGUAACUUGCAACAACAGUUGGAUUCCGAAGUACAAUACGAAUAGAAUAAGAGAAAUCUUAAUAAAAAAUAUUAUAUGUAAAAUUGAGAAUAUUGAUGAUAAAAUUAAAUAAUAUUAAUAGAAAAAACAAUCAAUCAAAUAAUUAAUUGUCUCCAUUUUAAUUACGAAUUGCGAUAGAUUGAUUGUAAAUCAAUAUAAUAAUUGAUUGACCCAAUCUUUGUUAACAAUCAUUGUUCCUGAAUUAUAUACAUCAAUUACAUCAUUUUCUUUUUCAUAUUUCAAAUACUUAUAUAAAUUAAGCCUUUGUACUCACGAAUUAAUAAGAGUGAAAUUUAUGUUUCCUCAAUAAUUCUCAGAAGUUUUCACUAUUAGGGGCGAGAGAGAGUUUUGUCGGCCAGCACUAUUGAUUUGCAUAUAAGAACAAACGUGUCUGUAAUUACAAAGAAAGAAAAUGAUAAACUUUGCUUCUAGAAUCGCUUCAAAUUCAGAAAAUUCAAUAAGAAUUUUCGGAUUCUUAGUCCAAUACUCUUCUAAUAAAAGUCAAAAGGAUUUUCUGGAGUUGGAUUCAUUUGAUUGGCGGUGGACAAAUGAAGCUCCCACAGCGGCGAGUGAUUAUCUGUGAAGUGAUCUCAAUAAGAAUUAUUAAUCUUUUGGUCGUUAAGAUUCUGAGCAUACUUUAGGAGAAAAAAUUUCUACAUUUUAGUCGGACUAAGCAGUUCUUUGAAACUGGUGAGUGGUUAUGGUAGUAUUAAUAAUUAAGAAAAAACUUAGAUUGUAUUAAAGAAAUAUUAUGAGAUUUCAGCAGUCAAUUUAAGCAAUUCCAUAACCGGAGAAGUCAAAAAGAAGAAAUGGUGGAUUUAAUGAUUAUUCAGUUAUUUUGGGUAUUUUAAUAUCUAAAACAGAUCUUCAAUAUAUAUAUAUAUAUAUAUGAGCACAAAAUAAAUUUAAAAACUGUUGGAUUCUAUAAGUGCAAGACGAAGGCAGUCGGCCAAUCAAUCAAAGUUAAUCGUGAAAAGGACAUCGUGUAGGCUGCUCUAACUCUUCUCUUUUUUUUAUUAAUAUAUUUUCAGAUUUAUAAAAAAAAAAAAAAAAAAAGGAUUGCUCAUUGAGUGCUACGUGUCGGGCGAUUAACUCGCUCGCUCGGGCGGGCGAUUGCUCAGACAACAAUGUCGUCCCAUUAUUAUACCCACUACUCUCAAUGUAUUUACACUCAAAAUACUAUUUAUUUCUCUGUUACAAAAACAAGAAGAUUCAACAAAAUUUAUAACUACUUAUAAUUGUGAUGUCUUCACAGGUCACAGCUGCUGCAAUUGUUAUAGAUUCAUAUGUAAUAAUUGUUAUAGAUUCAUAUGUAAUUGAAAAAAAAAAAAAAAAAAAAACUCAGUAACUACAACUUUGAGUAAUGUAGAUAAUCUAACAAAAAUUUGACAUAAUCCUCCAUAGACCAAGUAUAACAUAUUUGGUUUAUUAAUCUUUCUUUGUUCUCCACUUUCAUGCAAGUAAAAUAUGGCCAUUUGGCCACCUUUUAUGCUUCUCCACAUUUGAACGUGUAUAAUAUUUUGGGCAGCAUUCUUUUGCACCAUCUCAUUUUUUCCAGACUGCAAAAGAUUAUAAAAGAUUCAGUAAGUGAAAAAUAAAAUGUACAUAUUCAACAGCUUUAGCAUAAAACAGGUAAGUAACUGGAUCUCAAUAAGAAUUUUCGAAUUCUUAGUCCAAUACUCUUCUAAUAAAAGUCAAAAGACAGUUGGAUCUACAAGUGCAACACAACAGCCAAUCAAUCACAGCUAAUCAGGUAGAUUGCUCAUUGGGUGCUACGGUUCGGGCGAUUAGCAGCAAGUAUCCAGUUUUCUCGUUUGCUAGCAUCCACAGACAACAGAAUCAUCCCAUUUUUUCAAUAUUAUUUUUCCCACUACUUUAAACAUAUUUACACUCAAAAUAUCAUUUAUUUCUCUGUUAAAGUACUAAAUUACCCCUCUCAUUUUGUUUGUUAAUAAAAAAUUCUGAAAAAUCAUACAACCCAAACUCUUACAAACCAACACUCUCAAUUGUUCAACUGAAACAAUUUCGAUUUAUAAGUUUCAUUGUCCCAAAUGGUUUUUGGAGUACGGUUCUAUUACAAAAAGAAGAACAUCCAACAAAAUUUAUGGCUACUUAUAAUGAAGCAAUUUUGUUCAAAGUACAUUGAUUAUAAAAAUAGUUCUCCUUUGUGCAUUGAACAUUUUUCCAUCGGAGAGCAAAGCCUUGCCUUGAGAACUUCUUUAUAGUUUGAAAGUAUCUAGAAGUCUUAUUGUUUGAACAUAAAUAUACUCCAACCUAUAUCUAUAAAUAAAUGUCAUUUCGACAUUAAUAAUAAAUUAUAACAAUAAAUAAGUAUUUAAAGAAGGUUUUACCAUCAUUAAACAUUGUUAAAUUUAGAACCAACAUCUGAUAAAUAUUCACCAAAAAAAUACUUCAAGGAUUCAUAAUCUUCCUUGUAGCGGUUGAGACUAUAUUUUCAUAUUAAAACUUUCACAUACAAAUGCUCUUCACUCGCGUGGUGCUUUUGAAAGUGAGAACUGAGCCAUGUUUAUAAAAUAUUAUCAUAUUCUUAUAGUCAAAUUAAGAGAUUCCAUAAUAUAAAAAAGAAAUGUUAGAUUUAAUAUAGGGUGAAGAUAUUUGAACCCAUCAAAGUUCUAUUUGCACCCAUACUUUUAAAAAAUAUUUUUGCUGCUAAUAUAUCCCAAAUGUAAAUUAUGAUUUUAGACAUUAGACAAGACGAUAAAACUAAAGAAAAAUAAUUUAAUUCAUAUGCUCUUCUUUCAGGUUUCAACAGCCGCUUAUAUUGUGCUUUCAAUCUCGACUCAUGAAGCCAAACAAAACAAUAAUGUUUAUUGUUAGGCACUUUGAGAUAAGCUUCAAUGUGAAGAAGAAUUAAGUGUCAUGUAGAUUACAAAUUGAAGUUUGUCUGCAAGAUAAAUUUCCUACCAAGACAAGAUGAUAUCUAGUUACAAAGUACAUGAAACCAACAAAAAAUAAUUUCCAGCAAAGAUUUUUUUUUAUUAACUAUGAUAUUUACUUUUUACAGGUUUUUUAUUUUGAUUUGUUAUGAACACAAACAAGUUAGACAAUGACUAGAGGCAUGUAUAUAGGCGAUUUAUUUAAACUCGUCUGGAUGUAUUGCAAACGAAAAAUUCUUUAAAUCGAAUUUGUUAGUUUCUGUGAUUGAUUCCAAUCAAAUACUUGUUUAGAUGAUUGAUACUUAUCCAUAAUAUUUUUAUAUUAAAAAUGAGUUUAUAUUUGAAGGAAAUUAAUGGGUGUAGUAGUUAGUAUAUUUAUGUGUUUAAAAUAAUCUAAGAGCAUAUUUGGUAUUAAGAUGGAUGAAUAGAGUGAAAUCUUAAUUUUCAUAUUUUAGUAGUGAGCUUUUUUUUUAUAAAUAAGUUUAUAAAAUAUUUUAGCGGAUUCAAAUAAUCUCAUCCUUCAAUAUAUUAUUACAUAUUAAACCAACUGAAUUAGAAAUUAAAAGCAUAGUUGUAUAUAUAAUAUUAAAAGCUAAAACCCAGCGAGCUAUUAGCCUAUUACUUCUGAAUUGACAGUAUAGGUCUAAUGUCAUUGCUUCGGCAUGUAAAAAGGAAAUUAAAAUUAUGUAUGUGAACAUAUAAAAUGAAAUGUGAAAGUUAAUACUCAUUUUUUUUCAUAAGUCACGGAAUGGCACAUUUAUAAGGGCCGGCAGACCAUCGAAAUUUGGAACUAUAGUGAAAGAAAGCAAAACUCAAAGAGGCCAAAUAAUAAAUAUUACAUGUGCGGGGUAAAAAAAUAAAUAUGUCGAUCUUAGUUCGCUCUUGCCUCUUGUGAAGUCUGUAGCGUGCGUUUGACGCGCAUUCGAAGCGUGGUACUGAGGCAAUCCGUAAUCGCUUUUUCGCUUUUCGGCGAUACGGGGAUAGUUGGAAGCGCCACGUGCAUACUAGAAUAAGCAACGUAACAGGCGUUGCUUGGCAGGGAGCGCCGCAGAUUCGGUCUCACAAAAUAUCAAAAUAUAGUAUUUUUUUAAUAUAAAAUUUAAUCUUAAAAUAAAUUUAUAUCCUCCUUUUUUUUUUUUUAUUAGAAAUAAACGUAUGAGAUCAUUACAUUAAAAUCUCGGUAAACAAAUACUCAAUAAGUUAAUAAUAUUGAUAAUAAAAUCUUUUCGUCUCCUCUUAGGUUAAUAUAUUAAAUUAAUAAUAUGGCUAAAUACAUAGAUAAUAAUGAAUAAUUAGUCAAACAAAAAUUACUAAUAAGAAAUAACAUAUAAAAUUCAUAAUAUUAACAGGUCUAUUCUUGAGAACUUCAAUUUCUCAAAUCAACUCUUUUUCAAAAUAUACUUCUUAUGAUUUGAAGCUAAAAUUAAAACUAAUUACCGAUGUAUUUAUAGAAUUUAUGUCCUAUAUACUUUAAGCAUGUAAAACACUUUGCCUUUUUGGGCAUUAUUUUUAAAAAGUACACACAUCAUUUUGUGCCUAUAUACAAUGUACUUGCAUUAACUUUUGGACUUUUAUGUCCAUGAUCAUAACAUUAAUUAAUAUUUUUGUAUAUACAUUAUCUCUUAUGAAAUUCAUACAUAAAUCUUCUUAGUCAAAAGAAUAGUACAUGUACCAAGAUGAUGCAAAAACUAGAAUAUAAAACUCUUCUUAAAUUAAUAAAUAACUUUGCCAAAAUAAUUUUUUUUCAUAGUCCCACAAAAAUAUAAAGAGAUUUUCCUUGAAUUCAUAGAAUAUUUAGAUCUUGAAACAAGUAACCAUAGAGGGGUCAAAGUAAAUUUAUCUAAAAAAAUUAAGAUUAGUUGUAAUAUGCGACACUUAGAAAUUAGUUUAAACAUAUACCACAUACUAGCAAUGGUCAACAAAAUUUUAUAGCAAAUCUAUUAAUUAAUUUAGGACAAAAUCUAGAAAUUAAUUUAGACAAAAUUUCUAAGUUAUUAAUAGGAGUAGACAGUUCUUUGAAAUUAGUAAUAUUAAUACAUUAAGAAAAAAACUUAGAUUGUAGUGAAGAAAUAUUAUCAUAUUCCAAUAGUCAAAUUAAGAGAUCCCAAAAUAUAAAAAGAAAUUGCAGAUUUAAUAUAUUAUUAGAUAUUAAAACUCCUAAACCAGCUGAGUUAGAAAUUAGAAGCAUAGUUGAUAUACUAAAAAUAGAAACAUAAAAUAUUACAAAAACACAAAGUAACUUGUAACAACGGUUGGAUUCCGUAAGUACAAUACCAAUAGAAUAAGAGAAAUCUUAAUAAAAAUAUUAUAUGUAAGAUUGACAAUAUUGAUGAUAAAAUUAAAUAAUAUUAAUAGAAAAAACAAUCAAUCAAAUAAUUAAUUGCCUUCAUUUUAAUUAUGGAUUACGAUAGAUUGAUAGUAAAUUAAUAUAAUAAUUGAUUGACCCAAUCUUUACUAAUAAUCAUUGUUCCCGAAUUAUAUAUACCAAUUACAUCAUUUUCUUUUUCAUAUUUCAGAUACUUAUAUAAAGGGAAAAAACUUGUUUAGUCUGUAUAUUAUAAUAUUAGUGUCUAUUUAGUUCCUAUAUUUUUAAAAACACCUCAAAACGUCCCCGUUGCUAAAUAUUGACACCCGGGCCAUUAUUUUUUAUUCUUUUUAGCUUACUUUUACAAUAUUACACUCUUACAGUAAUGUUUUUUUUUAAUAUUAUUAAAAAAAUUCGAUUAUCAAAUUACACCUUUUUAAUAAUGUCUAAAAAAAGAAACAUUAUUGUAAUAGGAUAAUAUUGUAAAAAUAAGUCAAAAUGAACAAAAGAUAAUGGUAAGGGUGUUAGUAAUUUAAUGACAGGAUGCUUUGAAGUAUUUUUAAAAAUAUAUAGACUAAACGGACACUAACUUCAAAAUAUAGGGAUUAAACAAGCUUUUACCCUUAUAUAAAUUAAGCCUUUGAGCUCAUGAAUUAAUAAUAAGAGAGAAAUUUAUGUUUUCUAAAUAAUUCUCAAAAGUUUUCACUCUCAGGGGCGAGAGAGAGUUUUGUUGGCCAGCACUAUUAACUUGAAUAUAAGAACAAAAGUGUCUUCAAUUACAAAGAAAGAAAAUGACUUCAAAUUCAGAGCAUCUUCUAAAUAAAUAUAUUGGGCAAGCAGCAAGUUGCUUUUUUUUUUUUUAUAAAUAUAUUGGGCAAGCAGCAAGUUGCUAUUCAGAGCAUCUUCUAAAUAAAUAUAUUGGGCAAGCAGCAAGUUGCUUUUUUUUUUUUUCUACUUUUAAAAUGUUUUGUAAGUACAAAUCUAUUCCAUGCGCUUCUAACCUAUUUCCUAGUUCAAUAUUAUUAUGUAUUUUUUAUUCAUUAGUAGAAGAAGAAUUUAUGAUUAAAGACAAGGAACUGGCUCUCAAUAAGAAUUUUCGGAUUCUUAGUUCAAUACUCUUCUCUUCUAAUAAAAGUCAAAAGGAUUUUCUCAUUUUCUGGAGUUGGAUUCACACUUGUCUGUGAAUUGAUGCAUCGUUUUUUGGAUCUUUGUGCCACGGUGCGGGCGGUUCGUUUCGCCUCUGAUCAACCACUUGGAACUGGACCCACGUACUAGCAAUGACGAGAAUUUUAUUUUAGACCACUAAUUAAUUUAGGAGAAAAGACAAAAUUUCUAGGUUUGUAGUUGGACUAAGCAGUUGUUUGAAACCAGUGAAUGGUAGCAUUAAUAAAUAAGAAAAUACUUAGAUUGUAUUAAAGAAAUAUUAGCAGAUUUCAGUAGUCAAUAAUUUAACCGAUUCCAUAACCAGAAGACAAAAAGAAUAAAUAGUGGAUUUAAUGGGUAAUCAGUUAUUUUGGGUAUUUUAGUAUACCUUAAACAGAUCUUCACAGAAAAUAGAAAGCAUUAAACGAACACAAAAUAAAAUUAAAAACUGUUAGGAUUCUAUAAGGGCAAUACGACAGCCAAACAGUCAAAGUUAAUCAUGCAAAGCCCUUUUGGUUGGUAGAUUGCUGAUUGAGUGCUACGUUUCGGGCGAUUAACGAUAGCUCUAGAAGUUUCAGCUGAACAAACAUUUACAAUUUGUUUCUGAAUAUCAGGGGAUGUCAUUUGGAGAUUUGCUAGAGCAUUGUUGAAAAUAACACUUUUAAUUUCAUCAUUGUGAUCAACAAGAAAUCGUAGAAGCUCAAGAAAGUUUCCUCUAUUGUUUGAGCUUUGAGAUUCAUUAUUAUCACGAAAUGCAAGAUCUUGUCUCAAAAGAAAUCAAAUGCAAUCAAUUACAGCAAUUAAACAAACUCAGUACUUCCUUUUAAUUUUUUUUAGAAUGGUUAAAGCAAAAUGUGGCAACAUGUGCCUUCUGAUUCAUCAAUGAUUCACAACGACGCCUCGCUAUGUUAUGAGCACUAUUUGUACUUGUACCACCAACAUGUUGUCUCAACAUUUCUUUUUUCUUCCAAUUUCUAAACCCUUCACCAGUAAAACAUAGACCACCCCAUUGACUACCAUUUUCUUCUCUGAAAACAUAACAGUAAAGACAAAAAGCUGCAUCCUUGUUUAUUCUAACCAAUCAGGAUAAUUAUCGAACCAACUCCGGACAAAUCAUCGUGAUUUUUCUCCUAACGGCCUAGUAGGAAAAUCAUGGCUCUAAGGUUGAAAAAGACCCAUUUGCAAGUAUGAUCUCCGAACUUCGUCUUGAAUAUUAGGAUCUAACUUUGAAAUUAUCGUUCGUAAACCGAGAUCCCUUGGAAGAUCAUGCAAAUUAACUCUAACUUUUUCUUUUGAAUUGCCACUUAUUUUUCUUGAUGAGGUUGCAAUUGUUGAAUUCUUUCUUAAAUAUUUAUCCAUGGCUAUUUAAAUAAAUAUAUUUAUUGAAUAAGUAUGAUAUUCAUUGUUCAAAGAAAAUUUUCAACAUAAAUAAAAAAGAAUAUACAUGAAAAUUACAGUUACUGAACUAGACAAAAUAUUAUGAGUCUUCAUUAAAAAUUCAGUGUACAGGGGGUCUAUUGAUCUUAAUAACUUAAUUUGUUCUUAAAUCUUUUAAUAAUGGCAAAAAUAUUCAUAUAUGGCAACACAAAAAUCAAACAUGGAUAUAUAAUAAAAUUAAGAAUUCUAAAUGGAUAAAAUAACAAAAUAAUAAAAAAUUAGAAUUAAUAAAUUUAUAAUUUUAAAACUCAGACCAUACAAACAAAGAAAAGUGAAAAGUGAGAAGAAAUUCAGGCACACGGUGACUAGCAGUCGAGCACUGCUAAUUGGAUAAUCUGCUGUGGAGUCCACACACCAUGACACCACACAUUAUUCCAUGAAAGAGACGAAAUCUGCUGUGGAGUCUACACACCACACUUUAUUCAAUGGAAGAGACGAAAGAAAGAAUAAAGUUCAGACUUCACUUGCUUUAAUUGAUUUUUUCAAAGGAUUUUGGAAUUCACUUGCUUUAAUUGACCUUUUUAAUGGAUUUCGGAAUUCACUUGCUUUAAUUGAUUUUUUUAAUGGAUUUCGGACUUCACUUGCUUUAAUUGAUUUUUUAAUGGAUUUCAUUCCGUAAAAAGCGGUUUUCUUGUUGUCUUUAUUAAUUUUUAUGAAAUUAUAAUAACUAAUUAAAUUAUUUAGAAUUAGACAUUUAAGUUAGGGGUAACAUGAAUUUUUUUUUAAAAAAUUACAUGUGGCACUUUCAAAAUUCCACAAUUUAGGUGGGACAUUUUUAUAAAUAGUAAAUCAAAUAUAUUUUUUUAAGAUAACCAUCAAAAGAAAUUUUAACAGGCCCCAGGUGGUCCUAUGCUAGCUACGCCCGUGGUGACUUGAGAGUUGAGACUAUAUUUUCAUAUUAACACUUUCACAUACAAACGCUGUGCGUUCGCACAAGAAGAGAAAAGCAGUUUUUACUAUUUGAACAUAAAGGUUAAAUGGCAUAUGACUUAAAAAUAAUUAAUAAGUGACGGAUAUAAAGUUGUUGCCGGUGAAAGGUCGGUACAGGUGUUCAAUUCUUAGAAAAGCGAGCGCGUACCGGAGGUGGUCCCACGUAUCUAAUAUUAAAAUCUAUUUGUCUCAAAUCUUAAUCCUCUAAACAAAUCACUAAAUCAGUCUCUGUAAGCAAAUACACAUCGCAUGCUGAAAAUGGGAAAAACUAAUGAAAAGUGUCUGUUCUCAAAGACUCUCACCAAGACAGACAUUAACAACAAAUUUUCGGUGAAAAGCAAGAGCCUUGCAUCCUUCCCUCCCUUUGGAGCUCAAACGUAUGCUCAGGAUUUUAACGCAGAGGAUGAAGAAGGGAAGAAAUGGCUGUUUCGCUUGAUAAUUCGUAAGGGAAAGCACAAGAAGCCUGUUAUAUCUGCUGGUUGGCGCAGCUUUGUUCGGCAGAAGAAGCUUAAAAUUGAUGACAAAGUUUUGUUUUUUAAAGAACAAAACGAAGCAGAGAUUGCAACUGGGGGCAAGUACAAGAUCAAAGUGCAGAAAGCAGUCAAGGUGUUUAAAGCUAUUAUGGGCUACGUACCAUGCAUGGGUUAGGAAAUAUUUUUAUAUUUUAUCUCAAUAAAGUUGUAAUUCUAUUUUACAAGGGUCAAUAGAGCCAGAUAAGGGCAUGUUUCGCACGUUUGGAUUAUAUAUUUGUUUAAGUUGUAAUUCUAUUUUACAGGGGUCUAUAAGGGCAUGUUUGGCACGUUUGGAUUAUAGAGUAUUAAAAUCCUAUAUACUAUCUCAUGUUUGGUGGUAAAAUCACUUUUUGUUACUCCUCAUAAAUUUAUUAUUCCAGUACACUUAAAUCCGCAUAAAUUUUCAUUACUUUUUAUGUUGAAGCAUGUCUUUUUCUUUCUGGGUUUGAAUACUUUUUUUUUUUUUCUUUUCUUUUGCUGCUAUUGUUGUGGGUGGCUACUAAUUUUGUCAGUACUUUUUAGUUGGCUUCAUGAGUUGUUGUUAUAUUUUUACUUGCAAUUAAAUCUUGUUCAAAAUCUGAACAAAUAGACUAAUUUUGCUUUUGAGAAAAUUAAUUAAUUAGUUAAACAAGUAAUUAAAAAAUUAAUUAACUAAUGCGAUUAGACGGAGAAGAGUGGAGGUAGGAUUUGGAACAUGAGUGUGGAAAUUUUACUGGAAAGUACUGAUUAACUUUCUCAUGUUUUGAAAUGAUAGGUCACUUGAAGACUUUUAGUUUUCUAGCUUUUUGGACCAUAAGUAUUCUCAUAUGCUUGUGUCGUACGUUGGCAUUAUUCCCAGGUUUUUUGUAGUUUUGGACUUGCAUGGAGGCUUAAGGUGCGAUUGGAAUCAUUUUUUUUAUUGAGCGUUUUUCUUUUUAUAAAAAUUAUAAAAUAGAAAAUGCGUUUGGCCGGGCGGCGUAGCUAUAAUGAGAAAGUAUGGAGAAUAAAAUAUUUUCAUUCUCUAUCUUUGCUUAACAAAUGCAGAAAAAAAUAAUAAUAUUUGCGUUCUGAAUUUUGUUUUCUAGUCUGCAUGCAAUGCAUUGAGUGUAUGAAAACCACACUUAGGUGACUUUUUACCAUUAAAAAAAUUAUAGACCCAAAAAGAUAUUAAAUAUAAAUAUGAAACUUUAGUUUAAAAAUGAUAAAUACUCAAUAAAUUUUAUUAUGUAAUAUAGCCUCUGACAGCUAUGUGCAGCCAGCAAUUCCUUUGCUUCGGUGGUCACUAUCACCAUUGGAGCAUGUUAACGAAGAAUUUCUUACGGUCCAAGGAGUUGAGUAUGGGUAGGUGAUUGCAACUAGACAGAUGCUCAUUGGUAGUUACAGUUCUUUCUCAAUUAUCAAUUAAUUGAAUGGAAACAGUCUCUUCCUCACAAAAUAUGAGUGGAGUAGGUACCCCUCGAAUAUUAGAGAGGGUUUAAAAAUAUCUGGGCAUAUACUUUUGUGUGUCAAUGUAUGAUGGUGGUCCCAGUUAUAUAGUAUGAUUGUAAAUACUAAUUGUAAUGUCUGAUAUAAUGUCAGUAAUAUCUGUGUAUAACAGACUUCAAAAAAAAAAAAAAAACUAGACAGAUGCACAAAAGUCAAUAAUAAUAAUAAUAAAUUACUAAAAUUUAGUAAUAAGUGCAUAAUUAAGCAUGGUGAUAUCAUAUGUUAUUGGAUAAUUAAUGGGAAUCAUAUAAUAAUAAAUUACUCUGUCCGCAUCAUCAAAGCUAACAACUUUUUUUUACGACCAUUUUUGGGUUAGAUGUGGGAAGUUUCCAAUUUCCAGUCAAAUCUGUUGUUGUAUUUGACGAAUGAGAAAAAGCAUAAAAGCCGACGAAGGAAACAAUUAUCUACAGAUAAUCUUUUAGGAGAACCCAUGUGUUAAGAGAACAUUAGGUCAUUGUGACAUAUAUACAAACAUAUGUGGACUACAUGUCAGAGCCAAUCUUCAAUCCACUUUCAAAGUCUUUGGAAAUUGAGGCUAAGAAAACCGAUAUUGAUUUAUUAACUUUAAGAAUUUGAGAAUUUUUGGUUAUAAUGCGUUUCCUUUAUAAAUGAAAGUUGAGUAAAAUAUACCGGUUUUGAGAAUCAGCCUUUAAUACGAUGGUAACCAAAAGCAAACUUCAAUAUUCCAUUUGGGGGGAGUUUGGUUACUAAGAGAGUACUGAGAAAAUUUAGCUGUUUUGGAUAGAAAAUUCUCCGAGGGUUAAAUAGAGUAGCUUUAAUACAGUAAUUUUUUUUAAAUUAUUUAAUGCAAUGAUAUAAUAUCAACGAGGGCACUCCUGCAAUUUUAUAUUUUGGGUGGAUUGCUAACUUGCUAGUGAUAAUGUCAGCAUGACCUAUCAAUUUUACCAAUUUACAAAAUCUACCUUUUAUGAUUUGUUUAAGCUAUUGUUUUUUUUUCUCUCUCUCCAAUGUUUUGAUCUUUCUUAUCAUGUCGUUGAAUUUGUCCUAUAAAUUGAAUUUUUAGACCAAUGAAAUACAAUUAUUCCCUCCCAUUCGUCUUUUCUCCAGAACUGCAUCCAUCCAUCAUAAAGAACAAUAAAAACUUCACGGCAUCAACCAUCAAAGUCCUUAUUAAAUGCCAAAAAAAAUGGACCCUGAUAGGAAUUCACUGAUGUGAUUCAUUUAUUGCCCCCAAGGAACACAAAGUUGCUACCCAACACUUUUUUUCUCUCUAGAAUCGAAAUUUCUUGCUUGCGCACCAAAUAUGUCGAUCGUAGUUCGCUCUUGAGUCUUGACUCUUGUGAAGUCUACAGCGUGCGUUUGACGCGCAUUCGGAGCGUGAGACUAAGGUAAUCCGUUAUCGCACAUUCGCUUAUCUCAACUGAAAAGGGACAGGGAACACGGGAUAGUUGAAAGCCCCACGUGCAUACUAGAAUAAGCAAAGGUAACAGUCGUUGCAUGGCAUGGCGGGGAGCGCUGCAGAUUCGGUCUCACAAAAUAUUAAAAUAUAUAGUAUUUUUUUUAAUAUAAAAUUUAAUCUUAAAAAUAAAUUUAUAUCCUCCUUUUUUUUAUUUAGAAAUAAACGUAUGAGAUCAUUACAUUAAAAUCUCGGUAAACAAAUACUCAAUAAGUUAAUAAUUUUGAUAAUAAAAUCUUUUGGUCUCCUCUUAGGUUAAUAUAUUAAAUUAAUAAUAUGGCUAAAUACAUAGAUAAUAAUUAAUAAUUAGUCAAACAAAAAUUACUAAUAAGAAAUAACAUAUAAAAUUCAUAAUAUUAACAGGUCUAUUCUUGAGAACUUCAAUUUCUCAAAUCAACUCUUUUUCAAAAUAUACUUCUUAUGAUUUGAAACUAAAAUUAAAACUAAUUACCGAUACAUCAUUUUCUUUUUCAUAUUUCAAAUACUUAUAUAAAUUAAGUCUUUGUGAUCAUGAAUUAAUAAGCCUUUGUGAAAUUUAUGUUUUCUCAAUAAUUCUCAAAAGUUUUCACCAUUAGUGGCGAGAGAGAGUUUUGUUGGACAGCACUAUUAAUUUGCAUAUAAGAACAAACUUGUCUUUAAUUACAAAGAAAGAAAAUGAUAAACUUUGCUUUUAGAAUCGCUUCAAAUUCAGAAUAUCUUCUAAAUAUAAAGGGCAAGCAGGAAGAUGCUAUCUUUUUCUACUUUUAAAAUGUUUGUUAAGUACAAAUCUAUUCCAUGACCAUGCGCUCCUAACCUAUUUGAUUCCUAGUUCAAUAUUAUUAUGUAUUUUUUUUUUUCAUUCAUUAGUAGAAGAAGAGUUUAUCAUUCAUUAGUACUACAUUUUAACAAACUGGGCAUCAGAAAAUUAUAAACUUAUCUAGGAAGAAAAUGAGACUAUUCCCACUUUUUGUUUACUUUCUAUAGCUAGCAACAACAUCUCGACAAGUCUUUCAGAAAAAAAUAAAAUCAAAUAAAAUAAAACCUUAGCAAAUAACUAUAGAUUUCUUAAAAGAAAAAAUCUAAAAUUUAAGCACAAAAAUGUUAAUAAUCAAUACUACUCAAUGAAGAGAUUGAUGCUGAAUCAAUACUACUCAAGCGACUAUCACAUCUAGCUGACGGAACUUCAACUUUUCACCUUGAUACUGUUAGGCGAUUUUGAUGUUUUUCAUUUCUGAAGAUUUAUUAGAUUUCGUUUCGGAAUUUGACGAAAUUUUGAUUUUGAAAGAGAGUAAGCGAGGUUUCACUGGGUUUGGAGAAGGGGCGCAUUUAAAUGAAAAAAAUUAAUUACAAAUAAAUCUUGGCCAUUAGAUUUAAUGAUGCCACGUGUCAAUAGAUCUCUUCAAAGAUAGGAACUAGAGCGUAGGUUCCACGUAUUUUAAUCUUUUGAAAGACAGGAACGGAGCGAGUGGUCCCUUUAAUCUGUCCCAAGUAUUUUAAUAUUAUUAUAUCUAUUCUAUAAAGGAAAAUGAUGUUUGCCCCGGGUCAAAUCCCGGGUCAAACCCCGAAAAUAACGUAAACGGCGUCGUUUUGAUUAUUUUUUUUUUUUUUGGAAUACUCCAAAACGACGACGUUUCUGAUGAUAUUUUGAGAAGAAUAAAAUCUUUCUUCCUCUUCGUUUCUUCGUUUCACCUGCGAAAGCAACAGAGCAACAGAGGGAAGACAUCCCAACUUGGUCUUGCGCUCAAUGGCUUCAGAGAUAAAACCUGUCGUCAGUUUCCCUCUGGAGAAUUUGUAGAUUUUGUCAUUUGACACAAACAAAUUUAUACAACAAGCAGUUGAAUUAUACACAUGAGUUCUGAAAGUCAAUCACAGUUGUAGACAGCUUUACACUUCGUUGAUGGUAAAUUAUCACUUGAAAGCGAACCUCAGCAGCUAUAAAUGUAAAAGUCCUCCACUUUUUUCUUCUUUAAAGAGUUGUUCAAAUUAUAUACUUAGUUUAGUUUGUAUCUCAAUUAACACAAAAACUUGUGGGUUGUGCUUGACCAAUAAAUAUCUAUCAUUCUGCAAUUUGCUACUGUGGAUUUUGCUGGGAGACCCACCCACUUCGGGAAAAUACACGACCACUGGUUUUAAAGCCAAAAAAAGAAAAAAAGAAAAUGUUAUGGAAUUCAUCAUACUUUAGACCACUGCUGUUGGUCUUGAGUAGCCGAAACUCAGCUGUUGUUGGUCUUGUUCUUCACUAAAUGCAAGGGCUGUGGAUCUCGUUCAGGUUAAGACGAAGAGGAUGGAGCUUUAAUUAGUAGAUCCUGUUCUGCUGUCGACUCAAGGGCUGUAGAUCUAGGUCGAGGAUGGAAGAAAUGAAAAAGAAAUGAAGAAAGGAUGGAAGAAACGAAAAAGAAAUGAAGAAACAAAAAAGAAAAAAAUAAAGAAAACGACGCAAAUAAGAAAUCGAGAAGAGAACGAAGAAAAUGAAGAAGAAAUGGUUCAGCUGGGUUAAAGACAGAGGAAGAAGAAGGCUGCCAUUUGUCCACCAAAAUGACUUCGUUGAAAGCAAAUCAGAAUAAAUAAAAAAUUGAAGCAGAAACGUCGUCGUUCAAUAGCACUUGAAAACAAAAAAAAUUACGAGCCAAAACGGCGUCGUUUGACGCAUUUUCGGGGUUUGACCCGGGGUUUGACCCGGGGCAAACAUCAGCACUCUUCUAUAAAUAACAAAUCCGUCUCCGUAAGAAAUACACGUCGCAUGCCGAAAAUGGGUGAAGCUAAUGAAAAGCUUCUGUUCUCAAAAACUCCCACCAAGACAGACAUUAACAACAAAUUUUCAGUGAAACGCAAGAGCCUUGCAUCCUUCCCUCCCUUUGGAGCUCAAACGUAUUUUCAGGAUUUUAACGCAGAGGAUGAAAAAGGGAAGAAAUGGCUGUUUCGCUUGAGAAUUCGCAAGGGAAAGCACAAGAAACCUGUUAUAUCUGCUGGUUGGCGCCGUUUUGUUCGGCAGAAGGGGCUUAAAAUUCAUGACAAAGUUUCAUUUUUUAUAGGACACAACGAAGCAGAGAUUGCAACUGGAGUCGAGUACAAGAUCAAAGUGCAGAAAGCAGUCAUAGUGUUUAAAGCUGUUUCAGGCCAUGCACCAUGCAGUGGUUAGGAAAUAUUUUUACAUGGAGGCUGCUAAUUUACAACUGUUGUAAGGCGCAGCCGCUCACAUAAACAGUAUUUGGGUCCACAGUAUAAAUAAUAUUUGGGCCUGUAGUAUUUUUAUAUUUAUCUCAGUAAAGUUAUAAUAGUUGCAAAUUCUGCAAUCUAGCCUUAUCCUAAAGUUGUAAUAAACUUAAGAUAAACUCAAAGUUACAUUUUGUGUACCUUAUACCCGCUCACAUAAAUGGUAAGUGGGCUGCUGGAAUAUAAUUAAAGGGGAUCCUAAACCUAAAGUUGUAACAAAAAAGCAGCCAAGGCGUUUAAAGCUAUUAUAAGCUAUGUACCUUAGAACUGUUAAGAAAUAUUUUUAUAUUUAUCUCGAUAAAGUUAGUAAUAAAGCAUUAAAUUUGCACCAUCUCAAGUAUAGUGGUAAAAUCGCUUUUUAUUACUCCUCAUAAAUUUAUUAUUCCAAAUUCCAAUACACUUAAACCCGCAUAAAUUGGUUUAUGCCGUAUCGCAUUAGAUAAUUAAAACCCAUAAAAUCUCUCUUUUUUAUUCCAUCAAAACACGAUCCAUCAAGCAAAUCCAACAUUCGUUUAUUCAUCACCGAGUCACCACCGAUGCAAUUACCCCCAUUGCUCGAUGCCAUCACCGUCGCCAACAAGUGCUUCGUCGUGCCGCGUGAGACUUCCCAUCUGUUUCACCACUGACGCGCCUGCACUUUGCCGCUGAAUCAUCAAUCAACCGGUUAGUAUUUGGGUUUGAUUUUUCAAAUUGAACCACAAUCAGUUUAUUUUUCAUUACUUUUAUGUUGAAGCAUGUCUUUUUCUUUCUGGGUUUGAAUAUAUUUUUUUUUUUGGCUGCUGUUGUUGUGGGUAGCUAUUAAUUUCGUCAGUACUUUUUAGUUGGCUUCAUGAGUUGUUUUUAUAUUUUUACUUACAAUUAAAUCUUGUUUAAAUCUGAGCAAAUAGACUAAUUUUGCUUUUGAGAAAAUUAAUUAAAUAGUUAAACAAGUAAUUAAAAAAUUAAUUAGUUGAUGCGAUUAUACGGAGAAGAGUGGAGGGAGUAGAGAUGGAGAACAGGGAAUUGGAGGGGAUUUGUAUGUAUAGUUGGAUGGUAGGAUUUGGAACGGUGUCGUCUACCUGUACAAAUCUAAGAUAUUCCAUGAUAUUUAGGAAUCAAAAUUUAAUCUAAACUUCCAUAUGAGUGUGGAAAUUUUACUGCAAAGUACUGAUUAACGUUCUCAUGUUUUGAAUUGAUAGAUCACUUAGACUUUUAGUUUUCUAGCAUUUUGGACUAUGGUAUUCUCAUAUGCUUGUCUCGUUGACAUUAUUCCCAGGUUUUUUUUGGUUUUGGACUUGCAUAGAGGCUUAUUAUAUGCUUUUUGGUUUUGAAUUUGCACAAAGGCUUUCUCAUAGCUUAUUGGUUUUGGAUUUGCACAAAAGCUUUUCUCAUAGCUUUUUUUUUUUUUUUUUUUGAUAAGAGAGUGAAUCUUUCAUUCAAAAUAGGAAAGUACAUCAGGAGGAAAGUUGUCCUUCCAUGUGACAGAUUCGGAGCUUCUCAAAGCUCUUUCAGCAAGAGAUUGAGCACAACUGUUACAACAUCUUGAUACAUGUUGAAUUGUUAUCGGUUGGAACUUUUCCAUGUAGCUUUGAAUGUCUGAAAUAGCCCACAAAAUCUCCUUCCUGCUACUGGUUAUAUUGUUGGCUAAGUUGACCACUUCCAUACAAUCUGUUUCAAUAAUCACUGCCAAUAAUCCUGCUUCUAUUGCCAUUUCCAUCCCCCGUUUUACAGCCUCAGCUUCUGCUGCUGAAACAUUCUCUUGGGGCUUUGUGUUUUUUACUGCUUCUGUCGCUACAACUUGGCCUUGUGAAUUUCUAAUAACAACCCUGAUUCCUGUAAGCUGUGCCCCUGCCUGAACAGCUGCAUCCACAUUGACCUUGUAAUACCCGAUAGGUGGAGGACACCAUUGUUUUUGCUUGCUAACACCAUCUCUUCUGUUUAUCUGCUCCGUUUCAUGCACUCUUUGAUAAGCCUCUAUAGUAGCUUUUGCCUUUGCAAUUAAUGUUACCGGGCUUAAUUUUCUGCCUUCGAAAAUAAACUUGUUCCUAGCAUGCCAUAUUUCCUUCCAGACUGUUACCACAAACUCCACCUCUCUCUUGGGCAUCCAUCUCAACAGGCUCAGUAUAAGGCUUAGAAUAUCUUCUCUCACCAUUCCCUGCAAUUCAGAAUCACCAUAAUUGUAUUUCCAGACCUUCGUAGCCACCUUACACUCCAUAAGUGCAUGAAAGACAUCCUCUACUCCUGUUUUACAGAUUUGGCAUGUUGGCUCCUGUUGAACUUGUUGGUACUUCAGCAUACUUGAGCUUGAGAGCUAAUUGGUAACCACUUCGCACUGUCUAUAUUCCUUUUUUGUCAUAGUGCCAUAACCAUUCAUCAUUCUUAGGCCAUCUUGGUAGGGGAAUUCUCUUAAUCAUCUCUGAAUCCUCUUUUGCAAAGUGCUUCUCAAUCAAACUAUUCUUCCAUUGGUGAUCUGCGCCUAUUAAGUCUACAACUUUGGUAUUUGCUGGUAGAGAUGGAGCAAAAAUUGGCCUAAAAGUGGUCGGCCUAGGUUUCCAGUUGCUGGCCACAACACAAAUUUUAUCUCCUCUUCCAACUCUCCAUCUUAUCCCCUGCUGCAGAAUUUCUCUACCUCACAAAAUGCUUCUCCAAAUAAAGGAUGGAUUAGAACCAACUUUGGCUUCCAUAAAAUCAGUUUGUCUGUAAUAUCUAGCUUUCAGCACUUUGGCCACUAGUGAAUCAGGGUAUUGUAAUAAUCUCCAGCCUUGCUUUGCAACUAAUGCCUGGUUGAAGCUUGAGAGAUCUUUAAAACCUAUCCCCCCUCUGAUUUUAGCCUUACUAAUCUUCUCCCAUUUUGCCCAGUGAAUUCCUUUCUUGUCAUUUGUUGAACCCCACCAGAAUCUCGCAAUUGCUCUCUGAAUGUCAUUGCAAAUAGCCAAAGGUAUUUUGAAGACACUCAUGGCAUAUGCAGGGACUGCCUGAGCUACAGCCUUGAUCAAAACCUCUUUUCCACCACUGGAGAAGAAUUUAUGCUGCCAAUUCGAUAUUUUGCUCAACACUUUGAGCUUAAUAUCAUUGAAAAAGCUGGUCCUAUUUCUUCCCACCAUGGAAGGCAGUCCCAAGUACUUCUCAUGUCUUGAGACCACAUUCAGCUGAAAAAUGUCCUUUAUUGCUGCUAUUUGUCCCUGUGGGAUUUUACCGCUGAAAAACAUUAAUGACUUGUCACAAUUGAAGAGCUAGCCAGAGGCCGAAGUAUAGUACUCGAAAAUUGCUUUCUCAUAGCUUUUUGGUUUUGGAUUUGCACAAAGGCUUUUCUCAUAGCUCUUUGGCUUUGGACUUGCACAGAGGCUUAUAUGCUUUUCUCAUUGACAUUUAGAUCCAAUUUCUAAUUCUUUUUGGAUUUACAGUGUUCUGAAAAUCAUACCUUUUGCCACAAUAUUGAUGCUGCAAAUCAAUCUGAAAAUGCAUGCUUAAGUAAUUAACAAUAGCUUUUUUUUUAAUAUCAUGAAAUUAUUUGAAUAUCAAUACUCAGUGUGAAAAUGCAUGCUUGAGUAAUUGAAAAAAUAUUUUUUUUUCUUUUUAUUUGUUGUUUUCGAUAUGGACAUGAGAAUAGAAGUUUUUUUCGUCACAUGGCAAACGAAAUUAAGGUUCAUGUUCAUUGUGAUGUUUUUUCUCCAUGUUUACUUUAUCUGCAUUAAGUGAUGCAGAUAGUUGGCAAUAUGGUUCAAGCUGUAGCAACUGUGUAAUGAUCAUCCGUGUUAUUGAUCCAAAUAUAUUCAUAAUGAUGUAGUAAGGGAUUUACUUUUGUUUAUAACAUUGCAAACUUGAUAGAUGUUUGUGGGGAUAGCCUUUGGAAGAUAUCAAUUCGGGGAAUUUCCUCAAGAGCCUGCAAGAGGCCUGACUAUGUUAGAUGAACAAGUUGAAGAAAGGAUGCUUGACGUAUUUGUUUGAUUUUGGGAAGAUAUAUGAUGUUAGAGAUCAAAUCAAUAACUCUUUCAGCCAAGCAGACUGAGAACUGAUGCUAGAGAUGUUUCAAGAGGUUCUUACGGUUUGGAAAUGGUAUUAUUUUCCAAUGGAGGUCCUCUAAUUCAGAUUUGCUUACUGUUGAAAUAGUUGUGGAUGGUAGUUAGAUCUUUUGUCAUAUGCAAAUUCAGCAAUGUGUAACUUUAUCUACAUGUAUUGAAUCUGCAACUAAUUACAUGUAAUGAAUCAUUGUGUUGUAAAUGAUGUAAAAUUUUGCUGUUUGAGAAGUGUGUGGCUGAAGCUUAUGGGAGGUUUCCUUUGUGAAAUUUGAUGCACAAAUUAUUUGAUUGAAUGAUUUGAUUCGGUUUUUAUUUCAUAGGCUAUAAAUUUGAAAAAUGCUGAAAAAAUAAAUGUUAUGUUGCUGAAAAUUUAAGGUCAUAGGCUUUAAUCUUUUUGAAGAAUUAUGAUUUUUUUAUGUUUAUACUAAAAAAAUAAUGUUAAAUUUCUAAAAUUUAAAAUUUUUAUAUUUAGUGCUUUUCUAAGUACUAAUAAAUAUUAUUUUUUAAUUUAAAUUAAUCAUCAAAUAAAUUAAUACAAUCCAAUACAAAAUAUAAUAUAACUCAACUAAUAGUAGGCUUUGGUUUAUUUCAAUAAAACAGAUAGAGCAUACAUAUAUCUUCAUUUUCAUAUUUAUUCUCUACUCCUUUGUCAUCGGAGAGGGAUAAAGUGUCUAAUAGCUGUAGCUUUAGUUAGUUCUUAUAGUAUUAUAAAACUUUUUAUAUUGUAAAAUUUUGUUGAGCCCCUUGUACUUUGUUUUAUUUCAAUGAAACUCUUGGAGUACUAAUUUGCCCCCUAUAAUUUUGAAUUCCCAAAAUACCCUACAUUUAAUUAAUAAUUAACAAUAAUUACUAUUAAUAAUUAAUUUUUGAAUAUCAAUAACAAUAAUUAAAAUACAAAAUAAUGAUUAUGAUAAAAUUUAAUGAAGGAUUUUGUACUAAUUUGUUACAAUUUAAUUUAUUCUGAUUUUGAUUCUAAGACAAAAUAAACACAUAAAUGGUAAUACAAUUCAUUCUAAUUAUGAUUCAUGCCGUUCAAGUAAAUAAAUUAUUCUUAUUCCAAUUCCUCAUUUGGAUUCUAGAUACUUCGAUUCUAACUCAUUAUGUUUUCAAUUAAUUUUGAUUUAUGUUUAGUGAAUGAUAAAAUUCAUAAUACUUAUUAAACAAUGUAAAAAAUAUAGAGUGGUCUCACUAAAUAUAAAGUGAUUUACAAUUUUAUAGUGCAUUCACUAAAAAUGAAUCGAAAUUAGCUGGAAAUAUAGUGAGUUAGAAUUGGAAUAGCUAGAAUUAAAAUGAAAAAUUGGAAUCAGAAUAAUUUAUUUACUUGACCUGCAUAAAUCAUAAUUAGAAUAAAUUGUAUUACAAUUUAUGUGUUUACUUUGUCUUACAAUAAAUAUUGGAAUGGGUUAAAUUAUAACAAAUUACUAUAAAAUCCUUAAUUAAUUUUAUUAUAAUUAUUAUUUUGUAUUAUAAUAAUUGUUAUUGUCGUUAUUAUUAUUCAAAAAAUAAUUAUCAAAUAUAAUCUAUUUAAUAAUUAUUAUAUUUUUAAUUAAAUGGAGGGUAUUUUGAAAAUUUAAAAUUAUAGGGGGCGAAUUGGUACUCUGAAGGUUUUGAUUAAAUAAAACAGAGUAUAAGGGGCUCAACGAAAUUUUACAAUACAGAAAGUUUUAUAAUACUUAUAAAUAAUUUAUAAAUAAUAUAGAGUAUAAGAGGCUAAUUGAUAUUUUACGGGUCAGCCGUGAGUUACGGUAAAUGUAACUUACGCGGACCCGAUUAUUGCACGUUUGUUUCUUCUUUGUUUUGGCAGAUAUAAUACAGCCUCUGACAGCUAUGUGCAGCCAGCAAUUCCUGGCUUCCAUGGUCACUGUGACCAUUGGAGCAUGUUAUGUUAGUGGAGAAUUUGUUACAGUCCAAGGAGUAUUGGUAGGUGAUUGAAACUAGAGUACCAGAACUAGUAGCUGGUGUUGUCUUAAGAGAUGCAAAAAAGUAAAAAAUAGACGGAAACUUUAAUAUAUAAUAAAUUAAUCUUUUCAAUUCUCAGCGGUAUGACUUUAUCUGUAUUAGGUUUUUUUUUUUUUUUUUCCUCUAAUGUUUUGGGGGGAAAUUACUUUUUUUUUUUAUUAUUACAUUGUUGUCGUAAUAAGAUGAAGAAACUAUAUAUUUUAGGCUUUGUAACUUAUAGAGGUUAUUUAAUUUUUACAAAACAUUAAAUUUCCAAAACACUCUUUUUUUGUUUCAACAAUUUUACUUCAAUUUUAUCAUCAGAUAACCUGACAAAUUUUGUUGCACAUUAAUGUUCUAUUGCAGAGGCGGAUCUUAAAUAGUCGUUGCCUUUCGAGUCUCGCAAGUAGUAACGAGACAAAAUAAAGAGCAAUGAAAAUUUUCAAUAUUAUGUAAAUGUGUUUACGAUUUUAUUUUCUUUUAAUUUAGUAAUAAGUGUAUAAUUAAGCAUGGUGAUAUCAUAUGUUAUUGGAUAAUUAAUGGGAAUCAUUUAUUAUAAUAAAUCUGUUGUAUUUGGCGACUGAGAAACAGGAUUAAAGCCGACAAAGGAAACAAUUAUCUACAGAUAAUCUCUUAGGAGAAUGUGUUAGCAAAUCUCAGGUCAUUAUGACAUACCGACCAUAUACAAACAUGGGCAAAGUUAUGUUGCAACAUGCGUUUGGUACCUCUCUCUUUUGUCUUUUUCAAGGUCAAUUAUAGUAGUAUCCUGUUAUUUAUUAUAAAAAUAAAAAUGUUAAAUUUUUUUAAAGUUUUACGCAUUAGUCCUACACCUACAUAGCAUCAUUUUUCUCAUCCAUUUUGCACCAUCAAUGACAUCAUUUUUUCAUCCCUUUUAAUUAAAAUAUAAUUAAAAUUACUUUCCAUAUAGAAAUAGAAUAAUAAAAUAAAAUAAAAUUUAUUCUUUUUUUAAUUAAUUAUAAAAAAAAAAGAUAUUUUGUAUUAAAAAAUAUAGACAAUUACUAGUUAUCAUUGUUUCUUAUUAAUUGAAAGGGGACAUGAAGGGUUUCAUUAGACUUGAAAUUGGAUAAUUUACAUAAAGAUGGUUUCAAUGCUAGCAAAUGACAAUAUGUAAAGUUGCAAGCUCCUUCUAAAAUAGCUGCAACAAUAACUAUACCACAAAAACACAAAGAGUUACAUUACACUACCACCUUUUUUUUUUUUUCUUUUUUUAGAGACCCUCAAUUUGGUUGUUAAAGGCAAUGAACCUUAAAACAUGAUGUAGGAAACAUAUUAGAUAAAAAUAAAUUAGAAUUUACUAGAAAUUAUAAUAUUUGGGUCAAUUUAGAAUUUAGUAUUUUAUUAAGAUUUAUCUUAUUUUAUUAAAUUUAUUUGAGUCAUAUUUGUAAUCCUAAUUUAAUUAGGAUUUUAAAUUAUUUCUCUUAUUUGAGAAAAAAUUAAGAUUAAGUUAGCUACUAUUAUAUAUAUAAGCUUGUUAUUAUUAAUUUAUGAAUACAAACACAAGCUUCUCAUUAAUAAUAAUAUUUAAUUUUUUCAUAAUUGAGAUAGCUUUUCCUAAGUGAGAACUUUUUUUUAAGUUUCCAAGACAAAUGAUAUUAGAGCUUUUUUCUAUACCAGGCAUAGCAUUCCUAACCACCAACCACCUUUCAAUCGCAUAUCCUUCCUCCUCCGUACAUUAGUUCCAUCAAGUUAAAAAAAAAAAAAAAAACUAGCAAAACCUGAAGCCGGCCUCACAUCCGCCACACACGGCAACCGCCGCCACCGGUUUCUCUUCUUUUCGGUCGAUCCUCUCUCCCAUCCAAAAGCCCACACGCCGCCAAUCAUAACCCAACCCAUAACACCACCAUCUCGUCACCGUAGCCACCGAAAACUAGCCAAAACACCCGCUGAACCACCACGAAAAUCCGUCUCUCUAUUCCUUGCAAUCCAUUGUGAUUUAUAGCCUCCACCACCACCCAUUUAUCCAGCAUCAUCAGCUCUUUCUUUUCAACCCACUCACGCUGCCAACCCCCGGCCGGAUCGGCGGAAACCGAAACCAACCUCCACCCGCUACUUUAACUCAACUUUUUGGUCAAAUCACAACUAUUUGAGACAAACCACCACCAGCAUCACACGCAGCACCAUCAAAUCUUCCAAAUCCACCUAUCCUAGGCCAAUUUUUCGACCACCGUCGCCGGCAACACCAACUUUUGCCUAUUUAUAAUUUUGUCCCUUUACUUUUCUAUACUUAUACUAUUGCCUAUAAUUUUCGGUUCCUUAAAAAAACCCAAAAACCAAACAAACUUAUAAAAAUAAAUAAAUUAGAAUUUACUAGGAAUUAUAAUAUUUGGAUCAAUUUAGAAUUUAGUAUUUUAUUAGGAUUUAUCUUAUUUUAUUAAGCUUACUUAAGUCAUAUUUAUAAUUCUCAUCUAAUUCGAAUUUUAGAUUAUUUCUUUUAUUUGAGAAAGAUAAGGAUUAAGUUAGCUACUAUUAUAUAUAUAGGCUUGUUAUUCUUAAUUUAUGAUAACAGACACAAGUUUCUCAUUAAUAAUAUUCAGUUUUUUUCUCAAUUGAAAUAUCUUCUCUUUGGUGAGAGUCUCUUUCUUGAGUUUUCAAGACGCAUGCUAGAACGAAAUCUAGUAUCGCUUCCGCCUUGCGUUAAAACGUCAUCUAAUCAUAGGGUCUUGUUAUAGUUGUUUGCAUUGGAAGGCUCAUCUAUCGCCAACAAAUCUAUUUAUCCGGCAACAUUGCCACCAUUACAUUGAUUGGAGAAUUUUGAAUACGUUGAUAGUUUUUAUUUUUCUGUUCACUCACUUCUAUUUCUUAGUGAUGAUACUGUCAUUGUUGUCAUUGAUGGUGCAAUAAUUUUUAGCAAUAUUAUUUUGAUUUUUCAUUUGAUUUACAAAACUUAAAUAUUAAAUAUAAUACUCAAUUUUAGUCUCAUACACUUAAAUAUUACUAAUAUUCAAGUUCAUGGAUGGAUAUUGAAUAAAUCAAAUCCGGAGUAUUUUAGAUGGAUACUGUCCAAUCUAUUUGGAUCAGAUACUUACACAUCCAACUUGAAUGGAUUUGUUUGCUCUUUCUAGCUGUUAACUCGAUUAAUAAUUCUAUUGGGUUUGGUUUUAAUACUCCUAAUAUGAUAACUCAUUCAUAACACAAUUAAUUAUAUUAAUUGACUUCUAGUUUAGUUGAUAGAUAUGUGUUGAAUUGCCAUCUCUACUGUUAUCCAUGUGUGAUGUCAGCAAGAAAGAAGAAAGAAUAGAAAAUACUUAUUUUUAGUUUAUUUUCUAAAGAAAUAUUUAAAUUAUUUUCAAAUAGAGUAAUUGUUUAGAAUUUUUUUACCAUUCUCUCAGAUAAGUUAAUGACUAUUUAAACAAUUGGGGUGGAGUAACAAAUACCAAUUUAUUUAAGUGUGCAAUUAAAUUAUUAUUUUUAUUUAAGGACAAAAACUCAUUGUUAAAAAAAAGAUUUUACAAGUUCAUAAACUAACAUUUUAUUAUUAUUAUUAGUAAAUUAACAUAUUUUUACUAUAUAAUUAAAUAAUUGAUAGUAUGUUUAAUAAAUAUUAUGUUACAAAAAAAAAUUAACUACAUAGAAUAUGAAAUUAAAUUUAUUUUCGUAUUUUGUAUAUUUCAUCUACUCGAGAUAAUAAAAUCUCUUGUGCUGAAAAAAAAAAUUAUGGGUUUUGAACCUUGUUCACAUAGGUGAGAGGAAAUUGGUUGCCAUUAUAUUAAAUUAAAAAAAAAGAUCAUAUUUAUACCUAUCGUUAAUUAUGGUUAGUAAAUAAUAUACAUAGUUUAACUAUAUAAUAAAGUAGUUAAUUUAUUAAUUAAUAAAUUUAUUAAUUUAAAUAGAUAUUAAUAAAUGUAAGAAUAAGUCAUUUAAUUGAAAACCUAGUUUAAUAGAGUUAAAAAAAAAAAAAGAAUAUUAUGGACUUAUAUUUCAUAAUUUCAAAACUUUUGAUUUUGUAUUAUUUACAUGAACAAUAAGGGUCUUUGAUGUUAAUAAUCCAAUAAUCACAUCUCAGCCAUUAUGCAAUUCUUACGUUAAAUCCAACAGUAAAUUUUAAAAAGACAAAAAAUGGGGUACCAAACCCCAUACAAGUAUAUGUGGACUGCAUGUCAAAAGCCAAAUUGGAAACUUUAACAUGAUGGUAAUGCGGUUCCUUUAUAAUUCAAAGUUGAGUAAAAUAUAGUGGUUUUGAGAAUCGGCCGGUAAUCAAAAUUGUUGUCUGGAAUGCGCUCGGUGACCGCGAUCACCUGACUAAAAUUUCUCAGGAAAAAAAAAAAAAACACUGAAUUUUGUGACGAACUCUUGGAUUCGAUCAAUACAGUCUAUUGCAUUCGAGGUGGAAAAGCAAACUUCAAUAUUCUAUUUGGGGAGUUUGGUUACAAAGAGAGUGAGAAAAUUUAGUAGUUUUGGAUAGAAAAUUCUCCGAUAGAGUAGCUUUAAUGCAGUUUUUUUUUUUUUUUUUAAUGACAUGAUAUAAUAUCCACGAAGGCCUCUCCUGCAAUUUUAUAUUGGGAAAAAGGAUAAACACACUCUCAAUGUUUAAAUAAAGGGAUAAAAACUCUCAUAACAUUUAAAAAAAGAUAUUUACACCCCUAUUCACUAACGGAAACAAUUAUUUUUAACAGAAAUAGUAAUUUUAAUAUAUAAUUACCAUUAUACCUUUCUAGCACAUAAAAAAAUAAUUGUUAAUUGUCUAAUUUAUCCAUAUAUCAUUAAUAAAAUUAUAAAUAUACCCUCAUUGCCCAAUUCCUCUAUUUAAAUUUUUAUCAAAUUCUCUUUUCAAGCCAAAUAAAUUUAAUCCAUUAUCAAUUUUUUUGUCUAUUGGAUAUGUCAUUUAAUACAAUUAAGAUAAGAUUUUUGUAAUUAUUAUUGUAACCAGCCUUUUUUUUUUAUUUUGUUGAUUAUACAAGUUUAAAUGAUUGACAUGUAGAGAAUUGUUAUUCUUAUGGCAUUAAUAAAUAAUUUUAUUUAUUUUCAUUUUUGAGUAAUUGAUUAAAUUUUUUUGGCUUCAAGAGGGAAUUUGAUAAAAAUUUAAAUAGAGGAAUUGGGUAAUGAAGGUAUAUUUAUAAUUUUAUUAACAAUAUAUGGAUAAACUGGACAAUUAACAAUUAUUUUUUAUGUGCUAGAAGGGUAUAACGGUAAUUAUAUAUUAAAUUUAUUAUUUUUGUUAAAAGUAACUGUUUCCGUUAAUGAAUGGGGGUGUAAAUAUCUUUUUUGAAACGUUAGGGAUUUUUGUCCUUUUAUCUAAAUAUUGAGGAUGUAUUUGUCCUUUUUCCUUUUAUAUUUUGGGCAGAUUGCUAACUUGCUAGUGAUAAUGUCAGCAUGACCUAUCAAUUUUACCAAUUUAUGGAAUCUGCCUUUUAUGAGUUAUUUAAGCUAUUUUUUUUUUCAUCCUUUUUUUAAAAGUUAAGGCCAACUUCUACUAUGUUAAAAUUUAGUUGUGGUUGAGUUUAUACAAAAUAUAAUAAAAAUUAAGACUAUUAUAUAAGUGUAAAUUUUGAAGGUAAAUCCUCUUUAUUUAUAAUGUUUUGAUUUUUUUUUAUCAUGUCAUUGAAUUUGUUCUAUAAAUUGAAUUUUUAGACCAAUGAAAUACAAUUAUUCCCUCCCAUUCGUCUUUUUUCCAAAACUGCAUCCAUCAUAAAGAACAAUAUAACUUCACGGCAUCAAAAUCCUUGUUAAAUGUAAAAAUUAGAUCCUAAUAGGAAUUUAUUGGUGUGAUUCAUUUUAGAGGUGGACAUGGGUUGGUUUGGAUUGAGUUUUAAAUCAACCCAACCCACAACCAUAAAAUUUUAGACCCAAUCCAAACCAACUCAAAUAUUUUUAACCCAACCCAACCCAAACUAAAUUAUUUGGGUUUGCUUUGAAUUUUAUAAUCAAAAUAUUUUUUAUUUUGAUAAAUUUAAUUAUACAAAAUUAUAAUAAUUACUAAUUAUUAUUAAUUAUUAAAUUAAUAUUAAAAUAUAAAAAAAUAUUGUGGAUAAAAAAUUAAAAGAAAGAAUUAAAUUAAACUCCAAUAAUAAACUUCCACGAACAUGACAUAAACAAGCAAAUUAAAAGAAAGAAAAGAAAAUUUGAUGAUCAUUUCUAUCUACAGUACUUUAAUCAAAAGAUUCCAUGAUUAAUUGAAUCCACUCCUUCAACAAUAAAUAAAUAACCAAAAAAGAAAAAUUAUGUUGUUUGAUCCAAACUCUGUUGUUAUAUUUGAUAAUCAUAAGAAUAACAUCAAUUCCAAGCCAUCGCCUCUGUUAUUAUAUUUGAUCCAAACUCUACAUUAAAUAAAAAUAAAUUAAUUAAAAAAAGACUAGUGAUAAACAAAUAUAUAAAUUUUUUUACCUUGUUAUGAUAAACAAUUAGCUGACAUCAUCGCUUCAUAAAAUUCAAUCUCCUCCAUUGUUGGUUCAUCUUGUAAUGGGACAAAAGUGUUACGUAACCAAUUUUAUGAGUAUAUCAAAGCUUCCACCAUCUUCAGACUUAAAGAACCACGAAAUGAAUCAAUGAUGCGUCUUCCAAUACUAAACGCAGAUUCUGAAGCUAUUGUAGAUAUUGAAAUUACAAACACAUCCCUUGUAAUAUGUGAAAGAACUCAAUAUUUUAUUGAGUUCAUUUUCCACCAUGCCAAAAUCUCAAAGUCAUCAUCAUCAACAUGUUCACAUGGCUCCAACAAAUACCUCUCCACUUCAUUUUUUUUAUCUCAACACAAUCAUCUUUUUCUAUUCUUUGUUUGAACUUUGCAACACUUGAAAGUUUAGAAAACCAAAACUUAUGACGACUAAUUCACCUUAAAUUCUAAAGGAAAAAAUGGUGUUUAGGAACCAAAACUCAAAACUUGUAAAAGCAAUUUUAGCAAAGAAAAUCAUAAUAAAAAAAUGAAAGAAAGAAAAAAAAACAUGUACCAAAAUCUAAGUAAUUAAAUUUCAUAAUUCCAAGCAUACCCAUUAAGCAGAAUCUAAGUAAUUGAAAAUAUGUAAAACAAAUUUUGGGCCACCAGAAUAGAAUCCAAGGAUUAGAGGUCCACCACAACAGUAACAGAAGAAAAAAAAGACUGAUGCAGAACCUCACCUUAAAUCAUUAGGAAGAAUGCAAUCGAAGUGGGGGUUUAGGAAUUGAUGACAAUGAGAGAUCCACAACGUCACUUUUGUUGACAGAGAUUGUAGAAGAUGGAGAGAGAUCAAAGAGAUUCAAAGGUUUGUUUAUUUUGUUUAAUUCAUUUUGUUUAGUUUUGGAAAUGUAUUCUUGACUUAUGGGUAAUUCAUACCCAAACUAUUAUGAAAUGAUUAUAUACAUAAAAACUCAAAUUUAACCCAUUUUCAUGAUUUACUCGACCCAAAUUAUUUUAUUUGAUUUAAGUUUGGGUAAACCCAUGGAUUGUAGGUUAUGCCCACCCCUAUAUUUAUUUAUUGCCCUCAAGGAACACAAAGUUGGUACCAACACUUUUGCUCUGUGAAAUCCAAAUUUCGAUGGUAGCAUUCUUAGCAGCUUAGCAGGCUUUGCUCAUCAUUUUUAUUUCUUCAAUUAGCUGCUUUUUUUUUCACUCGUUUUCACAAUUACAUGCCACACGCGUCCCAAUCAAUCCGGACGCGUCAAUAAAUUUUGAAGUGUGUGAAAGAGAGUUGGUGGUCACUGAUCACAGUGUGUGUGUGUAUAUAUAUACACAAACACACACACAUAUAUAGCCCUAAUGAUGAAAUCUAUCUUUUGACAAAUUAUGUAUAUAUUACUCAAUUAUUAUUUAUAUAUACAAAAAAGAGAUUGAUAUUGGGGUGACAAAUUCCAAGUCGGUGUGACUCAAAAGAGUGCCAUCUUUGAAAAAGCAUGCUAUCUCUUGCCUCUAGUUAACAUCUAUAAUUCAUGUUAAGUGUUCAUGGACGGCCAAAAAGCAAAAGUCAUUCAUUUAAAAAUAAAUGAAAGAAUCUUCAGUCUAUAAAGUAAAGUAUCAUCUUGACAAGCAAAUGGGUGUUUAAAGCUGCUGCUUGCACACGAAGUUAAGCACUUUUAAUAACCCAUCACACUCAAUUAACACUACAAACUCUUCUUCUCCCUUUUCCCACCAAUAAUGCUCUAGGGCUUGUUAAUGAAAAUGGCUGCAAUCCAAAAACUGAUCGUUGAAGUUGUUGAUGCACGCAACCUUUUACCAAAAGAUGGGCACGGGACCUCCAGUCCCUACGUCGUGAUUGACUACUACGGGCAGAGAAGAAAAACCCACACAGCGGUUCGUGAUUUGAACCCGACAUGGAACGAGGCACUCGAGUUCAACGUUGGUAAGCCACCUCAAGUGUUCACUGACAUGUUUGAACUUAACAUAUUUCAUGAUAAAGCGUACGGUCCUACUACAAGGAAUAAUUUUCUUGGUAGGAUUCGGUUGAGUUCAAGCCAGUUUGUUAAGAAAGGUGAAGAAGCCUUGAUUUAUUACCCUCUUGAAAAGAAAAGCUUGCUUACUUGGAUCCAAGGUGAAAUUGGGUUGAAAAUUUAUUAUGUUGAUAUUGUUCCGACGCCGCCACCUGCGGCGCCAGCGCCAGCGCCAGUUCCACAGCCAGAUCCUCCUGCGAAGGAAGUGAAACCUGAUCCAACUGUCGAAGCUAAAGCUGAAGCCGCGAAGCCCAAUGUAGAGCCAGCCGCCGAUCAUGAGGCUAAAGUUGAAGCUGAAGCAGUACCAGCACCAGAAAAUAAAGAGCCUGCAGGGGAUAAAGAACUCCAGUGCGACACGUCAUCAGCACCAGAGCAAGUACAAGCAAAUGAAGAACAAGCUCGACAGCAGCCAUCCAUGCAGGAGCAAUCUGGCCAUAGUGAGUUUGAUCUUACAACGGCCAAGGCGGGCCCGGAAGCUCCAGCGGCACCGUCUGAUCACGUGAUGGCGGCAUCAAUCUCCGGGUCUGUGCCGGAGGUCAAAGUAACUCCUCCGAGCAGCAGUCCACAGCCAAUCUCAAGGUCAGCGUCAAUGGCGAUCUUCGCUUCAGCCACAUCAGGUAACAUUCCGAUCAACGGUCCACAGCCAAUCUCGAGGACAAUGUCAACGGCAAGCUUCGCAUCAGACAUAACAGAUAACAUUCCGAUCGAACGGUCGUCGUUUGAUCUUGUGGAGAAGAUGCAUUACCUCUUCGUACGAGUAGUUAAAGCUCGGUUCUUACCCACCAAAGGCAGCCCGGUUGUAAAGAUAGCCGUUGCGAACAGCCGCGUCGAAUCGAAACCCGCCCGUAGAACCUCGUGCUUCGAGUGGGACCAGACGUUUGCUUUUGGCCGAGACUCGCCCGAAUCCUCCUCAUUCUUAGAAGUCUCGGUGUGGGACCCGCCGAGAGGUGACGUGGCAGCUCCUCCUGGUUUCUUAGGUGGCAUUUGCUUCGACGUUUCGGAGAUUCCAUUGCGGGAUCCGCCGGACAGCCCAUUGGCCCCUCAGUGGUACAGGAUGGAGGGUGGUGGGGCCUACAGUGGAGACUUGAUGCUCGCCACUUGGGUUGGUACCCAGGCUGACGAUUCAUUCCCUGACGCAUGGAAAACCGACACAGCCGGUAAUGUUAACUCUAAAGCCAAAGUUUAUGUCUCUCCAAAAUUGUGGUACCUUAGAGCUACUGUAAUUGAAGCACAAGAUAUUUUGCCGCCAGUAGCGGCGUUAAAAGAAGCCUCGUUUACAAUCAAAGUCCAGUUAGGGUUUCAAGUACAGAAAACCAAAGUCUCCGUUACGCGCAACGGAACUCCGUCGUGGAACGAAGAUUUACUCUUUGUAGCUGCCGAACCCUUUACUGAUCAACUGAGUUUCACGUUAGAAAACCGACAACAUAAAGGAUCAGUAGCACUCGGAGUCACUAGAGUUCCACUAACGGCUGUUGAAAGGCGAGUUGAUGACCGGAAAGUGGCGUCGAGAUGGUUCACGUUUGAAAACACAAAUGAUGAAAAGAGGGCAUACAAAGGUAGGGUCCACCUGAGGCUGUGUUUCGAUGGUGGGUAUCACGUGAUGGACGAGGCGGCGCACGUGUGCAGUGACUAUCGACCUACAGCUAGACAGCUUUGGAAACCGCCGGUAGGAACCGUUGAACUUGGUGUGAUUGGGUGCAAGAAUUUGUUACCGAUGAAAACCGUAAAUGGUAAAAGUACCACGGAUGCUUACGUGGUGGCAAAGUACGCGUCCAAGUGGAUUCGGACCCGUACGGUUUCGGACAGCUUGGAGCCACGUUGGAAUGAGCAGUACACGUGGAAGGUUUAUGAUCCUUGUACGGUGUUAGCACUGGGAGUCUUUGAUAGUUGGGGAAUAUUUGAAGGUGAAAACGGUAGCAUGGAAACGACACGCCCUGAUUGUCGUAUUGGUAAAGUACGAAUACGUAUUUCUACUCUGGAGACCGGUAAAGUUUAUAGAAAUACGUAUCCUUUGCUUUUGUUGGGAAGUAAUGGGAUGACAAAAAUGGGUGAAAUAGAAGUGGCCGUACGGUUCAUACGUACAAGUCCGACGUUGGAUUUCUUGCACGUGUACUCGCAACCUUUGUUACCAUUGAUGCAUCAUAUCAAGCCACUCGGGAUGGUCCAGCAAGAGAUGUUAAGGAGUGGGGCUGUUAAGAUUAUAGCCGCACACUUGGCAAGAUCAGAGCCACCGCUGAGGCGUGAGAUAGUGCUAUGCAUGCUUGACGCGGAUUCACACGCGUUUAGUAUGCGGAAAGUGCGGGCUAAUUGGUUUAGGAUCAUCAACGUGCUUGCGGGUGUGAUUGAUAUCUUACGGUGGGCGGAUGAUACGCGAUCGUGGAAGAAUCCUACGGCUACCAUUCUUGUGCAUGCAUUGUUGGUGAUGCUGGUGUGGUUCCCUGAUCUGAUCGUGCCCACAUCAGCAUUUUACGUGUUUGUGAUUGGCGUGUGGAAUUACAGGUUCCGGAAGAGGGACCCACUGCCGCACUUUGACCCGAAGAUCUCGCUGGCCGAUACAAUCGAACGUGACGAGCUUGAUGAAGAGUUUGAUACAGUACCAAGUGCAAGACCAAACGAAAUCGUACGGGCCAGGUAUGACAAGCUGCGUACGCUCGGGGCACGUGUGCAGACACUGUUGGGUGAUUUUGCAGCGCAGGGGGAGCGGGUGCAAGCAUUGGUGACGUGGAGGGACCCACGUGCCACGGGUAUCUUUGUGGGGUUAUGUUUUGUCGUGGCGAUGAUAUUGUAUUUGGUUCCAUCCAAAAUGGUGGCGAUGGCAUUUGGAUUCUACUAUCUGCGCCAUCCGAUGUUCCGUGAUCGGAUGCCAUCACCAGCGUUGAAUUUCUUCAGGAGGCUGCCUUCACUGUCCGAUCGAAUCAUGUAGACUGAUAUUGGAUUUGGAAGGGGGUGUUUUAAUUACGUAGCAAUAAAGCCUCAAUAAGUAUCGCACGAAAUCAUAGCAGCAUUUUUAUUUUUGCAAGUCCUUAUAAUUUGUAACUCGUAUUGUAUCAAGAGCAUUUCUUAAAUAAUAAACAAUUAACCAAACAUCGGGCUAGAAUUUGCUAAAAGACUAGAAGUUAGCCAGGAACGUCUUGCUUCAUAGACUCGAUUUAGCGUUUUCUAACCUACAUUUGGUGCACACAUGAAGCGAAAUUAAAUAUUAGAGCAUAAUCAUUUACCUUAAGAAAAAAAUUUGCAAGCAAUUUAAUUUGGAAUAUAUUCCAUUUGUUGUGUAGAGAUUUGAAUCCAUUAUUAAGCUAUUGAUUUUGCUACAUGAGAUGUAAAAGAAACUUCACAUCUAGUAUCAAGCUAUUGACUCGAAAAGGAAACUUCACAUUUAGACAUGAGGGUUAUUUCUUAAUUUCUCUGCGUAAAAAAUUUUCUAUUAUAAAUAAAUCUAAAGCUAUAAAUAUAUAUAUGAAUGAACAGCGUUAUGAGUUAAGAACCUUUGUAUAAGUCAUUCUAUAAGUGCUUCAUCGACCAGCCGAUUGGUCCAUGAAAUUACCCCACCAACACGGCACCACUAUACGUAAAUUAUUUUAGAAUCUAAAAUGUUAGGCGAAUAAGUUACUUUUUAUAUUGGUUCACUAAGUAACUUAUCUAUGUUCCUUUUGAUUCUUUCCCCAACCUUCUUCCUUCAUAUAAAAGAAGUUAACAAAUAUUUCUUCUAUACAGCGUAGCGGCAGUUUCACUGUAUACACAUAGUAUGUGUAAAUGGCAAAAGGAAUGAGUAUUGACAUAGCAUUGAUAAAAACAAUUAUAAACCAGCAUCGAUUUAUCUUGUUUCUUCAGUUAAGUGAGAAAAUCGGCAUUGGUUUGUUACUGUUUAUACCAGCAGCGUACUACUAAAUUUUUCUGUGUCAAUAUAUUUAUUAUCUUUCACAUAUUAAUCUACUUAAAAGGGGAAAUAAUCGUGUAUAUACAUUCAUUUACAUGUAUAUAUACAUACAUACAUAAUACAUAUAUCAUCACAUCUCAUGAGGAACAAACAUGUCAGCAGCAAAAGUACAUGGUUGUGAAAGUAAUUAUCGGAAAAUGCACCUCUUUUAGUGAUAAAAUUCAGUUAUAUAAUGCACUGUCUCUUCUUUAAUUUAACUUUCAUUAUUACCCCCGGCUACUUAUUUCUCUCUUUCUUUCAUUGUUUUUACAAAUAUAUGUCUCAGUACUGCUUCAAAUCGCUUGGUAACUGCUAAUAAACCUUGAUUGAGCAGUGCAGGCCAUGAUGUAAUUGAUAGAAAGAACAAUGUUGUAUUGUUAAUUAAGUAUAUCUAGGAAAUAGGAGGAAACAUGUACACAAGAAGAAACAAAAACUAAACCCUAACUAGCAACUAAUAUGUUUAGGGUUAAUCAGCUAGCCAUAAUAAUUUAGAAGCCCAUGGGCUUCAUUCCCCUCAUCACAUGUAUCCUAUGCAUCUUCGACUUUUUUUGUGCGUGGGGCACCAGCCACCAAGCUUAUAUACUCGUUUUUUUUCAUAGGAACUAUUCUUAGAGAUGUAAAGUCGAUGUGUGUGAUAAUUUAACAAUGCGCGUGAAACUUCUAGGGAGUAUUCUUACCUAAUGUGGGAUAUAAUAGUCUUCUUAAUACUAUCAUGUAGAAAGAUAAUGUGGGCCUUAUUAUAUGAAAUUUUAAGGCUGACUUAUACUCGUCUAGCUACUUCUAAAAUUGAGGGUUACCACAAACUUAUAUAUUUUGGCACAUAACUAUUAACUCCUCGUCGAUGUGGGAUAAUCUUCUUAAGAAAUAAUGUUGCUUAAAAAUGAAGUAGUAACAUGUAAUCUCUAAAAGAUAUAACAUAAAAUUUUGGGAAACUAUAUUUUCUCACCAACACUUGAGAAAUAUGGGAGCCAAAACAUAAAUUGAACCAAAAGUGUAGACAUCUGCUAGUUAAAAAGGUGAAGUACUCCCAAGUCCCAAUUUAAAUACAAAUUACCUUAGUAAGAGUCGAUUGAAUUUGUGACAAUAGUGUCCAAAAGAUGUUUGAAAUACACCUAUUGAAUAAUGCCACUUAGCCGAGGUAAACUAUUAGAUGAUAUACAUAUAUAGUAUCAUUAUAUAAUAAGGAAUACUUGAAGAUAUUAAAGUGAGGAAUAAACUAAAAAUAAGCAAAAUAUAUACUCAAAUGUAUUGAAGUAUGUAUUUUUCUUGUUUUUACUUUAUCUCAUUGGAAAAUAACACGCACACACCUAUUGUCUGGCAAGGAUAUACUCAUCAAGUCAAGAUGCCAUUAAAAAAAAUAAAAAGAAGAUAAAAAUAGUUUUUAAUGUAUUGAAAUAUAUAUAUAUAUAUAUAUAUAUAUAAAACAUUCUCACUAUAGUAAAGUGAGGAUAGCCUCGUUAUAUUGUCUCUUUAUUUCUUUUUCUUUUGAGACAAUGUCACUCAAAUUAAAUUAAAUGCCAGUUCUGUCACUUGAAAGUACUUACUACUUCAUAUCACAAACUAUGCUAUUAACUUUAUUAGUCACUAAUAAGUAGUUUUAUACAUGUAUGCCGCUUAUAUAACAGUGUCCGAUCAGUGGUGUCGGCUAGGGUUUUUAUAUAUGUAAACACCUAGAGGAAGAGAUUGUGCCCACACAUUCAUAACAUAUGAAUAGAUAAAGGACAAUGACAAAACUCUUUUGUUCUUUUCCCCCAAUAAAUGAAUACAUUAGAUUCUCUUUCGAUCUGUUUCAUAUCUUACAUUAUUUGUCCGAGAAUCUGCAGUGCCCAAAUUUCUUUCUCAAUAUUGUUUGCAUGUAUUUCACAUUGGAGAGAGAAAGAGCAAGAGAGAACAUAUUUUUCAUCACCGUUCAAAUUUUCAUAAACUAUGUAUAAGCUCGUGAGGAUAGUUAAAAGGGUAAAUAUUAAGUUUGAAAUAAUUAACACACUCAGUUAAUUAAAAUCUGUCUCCUAAUCAAUCAUAUCAAAAUAUAUACCACGAAAGAAUCCAAUUUAUGGUUAUCCAAAAGAGGUCCAAAGUUUUUUUUUUCUUUUUUUUCCCUUUUCCUUGUGUGGAUCUGUGCUUCGGCCUUCGAGUGAUCGUGAUUUAAUUGUUCGACAGACAGAAAGAGUUUAACAUGUGUCUACUCCUAAAAGAAUAAUAUAACCACACUAACUAAGAAAGAUAACAAACAUAAUCAUGAUUUUAACUAGAAGUUAUACAAGAGAUUUCUAUUAAAGCCAUGUAUAGUUGAAAGAUGAUUAUUAUUGGAACUUGUAUAAUAAGAUUAGGGUUUUGUGAUGUCAUCUAAACAAAAUAUACAGUUAUCAAUAGCCAAAACCCAAGAUUUGAUAACAUACCUUUGCUUGGCAGCCUUCUCUAUUUCAGCAGGGAAAAGCUUGGUGUGAGGAAUGAAGCCUGGUCCGAGAUCAUUUUAAAAUCGACAAACAAAUUAAUUUACAUAUAUACGUAAAAGGAUCCAAAUCCAUGAACCCCUUUUCCUCCUUCCUCAACUAUACAAGUAAAAAAAAUCUCAAAGAGCUAGCAAGGCAAACCUCACACUCUCAUCAUUGUACAAUCAAAACCUAGAAAGGCAUCGAGAUUAUUAUUAAAAUGACAAUAGAUGGAAGAGACACAAGGAUCUUGGAUCGGGCUUCAUUCCAGACCCCUACUUACCUUAAUUUCUCAAGAAAACUCUCAAACAAUCAUAUGAUUCAAGAAAGCUCGAAAGUGGUCAUCGUAUCAAGCGCUUACUCUCUAUCUUGAAAAGAAAAAAACACACACGCAUAAAAGAAAUUAAUAGUAAAUAGAGUGACAAUAUGAUCUUGGAUCAAACUUCAUUCCAAACACCACUUUUCCUUCUUUCAAAGAACUCUCUUUGGCUAGCUACUAGCUUUUUACAUGAUUCAACGAUCGAAUACCCAACAAGGCUGCAGCACUCAAGCACUUACAGCUCUCUCUGCCCCUUUAAAGAGACUCAGACUCACAAAUCAUUAUAAUAUAAGCAGAUAUGUAGAAGAGAGACAAAAAAAUAUGUGUGGGAAGGAAAAGAGAAAAUAAACAAACAGAUAAAUGUAGAAAGCCACAUGAUAGACAGGUCAUUUGUAUUGAUAAAAUAAUAAAAAGGUUGGUGGGUUUUGGAGGGAUCAUAUUGUCUUCUUCUAAGGUUAACUUCUUAGUGACUUACUUUUACAGCCUAUCUCUGUAGGGAAAUUAAUAAAGAACUAGCUUUGCACUGAAAAUAACGAAGCAUGGGAGGAAGGCGACAAUAUGGGCCUCCACAUGGUGCAAUUUAUAAUACUAUAUUAAAGGGUAAUCUUUUUUAAUAGUAAUUAUUUAUGACCAUUAUAUGAUAUUAAAGUAAGGAUCACACCAAAAAAAAAAAAAAAAAAAUUGUAACAACAUUGAACAUAUCAUCACCACCGAGAAGAAAAGGGAUCACCGCCGGAGUGCAGAGCAUGUAUGAGCACUGAGUCUCCUGUUAGUGUUCUAACUUCUAAAAUAUAUAUUGUGGCGCAAUAUAGUACUUGUAUGUCUGUGCGAGAGACAGUAAGAGUAUCUAUUCUCUGAAGAACAUAACGUUGUAAAAAGCAUUGCUACUUGAAGAAUCCCAAUGACAUAUUCUGCUAGACAGUUUUUUUUUUCCUGCUUCUAGCUUAUGUCAUUUUCGGAGAGCGAAGGGUCCAAACUACCACCACAGAUAAAUAUAAUUUUGCGUGUAUAUAGUAUAUGGUUUUCAGGUUUCUUUUUUCUUUUUUUUUUCUUUUUCAUGGUACAUUGCUGGCGAUAAUCUUUAGUCUCUAAUGUGUUGGGACGUUGUCAAUCUCACGUCACCUUAGAAUAAAUCGUGGACUAAGUACAUUAGCUUGAGACAAUGCUAAACUUUAGAGUUAGUUUUUGAGUCUUAAAUAUCUCCUUAGCCUUCUAAAUAAUGCCCCUAUUAACUGAAAUUUAGUUUGAAAUUUAGAAUAUACAUUUGCUGAUUUGAACUUAUUUAAUAUUUGAUAGUGACAAAAUAAGAACGUUUAGAACAUUCUUAUUAUUUCUCAAUUGCUCAAAGGCCACUUUAUAGAAGAAAUUCAAUGACAUAAAAUGUAAAAAAAAAUCAUAUAAAUGAAGAAUUUGGCUUCCAAUUUUAUAUGCACCUAAUAAUAUUAAUUCUUACUAUAGGACAUAAUAUUAAUUGGGACUGAUUCUUGCUAUACGUGCAAGACAUAAUGAUCUUGAUUCUUGUUAUUUAUGCAUCACAUAAUCGUCUUGAUUCUUACUAUUUGAGUAUGUGAAAAUGUAUUAUAUUAUGAUAUUGACUCCUAUUAUACGUACAUAUGUAUAUAUAGAAUGACAUCUUUUAAUCAAAAUAUCUCAAGUGUAUAUGUGGUCAACUUUAUCACUAAAAUAGAUGUACUUGGCAAUGUUAACACAUAAAAUCUCCCCAUCUUAUAAAAACGUCUACAUUCCUUAAGUUUGUUUGCAUAGAGUUAAUUUGUGGCUCAGAUUUGCUCUUGUAAACUUUAGGUGGGUGGCUGCAAUGAGUGAAAUCACUCCCAAGUGUAAUCUGCCUGAUUGAUCCAAAGUCACCAAAUCAAUAUCAUCAUAUAACAUAGUAUGAAAAACGUGGAGGAUUAAAUAGUUUAACAACUACUACAAUACAUUAUAUUCUCAAAUCUGCUUUAACCUGCCGCCACUAAAAAGGCUACAUUAAUUGAAUUAUUGCGAGGUGUAUUGUUACCAUAUAGUUAGCAAUUAUCAAAUGCAUUUUAAUUACGUAGCAAUCAACAAAUCUAAGAAAGUGAGGCCUUCUUUGAGGAAGAUUGAGGAAAGAACUGUAAAUUGCCAGUAAUUUGGGGACCAAUUAGUGGAAUACAGUGAUAUAUUUGGAGAUAUUUGAUUGGCACCCCUCUAAAUACCACUUAGCACCCCUCUUUUUUAUUAACCCUGUUAAAAUAUUUAAAAAUAUUAUAAAAUUCUUUUAAAACUCCUUAAAUGAUAAAAUUGCCCUUAAUUAAAACUUAUUAGUAUAAACAUCCUUCUUUAAUUAUUUUUUGUCUUUAUUAUUAAACCUCAUUUCAACAAUGUAGUUUCUUCUCUCCAUCGUAGCCGCCAAUAAUAAGUUUUUCAAUAGAAAAUAAGAGGAAAAAACAAUCCUUUUAAUUUCUAAAAUGUUGGAUUUUAAUCUUAGAUACCACCUUCACUAAAGGUUGCUUUAAAUCACUAUCCCAACCUCAUCUGCCUAGUUCUAUGUCUUGUUCAAUCUAUUAUUCACUCUAUUGUGAGCUUCAGAAUCAUCAGCUUCACCCUCAAAUUCAUUCAUCUCAUUCUUCUUAUUCUCCCCUGUGGCAUAAAAUUCAUCCUCGUCAUCACUGCUGCUCAUGUACUAAUAAUUUGCCUCUGCCCUUGAUGCUCUUGGAUCAUAUUCUUCCUUGGAUUUAGAUUUCCACAUUGCAUUUUCAAGAUCACUAAACAUGUUUCCCGACUCAGAAUAUUUGUUUGUCAUUUUUCUACUAAAAUGAGCUUCCACAUUUCCCUUCCAACCUUCUUUUUCGCGAGCUCUUCCAAACUUGUCUUGCUUCCCUUUUAAAUGAAAAUAUGUCUUAUAAAUAAUUUUUAAGGCAAAAAAAAUUAUUGACUUUUGAGGUGGGGGUUUAAUUAGAAACUAUCCUAUUAUGUAAUUUUAAUAAAUGUUAAAAUUGUAAAAUAAUUAUAAGGGUUUUAAGAGGUAUUUGGAGGAUGCCAAUAAUCCUACUCUUGAUGAUUCAGCCAUCAACUCUAAUUAGGUAACCAAUAAUUGACUGUAUCUACGAUAGGCAAUAACUUUAGCAUUUCUCUUGUGCAAUAAUAAUACAAUAUUUUCUUAUUCUUUCGUACAAAUUAAUGUGAUAUAAAAGUAAAAGAGUAAAGUAUCUUAACUAGAUUGAAAUUUAUUUUUCUCUUUAGUUAAUCUUAAUGAUAAGAGUGAAUUUAUUGAUGAAAGCGGAAAAAUGUCACUUAGAUGGAUGGACAUUUGGAAUAGAUAAUGUGAUAAUAUUAUGAUGUUUUAUCAAUAUAUUGUUUGACAAUAUUAUAAAUGAUUAAGUUAAGACCCAAAUGUUGGAUCCCAAACAAUAUUCUUUCAUUUAUAUAUAGGAUAAAAGUAGUGUUUAUACAUAGAAUUUGUACGUUUAGUUUUAUUUAUUUAUGUUUUUAAAACAACACAACGUCUCAACCUAACAUAUAAAUAGUUUGAUAUUAAAAAAAAUGAAAAAUUUGCAAUUAUUUCUCAUGAAAUAAGAAUAUUCAAAAUAUCCCUAAAUUUUUGUAAACUUCAAUUACCCACAUUGAUGGGAGUGAAUUGAUGAUUUUUUAUUUUUUUUGGUCUUUUUAACAAAAAUAGAGAUAAACUAAAAUUUAUAAUAAUUUAGGAGAAUUUUAAAGAUUAUUAUUUCUUGAGAAGAUAAUGUAAAAUUAACCCCACAAGAGCAAAGAGUUACUAUUGGAUGUCACAAAAUAUAUAAAGAAUUAAUGUCGUGUACAAUAAACCAAGAUGCAUGCACUGCAGUGGCUAGCAAGGUCAUUUCAUUUCAUCCUCCUUGGAAUUUUCUUGAAGGUACAGAUAUUUGUUGCGGCAAUGGAGCUGGCUUUUGUUGACAAUUUAGAUCAAGGUUGCUACUUGCCACUGACAUAUUCCUUGGUCCAAUUUCCUUUCCCAUUUUCAUUACUGUUUGAAGCCAUUAUGACCUACAUUAAUAAUUUGCCACUCACCUUGAGCUACAUAAGUACUUUAAUUGAGUAUAAAGUGAGACAAUCGUACCACACUCAUCCAAUUAAAAUAAUAAUAGAGUAAGGACAUCGACACUCUUAUAAUUUGUUUAAAUGAUCACAUAUAUAUAUAUAUAUAUAUAUAAAACUCCUUUCAACCCGUGAGUUUCAUUAAUUUAGAUGGAAUUUACAGUAAUUUGCUACAUUGAGAGCUCGUCCUCAAGAAAAUGACCAACAAAUUAAGUUCGACAUUAGCUGAUGAAAAUUCAUGGAUAAUAUGAGACAUAUUGACACAUCACAUAUUACAUCACGAUCAACUCUAAAUAAUUGAGUCUCUUUUUCAUAAACUUGGUUCGUAAACUUUAGCCGUCCCUUCCAACAGUACCCUACUCAAUCUUAAGGGUCCACAAUAUUUCCAAUCUUUCUUUCCUUUCCUUUCCUUUUCUCUUCUUUUCUACUCUCACUCACGCCUGCCGUUGAUCCUUUGCCUCUCAAUGCAAAAGCAAAAGGGCAAAAAAUGUAAAGGAUCUCAUUGUUCACAUGAUUUUUUUUGACUAAUUAUCUUUUUUGGUUGAACCAGUUGUAAAUUGCAAUGCAAAAUCUCUGGCUAUAUGUGUUUUGUUUUGCCUGGUAACCAAGCUAUUCUCCUCCCAGUGGGUCCUGCCCACUUUCUCUGUUAUUGGGACUUGCAUGAUUGAAUUUAGUUAUUUUUUUAAGUGGGUCCAGUGUCCAUCAAACCCUACCAGUAUGGACACGUCGCCAUUAUUGCUUUGUACAUUUCCCAUCAACAAACACAUCAUGAAUCAAACUCUGCCACUUUUUAAUUUUCGGUUCACAGACACAUAAUAAGAGAGAAUUGCUUGUCAUUAUUCUUGCAUUUGGACAUUAAUUUUAAUGUACUCGCCUGGAUUUUUUUUUAUCACGAGAGAUUAAUGUUUAAGAUUAUAAUUUAUAUUACAUGAGAAUAUUUAUUGAUAUAUUUAUAAUUAGAUAUUUAUUAGAAUAAAAAUUUAAAAUUUGAUCUUCUCAAAUAUUUAAAAAAUAUCUAUUUCACUCUCAUUUAGAGAAAAAAAAUUACUUUUAUAUAAUUAUUUACAUAAUUAAAAAUUUUUUUUUAAUCCCCAUAAUAUUUUUGUGGGGGCUUGAAUUACUGUCCUCACGACAGCUCAACCAAUCAGCCUUUAGCGGAGUGGUUAACUCGUCCGGAAUUAAAAAUUCACAUAGAUUGCAUAAUCCAUUCAAUAAAAUUAUAUUUGUUAUGUAUUAUUAUAUAUAUACAUAUCUUUGUUGAAUGAAUUUAUUGUGGACGCAUCCUUUUAGGAAAAAAUAAAUUUCGGUGCCUAAUUUCCGUUUUUUUCCUUUUUGUUUUCUCGUGUUCGCGUUCCCUUCAAUUUUUCUCAACUCGUGUAAAAAAUUUCAGCCUCAGUAUUUUUAUAUUAUAUAUUUCUGAAAAGAGUUGUGACGGCUGAAGCACGAGGGUAUGUUCUCUCUUAGUACUUGCCCAAUGUCUCAGAAUCCACUUUAGGAGGUGGAUGCUUAAGCUCAAUUACCAUUCCCUGGUGCAAUGGCAUCAUUGACCUCAUGCCCCUGCUAUUCCAUGAGCCAGUACAUAUGAGCUGUUAAGGCAUGCAUUUACCCAACAUCAGAGUAGUCCGAAAAUUGACCUAUAUUUUUCAAUCAAAGAUUGAAGAUUUUUAGAAAGAAUCCAUAGAUAUAUAUAUGUAACCACUUAUUCUUUAUGAAGAAGUUGUGUUUGUGCUAAAAGAACAUAAUUGAUAGUUUGAUACAUCAAAAGAAUUUGAAAUCACCAAGGUUUUAGCAUCAAGUAAAGAGAGAAGCACCUCUAUUGGAAAGAUUAUUGACUACUACAACUACUCCUACUCCAAAAAUGUAAAUGUACAAGAAGAAGAUCUGUACAGUAAAAUUUACAGUACACUACAUUUAUCAGAACAACCAAGUGACACAGAAGAGCAUCAAUUGCAUCUAAUCAAACAAAUAUCACUUGUUCUUCUAAGACUGGUUUCUAACUAUCUUCACACUGCUGUAGAAACGCUUGAGAUCCUUCAUAGCCUUCUCUUCCAUCUGAAUUGAUCGAAUGGAUGAGGGUGUUUCAGCCUCCGGUUUGAACCAGCGGUUCAUUCCAGGAGAAUCUGACGGCGAGCCCUGACUAGGAGCAAUGGAGAACCCAGCUGUUCUAGUUUUCGGACUGUGGGAUAGACAAUGCUGUUUUCCCUGCUUUGACACAAAAGGACGUUACACCAACGUUAAAACGUUACGGGGAGACUGGAGAACUGGAACAAAACUUCAAAAACAAUAAGAGCACAAAACUUUAGUACAGAGGUGUAAGUUUUCAUGCCUGUUGCAUCUGGAUGUUCCUAAGAGAUGGCCGAGAAAGACUGGGCGGAGUCCCAGAAGCAGCCCAAGGUGGUGUGCUUUUAUCUCCAUCAGUUGCCUGCUGUGCUCGAGCUGAGACCACAGGAAUUGGUUUUGAAGUCAUGAAGGAACUCAGUAGGACUUUCCCUUCGCUUCUACCAAAAGAAGGAUCUUCAAACUGAUCUUUAUUUCUGGUUGGCUGGUUAACUUUAAUUUUGCUCUGCUCACUCUGAAUUUCACGAAGCGAAGCAGAUCCUUUUGGAACUUUAGCCCCACCCCAAGCAGGACCCUCACUUCUUGGAGUUGGUGGAGGGGGCAGAGCUAUUUCUUUUGGGGUGUCAUCAAGAGCACCACUCAGGAACAUAGAAAGCCCACCCUUUUUAUUCUUAUUCUUCUUCUUAGAUGUUGUUUGUGGAGAACAAUUAUUCUUCAGUGAAUCUGCAUUGUCCUUUUUCUGAACCAAGAAACCAGACUGUUUGGAGUAUUCAAUGACCACAUUUCCUUCAGACAUAGCAUCUUCCUCCUACAAAAAGUUCAAAUUCAAAGAAUCAACCAAAGUGAAAAUUAUUGAAGUAAUUCAUCACUUAUCAACAACAGUGGAACUAUGCAGCAAUCAUUGAGUCACCAGUACAGAAGGCAUAUAAUAGUACAAUCAUGCAAAAGGACUAUAAUUCCAACAUAAAGCCUCUUCCAAGUAGGAGGGCUGAUCUGUUGUACUUAAAUUUCCUAUACAAAUAUAUAUACUGAUUUUUUCUAAGACAUUUGCCAAACAAAAGAAGCAUCAUAGGAGACCUUGAGCAGGGCCUCAAAACUAAUAGUUUCCACAUAAAAUGAAAAGUACUCAGUACCACCUGAAAGACAUGACAAAUUAACUACAUCCAGGCAUCCACUAAGAUUUACGCACCAAUUUAAGAUCGUCAAAGGCAGAGAGAAGCCUAACCUUUUUCUUGGAAACUUCCGUUAUUUCAGUGUCAAAGAAAUCCUUUGCAGUAUUUGAACCUACUUCUGAUACACUAAAAUCUGACACUGCUUCCACUUGUGCUGCCUUCUGUUUGCUCUUUUUCUUCUGUUUUUUAGACACCCCAGCCUUUUUAUUCCCUCUUCCAUCUGGUGAGGCUGCAGAUGCUGCUAUAGCCUGCGGCAACUCAAUUGGAACACCAAGCUCAGCAAGAGACCUCUCAAGAACUGACUUUGUUUGAAGCUUUGCAAUUUGCUGCUCAUCGAGAAUAUGCCCAUUGCUAAGCUUUACUUCAAGCAUUUCAAUCUGCUGCAACUUUUUCCGUAAAGCUCGAACCUGUUUGCUUAUUUCUUGAUUAGCAUCAGCUUUUGGUUCGAAAAAGGAGUCCAAUCUGUUGUCUCCUUCAUUUUUUAGGGUAGAUUUUUUCGUAUGGUUGUCACGAGUCCUUAGAACCUCAUUCUCACUGUCCUCCUCUUCACUAUUGAUGAUAACUGGAAAAGUAGCUGUUGGUGUUGGGAGCCGACGGUAACUCCAUGAUUCAGAUGACCUAAGGUCUAACGACUUCUCAAGGUCAGCAAGAAUAUCUAGAGAUGCACUGGCAAAAGAAUGUGAUGAGACUGUUAAAAUGUAGUCAAGGUUGCGAAUAGCAAUGUCCUGCACAAAAGUGUAACAAUAAUUUCAAGGUCAAAAAAUCAAAUCAAUGCAAAACAAAAUGUACAGUAGCAUUUACAACACCAAAGCAGAAGCAAGGACAAGUUAGAUCCUGCACACACCAUACUUCCACUUCCCACUGUAUAGAAAAUGUCUCCUCAAUAAUGGAACGAGGCGACUGGUACAGAAAAUAACCUACUAAUUCAGAAGUAAUUACAUAAAGAUUCUCAGAUUAAGUACUACAUUGAUAAUUACCCCUGGAGGCCCUAAGUGGAUCACUGAUGCAUCCAGAAGCACAAGAAACUAGUGCUAAUGACUGAGCCUUUGCAUGGACUAGUACAAUGAAAACCUUCAUGUGUCUAUUAGAUCAAGCAAACUCUACAUUGUUAAGCAACAAUUUCACACCACAACCAUGACUCAAUAGAUUAGAUGCUGCACAAAGAAUAAUUUGGCUGAAGAUAAUUUAAAGAACGGAAUCCCAAGCACAGGCCGUAGUGCUUCAAAAAAAGCAUUAAAAUUAUCAAAGAGUAUUGGUUGUCAUUUAUUAUACUAAGAAAAACCACCAGCACAACUAAAAUCUUUCUUUUUUUAAAAAAAGAAAGAAACUCUUCCGUCACAAAUAACUGUCGUAGAGAGAAUACCUCACAAUGCUUCUUCAAAUCAUCUGCUCCAAGUGAAUCUGAAAUUUCUAGUAGUUGUAAAGCAUUCCUUGGCUCCACAAGACAUUGUGCCGCAACAUUUUCACAAAGGCUUUUCAAGCUUGGCGCUAGCCUGACCCCAGAAUCAUCUUUAUCUAUGGCGGACGGCAUAUUAUUAGACUCGUCAUUAAACAUAAAAUCUUCAUCAAACUCCUCUAGAUCGUUCCGACCAUUUAACUUCAGCUUCUGAGGAUUCUUUGCCACAUUGGGAGGAUAGAUGGGAUGGUAGAGAGAUCCAACAAUCAAUAAAUGUGUUUCACCAACUGACACAGAGGUAGCCUUCUUUAUACCAUGUAACCGGGUAACAAGUGGUGGAUUAUCCUUAGAUUUCUUCCCGUCCCACAUGUAAACAUCACCUGUAGCUGUAACUGCAGCAGUCCAGUACUUCCCAGCAGAAAUGCUGACCACAUUCCUUCCACACAUUGAAUAUAGCUACAAAAUUGGAAAAAUAAACGUAAAGAGUUUCACUCAUAUGAACGGCACAAGUCCAAGUAAAAACUAAGUUUAGUCAAGGAAAACCUGUUGGCAUCUAAGAUCAGGAUCUGAAGAAGCCCAAUAAAAUAAUGCGCCAUCUUCUGUGAGAGCCGUGCUAUGGACCAUCCCCGCAGCUAUAGAGACCACAUGAAGCUUUAUCUUGCGAUGGAACUUCAAAGGUGUACUCCCACUCUUCUUUAAAUUUCUAGCAACAAUAACACGCUUUGGUGUGACAAGUCGGUGGCCCCAUGUAUAGACCUGCCAUACAUCAUAUGAAAAAGUAUUCAUUUAUCAACCUACAAACAAGGAUGCAUGAUUUCACCAAAGUUAGUGCCAAAUGGUAAAUUUUAGCCCAAGCAGGAAAUAAGGGAUAAAUAACUCAAUGAUUGUUGAAUGCUGACCAGAACACAUAAAUGUACUUAUAUUUACCUCCCCAUCAGCUCCUAAUACAAUUGUGUGAUAUUUUGCUGCAGCAACUCCCACUAGGUCCUUGCCUUUCAAGGACUCAACCACCCUUGGGGUGUAAUUUGAUGCUGAAUUAGAGGUGCCAUAACCGAGUUGACCUUCCCUAUUGCAGCCCCAAGUGAAAACUUCGCCAGACUCGGAAACUACAGCAGUAUGUUUAUUUGCUGCAGCAACAGCAAUAAUUUUCAACUUGAGAGAACUCACUCUUCGAGGUGUAGGUUGCGUAUCCACAGAUGUGUAACCAAGUUGACCCUCUGCACGAAUAUCACAGAAAUCAAUUCUCAACAAUCACAAAUGACAACAACUUAACUGACCAUUUUUCAAUCAUAUAUUUCUUGGCUUUCUAUUAAACCCAAAUGCAUAACUGAAGGCACAAUAUAUCAGCGUCUUUUCUCUUCUGAUAACCACAUUAGAGGGCAAGUAAUUAAGAAUUACAUCAUUUCACAAAGCUGAGCUAAACUUCAUGUCAUUUACAAUGAUAUUAUCAUAAUCAAUUUUACCUCUAUUGGAUCCCCAAGUGAACACUUCCCCACCCUCUGUAGCAAGAACAGUGUGAUGUUUAGCAGCAGCGAUUGUCUUCACACGGCGGGACCCCAAACCAGAAGUCACCCGACGUGGAGUUAUAACUGCGGCUUGGCCACUGUGAAGAACAACAUAAAAAUGUGUCUGAUCGUUGAUAUAAAAAAUCUUAACAGAAGCCAUAUACAUAAAAGAAUAAACACCUAAAGUAAGGAAAAAUUGUACAAGAUACUGAAGAUCAGCAUUUUCCUUUUUCAUAUCCAGCAUGAUAAUUUUAUCUCAGGUCUUUGUGGUUAUUAAAACAUUAGAAAACAUGCACAAAAGAAAAUUAAAUAAAACCAUACUUGCUUUUGUAUGUAUCGUUCAAAAUUCAGUUUUGACAUUAACUUAAAACCACAGAAAUCCAAUAUAAUAUUCCAAACUUGUCGACUUUGUCAUCAACAAAUGUUUUAAUGUCUAAGAACUUCGAAUGGCAAGAAUUCAAAAUCAAAUGUCAAUUUUGAAACAUUAUCAAGAUUUAGUAAAAAUGAGGCAUCAUAAGUUCGUACCUGUGGAUAUCAAAGUCAGGGUGCCCAAGACGACCCCCUCUCCCAUAUCCCCAGGUGUACACUUCACCAAGACUGGUAACUGCAACACUAUGGAACUUUGCGGCAGAAAUCAAUUUGAUAACAAAGCCAUGAAGUGAGUCAACUUUGCAUGGCAACUUUUGUAAGUGCGCAUUUCCAGUCCCAAGUUGAUAGUUUGCUCCACUGCCCCAGCUAAAAACUUCAGUUGCAACUAAAUAGACAAAAGAAUUCGGGUUAUACCAUAACAAAAUUGCAAUCACUUUGCACCAAGAAUAAGAUCCUCAUCAAUCAUGAAAAUACACAGCAGAAGAUACCCGAAUUAUAUCCACUUCCAACAACCUGCAACACAGGCCCAGAUAGGAGAUCAACUGGAGUUCGGGAUUUGCAAUCCUCCAGUGUAAUUGAAGCACCAGACUGUAGGAGGACACUUGCCACUGCAAGAUGACCAAAAUGUAGAGCCCUGUGAAGGCUACUCCAUCCUGAUUCUCCAUCCUGAAAAUGGAUAAUGAGAAGAUCAUGAAAACAGUAAUGGUACCCAACCUUUAGAAUUUUCCACAAAAGAGAUUGCAGCACUUUCUGUGACAGUCAAACUCAAAUCCCUAUCAUUACAAUAGGCAAAAAACAGUUUUACUAAAAAGAAGCUGAAAACAUAUGGAUGAGAUAACCGAUGCCAAACAUCUUGACGCAGAAACAACCAUUCUAAAGUAUAAGAACUGAAAGACAUCUAUUUCAACAAGAUCAUUAAUAUAAACUAGGGUUAAGGAAAAUUAACAAACCCUAGCAUCCGGGUCAGCGCCAGCUGCAAGAAGCCUCCUAACAAUAGGAACUUGGUUUCUCCAAAUUGCACUAUGAAGGGGAGUCAGGCCAAAUAUGUUCCUGGAAUUGAUGUUACCUCCAUUCUUCUUCAGCAGUGCCAAUGCUGAUUCUACAUCAGCCAAAGACCCUUCCCGCACGGCAAGACACAGAUCUUUCUGAACUCCACCAGGUGAAGAUUUACGAGCAGGUGAUUGUAGAGUCUGCUUCUGUCCGUGAUGUGAAACUAGCAGCUCCGUCAUUGUAUAUAUCAGGAUGAUAAUCAAUCAGCAGUCUUUAAGUUCCACAAAGUUUUUACUUAAAAAUAAAGACCGACAGCUACUGCUUAAGAAUAUAUAUAGCAGUACACCAUAAUAAUGUCAAGAAUCAGAUUCUCUAACUAUAUUUUAAGAAGUCAAUCCAAGCCAACUACAGACAAACAGCUCUAGCCCCUAUAAAGAUUGACUCUGUCUAGUCCAUGUUACAGGAUGUCUUCUCGCCAAGUAAUCAUGACAGUAGAAAGGGAUCCAUUUUAAUUAGUUUUAAUUAAAAAACUGCUAUCGCGCCAUUAAGAUCACAGCCCUUAUUUUCAAGGCAAACUAGUUCCAGCAGUCACUCAGAAAUCGCAAAGUUCGCAAAACACAGAAAAUUCUCCAGUAAACUAGCAAAGAACACGCUGCAGUGAAAGUAUCUCUGUCAGUAAAGUAUCUCCAGAAAAGAAAUUAAACAUUUGUCAAAUAUACCACAAACAAGGGAACACACACUUAAGAUCGAAAGGAAAAUGGAGAGUAUACUCCUAAUAAGAAAGUGAAAAAAUAAAAUAACAUAACUAGUGUCUAAAGAGAACAAAAUGGGGCUUGUUUCUCCUUCAAUGAAAAAAGAAAAUGUCCUUUGAAUCAAGUGCCCACCAUGCAACUAAAAGAAAAAGAUUUCUCACUAAAGUUCAAGAUUGUAAGAUUUCCACCUAGUAAUUACUUUCACAGUAAAAUAUCAAUCCCAAGAAAUAUGCUUGACUGAAGCAAGAUUAGGGACUUCAAUGAUCUUAAAAUGUCAAAAAGCAUGAACAGACAGAAUUUUCCAUAUAAAUCAAAUAAUUUCUAAAUUUAAAUAAAGCCAUUUCCCUCAUACCCACAGCAUCACUGAAUUGUUAGUUUAUUAUAAAAGACGAGCCAUAUAGAAAAUUCAGGAAUUGCAUUUGCAUCAAGUAAACUGAAACGGUGAUUAUAAACAUGAAUGCAAAUAGUCCAAUAAAAUUAUCAUGCAAAACAAAGUUGACAUUGUAAUGAUCGCUAAUGCUUCACAGAGAACUCAAAGAAACAGAAAGUCUUUGCACAAUGUUUGAUUACCAACUGAAUUUUGAUAUAAAUUAUAUGAAAGGACGAGCCAUAAAUGAGUUUGAUCACAUUCAGCGCCAAGACCCCAAAAGCAGCCAAAAAAAGCUCGGCCAAAUAUUUAAGAAAUAUUACUCCUACUUCCAUAUAAAUGAACCCCAAAAGGGAAAAUUUACCUGAAAAAAAAAACAUUGAAUUUCACAUUCUAAACCAUGAGACUUAAACAUCAAAGUAAACUGCACCCACCAAAGAAAAUCACAAAUUUUAACAAACACCAAUCAUCCAAAUCAAGGAUAAAACACGAAGCCACAUAAAAAUGACGGUUUUUUUUUUUAUUUAGUGAAAAAUGAUAGCUUCAAAACACAACAAACUUAUAUCAAAACUAACAAAUUACCCCGAAAACAAAAUAACCUUUGAAAGAAACAAUACGAAAGAAGUGAAAAUGCAAAAUGAAAAAGAAAAAAAACGCAGCAAACCCAUUAAAAUUGGUAGAUUUUUGUAUUACCUGAUACUUUUCUUUCUGCUUGUUUGAGAGAGAAACGCAAAGAAUUUGUACGAACUGAAAAAAAAAAAAAAAGCGAAUCCCAAAGAAAAUAUAAGCAAGUGAUUUCUGUUACAAAAGAGAAUCGAACUUCGAACCCACCGAGGAAUAUACCAACCAGGCCAGAGACAAAACAGCACGAGCACAGAGAAACUGAAACUCAAUUCAAAUCCAAGGGCAUUUUGGGUAUUUUACAAUAUUAUAUGACCAAAAUGACCCUGUACUUUUGUUUGUUGGGUUUCGGGGAGUUCGGUUUUUGAGUUGUCUUAGGAACACGUAAACAGAUGUUAGCGGACACGUGACGGAAAUUUAGGGAAAAAGAUGUGACGAGAGAAGAUCUGAAACUAGAAAUGCGAUUAAAAGAAAACUUUUGGUUUUUGAUUUUCUUUUUUUCUUUUCUGAUGGCUGUUGCCAACUGUUCCACGUCGUUAGGGUCGGGCGUUUGUGGUCGUUUGUUUUCAUCUGAGAGGCUAUAAUGUCGCGCACAAUUAAUUAUAAGGCUUAUCAUCGAUUAUAAGUAAUUUAAAACUUAAAUGUCAAUUAGAAAAAAAAAAAGGAAUGAGAGAAUGACUAAAAAAUAAAUAAUUAUUCAUUAUAUUUUUUGUAUAUUGAUUAUGCAGCACGCAAGCUUCUAGAAGUAUGAUCGUUUGGUAAAACCAUCCGUUAACGGCAUAUUCCCUAAUUGAACGGUCUAGAUUCGGAUGGUCCAUCGACCUUCAUGUACGUCAUGUAGUUUGGAUUCUAUUUAAUGCACUGCAAUGGCAUCGCAUAUAGUUGAGCGUAUGACACGUCAGCCUAUGACAAUGGAGUGAUGACAUGUCUUUGCUUCAUUGGUCACUUGUGCAAAUGGGGCUUGACAAGUCAUGAGCGGUAGGCGUUUCUGAACCGAAAAGUCUAAAAAGUGCUUUUGGGCUAAGCACUUUCUAUUUUGAGAUUGUUCAACUAGAUUACAAUUUACGCCGCAUGUCAUAAAAUUUCUUGGUAAGAAUAUUUGCAGGAUUCAGCAUUUCAUGAUGUGCGACAUUUUUGUGUGAUGGUUGAUCGAACCAUGACGAGGUGAAAUGGUGGGUGCUUUCUUGUUAAAUUCUUGAAAUUGAGGGGUUCAAGUGCAUGCUGAAAGAGUGAAAGGCAAUCAAAUAACAUGAUUUGGACUUAAUUGAAAUGUUACUAUUUACAACGUAUUCUACAUUUGGCCCCCUUUGUUUUACAAUUUUUUAAUUAUAUAGCCCAGUAAGUUCAUUGUUUCUUCAUCCUAGCUCGUCGAACCAAAAUCUUGGUCUUACCACCGCGCCCAUACGCAAGACUUUAAUGAAUUAUGAAUCCGAAAUCGUUAAAAAGGGAUGGUAAUGUAGAAAAAGGAUUUAUCCUCCUAAAUGAACUUGAUGAGAAAUUUCAAAUUGGGAAACUGAAAUAGCAAGCUAUAAAGUACUAAAAAAAUAAAAAAAUAAAAAAAGAACUAAAAGGUCAAAAAUUCAACAAUCAGAAAAUAAAUUAAUUAAUGUAAAUGAAUCAAAAUCUUAAUAUAUAUAUAUGAAAAUAUUAACAUGCAAUAAAGAAAGGGCAGGGGGACGCAGCAUCUUGAAAGCAAUCGCCAAAUUGAAGGGCAAUGGCUUCACAUGCACAAGUGCACAUGUAGCUGAACGUAAAAGCCAAGACUAAAUUUUCUUUCUUUCUUUUGGCUUCUUUCACAAAACAAACCUUAAUAAACCAGCUCACAUCUGACAGUUCCAACCAGGACAAGCAAAAAAAAAAAAAAAUUAAGUUGCAUUUGGAAUCAAGCUAUUACUUUUACAAUCAGAGUUUUCUUUAUUGACAGAUCCCAAAGUUUUUGGCAAGUUUGCAUAUAUAUAUAUAUAUAUAUUAGCUUAUUCUUUGGAUUUGUAAAUUAAAAGGCUGUCAGCCGAUUCUCAUAAUCCACAAAUCUAGAUUUGGCAAUUUAAGGAUUUAGACUGAGCUUUUUCAAGCACAGACCCAAGUCUAUUAGAGUAGAAAUGUAAGGGUUGGACUUGAAUUGGGCCCACUGCAGGCCUAGAUUGAACUUGGACUUUUACUUAUUUUUUAUAAUCUUUUUAAAAUUAUUGUAAACUUAAAAUGAAUUAAUAAUAAUCAAGUUGUUAUAAUUAACAAUGAAGUAAAGAAAAUAAAUAUUUCAAAAAUAAAAUAAUAACUAAAAAAAUGAAACAAAUAGAAAUUUAUAAAUUUAAUUUUUUUGUAUUGUAUUCUCUAAUUUACGGACUCUGUUAAUUUUUAAUACUUCAAAAAAAUUUAGUAUUAUAAUUUUAAAUAUUUUGAUCUAUUAUUAAUAUAUAAAUUAAAGAUUCAAGCUUUCUUUUUUUUCUAUUAUUUUUUAAAUUUGAAUUUAUUAUUUUAAUUUACAAAUUUAUUUAUUUUUUAAAAUAGAGGGCUUAGGCUAAAUCCAGACUUUUUCUCGUAAACCCCCGAGCCAAAACCCGUGGGAAUAGAGAAGGCCGGCCCAGACUUUUUUCAUCCCUGCACAAAUCAAACUCAAAAUUAUAAUACAGAAUCAUGAAAUAGUCAUUGGUUAAUGUUCAGCUGGGCCGGCAUAACUAGCAUAGAAAGGCAUAUUAAUAUAUUCCCCAGCCAAGGCCGAAUCUUUGUUUUGUGAAAGAGAAUGAAAAGGAACAAGCAGAAACUGCCAUGGAACUAUCAGAAUUGGGAUUGUAAAGACUUCGAAAAAAGGACAGCAAAUUGCAUUGUGAACAAGAAAAUGAUCACCAACUAGAAAAUAAUAAAUAAACAGUUUCAUAGCCAGAGUCCUCAACAUAUGAUAGUGGCUGUUAAACUAUAUAACUACUAUUACCCUCAGAGUGCAUUUCAAGAAUUAAUCACAAUUAUAUAACCAAUGGCUUUAGUUUUGCCUUUGUUUGGAACAUUUGUACAGUAACAAUUUUACAAGCCUUAAUCAUAGAUCAAAAAGGGACUGAAGGAACCAAAAAUUGAAAUCAUCUCAUUCUGUCAGUUUUAGUUUCUUAAAUGUGACAAAAUAACCAACAGGAAGACUUGAACAAUAAUAAUCAAAGAAUAGGUAAGAGAGGAAAGACAAUUAAUAACGAUAUCACAACUAACCACACAUCAAACCAGAGAAAAAUACUUAUAAGGGAACAUUAGACAAGUUUGUCCCAUUCUUCUUUACCAAGCCUACAAUUCCAAACUGUGGAUCCAUUUUACCAUUUUGAUGAUUAGCGCAACAGGGUGGAUGAAUGCAUUCAUUAACAAGAUUCUCUCUUUGGCGCGCACACAAAAUUUCUGGUCUACACGGCAAUUGGCGAUUCCUGCAUUUGAGAAUGGGCAUAAUUACACUUAAACUACUAUCAAAAUCACGGGAAAAAGAAGACGUCAGUAUUGAUUAUAGUAAUAAUGCUACCAGCAGAAGUAACCAACCUUUGCAGUGAGGUUUGACACAGCUACACUAAACUUUUCUCUAGUUUUUGUACCAGCUACCUGCCCAGCCCUAGCAACUUUACUGAAGGCCCCAUUUAGCCAAGCUGUUCCUGCAGUCACAUAUCUGUGCAGCACAAAAAUUGAAACAUCAACAACUCUAUGGUAAUUUCUUUAGCCACUGCAUGAAACAUUACUUGAACAGCCAACCCAAGUUAGUGAUACAGAUUGCAUAAAGAAAAUGCAUUCAAGAUCAACGGUCAAAAACAAUUCCCAGAAAAGCUUAUUGUUAUUAGAAAGGGAAAAAAAAUCACCUAGGUUACAUAUUAUGUUAAAUAUCACCAAAUCAUGCGCGUGAAUUUUUUAACUUAAAUAAGCUGUUAGGUCCUGCAGGAACCUGCUGGAAGAAUAAACUAGAAACAGAGCAGGAAAAAACCCAAACUAUUAACUUUUUGUAAGGUUGAUUAUUAAGCAAUCAACAGUUUCAGGACUUCGGCUUUGACAACAUUUGAAUUUUGAAUCAUCAGUUAUAUGUUGUUUGUCUCCAUAUUCAGAUAUGCAGUAACAUAAAAGAAGCUUUUCAUAAAUGAAAUUUCACAAGCAUAGCAUGAUAUCUUGAUUGGAGGAUUACAUUGACAUAGUUAAGUGACAUGCAAUUCUGCAAACUAUUUAUCAUCCUCUAGUUUAGGAAGAAGACUCCAUACCUGCUGGUUUUGACAGCUGAUCCAGUGUCAUUUAUUUUUCUCUCUGCAGCAAAAAUAGCUGCCAUAGUUUUAUCUGACACAUGAAGCCUCUGAUCAACAGACUUCACUUUUUCAUUAACUACUGAAAUUCCAACGGUCAGUUUCUCUGUGAACCCAACUCUGCGGUCAAAGGAAAUAACCUUGGCAGAUGCAUUGGCUGUGAACUGAUGUUUCUCAUCAAAUGCUUUAGCCUUAUUCACAGCUUCUUGUCGAAUUGCGGAACCUCUUGCAAGCACACUUGUAACAACUUCUUGUGCUCUAUUAACAUACAUUCUUCCACUACUAGAGGGGCUUGUUUUACCCUGAUAAUAGAGAUUGAUUAGAUUAUGAAGAUCAACAAAAAGAAUCUUUCAAGAUGCAAAUGAUAUGAAAUGAUCUAAUGAAAUUGCAUUGAGUGUUACCAGCAUCUGUGGAAGGCUGGCCUCAUAACAUUGUAUGGAUCAACAAUCACAAUCCAAUAUACAGAUGUCAACAUUGCCCGCAUGUAGGUUUUUGUUAUUUUUUUCUUUUUCUUUUUUGAGUGUGUGUGAUCAUUUAUAUAAAUAAAUGAACCAUAUUCCUUCCUAACAAGUGCUUUCAUAUUUUGCAGAAGGUUAUGAUUGGAAAACUCUAUUCAAUCAUUCAGCAGAUGCAACUACACAUUCCCCAGAAAAAUUUUUAAAACAGGACAUCAAAGAAAUCAAGCUUAUCAACAGAAUAGUUCUAAAGCUUCUCCAAAUCUAAUCGUCUAUGUAACACCAAAAUAAUAAAUGGAAGUUCAUUACAUAAAAAUACUGCAACUGUUUUGAUGUUCUUAAGACCCAGUAAGCUCUAAAGUGGUGAUUGUUCUACCUCAUUAUUUCCAGAAGGAGCUUCAGACACGGCAUUGACCACCACAGUUACUUCCUGCAUAAUUAGCAUUAAAGAACAUAAUUGGCCUCAGAACUUUAAAGAAAUUACAAAAACUUGUUCAAAAACUUACCUGCGACUCAGGUUUUGGUACAUAGUUUUCAGCUGGCGUUAUGCUCACAAUCUGAUCUACUAUUGUUGCUCCCUGAACAGAGUCACAAUUUACACUUUUUCAGGAAUUUUAUCCCGAAUAUUUAUUCACGUGAAAAAAGAAAAUAUUCCCAACCACAUUAAUAACCUCUGCAAUACAACUAUUUCAUGUAUUCACUAAGGAAUUUUUUUCCAUUCCAGAAAGGAUGGCAUUGACAUUUCAUACUAUUUAUAUGCCUGAAGAGCAUACUCUUUCUAGAAAUAGGGUUUACAAACACAAACAAUAACUAAAUAAAUUAAUCUCCAUAUUAGUGAAAUAAGCCUAUUAUUAGACUAAAAUUUCUGUCAUGCUGGUUUCCAAGAAAUUUGAAGGCAUAUAGUUGUUCUAUAGAAGACAAUAAUCAAAUAAAACAGGCCAAAAUACAAGUUUUUGAUGAAUAAUCAUUGACUCAGUAAAAUAGGCCAAAAUACUAAUUGCUAUUAUCAAAGAAUAAAUUUACACUCUUAACAAUAAACUCCAAAAACUCUCCCUACUUCACUCAUUCAUACUCGCCAGGAAGUUCACAGACAAUUUGGCAGAAUAACUUCAUGCAUCAGAGCGACCACAGACAGAAAACAUGUGCUGAAUCCAAAUCAAACAAUUAAAAUAACUCAGUUUAAUUUCAUGAACUGUAAUUUCAGGAAAAAAUAUCAAAAUCCAUGACAGUUAAUAUGCAGAGGGACUAAUUUCUUAAUAAGUUUCCUCCAAGGAAAAGUUUCCUACAGCAACUCAGCAGUGCAUAGGCAAGUCCUAGUGAGUGCCUUAACCUUAUUCAAUCAUCAGGGAACAUAUGGUUAGAAUCAUUCAUCAGGACUUCAGAAGGUAGCUUCUUCUGUUCAUAAGAAGCGGACCUCUCACAACUACUAAGUUGAUGCUCCAUUUAAAUGAGGAACUCAUGCAAGAAAAAUUUAGGGCCAAACAAGUUUUUGAGUGAAAUUAGGUUGUUUAGAAAUAGAAGCAUGGUUUUUAAAUAUACCUAAAAGAAUCUAGUUCAUGUUUGUGCAUGUCACUUUGAAAGGUACAACAGCCACUUCCUAGUUUAAGUUUACAUUUUACCAGUAAUCAAAUGACGCCACUGAUGAUCAACUCCUAUGUCCAAAAUAAGUAAAUUAUUGUCUGUCGCCCUGUAUUAACUUUCUGAUAAUCUAACCAAUUAAAAGAGAAGUUUCUGAUGAAUUUAAAAAGUGGAGAAGAGGUUUAUUUCAAUUCUGGAAUCACCAAGGUGUUGCCUGUAUUUGACCCAAAACUAGGAGCGUGUAAUGAUAUUGACAUUUCUUUUUAAAUAAACAAGAAGGUGAAGUAGAUUUUAAUUAAAGCGUUAUCUUGCAAUUUACUCAUUUCAAUUUAACUAAUCCUGAUGACGAUGAUUGAGCUAAUUUUAGGAACAGAUACAGCCUGUUAUGGCAUGCAAUAGAAGGCUUCAGUUUAGUGGGUAAAGUCAAAGACAAGCAUUCAAGUCAUUCUUCCUUUACAUUGCUUCAAGUUCAUUCCGCAACAUAAAUAAAUCGAAUAAACCCACGAGAUAAUCUGAUUUCUCAAUGUGUAAUAGCUGGAACAUAUGCACAAGGCAGGAAAUAAGUAAACAAGGCAGUUUAUUAAAAAAAAGAAAGUAGAAUUAAUUCUAGAUAGGGGAUACACACCGAUAGUAACAAUGCAAUUUCAAGAGCUUUAGCAUCCUUGAAUGUAACAAAUGCGGUUUUUGACUGCCCAUAUUCACUGCAUCCACAAAAGGCAAAAAAAUAAAUAAAACAAAAAAUUCGUAUUCAAUCUCCACUUCCCCAAUCCUACUUAAUUUCGUACACAUGCCAUUCAAAUGCAAAUGUUGCCUUACCCUUUCCACACAUGAAACCAAGCUGAAAUAAACAUAUUAAAAGAAAAAAAUUAGUAUUUAUUUGCUGUUUCCCAUUUUACCCCAUUUCGUGCAUAUUCUUAGCAACUAAUAGAGAAUUUAAAGAAAACUUCAAUACAGAGUUUAAGAAUUAGAAUCAAUAACUUCACUAUUUACCCAAAAAGAAAUUCACCGUAGUGUUUAUAUCAUUUUGGGAAUGAAAAGAACAUAAAACCCAAGAUCUAAAAAGCAUCAUUUUCUUUAUUUGUUUUUCGUUUUCCCAGCAAGCAAACACAAAACUAAAAGAGAAUUCAGAAGAAAAUAAAGAUAUAACGGGUACCACAGGAUCUCAAUGCGUUCGAUAUCUCCGGAGAAAGAGAAGAAUUCAUGAAUCUCUCUCUCGUGGGCUAGAUCUGAAACAUUCUUUACUUGAACAGUUCUCGUCUGUUAUAAUAUUAAAAAAAAAAAAAAAAAGAAACAAAAUAACUCAAGAAUCAGUUGUUUAAACAUGGAAUGGGUAGUGUUGAAAUAGCAAGAUUAAGGGUUUUGAUAGAGAAGAAACUGAGUAAACUACUGACCUGCUGCAUUGUUAAUAAUGGGGUCGAGUUUUUGCUUUUGAAAAUUUGUAGUGUUUUGUAUGUCUGCGCAGCAAUGCGGAGAGAGAGAGAGAGAGAGAAUUAAAAGAGCCGACCAGACAGCUUGGAGCUAAGAGAAGGAAUGUGAGCACUGAGCAGCAAGGAGAGAGACGCAAUGCAGGCGCAGUUUCAUAAAUGCCCCUAGGUACCCUUUAAAAUUGUGGUUUACUAAAUUGACUGUUUUACCCUUUCUAUUAUGUGUAAUAAAUAAAUCUAUUUUUAUAAAAAAAAUUAGAUUCCAGAAAUUAACAUAAUUUUAAUAUGCUGAAAGAUUUUUUUGGGUCGGUUUCAUCAUUUUAAUAUGCUGAAGGAAUACAAUCCACUAAUAAAAGAUAGCUAGAUGAGCCUCACAAUAAAAAAAAGAAAUAGAUAAAUAAAUAAAGAAGCUUUCAACAAUUUUUUUUUUAUGCUUAUACUUAUAAUGUGAAGAGGUUAAAAUAAAAAAUAGAUUAUCGAUAUAGAAAUUUAAUUUUAAAUAAAUUAUUUAUUAAGUUUAGAGUUGCUUAAUAUUUAUUUUAUAUUGGCGCGGUAUUUUACUUUUAAAAUUUAAGUCUAAAUAAUGAUUGACAUCAUAAAUUUUAUGACUAAUGAUAUAAUAUUAAAAUCAAAUUUUUAAAUAUGUAAUUUAUUUUUAUUUUUUUGAUUUAAUUAUUAACUCAAUGGAUAGUUUUCAAAUGAAAGUUAUGUAUGAGCACCAUGCUGAAAGACUUCAUAUUUUUAACUAUAUUUUUAAUGCAUUGUUCCUUUUGAUUAUGUUGUUCGUGCAUGAUUACAGUAAAAUUAAUUUUAGUUAUCAUCAUAAUAAGAAUUGGAUCACUCUAUAUUACGUUAAACGUAACGUACACACACUCACAGCAACAGUAACAAGUCUUAUCAUUAUAACUGUUGCUGUGAGUGCGUGUAUGUUAUGUUGAACGUAACAUAGCAGAAGCCAUAAGAAUUUAGUAUAAAAAAGAAUUUGGAGAAAAAAAAAGGUCAAUAUUCUCACUUGGGGGUGAGGAUGCAAUUUAAAAUUUCAUAAAUGCGAAUAGGGGUAAAAUGGUAAAUAUAAAGUACAAGUGAUUUGAUUCCUUUCUUGGUCAAUAUGUGGAUAUAUUUUGAACUUUGAGCGACGACCUUGACCUUUGGUGGACUUGCAUGAGUCACGCUUUCUUUUUUCACGUUCUUUUUCAUCCGGUUUUGAUUUCAAGAAAUUAUUAACUUAAUCAAACUUUUGGCAUAAUCCCCUCUUCUUUUGACCCGUAAUCCCCUCCUUUUGUUUGUAUUUGCCUUUGUAAUUUUCAUGUGCUGGCAUUUGUUUAUUCUUUUGUUUGUAUUUUAAUGUGCGAACAUUUAUUUAUUCUUGAAUAUCGUAUAGAAUGACACACAGCCCUUUGCAUAUUUUUGAAGUUUUUUUUUUUUAAUUUACUCUCCAACUAACCUUAUUUAUGGGAAAAUAAAAUAAAAACUUGUUUCCAACUUAAAUUAGCUACAGUUCAGAUUUUUAUUGUUAUUACCUUUAGCGUAUGUGGUCAUAAAUUCAAGUUUUAUGAGUUUAUUAAAAUACUUUCUCUUCUACAAAUAGAAUAGAAGUAAAAUAUCACUCACUAUAUUAGUGGGAGUGAUUACCAAGCUAAUCUCGGUAAAAAGAAGCCUAGAGAGAUAUCACCAGAGUACUAGAUUCAAGCCAGUCUCUUCUAUAAAUGUGAUAAAUGUGGAUAGAACCUCUGAGCUGUACUGCAAAUUUAUAUAUUUAAAUUUUCAAUAGACUUAAUACCCAUUUGUGUGUGGAAAAAGAACUGAAUAAAUUGAAUGGGUUAUGGAUUAGAACUUAAUUAGGGUUCUUCUGAUUUUGAAUCAUUGAUCGGGUUCAAGUUCUAACUGGAAAUUGCUACAAAGUUUGUCUCUCAACCAAGUCAUUAACUAGCUAAUGAGGAUAUUAACCAUUAAAUAAUCAAUAAACCUAAUUAAUACAGUUCCAAAUACAAUGAAGAUGGUCUAACUUUUUCUCUUCGAUUGAGUCUUCUGAAUAAUAGUACACUCUCAGCCGUCUGCACAAGCUGCCCACGCCAUCUCCAAAUUAAUGAAUUACCCAUUUUAUUUUCUCCUCAUUGGGGAGGGAGUUUAUUGUAAAUUUAGGUAUGAGAUGAUUUUCUUCCACUUGAAUCUAAAUUUAUGGGGGUUAAUUAUGGUUCUUUUUACUAUUUUUGUAUGCUAUCGUGUGUGGUUUUUUUUUUUUUUUAUAAUUAGAUUGGAAUUCUCAAGAGUUGAUCAUAUAUGGAAAGUUACAAGCUACGGAUCUUUUUCAAAUAGAGUAAGAAUUAUCUAUGAGUUGGUAAAGUUUAUGCUAGUGGUGAAGGGUACUGAAGUAGCUACGGGUUGCCUGCGAAAUGUCUAAAAUGGAGCUCUAAUUUGUGGUAAUGUGAAAUGUCGGCUGUUCUUUCUUGAUAGUUAGUAAAAUUGAAAUAAUUUGUUUUGUUGUAUUUUGUAAUGAAUCUUUUUGUACAUGGAUCUUCAUUUCUAUUAUAAAUUUGGCAGAAUCAAAUUCCUUUUCACUUAUUUAAAACAAUAACACACAGAAGCAAUCGAACAAAAUAAAAUUGUUACGGAUAACAAGGCAAUCAAUAAUUUGAACACAUUUGGAUGUUAAAGUUCUUUUAAAAUACGAAAAAGAACCCCACAAGAAAUGAAGACAAAAGUUGGGAACCGUCCAUCCAGCAAGAUUUUAAGUUAAUAAUCUUGAUAGAUCAUAAAAUUUUUGUGUUUUAGAAGGUAAAGAGACUCAACAAUAUAUUUAUUUUCUUUUUUUCAUUUCUUUUUAAAUGGUUACAACUUACAACUCAAUGAUAGUUUAACAAAUGACAAUUUAUUACACAACCUAUUGACUUGACCACAUAACAACUAUACGACAUGGGGGUUUUAGGUCAUUCUAAAAAUAUGAAAACUAACUUGAUAAUUAAUUUAAAUCUUAGAGACUAAAGGUGCGAUUGGGAGUGAGUUACAAUAGAUUUUAAGUUGCAGUUGUUGUGGAAUAAAAGUCUCAGUUGCUACUAAACACCUCAGCAGCUCAAUUUUAGUAGUCAAACUGUCACACAUCACUCCUAAAUGCAUCCUAAAACGAUCAUUUGUGCAUUUAAUAUAUCCAAUAAUACUUAUACACAGCGUUUCAGUUUUCAUGCCAAGGUUUCCAGACUGAAUGAAGGCCAAGAAAUGGCACUGAGAAUGUCACAAGAAGAGCUGCCCAACCGAAUAAUGAGUCCGAGCUGCAGAGCAAGCCAGACUGAAUUUGGGCCCAGAAGUAGCUAAGCCAUCUGUUUUUCUGACCAAAAAGGAAUUUCGCAAACAGCUCACUUGCUUGCUUUCCAACUCAUCCCUUUGCUUAUUUUAGUGUGAUUAAUUAGUCCAUAAGAGGCGAGCAAUCCCUUUGCAAAAUAUGGUUCAAGCCUUCAAGCCAUGUGCAUCGAAAAGCUGGGAUUACUUAAAAAGCUGUGGUGGCCCAAGAUUUUGUUUCAUCCAACCAUUCCAGCCACAAAGUAAUUAAAAACAAAUAUUAUCCCAAACAUGACAAAAACAGAAAAUUUCCAUGGAAUUGCUUUUAUGUGAUCUUUCCUUUGUAAUGAAAUUUUGAGUGGCGAAUAGACUUAAUGGGAUAUGAAGUGCUGAGAACAAUGCUUGGAAAGUUGGUAAAAGGAAGAUGAGUCUUGAGUUUGUUUCGCAUCACAGGCCUAGUCUACAAGGAAAUGCACAAUAUCUAUGCUACCAAACAAAGUUCACAUGGCAAAAGCAAGUACUUUUUUGGAUUUUUGUGCUUCACACCUUUGAAUCCCACCAGCAACAAGAGCAUUUCUGUGUAACAAAACCAAUAUUCGGCUCUGAAAAAGUAAACCAAUAUUCGGCUCUGAAAAAGUAACCCGCAUUUCUGUGUAACAAAACCAAUAUUCGGCUCUGAAAAAGUAACCCAAAAAAAAAAAGGGAUCUGUUCCUUGGCCUGCAAGGCUUGCCUGCAUUAUUUAUUAAGUCAAUGAAACUCUCCAUACUCCUGAAAUGGCUUAUAGUCUUUAGCUUCUUCCACUUGGUGGCUUGGAAAUUGGGGAGAUUUUGAGGCAUAUGUGCGGUGAAGACUUGCUAAAGAAGAGCAAUAUGGCUGGAUUUUUGCCGAAAAACUGUGCAGCAUUGGAUGUGUGGAUGCUUGGUUCCCAUGAGAGGGAUGCUGCUGUGGCUAGACAAGCACUUGAAGAAAGUGUUGUUAACUUCAAAGCUUUGAUUGAGAUUCUUGUGGGAAGGAAAUCAAGUCAUAUUGCCCUAAUCAAACAAGCCUAUCAGACAAGAUAUAAAAGGCAUCUGGACCAAGAUAUUGCCAAUAUUGAGCCUCCCCAUCCCUACCAAAAGGUAAGCUUGUUUCAAAAAGCACUUUCAGAUAAUCAAAAUCACUUUUUUGGGGCAUUGAGCACUAAAAGUUUGGUUUUUUGGGGAAAUGUUUCUCAGAAUAAAAGCACCCAUAGAACAAUACCCUUUUUUUUGCUUAACAUAGAGCCUCUUAGUUUGAUUUUACGAACGAUGAUUUUAUAGAAAAGAUUGGCAAUUUGACAGAUUCUUGUGGCACUGGCUACAUCACACAAGGCACACAAUGCAGAUGUUAGCCAACAUGUUGCCAAAUGUGAUGCAAAAAGGCUUUAUGAAACAGGGGAGGGCAGUCCAGGAGCCGCCGAAAAAGCUGUUGUGCUGGAGAUUUUCAGCAAAAGGAGCAUCCCACAGAUGAAGCUGACAUUUUCUUGCUAUAAACACAUCUAUGGACAUGACUACACGAAGGUAAUUAACAUUGUCUUGCCAGCCCUAUAUGAUCCUAAUUUACAGACUUUUAACCGUAAAAUUGAGAUGAAAUUUAACAGCUUCUUCCAUUAUCGGUGCAUUUUUCAGUCGCUUAAGAGGGGAAACUCCACGGAUUUUGAAGAUGCACUAAAAAUGGUUGUCAAAUGCAUUCUAAAUCCACCCAACUAUUACGCAAAGGUAAUAAUUAUUUAGCCUUGCGGCCUUCUAUAAUACCAUUAACAAAGCGGAUGAACAUAUUUGUAUUCUUUUUUUGGGGCCAAAAUUCAUGCAUAUCUCUGCUACAUUACACUGAAAUCCCCUGUAUUCGAAAUGCCUCAAUGAUCGUUGCCGGAAUUGACCGUAAGUGUUAGGUCUUUUGCACAUAAAAAGUUGAAAAAUUGGCAUCAGUGGUAAACUUAUUUCCUGGGUGCAGACACUGUAUGCAAGCAUCAAGGGGACAAGGGUUGAUAAGGCCGCGGUGGCACGUGUGUUGGUGAGCAGAGCUGAGGUCGACAUGGAUGAGAUUCAAAGGAUUUUCAAGAAAAAAUAUGGGAUGGAACUGAGAGAUGCAAUAUGUGAGAGCAUUCCAUCUGGGGAUUACAGAGAUUUUCUUGUUGCUUUGGCCACAAAAGCAAGUACUGCUUAGUCGAUGAUUUGAGUACAUUAUGAAGUCUUGUUUACAAUAAUCUACAUUGGCAUAUAUUUGAGUAGAUUAACUAGCAGCACUAUGGUGUGAUGGAAAGGCAGUGGUGAGACUUGAACCUUUUUUAUAAGCAUUUCAAAAGUGAUGAUGUUAUCAUCAACUGUUUUACUAAAUGUCAGUGGCUUCUCCAAUAUCAUGUUGGAAGAAGAUGCUACUGUAAUUAAUGCAAACAAGAAUCUUCCUGAUUAAGAUACAAUGUCAAUAGGGUACUCGCCACAUCCCAAAAAUUCCUGAAAUGGCGAAUAAAUUAUUGGUCAGCCAACAAAUUAAAAAAAAAAAAUCAACAAACAAAUACAAAAAAAGAAAAAAAAAACCAUACUAGCUCGGAUUUAAAUAAUUGCUUAACCAUAUUGAAUGUAUUGGAGGGAAGGAGUUUGAGUCCUAAUAUUUUUUUUUUUUUUCCAAUUUGGGUGGUAGAUUCGUUUAUAUUGGGCAUAACAUAAAUCUUCAAUCCAUCCUAGGUAUUAUUAGAUGAAUUUAAGGUUUUGAGAAUAAAAGCUAAUGUAAUGUUAAUAAAAAAAAAAAGAGGUAAUUACAUGCCUGAGAAUUAAGAAAAGAAAGUUGUGAAGAAAAAAGAAGGAAUAUUAAUUGUGUCCCACAUGCAUGAGAAGAUUGUCUAGAGAAGGAUUAUCCAAAGACAAAAACCAACUCCAAUAAUAAAUUCUCUUUCAAAGUCUAAAGAAACCUCAAGCUGCUACCCCCUCGAUUUAUUACACCACAAGAUCGAAUUCUACACGUAUAAAAAGCAACUCACCAGCGCAGGGAAUUAGGGAUGCAUAUAUCAUUCACUCCACAAGACAUAUUUCCUUAAAAUAAGGGAUAAAUCAAUGGAACAAAGCUUAAGCUCCAAGCUAAUCUCCAAUCCUAUUGCAGCUGGCGAAGAGAAGAACAUCAACAAGAUCUUUAAGUCCAUCCCAAAGGCAUAAUACAUAAUUAUUUCUCAAAUAAAUAUACAAGAACGCUUUCAUAUUAUCACAUUGUUGUACGUAGGUUACAGGAAAGAUCAACUUCAUGCGCGUAUCAACGAUUAAGGUGAGGUAACGAUUAGUGGGGAAAAAGAGAAUAGCGUUUGCCAAAAACACAAAGUUUGUACGGGUUGCAAGAAAGUGGACGGUUGUUGCGAAAUAAUCAAAGUUUCUACGGGCUGCAAAAGGGAGGGAAUUGACGUAACGUUUUCGAAUGGGAUUCUUUAUUUUAAAAUGCCAAAGAGAAGUCAAUGGUGUGCAGUACAAAAUCGACUAGCUAGAGACUGCUGCAACAACUCUGAAGCUUGGGGCAGUUGCUGUGCUGUUGGUGGUUGUUGCUGUUCAAGCAUUUUUAGGUUGCAUCAAAUAUCGCUAAUUCUUUUCGUGUUAAGGACUUAUAUUUACAGGCUUCAUAUAUCAUGUUAAUUUCUUGAUAUUAAUUUAAAGUUCUUUGAAGCACGUAUUUUAUUACUAAUUUGUGUCGAUGACAAAAUAACAAUUAAUGCGUUAAUUGAAAUCAAAUGAGCUGAUGCAUUAAUUUUCUUCGUUCUUGUGAUUUUGCUAUUUUGGCUCGUUUAAAUUGAUUUCUGUCACAAGUAGUAGUGGUGAUAAACUUUGAUUCACUCCUUGACAUGUAUGUCAGCUAUGAAACCAGAGCAACGUUACAUGUAUUUAUUUUUGGCCAAUUUGAAACCAAUGCAAAGUUACAUGUAUGGCUCACACAAUCACCAUCAUCAUCAUCACCACCACAAUGAAACGAACGCGGGACAAUAGCCGGAGACCCAGAUGGCAUAGGGCAUGCAUGUUUGGUGGUAAAUGUAACGUGGCUGAAACAAAGUUUAUAUAUAUAUAUUAUAAAGGCCGCUGCAACAACUCUGAAACUUGGGGUGGACGCUGUGGUGUUGCUGCUGGCCGCUGUUGAAGCAUUUGUAGCUUGCAAAUAUCGCCGAUGCUUUUCACGUUAACGAUGUUAAUUUCUUAAAAAGUAGAGUUCUUUGAAGCACGUAUUUAUUAAUUUGUGUCUAAUGCAUUAAUCGACAUAAAAUGAGCUCCUUCAUUCCUGUGAUUUUGCCAUUUUGGUUUAUUAAAUUGAUUUCUGUCACAAGUAGUGCUGGUGAUUGAUGAACUCGAUUCACUCGUUGACAAGUGAACGCCUUUCAACUGAUCAUGUAUGUCAGAUAAAUGUUGCUCACACAUCAUUAUCGUGAUGACCAUAAAAUGAAUGCGGAACAAUAAUAACCGGAGACCCAGAUGGCAUAGGGCAUGUUCGGCGAUAAGUGGCUUUUUUUUCUUCUUUUUUUUUUUCUAAAAUCUAAAUAGGAUUAAGUUAGUUUGAAUUUUGAAUAGAACUGAAUGCCGGAAUAUAAAUUAUUUAUAGUUUUUCUCUUGUUUGAAUUGCUGAAAACAAAUAUUAGGUUAUUUCUUUUUUAACUUAAAACUUUAAAAACAAGUAUUUUUAUAUUUAUACCCUUAUAAAUGUUAAACAAAUAUAAUAAGCACCUCAAAGAACUUAAAUAAGAUAAUAUAUUAUCAUAAUAUAAAUCGUGUUCAAUUGAAUACAACACCUUAUAUUCUAAAUUAGUUAAUCAAUUUUAUUAUAGUUCAUGAUGUUUUUAUAUGAAAAAUAUUCAUAAAAAAAUUAUGAAGGUAAAUAAUGCUAUUUUGAAGGAAAUAAAAAAAUAAAAUUAAUAAUAAUCUACCAUUAUAUUAUCACAAGUUAUAAAGAUGGGUAAUAAUGCGAAUUAUUAAAUUUUAUUUAGGUAAGAAUGGAAAUUAAUUAAUUAGAAAUGAAUAUUUUGGAGAAUAUCUUUUAAUGAUAUCAUUAUAACUUUUUAGAUUAAGCAAAAAGCUAAAAAAAGAAUUGGCUUAAAAACUUAAUGAUUUAAUAACUGAAAAUUUUCAUUAAGUUCAAAAAACAAAUUGAGUUAAUGACUUAACUAAUUGAAACUAAGGUGAUGCUUUUUUUUUAUUAUUUGAAAUCUGAAUAGGCUUGAAUGGAUCUCAAAUCUAAAUAGACAUGAAUGUCUGAAUUUGAAUAAUAUGUUUGUUUUUUUUUAAAUCUCUGAAGAUAAAUAUUAAGUUGUUUUUUCAACUUUAAAAACUAAAAACAUGUACUUUUACAUUCAUAUCCUUAUUAAAUUUGAAUGUCAAGUGUGUGUGUGUGUAAGCAAAACGACGUUCAAGUGAAUACGUAAUAAUUUUGGAAUUAUAAUAUAUAAAUUUUUUUAAUAAAAAUAAAUUGUAUAAUUACAUAAAAAAGUUUAAGAAUAAUAUCUUUGAUUGAUUACUAGUAAUGGGAGAUUAAAGAACUUGACGAGAGAAGCAAAGUGAGGAGGAAUCCCAUGAUGGCCAAAAAAAAUAAAAAUGAGAUUAUUAGUCGGUAAAUAUGUAUAGGUGGGUUUUGUGAUAGGCAUGAAAAAUAAAUAAUAAAAUGAGGAUAUUUUUUACAUUAAAAAUUAGUUGAUUGAUUCGGAUUUCUUCAUUCAGUAAAAAGUAAAAAAAGAUUGACUUAUUUUAUUAAGUCAAAAUUAUUUGAAAAGUCCCACUAAGUUAUAAAAAUAAACACCUAUACUUAACUUAAUUAAUUAAGUCACUUUAAAUCAUUAAGUUAAAAAAAACAAACAUCCUCUAAGUUAAUUAAGUCAUUAAGUAAAAAAAAAGGAACAAUCCCUAAAGGUACCAUAGCUGAAAAAAUGGUUUAAAAAACAGUAAAGAGUAAUGUACCAACCAACCCAGAGUUUAUAUUGAGAAGGAAAAUGAUGUUCUCACAAAUUUGCACACAAAGGUUUGCACAAAACGGUGUGUUUUGUGCAACCUUUAAAAGGCUCUUCGUACGUGCACAACAACACACACGCUCUUCCCAGCUGCUCCCACUCGCGUCUGUCUCCUUUCACUGCAACAAAAACCCAGCAGCUUCGUUCUCCACACAGCAACGGAAACGACACAAAUCCCAACAGUAACAAAAACCCAGCAGCUUAUCCCGUCUCCACGCACAGUCAGUCUAACCUUCGUUCUCCCUCAUUCUCUCGACGCCAUUCUCCCUUACUCUCUCGGCUAUGUGCUUCCUCAUUCUCUAGACGCCAUUCUCCCUCGCUCUCGGCUCUGUACUCUCUCAUUCUCGCUGGAUCUUUUUUGCCACACUCUCUCGGCUCCGAUCACCCUCAUUCUCGGUGGCUCCAUUCUCCCUCACUGUCUCGGUUCCGAUCUGCCUCAAUCUCUCCCUCAAUCUCUCGAUCUCAGUUUCAUCACUCUCUCUACCCCAACACAACCGAAUUAACGGAGCUUGUUAAGGUUAGUGUUCAAUUUAUUGCUUUAAUUUGUAAUUAAUUGAAAAUUAAUUAUUUUGCCCCAUUUCGGCCACUUGGAUUUUGAAUGGUUAUUGUUGAGGGUAUAGUGAUUUUAGGUUGUAUUGAUAUUAGCUUUGGAUUUUGAACGAAUUGAUUUAUUUUUCCUAUUUCGGCUGUUAGUUAUUGUUAUUUGGGAAUUCAUUUUGAUUUGGUUAUUGUUCUCGGGCAAGUAUUGUUACUAACCGUUGUGGCAGCAAAUUGGAGACAUGAUGUCAUGCAGUAAAGUAGGCAUUACCUUAUACUCCACGAAUUUCUCAGCAUGCUGCCUUGCUUCUUCUCUGGAAUCCUUGAAAAAUCUAUAAGUAAUUGAUGAAUUAUUAUGUACAAUUUGAUUGACAAACAUUAUUAGAGAGAUAUUAAGUUUGCAGGAGAUAGUCAGCAAAAACCUUGAGAGCAACAUUGUUGUGGCUGUUUUUUCUUUUGGAAUUGAUUAGUAGCUGGUGUGUCCUAUAUUGUUUCCCUGUCCAGUUUCUUAAUGCUCAUUAACUAUUAUGGCUUUUUUUUCUCCUUUUCAGUUGCUUAAAUUGGUUGGAUAUUUCUAUCACAAUGUCCUCUAGCAUGAGUGAAGUUCCAAAUCCACAUAUAAAAACUUGUGAAAAGUACUGCAAUGAUAAGAUCUUACCAACUUCACGCACAAGAGAGAAUCUGAAUCGUAAGUUUUGGAAGUGCAAAGGAUGUGGGGCAUUAGAAUGGGACAACGAUCGGAAGAACAAUGAAUAUACUGUGUGUCGAGGGGUGGAAGAUCGAAAUAUGAGCGAGAUUAAAAUUGAUCUCUUACUAGGAGAAGUGCGCAAGCUAGGGCAUCAAAUGGAAUGUUUGUCUCUUAAAUUUGAAUUGCUUUAAAGAGAACUUCAACGAAGUUUGCAACCAAGUGUUAUUGUAAAAUAUGUCCCACAAAUAAUUAUAUGUAUUUUCAUAUGUAUUGUAUUUAAAUUGUAUAUUCAACUAAUGUAUUAACUUCUCUUAUUUGCAAUGAAAAUUACGUUUAUGGUUGAAAUAUUAUUUUCUGUUAUUUGUAACUUUGCAUUAAAUCGUUCUCUUAAUUUUUGAAAGUGUUACCAUCGAUGGAUCCGGGCGAUUGCAUAUAUAUCAUCAUAAACGUGGUGAUUUAGGUGAUUCUCAUUAUAUUUAUACUUAUAAUGAAUUGAUCAUGUUAAUGUUACCCAUAUCAUUUCACAUUUUCUCUCCAUCUAAAUUUGUAUUGAAUUUUUCAAAUUUUAAUAUUACCACGUUUAUUAAAAUUUUCCGCACAAAAUUUUCCGCAAGCAGGGCAUACAAACACAUUUUCCAUCUUUGUGUGUGUGUGUGUGUGAGAGAGAGAGAGAGAGAGAGAGAGAGAGAGAGAGAGAGAGAGAGAGAGAGAGAGAGAGAGAGAGAGAGAGAGAGAGAGAGAGAGAGAGAGAGAGAGAGAGAGAGAGAGAGAGAGAGAGAGAGAGAGAGAGAGAGAGAGAGAGAGAGAGAGAGAGAGAGAGAGAGAGAGAGAGAGAGAGAGAGAGAGAGAGAGAGAGAGAGAGAGAGAGAGAGAGAGAGAGAGAGAGAGAGAGAGAGAGAGAGAGAGAGAGAGAGAGAGAGAGAGAGAGAGAGAGAGAGAGAGAGAGAGAGAGAGAGAGAGAGAGAGAGAGAGAGAGAGAGAGAGAGAGAGAGAGAGAGAGAGAGAGAGAGAGAGAGAGAGAGAGAGAGAGAGAGAGAGAGAGAGAGAGAGAGAGAGAGAGAGAGAGAGAGAGAGAGAGAUUCUCUUACUCCUAGCGAAGAAAAACAUAUAAUACACAAAAUAAACUAAAAUAAAAAUUUAAAAUUCAGGACUGGUUGCUCAACUUCGAAAUAAAACUCUAAUAUGUGUAUGUGAGUACAUAUACAUAUAAUUGCUUUUUUCUUUUAAAACCGAUUGCAUAUCAUCAUAGGGUGGAAAAACUAACCCAGAUUAUCAACACCUCAGAUUAUCAAAACACACCCACAUCAUCAUCUUCAUGAUCAUGCAGAAGUUGUAUUAAAAAAAAAGAAUAGAAAGAAACAUGCUGAAAUUAAUACUAGUCAACUAAAAAUGAAAAAGAAGAUGCACAAAUAUGUCCCCUGUUUCUGAGAAUCUAAUUUAAUGGCUGCCACUAUUUUAAUGAAAAUUACACAUUUAUGCUCAGUUAAACAUAUAAUUCUCCAUAAUUCAAACACAAGUAUAAUAACAAACAUAUGAUUCUCCAUUUAAAACACAAGUAUAAUAGCGAAAAUGUCCAUGCUGUAGGAGUUGUGGGUGCUGCAGGAGUUGUGGGUGCUGUUAUAAAAAUUCAAACAUUAUGUUAUAAUAAGAAAUACAAUAGAUAAAAUAAAUGAAAAAAUAUAUAUAUAUAUAUGGUGAACAACUUACAUUAUAGUAGUUUGCAGUUCCAUAUGGGUAUAUAUUCGUAUGAAUAUCACUUCCUCCAACAUUUUGAAGUGUCUACAUAAGAUCCACAAUAAAACUAUUAAGUUAUGUACGUAUUAAGUUAUGAAAAUUAAGAAAAAUGAUAAGAAUCCGGCCUCACUUACCGCUGCAAUAUUGCUUCCUUGUGGAAUUACAACAGACACUUGAGAAGAUAAUAUAUUGUCUGCAUGUCCAUCCUGCAAAGUCAUCAAAAAAAUCAUUUAAGCACCAUUUAUGUAAUAAAUUAUUUUAAUUAAUUAAUGGUAAAACUAACCUCUGCAUCCGAACGUGUUGAAUUCUUUUUAGGUUUGGUAGACCUUGUUGACUUUUUCCUUUGACAAGGUGGACGACCUUUCCGACGCCUCACUUCUGGAUCACUUACUCCCUCAGUUGUAUUUGUUGAAAUUCUCAUGCUGUUACUACAACUUUCUUGACCUGAAAAUCCCGCGUUGUUACCUCUGCAUUGAAUUGGCUCUGGUAGAUCUUUCCGUACAUCCUCAAUCCAAUUCAAAACAAGAUUAGAACUCUCAACAUUUCUUGCAGCCACGUUUGCAACUUCCGGAAACCUAACACAUAUUUUCUCAUACCGCUUUUGUUCAUCUGUGCAACCGUGCAACUCAUGACUCGUUUUGACCCUACUAUGCAUCUCCACACAUCUUUUCUCCAUCUUCGUAGAAUGUACUUUUCUGGAAGUACUUCCGAGUCAUUGCGUAUCAUGAUGUAAAUGGCAUGUCUGCACAUAAUUCCUCUAAAUUGGAACAUUGAACAACUGCAACUGAUCUCACCCUUAUCUUUUUCAAAAUGUACUUAAAAACAAAUUCUUUUCUUAAACUUUCCAAUUUUAACAUAUUCUCUGACUAUAUGUUCAUAACCCAUUGAAUUGACGAAUUCGCAAUACAUCUUCGCAGUCAACUAUUUCUGAAACUUUGAAAUGGUGUACACAUCUCGAACUUGCUUCUCCAUCUUAUAAGAUGUUACGCAUGGCAUUUAUUGUGAAAGACAUUUGGCAUCUUCUUCGACUUCCUUUUGAACUUUACUUUUUAAUGCAUUACUAUAUUGCUCUACAAACUGCUUCAAUGCGGUUUUUGAGUUAACAUAACCAUCAAAAAACGCAUUCAUGCUCUCACUUCGUUGAGUAGUUGACAUUCCAGCCUAAAAACUAUCUUUCAGGUAACAUGAUACCCAAUGAUGUCUCUCAUUAUACAAGCCCUGUAGCCAAUCAUUACCACCCAAAUUAUAUUAUACAAUCAUGCGGUGCUAGAUUUCCUCGAACUUUGCAGGGCUCUGUGAAUCAUAAACAGCACAAUGCAACAUAUCGCUAAUAUCACGAUAUUGUUUAUAGCCCCCUAGCUUAUCCGGAAUCUUCUUAAGUAUAUGCCACAAACACCACCGAUGUCGAGUAUUAGGAUAGACAGCAGAAAUUGCAAUUUUCAUGGCCUUGUCUUGGUCUGUAAUAAUUCCAAUGGGAGCGGAAUUGGACAUGCAUGCUAGCCACGUUCGAAAUAACCAAGUGAACGUCUCAACAUCCUCAUGUGAAAUCAAUCAACAUCCAAACAAAAUAUAAUGACCAUGAUGAUUUACUCCCACAAAUGGAGCAAAUGGCAUGUCAUACUUAUUUGUAAGGUUUGUUGUGUCAAAAGUAACAACAUCUCCAAACUCUUUGUAUGCUUCUCUAUUCAUUGGCUCAGCCCAAAAUACAUUUUUCAAUCGACCCUCAUCAUCUACUUACAUACUAAAAAAAAACAUAUUGUCGUCUGACUGCACUCUCAUAAAAUAGUUUUGAAGAGCAGCCGCAUCUCCAUCCCCAAGUCGUAGUCGUCUUUAUUUCUGUAUAUGAUUUCUACAAUCUCUUUCUGUGAAUGUCACAUUUUCAUAGCCACCAGCCUCAAUAACAAGUGAUUGAUAAUUUUGGGACAAUCUAAUCCCUGCUCUAUCAUUUACAUCAAGUUUCUUUUUUGCAUAUGAACUAAGGCUGCGAUUGCAUCGGAAAAAUUUAUACUCGGUUGGAGUCAACAAUGUAUGAUUGUGUUCAAUAUUUAAAACUCGAAUCCUCCACUUUCCGUUUUCCUCUAAUCCUCCUCCCAAUUUAAUGAUCGGUUUUUGGUAUAUACACACAUGUAUGCUUGAGUGUGUAAAAUCUCUGCUGUACCGUACAUCCGCCUUGGCCGUAUCUCACUAUCGAAUGACAUCCCAAUCAUUGGCUCAUCAUCCUGUAAGUUGUCCUCCUCAAUUUCCUCAAACUCUUCAACUUCAAUGCUUUUUUCCAUAUUCUUUAUUCGUACAAAAUGAAUAUAUUUCAUAUUAAUCAACUAAAUAUAUUUCACAUUACUCAUGAUAAGAACAAAAUUCAGAUAAUCAUAAUCAACACAAUCAACAUUAAUCGGCAAUUGCAAUAUAUGCUCUGUAAAAUUUAAAUAGAACAAAUAAAGAACUAAACAGAACCUAAUUGCUCAAAGGCUCACAAAAUUCAAAAAAUAUGACAAAAAAUAAGGCUACACGUUAGGCGAGGUGAAGUACCCGAAAUGGGGCAAAAUAAUUAAUCUUCAAUUAAUUAUAAAUUAAAGCAAUAAAUUGAACACUAACCUUAACAAGCUCUGUUAAUUCAGUUGUGUUGGGGGAGAGAGAGUGAUGCAGCUGAGAUCGAGAGAUUGAGGGAGAGAUUGAGGGAGAUCGAUGCUGAGAGAGUGAGGGAGAAUGAAGCCACUAGGAAUGAGAGAAAAUCGAGCUGAGAGAGUGAGGACGGUGCCGAGAUAAUGAGGGAGAACGAAGCCACCAAGAAUGAGAGAAAACCGAGCUGAGAGAGUGAGGACAACCGAGCUGAGAGAGUGAGGACGGUGCCGAGAAAAUGAGGGAGAAUGAAGCCACCAAUAAUGAGAGAAAACCGAGUUGAGAGAGUGAGGACAACUGAGCUGAGAGAGUGAGGACGGUGCCGAGAUAAUGAGGGAGAACGGAGUUGUUGUUGUGUGGAGAACGAAACUGCUGGGUUUUUGUUGCAGUGAAAGGAGGCAGACGCGAGUGGGAGGAGCUGGGAAGAGCGUGUAUGUUGUUGUGCACGUACGAAGAGCCUUUUAAAGUUUGCACAAAACGCACCGUUUUGUGCAAACCUUUGUGCGCAAAUUUGUGAGCAUAUCGCUACUGUAUUGAGAAUCCUAUAAUUCUGGACAUUGGUAUUACUAUCGAGAUCACUCUCUCCAAAGAAAUCGCUUUCAACCUAUAAUUAGACUCCCCUUUGGUAAUUAGUGUGAUGUUGUGACUUAAAAGCCAUAUACAGGAUUUCUAGCUAUUAAAUUAGAGUUAAUAGUAGUAUAAAAUAGUAAAGAUAAUACCAGUUCAUCAUGAAAAAUGAUGAAAUCAAAUUAUCUUAAGCUGUGGCAUUUUUCAAGAGUAGUAUUUCAUGAAACCUUUACUAGUUGAAUUAUAUCAACUAAAAUCUACAGUCACUUGGUGACUUAAUUUAUCGAAUAGUGUAGAAAUCAUAAAAGUUUUAAUUAACAAAAAAGACAUUCAUACAACAUUAAGCACAAUGUUAAGCACUGAACGGUGUGUGUUUUGAGUUAAGUAUAAAUUCUCACAGUGGCUAACACACAGCUCACAACAUGCGCAAAACUCACACGAGUUUCCCGCAAAAUCUCACCAGAAUCGAAUGCUCUCUCCAUUGGCUCUCUAUUUGUGUGGUGACUACCGGCUCUCUCUCUCUCUUUACCUCCCUCCCUCCCUCCCCCGUUGCUCACACAUCUGACCUUACUUCCUUUUCACCAUCGAUUUUCUCUGUCUCUCUCUCGCUGUGGGUCUCUCAACAGCUCGCCGUCGAUUGCAUCUCUAACGGCUCCUCAUUGUCUCUGUUGUCUCAAAAAUUUGACUUGCAACUUCAACUUCACUCUCUCGGCUGCUGUAAUAGAUUUGUGGAGGUAAUUUGAUUCAUUAAUGCCAAAUUUGGUUGAGUUGAUUAUGAAUUUUAGAAGAUUUAGUUGCCAUUGUGGAAAUUUGUGUAGAGAGUAUCUAUGGUCAAAUUUUGUAGUGGGUAAGUGAGCUAGUUUAGAUUGAUUUGUAAUUGCUGGUUGGAUUUGUGGCUUGAGUGAGGUGUGGAUUUGGUGGGAGGCAGAGGGAGAAUGCGCAUGCUGUCUGCCUUGCGUUCAACAGUGACAUUUUUAUAUUUGUGCUCAAAAUGCCCCGUUUGGUGCUUAAUAUUGGUGCUUAAUGUUGUGUGAAUAUCGGAAUUGUUUAAUUAAUUAGUUUGGUAAAUAUGUAAUCACAUGGCUAUGAAUUAGGAAAAGAAAGUUAGGGAUAGGAAAGAGAAGGAAUAUUUUCUCACUCAUGCGUGAGAAGAUAGAAUUUCACUUCCAGACUCAGCAGCUAGAGAGCAAGGUGAAGGGAAUUGAAUUGUACGUAUUCGGAUUUCGGUAAACCUCGAAAUGUAAUAAUGUUAAAUAAAUAAAUAAAUAAAACGUGUAAUUACUUUAAAUGUCUUCAAACUAAGAAAAGAGAAUUGUGAAGAAAAGAAGGAAUAUUAAUUGUGUCAGCGCAUGACAAAAGAUUGUGUAGAGAGUGGAGAAGGAUUCCAAAGACAAAAGCCAACUCAAAUAAUAAAUUCUCUUUCGGAGCUCAAGCGACCCCUUCAAUUCAUUAUAGCACAAGUGUGAAUCCAACACAUAUAAAAAGCAACACAUCAGGGAAAUAGGAAUGCAUAUAUCAUUCGCUCCACAAGACAUUUUCCUUCAUUUAAAAAAAAAAAAAAAAACAGAUACAUCAAUGGAAACUAAGCUUCAGCUCCCAGCUGAUUUCGAACCCUAUUGCAGAUGGCGGAGAGAGGAACAUCAAUACGUUCUUAAAGUCCAUCUCAAAGGUGGUAUAUAUAAAUAUUUCUAAAUAAAUAUAAUCAAGAAAAAUUAGAUGCUCUCAUUUUCAUAUUAUUACAUGGUUGUAGGUUUCAAGAAAGAUCAAAUUCGUGUCUUUGUGAACGAUCAGGGUAAGCUAAGGAUUAGCGGAAAGCGUCCUAUAGAUGAAAACAAUGUGGAGAGUUUUAGCAAAAGAAUCGAAGUUCCUAAGGAUUGCAAAAGUGAUCGAAUUAAAGCAAAGCUUUCUAAUGGAAUUCUUCGCUUAACAAUGCCAAAGAAAACACAUUCACAUGUAACACGAAAUCAAGCUGCUGCAACAGCUGGAAGAAACACUCUGAAACUUGGAGUUGGGGCGGUUGCUGUGGUGUUGGUGGCGGCGGCAGCUGCUGUUGAGGUGUAUGUAGCCUUCAAAUAUCGCCAAUGCUUUUUUAAUAUAGGCGAAACUUGGCGGUCGUCCAGGAUUCAAUAUUUUUAGGAAUGCCUCAUCUUUUAUAUUUCUUAAAUAAUACUCAGAAAUAAUGAUUUUUUUAAGUUACCCAUAAUGUAUAACUUCCAUAAAUAAAUAAAUGUUCGAUAAAUUAAUAAUACUGAUUAAAUAAUAAAAUCUUUCGGACUCGACUUAAAAUUUUUAGAAAUAAUCCCGUAUUCACAUAUCAACAAAUUGCGUAGAAAGGAAAUAGUUUUUACGAAAAUGAAAUUCUUGUGUAGGGCAAAGUAUAAAUCCACAAGUUUUAUUAUUCUUAUUUCUUUAUCAAAUAUUCUUAAUCAAACGAAUACAAAUUGAAGGAUCAGCUUAUAGUAAUUAACAUGCAAUAUUACUGCUCACAAAAAUUUGCAUAACUUGACAAGGAAUUUAUUUUUGGCCAAGUUCAAACCAGUGCAAAGUUAAUCGGCGAUCACCUAAAUGUUGCUCACACCAUGAUCAUUGAUCAUCACCAUAAAACGAAUGCGGCUACCGUAACCGGAGACCAGAUGGCGUAGGGCAUGUUUGGCUGUUAAGCUUCAGCUAUUAUGAGAUAAAAGCUAUAGUUAUUAAGGAAAAACUUAUGGGUCUAUGACAGAUAAUAAUUUUUUGUUAAUUUAUACAUUUAACAACGAUGAAAAAAAAAAGGGAAUCAAGUCAGAGGAAACAGAAAAGAAACAAACCAGCAGCUGGGCUGUGCCGUCACAGCCCAACGGGCGUUACCAAACACACAACAGCCUAGCUACUGAGAAGUAGUGCCAAACUGGCCCACAAUCCAGGAAGCACUACUUAUAUUAAUCAAUUAAUUUACUUAGUUAAGGUGCAGCAGCAUCACUGUAUCCUGACUCAGCCUAACCGAGGCUUCCCUUUGAUUUUUAAUUGAUAAUUUUAAAACAUACAGUAAAGAUGAUUCGAGUUUUCUUAUUUCAUAUUUAUACAUGUAUGUAUGUAUAUGUAAAUGAAGUCAAAUUAUUUUAACUUUUAAAAUGUAAUUGUAUUAUUGUUAGUAUUUUUUGAACAUGUCAAUGAAAUACUAGGUAAGCAACCCAAGAGGGGGAUGAAUUAAGUUUCUAAAAAUUGUGGAGAAAUAUAAAAACAAAAUGCAAAUAUCAAAUAAAAUUAUUCAAAUAAUAAAUAAAUCACAACAAUCAAAAUGUAAAGAGACAAAGGAAAGAGAAUCGAACAUGAGAUUUUUACAUAGUUCGGCAAACUCUACCUAUGUCCACGCCUCCAAACUCACCGGGCUUGAGGAUUCUACUAUUCAAACCUUACACCCUAAGGCUUCUAAAAUCCUUUGAUGUUAAAAUGAAAAUUGUACAAUUUUUUUUCACACAAUGUAUGAGUUUUACAAAUGAAAACCCAAAGUGUGAUUUGAUAAAAGACCAAUCAAGUUCCAAGCACAAGAGAGAUUGAAUACACAAUGACAAACUCAAUGAUGAUCGUAGAAUCCAACAUUAUUUGAAUUUGAUUGAGCUUUUUUAUAAUUGGAGAAGAAAACUAGUUGUUGGUGACUUUUUGGGCAUAAUCAAAUUGUCGUCCACUACUGUCGGAUCACCAUUUUGACAUUGUGUAAAUUACCGUUAUUCAGAAUUUUGAAUAACCGAUUCAUUGUUUAGAGUUGUUGGUUUGCCGUUUUAUUCCAAAGACCUGCAAGAUAUUUAUCGACUAGCCGUUUGUUCUAAACGAUUCACCAAUUGCAAACUAAUUCCUCUUUGAAAUUUGUCGGUUAGCCAUUAUCAAUAAACAGUUUAUCGGUUUCAAAGAAUUUACUCUCUAGAAUUUAUCGGUUAACCGUUUUUUAAUAAACAGUUCACCGUUAUCUUCCAAAAUCAAAACUAUAAAAUUUCCUUAAGAAAGCGGUUUGCUGACUUAGGAUUAACGGUUAUCAAUUUAUUUUCAAAAUCUUAUUUAUGUCUAAAACAACUUCAUAUGGCUUAAAAAAUAAUUAGUUUUAAAGACUCCAACUUAUUUAUUCAGUCUGUAAUAGGAAUGGCAAUGGGGUAGGGUGGGGGUGGGGAGGCCUACCCCAUUCCCCACCCCGUUAGAAAUUUUUGCCUCCAUUCCCCACCCCAUUCCCCAAUAAAUUUAGUGGGGUGGGGAUGGAGAAUCCCCAUGUGGGGAAUGAUUUCCCCAUCCCCACCCCAUUCCCCAUUUAUCUAUUUUAUAAUAUAUAUAAAUACAUUAUUUUAGUAAGUUAAAAAUUAGAGACUUAAAAUAAAAUCAUCAUCAUAUUAUAAAGUAUUUAAAUUCUUUUAAAAAAAUAUCUAUUUAAAUUCUUUUUAUUAAGAUGCAAAUGCCUCAUGGGUUACUUUUCAAGGAAACUCAUAUUUAUAAUAAAAUUAGAAUUUUUAGUUGUCUCUUUAAAUGACUACAACAAAAUCAAAUUUGACAAAAAGACUUUUCCUUGUAUUUUUGUAGGUUAUAGCCUGCUGUACCGUACAUCCGCCUUGGCCGUACAAAAAAUAUUAUAGGAUUUUCUUUCAUUCAUAUUUUGUUUAUGUUGCAUAAAAAUUAAAAAAAAAUUAUUAAUUGACAUUAUAAUUGAUAAAAUAAAAAUUAUUAAAUGAGAAUUAAAAACAUAUUUAUAUAUAAUGGGGAUUGGGGUGGGGGUGGGGUGGGGAGUACAAAACCAAACUCCACCCCAUUAAGAAUUUGGGGAUUAUUUUCCCCCCACUCCCCACCCCAUUCCCUAAAAAUUAUUCAAAAUUUUUCCCAUUUGGGGUGGGGCUCCAUGGGGCCCCAAACCCGUGGAAGAUUUUGCCAUCCCUAGUCUGUAAUCAUUAAAAUCAAUAUUAUAAAAAUAUGUAUGAUAACUGUCAACAAUUGUGACUUUUUUAAAAGUAAUUAAUUAUUCAUAGAACCUUUACAAGUUGAAUUAUAUAGAUGAACUAAAAUCUACAGUCACUUAAGUAGUUCAUCAAAUAGAAUAGAAAUUAUAUGAGCAUUAAUUAAUAAGUUAGGUAAAGGUAUAAUUAAUGACAUGGCUACUAGGGAGGAGGAAGAAGGAAUAUUUUCUCACCGAUGCAAAAGGAGAUAGAUUGUCAAGAGAAUGAGAUUAUCCAAAGGCACAAACCAACUCAAAUCAAAUCCUUUGCUUUCAAUAAGGAAUUUAUUCCCUUUCAAAGUCCAAAGAAAUCUCAAGAGUUGGCCCAUCAUAUAAAAAGCAACCAAGGGAAAUAGAGAUGCAUCAGCAUCAUUCACUAGAAAAUUACUCUAUAACUCUCAUACAAAAAUUAAGCAUAGCCAGAUUUAUAUACAUCAUUGAUGGAAACCAAGUUCUCAGUUGAUGAGAUCGAACCCUUCUGCAAAUGGCAAAAAGAGGAACAACAAGAUGUUCUUGAAGUCCAUCUCCAAGGUGGUGUUAUAUCAUAUUCAUUAACAAUACACGCAUUUUGCUAAUAAAAUCAUCGAUCCGUGAUCUCAUUAAAUUGUUGUUAUUGUCGCAGGUUUCCAUAAAUCACAACUGAAGGUCCAAAUCAACAAUCUUGGGGAGCUAACUAUUAGCGGAGAACGUCCUCUAGAUCAAGAAAAUAAACGAGUUCGUUUUCGCAAACAGAUAAAUGUUUCAAAAGACUGCAAAAAGGAGGAAAUUCAUGCAAAGCUUUCAGGAGGGAUUCUUUACAUAAUGAUGCCGAAAAUAAUCCCUGUUUCGCUUCCUGCACAAGCUCGAGAACAAAUUGUUAAUCAAGAAAAGAGUAAUAAUAAUAAUGGAAAUGCAAAGCAAAAUGAUAUUGAUCAUAAGCCUGCCGCCGCGAGCGCAACCACGGCUGGAACAAGCCGUGCCGCUACGUGGAGCAUGAUGAGCAAGCUGCCGUCAACAAAGUGCAUAUCUGAGCUAAAAUGUUCUGUUCCAAGGCUACAACAAAUGGACGGCAAAACAGCUCUGAAACUUGGGGCUUUGGCUGCCGUCAUGGUGGUGGCUGCUGUUGGGGCAUAUGCUGCCUACAAAUAUCACCGAGCUUUUCAUGUUGACGACUAAUUAAUUUACGGACUCCAACAGUGUUUAUGUUGUUUUCUUAAAUUAUUCCUUUGCUUGAUGAGAAAAUAACAAUGCCUUGAAAUGAAACGAUCGGCUUCAUUUUCUUAAAUCCAAAAAAAUUAUUAUUACUUUUUUCAAUUAAUCCAUACAGGUAUAUAUAUAAAGAAGAGUAGAAAAAAGCAGCUUAUUAAUAGGCUAUGUGCUGCUUGUGAAAUUUUGCACCAACUUAAUGUCACACAAAGAAUUUAUUGUUGGCCGACAUAUAAAUGUUGCUCUCACACCAUGAUCAUAGCCAUAAAGACGAGUGCAGCGACGAUAACCGGAGAGCCAGUUGCGAUGAUCCCGGAAGCAGCGUUAUCCUCGGGAGUAGUCGGAGAUGGUGCCGGAGCGUCGGAAAUGACGUUAAUGGCCAGCUUCUGGCCAAGGUCAGCACAGUGCCUCUUGGCCCCAACUUUGCCGCAAAUGUACCAUUUCUUUCCCGGGGUGGCGAGGGGGAUCGUGUCAUUUCCACUGAUGAGUGGCUCGCUCAGUUUUGAGGCAACGCAGUCCUUGAAUUCGUUAGCGUUCACUUUAAUCACAUUGUGGUUGGGAGGCGUGUAUCUGAACACUGAAAAACAUUAUAAACCAAUUAAAAAAAAAAAAAUUAGUGUUAUCAAAAUAAUUGCUUUUUAAUUAUUACCUUGCCCGCUAAGAAGUUAAUUAUUUAAUAUUUUAUGUACCUAAUGUGUCACCAACACGAAAAACUUUGUCCUUAGCCCAAGCUGCAUAAUCAAAGCCGGUCGUCCACCCGGUUUCAUCACCGACGAUGUGUUCCGUUGCCAUGGCGACUGCCGGAAAAACAAUUGCGACGAUCGCAAGGGUGACAAACCGAUAAGAAGCCAUUAGAAUAAUGUUGAAGCUUAAUCAAAGAGUAUUAACCGGUGAAAUAUGAGUAAAAGGUUUUGUUAUAAGCUUCAAUUGUGAUCUUGUAAUGGGUUAUUUGGGGUCUAUUUAUAGUGAAUAAUUGUCAGUGAAAAUCAGAUCAUCUGCUUUAAUAAUUAACUUGAAAACAAGAAACAAACUGGCAAAGGGCUGGCUGGCAUCGUGGCAUAUUAUUACAUUUCACAAUGUGUUGCUUUGAGAAUUGGAACCUCGGGUUAUACAAAAGAACUGAGGAAGUCAAAAUGAUGUCUUUUGUUUUGAGUAAAGACAUGCGAAUAAGGAUAAAGAAAUUGGUGGUGUCGUGCGUAUAAUUGUUAUUUUAGUGAUUUUUUGGUUUGUGGGGAAAGGCAGUGAUUAAUUCGAGACAGAAGUUUACCGCCGGCUUUAAUUAUACAAUAAUAAUAUAGUUACUGUAAAUAGCACAAAAUUUAGUACAAAAAACAGAAAAAAAAUUCUUAUCUUUUAGUAAAAAAAAAUUUUGUCUUCUAAUAAUGAUGUGCUAUUUUUUUCUUUUUUUACUUUUCGUGCAUAUAUCAUUGUUGUUAAUUAAAUAUGGUAGAAAGAAUAUUUGUGAGAAUAGUCCUCUCAUUUUCUUGGUUUAUUCGUUAGUCAUUACCAUUCACCGGCCAAAUACAGCUAUUUUGAAUCUAUUGAUCGGUUUUUGGUAUAUACACACAUGUAUGCUUGAGUGUGUAAAAUCUUUGCAUAUAACCUAACAUAAAAAUUUCUUUGCAUAUAGCCUAAUUAUUUGACUACUUUAUUAUAGAACUAAUUUAAUAAUUUUACCCUUAUAAUGUAUAAAGACCAAAUUAUAAGUCAAAUUAUUUCAAUCUAUAUAUUAUAAAGGUAAACUAAAAUAUUAGGAUUAAGAUUCAAUACUAAACUUAGUUUUUUAUGAGAAACUAAUCAAUGGUAACAUUUAUUAUUAUUUUUUUAUCUUUCUUAUUUAGCAAUUCAGCAUUGAAUCUUUGUCCAAAAUAUUAUAGUACGAUAAAUCAUGCUUUUGUCGAUAAUUUUAUCCUUUUACAUUACAAUGAUAAACUAGUCACUGAUAUUAUGUAAAUCAACCUUAAUAGUUAAAGACGGCGAAGGAUAAUUGAGAAAAUUAAAAUAAGGUGGAUCUAAUUGAUUCAGUUUGCUAUUUGCAAACUAUAUAUAUACACAUAUAUUUUAAGGAGAUUGUAGUGAAGUUUAGCAUUAAACAGGGGUGUGUUUAGGGGAAUAACUAUCAGGCCUACUUAAGAAUUAACGAAGGAAAAAUAAAAAUAGAGAAAAAGCCAUUCCCACAAAUAUUUCUUCUAUCAAGUUAUAUAGCCGACGCUCAACUUCAAUCAAUCACUGCACACUUUUCCCUCAAAGCCAUUAUAAAUAGUAUCAUUAUCAUUAUCGUCAUCAAUCUUCUUCACCUUCUUCAUUACCGUCACUAAUCCUUUGCUAGUUACAAUCGGAGAUUAUAACAAAAUAUGUUUAUUCACUCAAUUUCAUUUGUGUUCCCUUAUAACAAAAUUUUUUAAGUUAUAUAACAAAAAAAUUAUCUAUAUUUUUUCUUGAAUUUUAAGUUAAAUAAUAAAAAUAUUAUUUUAUCAGUGAAAAAUUAGAUCUAAUAGUCAUAGAAGUAAUGAUGUUGGCUUCUAAAAGUUUAAUUAAGUCUCUAAAAGUUUAAUUAAGUCAUUUUGAAAAAAUUUUAUUUGACUAAUCAUCCGAUUUAAAUCUUAGAAGAGGUAGAGGGUUAAAUUUUGAUACAAAAUUUUAUCAACACCUCUACUUUUUGAGAAAAAAAUAAAGUAUCGACAUUAAAAAUUUCAGUAACUUUUUAAAAAUACAAGAGUAAAGUGAAGUGAUAAUUAGACAAAACACACUUACUAAAAAGUGAAUUCAACCAAUAAUUUAUUACAAGUUGUCACAAGGAUGUGCGUUUUCAAUGUCUCGAUUCAAAUUAUUUUUUAAAAAAAAAUUCAAUGUAAUCUAUAUUGAUUAAUCUGUUAAAUCCUCAAUUCAGUUCAUUUUAAUCUGAUAUCUAUUCACCCAAGCCCCAAGGACCUAGGUUAAGUUGAUAAAGUUUCUAAGGCAACAAAUUAAGUUACAAAAUUUUAGGUAUAAAAUUGGAAAACUAAAAGUACCCGUAACAGGACUCCAUUUGGAUCACCUCACAAAUUUGUUCCCUCCAGCAAAAAGAAAAAAGAAAAAGAAAUUGAGAUCAAUUACGAGAGAAUGCUUCAGAGUUAAGAAAUUGGCAAAUUAAUAAUAUACGUAGGGGGCUUUGGGAAAGUACCAAUGUGCCAUGCAUGUUUUAUGUAGUACAUAAAUGUACACAUAUACUUCUGUAUGUUAAAUUGUUAAAUGAUGUUCCUAAAAUUUAAUGAGAAAGUACUAUAUUAAUAUUAUAAUUAAGAGUCACUAGGAGCUUAAAUUUAUAAAAUUGAUAGGACGUUGGGAUAUACUGAGUAUAGUUUAGAAUACGAGUUAGUAUAAAAAAAAAGAUACAACCCCUAUUUUAUUAUGAAUAAUGAAUGAGAUCUAAAUAGUCGAGUCCCAAAUUUCUUAUAAUUGAUCAAAUUAAUAUUUUACUAUCCAAUAGAUAAAGUCAUAUUAAUUGAGACUGGACUAUUGAGAUUCCUGACGUUACUCUAUUAAAGAAAAAAAAAUUGAGUAUUGAUUGAUGUACUGAAAUAUGUUAAUGAUGUUUCCAAAUCCAAUUAAUAACAUAAUAUGGUUACAUCAACCAUAAUAAAGCCAGCUGUGGUUUUGUGCACAUUAACUGGCUAGAGUGUUUUCAGAAAGCACAAGUGAGAUACGAGGGAGCUAUAUAUAUUAGCUAACAGUGGCCUUUCCUUUUUCCCUCUGUAAUCAAAUAUUUUGUGGAUCAAAUGUUUGGAAACUCAUAUGUUCUGCUUAUGCUACCCUGAAGAGGACAUUAUGUCUUUUUGAGCAUUUUUUUUCUCUCGUAAUUAUUAUUAGCAGAUAGAAUUGCUGGCACUUACGUUUCUGUAUUCAAUAUUGCUUUAUUUUUUUGCAGGACUUUACGGGAAAGAUUAAGGGUUAUUGGGCAGGCAGAGCAGAUUCGGUGCAAGGUUCAUUUGAACUUUUGCGUGCACGCACAACUUUAGUUAUUUAUUCAUUGCUGUGGUUUGUGUUUAUUAUCAAUUAAAGUCCUCCCACGAUUGAUUAUAGCAUUGAAAUAAUGCGAGUCAUUUAGAGGGUUCGCCCGCGCAUGCACUUUACUCAUGUUGGUUAUAUUAAUGACAAAGCCGACAUGUCGUUUGGAAACAAUACGAUAAAUGAUGGGUCAUCUAUAUCAUGUGUGGUGAAAAGAUAUUUUUAAUCUAUGAUAAUUGUUGUUGUUAUUAUUGCUGCUGCUGCUACUAAUCAAUUAAGGACAUUUGGUUCUGGUUUUCAAGGAAAACAAAAAACAAAAAAACUAAAUCGAAAUCUAAAAAUCGAACUAAAUCGAUUUUUUCAAAAUGGAUUCAGUUCUAUCCAACCAAAAUGCCAAUCAUAUCAUUUUUUUUUCUUGAUAUUUGAUUCUCAAAAUGAUUUCAUGCCUUUUUUUUUUUUUCGCACCUAAAACUAUCCUCAGUUAAUUGAUUAGCAUAUUUUUAAUAAUAUUUUAAAAAAGUCACUGACAUAGUUUUCUUUUAAAUCUAGAGCAUUCUUGAAGAAUUUUAUCUACAACAAAUAUUAAAAAAGAAAAAAAAAAGUGAAGUUUGUGGAUUUUAAGUUUACAAUAUCAUGAUGAUAUAAUGGUAUAUUUAUACGUAGAAGUUUAUCAUCUAGUUAUUUUACCAUAAUCAAAAUUAUAGCUUCAAUUGUAAUUAACAGUUGUAGUUGUAAUUGAAAUCAUUAUUAUAAGUACCAUCAAAGAUGGUAAAUAAGUGAUUUUGUAAAUUACAAAAUUUAUCAUCUAAUAAAUGAAUGACUUACGGUAGUUGGAACUCAAAUAUUAUGAUUAUUCAUAUUUUUGUGAUUUUAUCUUUUUACAAUUAUAAUUUUAAUGAUUAUUAUUCCAUAUAACUAUUAAAAAGCAACAAUCUAUUGAUAUAAUUAAAAUAAUUUGGAAUUCAUCUAAACAGAUGACGCGUUGUUUGCUAAGAAACAGUAAGAUGUCACGUCGUAUAUUUAUUAAUGAAGACUUUGACAUGUCGUUUAUGGUUAAAAAAACUAAAUGACGAGUCAUCUAUACGAUGCGCGGGCACUAACAUUUUUGGCAUGUCGGUUAUAUUAAUGACAAGGCCAACAUGUCGUCUUUUUUCUAUAAAACGAUAUGUUGUUUUAUUACAUAAGAAUAAAUGACGGGUCACCUAUAACCUUUGUGCCGAUUAAAAUAUUAUUAUUAUUACUAAUACUGCUGCUGCUGCUUCUGCUUCUGCUAUCACCACCACCACAACCACCAUUAACAUAGAUAACAAUAAUAAUAUUAAGGACAGUAAUUAAGGAAAUUUUGACAACUUGUAACAAUUCAUUUUGAUUUUUAGACAAAGUAAACACAUCAAUAAGAAUACAAUCUAUUCCAAUCUCGAUUCGUGCAACUAAAAUAAAUAUGUUAUUCUAAUUCUAAUUCCAAUCCAUUCCUAUUACCAAUUAAUAAACAUACUAUUAAAGUAUUAGAAGUUAUAUUACUGAAAAAUAGAUGACUUAUUGUCUCCGAAGUAAAAUUUUACAAUGACUAUUUUUUUCAAAAUAACAUUGACUACUAAAUGCUAAUUAGGGGCGGUUAACAAGUUGAGUCGAUUCGAUAUUGAAUUCUAAAGAUCUGAUAAGAAUAAAACAUGAAAAAGAAUUGAACCAGAACAAAAAAAAAUUUUGAUCAAAUCCUUCAAAUAUUUAUAAUGUUUUUUAAUUUCUUGCUAAUUUUAACUUUUUAUAUUUUUAUUUUCAUUUUUAUCCUUUUAAAUCUUGCUUUUGGCACUAUUUUAAAUAAAAAAUAUUAAUGUUUUUUUAUUCGGUUUCGAUAAAAAAAAAAAAAUCGAAUCAGAACCUGAAAAUCGAAUUAAACUAAUUUUUUUGAAACAGGUUUGAUUCUGCCCAACCCCGAUGCUUAAUCAUAUAUAUUUUUUUCUUUUUAUAAUAUUUGGCCCUCAAAAGGAUUUUGUACUUUUUUUUUGUCAUUUCACGCCUACAACUAUCCCCGAUUAAUUGAUUAGCAUAUUUUUUAAUAAUAAUUUUCAGAAAGAAUAUGUCACAAGACUUAGUUUUCUCUUAAAUCUAGAGUAUUCUUGACGAAUUUUGUAUACAACAAAUAUGAAAAAAAUGAAGUUUGUGGAUUUCAAGUCUACAACAUUAUAGUACAAUGAUAUAUUUAUAAAGCCGGAAUUUAUUAUCUUGUUUAUUUUUUAUCAUGCAACUGUUAAAUGGAAUGUUUGUUUGUCAAUAGUUGCACUACACUUACAAAUAUAUUGGAAUAAUCAUAAUAUCCCCUAAUUAAACUCCAUCAUAUAUUUAAUUUUGUAUUUUAUAUCCAAUCUAAUCCAAUGACUGAUUGAAAUCCAAUAUAAUCCACACUAAUAAAAAAUCAAAUCGAAUCAAACCAGUCAUAAUAAAAAUCUACAAAUAAAAAUCGUUAAUUGCUAUCUAGAGUUCUAAUUACUCUCUCUCUCUCACACACACACAUCAAUUCCUUUAAUAUUUUAUCAUUCGUGCUUUUUACUAUCAGGGUCCAUGUAGUUGAAAAAAAAGAACAAUUGAAAUUUGAAUAUUAAAAUCAAAUACUCGUUGCAUCUUGCAGUUUGUUCCCUGUAUUAUUAUUGUACAUUUAUAGUCAAACAAAUUCUUUUUUUUUAAUAAGUUAAAUAUAAAAGUGACACAUAACUUUGUAAAAAAAUUAAUUAAUUUGGAUUGUAUCCAUUUGUUAAUUGGAUUGGAUUGAAUUGUAAAAUCUCCAACUUACAACUUCCAACCUUUUGCGUUAAUAAUGAUCCAUUCUUAUUUCAUUACUAAAGCUUGAGGAGGGUUCAGUUUCUUGUGUGAUUUAUGAGAGUAACUUUUUUUUUAUUCUAUAAAAGAGUAGAAUUUCGAUUGUACUGCAUCAAUACGGAUUUCCACGAACAUCAGAGUAGAUUUUUUAAGUCUCCUCUUUCGUUUCUAUCCACAAGUUUGUAACGUACUGCGUAAUAUACUAAUAUUUAUGAAAAAAAUUGAAUGCAAGUAUACUUUCUGAACUCUGAAUUGAAGUACAUUUGAAAAUAAUAUUAAUAAAAAAUUGAAACUUUUAUUAAAAAAAUAUAUAUUGUUGAUUGACUUGAUUCCUUUCUUUCCAUAGAAGAAACUAAACAAAGGAAAAGGAAUCGUUUCCCCUCUUUAUUUCCUUAAUAACCAAGAAUCUCAACAAUCCCAAAACAUUCACUCAAAGACUCACCUGAAUUGCCACUUAUGUUUUAAUCUAGUAGUGAAUCAUUAUUUUCAAAGUUAAAAAAUAUUAUGAGGAUAGUGGUUCAAGUUUUCAUAUGCACAACCUCUUUCAAUUAAAUAAAAAAUUGUAUGAAAUUAAUUUAUAAAUUUUUUUUAUUUACGAAAUACAAGUGGAGUAGAGACAUCUCUCGUCUGUGAGGGUCAUAUGUGGGUAUGUACUUUAUAAAAUUAAUAUAAUAAUGUGAAUCACAAAUUAUAUAUUUAAUUAUAAAUAUUAGUGUAAUAUCUACUCUAAUAAUAAUUGUAAAUAUUUAUGUAAUAUAAUAAUAUGUAGUGUCAUCCAUAUUAAAAAAAAAAAAAGACUAAGCUGAAUUGAAUUUUUAACAACGUAAUUAUUAAAAAAAAAAACAGAACCUUAAAUCCCUCUACGAGUGGCUAAUCUAUUUUAGCUUUAGGACACGUGCGGUGUCGGGAAAGUGAACACGCGUGAUCAUGACGUGGCGUGCGCCUCCUCCCGCACCUUACGUAUAUGUCCUCAACAAAUCAAAAAUCACAUAAAGAACAGAACCGCUUGAGCGCUUCCAUGUUCUAUAUCUGUUCCUUGGCUGGCUGUUAAAUAAAAUAAUUUUAAUUCUUCAUAAAUCUUCCGAUUAAAACAUAAAAUUUGCGAAAUUAAUAAAUUUCAGAGAUUGAAAAAAAAGGAAAAAAAAAGAGAGACAAAAGUGUGUUUGAUUGAUGGACGUGGCAAUGCCGGUGGUUGCUUCCAAUUGGUGGCACGACGUUAACGAAUCACCGCUCUGGCAGGAUCGCAUCUUUCACGUACUCGCCGCCCUCUACGGCCUCGUCGCUGCCGUCGCUCUGGUACUUAUCCAACCCCCGGCGUUUUAUAUAAUUAUUAGGUUUUUUUAAGAUUCAAAAUUAGCUGAAACUUUUAUUAAUUAUUAACUUAGGGUUACCUUUUAAUUAGGUUCAAUUGAUUCGAAUACAAUUAAGAGUUCCAGAGUACGGCUGGACCACGCAGAAAGUCUUCCAUUUUCUUAAUUUCAUCGUCAUUUAUGAAAAAAAUUGAAUGCAAGUAUACUUUCUGAACUCUGAAUUGAAGUACAUUUGAAAAUAAUAUUAAUAAAAAAUUGAAACUUUUAUUAAAAAAAUAUAUAUUGUUGAUUGACUUGAUUCCUUUCUUUCCAUAGAAGAAACUAAACAAAGGAAAAGGAAUCGUUUCCCCUCUUUAUUUCCUUAAUAACCAAGAAUCUCAACAAUCCCAAAACAUUCACUCAAAGACUCACCUGAAUUGCCACUUAUGUUUUAAUCUAGUAGUGAAUCAUUAUUUUCAAAGUUAAAAAAUAUUAUGAGGAUAGUGGUUCAAGUUUUCAUAUGCACAACCUCUUUCAAUUAAAUAAAAAAUUGUAUGAAAUUAAUUUAUAAAUUUUUUUUAUUUACGAAAUACAAGUGGAGUAGAGACAUCUCUCGUCUGUGAGGGUCAUAUGUGGGUAUGUACUUUAUAAAAUUAAUAUAAUAAUGUGAAUCACAAAUUAUAUAUUUAAUUAUAAAUAUUAGUGUAAUAUCUACUCUAAUAAUAAUUGUAAAUAUUUAUGUAAUAUAAUAAUAUGUAGUGUCAUCCAUAUUAAAAAAAAAAAAAGACUAAGCUGAAUUGAAUUUUUAACAACGUAAUUAUUAAAAAAAAAAACAGAACCUUAAAUCCCUCUACGAGUGGCUAAUCUAUUUUAGCUUUAGGACACGUGCGGUGUCGGGAAAGUGAACACGCGUGAUCAUGACGUGGCGUGCGCCUCCUCCCGCACCUUACGUAUAUGUCCUCAACAAAUCAAAAAUCACAUAAAGAACAGAACCGCUUGAGCGCUUCCAUGUUCUAUAUCUGUUCCUUGGCUGGCUGUUAAAUAAAAUAAUUUUAAUUCUUCAUAAAUCUUCCGAUUAAAACAUAAAAUUUGCGAAAUUAAUAAAUUUCAGAGAUUGAAAAAAAAGGAAAAAAAAAGAGAGACAAAAGUGUGUUUGAUUGAUGGACGUGGCAAUGCCGGUGGUUGCUUCCAAUUGGUGGCACGACGUUAACGAAUCACCGCUCUGGCAGGAUCGCAUCUUUCACGUACUCGCCGCCCUCUACGGCCUCGUCGCUGCCGUCGCUCUGGUACUUAUCCAACCCCCGGCGUUUUAUAUAAUUAUUAGGUUUUUUUAAGAUUCAAAAUUAGCUGAAACUUUUAUUAAUUAUUAACUUAGGGUUACCUUUUAAUUAGGUUCAAUUGAUUCGAAUACAAUUAAGAGUUCCAGAGUACGGCUGGACCACGCAGAAAGUCUUCCAUUUUCUUAAUUUCAUCGUCAAUGCUGGUUCGUAUUUUAUUUAUUCACUUUUUUUUUUUUUAAAUUUAAUUCGUUAUGAUUUUUUUUUAAUUUUUGUUUUAUUGGCAGUUCGAUGUGUAGUUUUUGUGUUUCGGCGGGAUGUGCAGAAGUUACAACCAGAUGUAUGUUUGUGUUUUUAGUUAAUGUGUAUCGUUACUUUAUUUUACCUUAUUAGUCUCUAACUCUUGUUCUGUUGAUUGAUUACCUGCUGUUUUAGAUUGUCCGACAUAUAGUGCUUGAUAUGCCAAGUCUUGCCUUCUUCACGACGUAUGCUCUUCUCGUUUUGUUCUGGGCUGAAAUUUACUAUCAGGUUCGGAUUCUUUUUUUCUUUUUUUUUUAUGGGGCUUUUUUAUAGAUAUUUUGCUGCACUCUGAAUCAGUUGCUUUAUUUCAAUUUUGAUAUGUUUUUUAAACAGGCUCGAGCAGUAUCUACUGAUGGGCUGAGGCCGAGUUUCUUUACUGUUAAUGCAGUGGUUUAUAUUGUUCAGGUGAAAUUUCUCGUUCUUUGUCUCAGUCCAAGUCCAAGAAAAAAAUGGAAAGACACGAGCUGGAUUCAUUCCUUCUACAUGGCUGCUAGUCUUGUUUUAUGAAAAAAAAAAAGGCUUUUCUUUCCUGUUUCUCUAAUUUGAUAAUUGCCAAAUCAUUGAGGAUGCGUUAUAGAAUAGUGGAUUGGAAGUUUUGACGAAUGAAUUACUAUCCUCGAAAGAGAAAUAAUUUUAAAAUUGUCAUUUAGUGAAUUUGUAAACAGUGUAAUAAUACACUUUUGUUGAAUCUUUUGUAUUAAGCUUAUUUAUAAAUCUUGAGCGUGUGAUUUAUUUCUUUCUGUUCUUUUUAUGGAAAUACAGCUUAUCAAUUGUCAUACCAUUGGUUGAAGACUUAGGAAUUUUCAGUGACAAGUAGAUAUCAAAUUUAGGAUUUUUAGUUAAAUAUUUUGAUUCAAGUGCUAAAGUUGUAGAUGACAUAGGGUUUUAAAUCAUUGAAUUGACUGGAAGUACCUACAAAAUGAAGAUAGGACCUAUUUUGGGCAGGUCAGCUGUUACGUAUGAAGAAGUUGGCAACUUGGAGAUAAUUUAAAAGGAACGAACAUCUAUGUGAUGACAUGCUCUGUGCAUGCUAUCUACGGGAUCCUAUUGUCUUUUUCAACUCUCACUUUUCUCUUAUUUACCUAUUUAUUUUAAGGGCAUCAUGCAAAAAUUGUAGAAUAUGAUAGAUGGUAUUUUUCUUUUUUAAGAAUAGUAGAUAACAAGUUUGUAAAAUUUUAUGUUACAACUUUCUUUGCUGGGAACACCGUACAUGACAUUAAUAUGAUUGUAAACCUAGCGGUUAAUCCUACUCCAACUGGGUUUACAUGACGCAGAGUUUGGGUUUUCCUUUGGGUUGAUGGUAGAAAAAUUGACAGAUGGGUCAUACAUCCUGCUAGGCUAUAGGAUAUGAUGACUAAGGUCUAUUAACAUAUGUUUAUGAAGAGAUAGAUUUGAGGUUUAAGAAUGUUUCUAAAAUUUAGGUUCCCUAGAUCAUUUUCUAUGAUGUUAAUAGGUUUGUUUAUGCUGUUUUUGAAAUAAAUUUUUUCUUAGUAUGAUUGUUUUGAUUUUUUGUUUAAUAUCCUUCUUUCUUUCACUCAAUUGGUUUCAGAUUGCUCUGUGGUUGGUCUUAUGCUGGAAGCCUAUCCCAGUUAUUAUAAUCCUAUCUAAAAUGUUCUUUGCAGGUAAUUUCAUCGCCCUACAUUUACUAAACUGUACAUAUUGUGUAUUAUUUGAUUGUUGCAUUGAUAAACUUCCUCUCAAUGUCUAUAUGCCUGCAGCUGUAUCUUUGUUUGCUGCCCUUGGGUUUCUACUUUAUGGUGGAAGGUAAUUAUGUUUAAUUUUGGUGUUAGCUACGUUUGUUUAAAUGGUUGAAUGACAUGAGUGACAAUAUGGUUGUGGCAUCUAUAUAGGUAUUAGCAUUUUAUAAUUAUCAUAAUGUUGUGAACGAUUUUUAUAAAGUAUCAAAUGUCCUUAAUCUUAUUCCAUAUUUUCAGGACUUCACUCAGUUAAUUACAUCGACACAAUUACUUUUUCUGCAGAAAUACCAACAGCAUAUUCUAGUUUCUUGUCCAUAAAGUCAUGUCAAUUACUCUCUCUCUCAAACACAUGCGCACGCACGCACGCACAGAGUAACACAUGCACAUAUGUGUUUAUAUUAUUUCAUUGAUGGCGCACAUGUGAUCCUAAUUUGAUUAAUAUAGGUAAUAAGUCAUAAAUUGUACGACUUUAUUUGUCCAAGACAAUAAGAACAGAUUGCAUGUAGCAAUCACAUAAGAGUAAAAUGAUCUUCUUUGUGUUCCCAAAAAUGUUUUAAAAAAAAAAAUGAAAUGGUUAUUGAAUAUUAAUCCGUGAGUAACACAUUUUAAGCAAUUCAUGAACUAUUUUGUAAAUUAAUUUAUUAUUACAUAAAUUACAGAACUAUAGACCAAGAAGGGAAGAAUAAUAUUGGCUUCGUUGAGUUUCUGUGUAAUUGAUUAUGGAGCUUUGUCAAAUUAAUAUCUUACUAAGUAUCUAUAUUAUAGUCAACAACUCAACCCUUCUAGUCAGAUAUUCUGAUCCAUAUGUGAUGCACAGAAGAAAUUUUAGUGUUGAUGAAAUAUCUAGCAUUGUGUUUUAAUGAAAUGUCUACUAAAAUAUCUUUAUUGGGUCCAUUAUUAAUCUUCAAUCCUACAUUGUAGAGAAUGAUCCUAUUGAAGCAAUGAUGAAUCCCAACUUUGAAUGGGAUUAAUUUACUCUAUGUCAUCCUUCAUUGUCCCCUGGACACUACUUUGUUUCUGACAUAUGUCACUACUUAUCCUUCUUGUUUGCUUUACUUGCUGGACAAAUGCAGCCUUUAGAAUCCAGACAAGAAGUUGUGUUUUUAGCAAUUUGCAAUGUGGUUCAUAAAUCAUAGGGUUCCUUAUCUAGAGUUGAGCUCCUAAAGUUUUUUAUUCCUGGCUAAUGAACUUUUGUGUUUAAUGAAUCAAUGGUGCUUCCUAACAAAAAAUAAAAAAAUUGGCAGUAGUAUUAUUUUGUUUAUCGUUCAUUAUUGUGUAGUUCUUUUAAUCUCAACUCUAUCCUACGGUAUUGUUAUUUGGUGGUGGUGAUGAGAUGAUGUUCUGUUUAAUGAAUGUGGCAUACAGUAUAGCUCUGGCCUAUUCAUUCUUUUUCCUUUCUUUUGGUGAAGGGAUGAGCAAUCACCUCAUGUUUUGUCCUUGCGCUGUCUUCAUGCAGGCUGUUCUUAAUGUUGCAGCGUUUCCCUGUAGAAUCCAAAGGUCGGCGUAAGAAGUUGCAAGAGGUAAUCAUUUCUUUUGGUAUUUAAUCUUAUUGAUAAACGUCCAUCAUUUUAUUUUACAAGUUUUUUACAAAGUUUUACUUCUGUUCAUGGUUUGGCAGGUUGGUUAUGUGACCACCAUAUGUUUCACAUGCUUUCUUGUCAGAUGUAUUAUGGUGAGUUCUGUAUUUCAUCUCUCAUUACACUAUUAUGCUUAACUUGGGAGCUUCAUGUCUUUGAACAACAUAACAAUGAUGGAUAGUUAGGAUCAUUAACAAGUAAAACCAUUCCUAGUUGUCGAUUCAUAUGGAAACAUUGGCACAGGUAUUGCUUUUUGAUAUCUGUUUCCGGGUUCAUCUUACGUUUAGCUCUUUUUCUUGUUUCGUUUGUUGUAGAUGUGCUUCAAUGCAUUUGACAAAGCUGCAGACCUUGAUGUUUUGGAUCAUCCAGUUCUGAACUUCAUAUAUUACCUGGUAUGUUUUGGCUUCUGUAUGCAGUGUAAUUGCAUGGUCAGGUAUCAAGUGACAUUUUUUGGGCAUGCGUAUUAAAUAUUUAGUCUGCAGGGGUUGCUUAGUUUAUUUUUUUUGUUUCCCCUUCUCUCUCUUCAAAGGAUGUAUUCCGUUUGUACAAUGCUCUGUUUUUGCUGGGGUAAUAAGAUGCAACUUUGUGAUGAGAAAUAUUUGUCUUUUGUGUUAAUGAAGGUGAUGUUGCUUAUGAUCUGACAUGCUGAUUUAUAAUGCUACUAUGUAUUGAAAUUUAUGUUUACUUGUGUAGAUGCAUUUUCUGCUUAGAUAUUUUGCAUGUAAGUGUUUUCAUUCUUAAUGUUCAUACCAUGUCACCAACACUUCCUCUCUUUGCAGUUGGUGGAGAUACUACCUUCUACGUUGGUCCUUUUCAUUUUGAGGAAGUUGCCUCCCAAACGUGGUAUCACUCAAUAUCAUCCUAUACGGUGACGGGUCUGGAGAUACUUGAUAGACACAGACAAAGGCAUACCUAGAGAAAAAGAGCAAACGUUCUUUAACUCACAGAAGAUAAGAUACAAGAGGGGAGUCAAAAAAAGAUGCCUAUUGUGUUUAGAGUUCACAGAUUCACAAAUCAAGGGAGCUCGCUUGUCUGUGGAAACGAAAAUGAUGUUGUAAGGAUUGUGAAAUGUUUUGUUUGUGAUUUUGUCAUUGUAUUUCUUGCAACUGAAGUCGAUGCUUUCUUAAGAGAAAGGGUUAAUACUGUGUCUUGUACGUGUCCCAUUGUUUUUCCUUUCUGCUCUCGUUUCAAUAGGUUUUAUUGUUCGAUUUGCAGAGAAAAAUGUUUUUUGAGUUUGUGGUAGAUCCAUGCGGUCAAACAAAUUCACAGAUAGAGGUUUUGAGUUUAUAUAUUCAAGACCUGAGAAAACACACCUGUUGCAAGAAUUGCAAGCCCUUGGUCGGUAGUUUUACACGGAGGCUGAAAAAUCUUCUUGAAGGCUAUUUCUUUGUUCCUCGUUCAAUAGCGCCACAUGUUGUCUAUGAAUAAAACCAAUAAGGGCAAUAAGCAAUGAACUCACGACAUGAAAAACAAAUUUGAAGAAGUAUUUCAGUUUAUCAUUUACAGAAAACUACCUGUGAUUCUCUUUAAGUAUGAGUUGUGAUGCGAGAGCACGGUUCGAGCAGAAAAUUAUCUGAUGAAAUUUCAUGAUCGGUUUGGUGUCGGUGUGUAUGCUCUCCAGUUUCGAAAGCUGGAUAAAUAUUUCAAUAGCUAUUGUUUUAGUGUUGUUAAAAGGAAGGAGAAAGCAGAAUGAAUCUUAUUAGGAAAACAGGAUUGGUAGGAAAGGUAAGUUUUGACUGGCAGAUGGCUUGCCAUACUUAACGAACUCUGCAAAUUUGAAUGGUAGGUUUUAUUUGGUAUAAUUUACGAAGGAAGUUUGAAAUGCAUGUUAUGAGUUUGGCUUUAUAACUUGGGAAGAGUUGGACAAAUUCCUCAAUUGAGCCAAUUCGGAGACUCAAGCCUUCUAGCUUCUACCUCUUAAAUUAGUAAGGGAAAUUUGUUAGUAAUUCACUGAGUUUGUUGCUUCGUGUUGGCAUACGCAUAUUUGAAGUUAGAGAAUAAGAUUCUCCCCGCUUUGAACUUUUUAUCUUUGAGAUAAGGGAUUUGAUUAUAAUAAAUUAACAUAAAUCUUUAAAACAAUACAUCUCUGGCCAAUUUUCUUACCGAGAUGUAUUUUUUAUUUCACUAUUUCAUUUUACUACAUUACAAACAUAUGCUUCAACCACACAACACUUCCUAGACAGACCGACAAGUUAAUCAAACUGUAAAAAGGCUAAAACCAACUUAUUAUUUGAGUGGAAAUGACUCCUAAUCCAAACAAAAUGCUGUUUCAAAUUAAGCAACUAAGCUAGCACAUGCAACUCCAUAAAGCAAUCUGAUCAUUAAUUAAUCAUCACGGCCAGUUAGUGCUGAAAAAUGGUCUCUUUGCUUUCUUUGUUGAAUAAGUCAUGGCAUAGAGUGGAGAAGGGGCUGGAGCUUCUACAGCCUGAGGCAGCACAGUAAUGACAAGCUUUUGGCCGUAAUUGCAGUGGUUGCGAACACCGCAUAUGUACCAUUUUCUUCCUGGUGUUGCCAAAACAAUCACAUCGUUUCCGGUGGUUAACGCCUCCCUUAAUGGUGGCUUUUGGCAGUUUUGGAAGGCGGUUCCGUUCACUUUGAACACAUUGUGGGCUCCCACGGGAUACUGGAAAACUGCAUGCAUUAUACACAUACAAAUUCAUAUUAAUCAGACUGCACAUUAACAGUCAUUGUAUGCUUUGGAAAUAUAUAAAUGCUUGUGGAGUCCUAUUUUAGACCACAAUAACUAGCCAUAUACAUAUCUCCGUUCUCGCUCAUAUGGGCGCAUUUUCAAAAUGUGCGGACUUGAGCACCUUGAAACUUUCGUACGAAAGCAUAUCCAAUGGUGUAUUGCUCAAAAUUCGUAUUUCAUAACACUUGAAACAACUAUUUUAUAUAUAAUACUCGAGCAAACUAAUGUGUUGCACUUAAAUAAAACUGAGGUGUUUAGAAAUUUAUGUAAGAUGUAACGUAGAGAAAUUUAAAAUGUAAGAGUCAUGUAGAAAAUUCAUAAAAUGUGAAUUAAUAAACUAAUUUAAUUAGUUGUUUACCGAGUUUGUCUCCAACGUGAAAGACCUUCCCCUUAGCCCAAGCUUGGUAAUCAAACCCUACUGUCCAUCCCGAGUCAUCACCAACAAUGAACUUAGUAGCAGAAGUGGCCGUUGAAGCAAAUGCGGCAAUGGCCAAAAGCAAAACAAAUACGCGACCGAAAGCCAUAGAUAGAGGCAGUACCGUCACAAACAAGCUAUAACUUAAUCUAACGAAUUAUUAUAGCUCUGUGAUUUUGUAAUUUGCAGGGCUUGAUGAAUAUUCAUGGCUACCAAAGUGUGUUAUUUAUAAUGUCUAGGGUGGCACUGGCACAAUAUGUUUGUUUAAUACUUGAGAACGAGUCGCCGCCGGCCGAGGACGGCACGGCCGUUCCACGAGAAUAUAAAGGACUAACAAGUAGUAACACAUGCAGAUGAAAUAAUUUGGCUAGAUAGCAAUUUUAUUGAAGGCUCGGAGAUGAUUACAAAAUCAAACUUUGGUGUUUUUGAGGCAUGCCUUUAAUUUCUGACAUAAUUUAUAGUCAACUAGAAUAUGUAAUUAAUAAAUGAAAUAAUCGACUGAUGUAUACGUAUAAAUAUUAUAUGUCUGAUGGUUGAAUGGGUCUCGACUCUGGAGUUAAAUAAAAUCUUUUUCAUAUACACAUUGAUAUUGGCUUCUGAUGGCCGACAGUAUUCAAUGAAUAGGGGUCUUAAUUAUCUAAUAAUUUCGAUGUUACAUGUAACAGUAAACUCAUGCUUUUCCAACAAUUUUUUUUUUUUGUUAAUUCAAAAUCAUAAAAUGAAAGACGAUCCAAAUAUAAAUUUUAUAUACAAAAUCAUAGAAUGAAACAUGAUUUUUCCCCACAAUUAGCCCCAACUUUUAAUCCCUCGAGUUAAUUAAUUCCUCUUCUUACGAUUACUCUGAACAUUGGCGGUACUAAUUCCGCUAGCUGCUCCCCAGGGUGCAGUGACUAUAAAAACCGAUGUGUUAUACACACAAAAUUACUUACUCUACACAUUAUCUGGAAUCCUCUCCACAGAACAACUGACCUUCCAAACAUCAGAUGAAGGCACAAUUCGUGUUGAAGAUGCCGUUUUCAUAUGUGUUUUCUGGGAUUUUUUGUCUCGGAUUAGUUCAGCUUCAUGUAGAGUAUCUUAUCUGGUGUCACAACUGAACUCCUCGUUCUCCUAUUGCAUUGGAAGCUAGUACGAUCCAUUGGUGUCUUUCAAGCUAAAUUUAUCCGAUGCAAGUGUCCCACAUGCUUCUUGAUAAAUGCAUGGUUCGUUAGGACGGAAUAGAGUUUUCUCCUCGUCUGAAAUCUACUAAGUUUUUUAAGAUAUUUUAUUAUGUAUCUUUUAGUGGUAGUGUAAGAGUAAGAUUUAACUUCUUUAUUUAUUUUUAUUAAAUAUCAAUUAGCACUUAAGCUAUUUGCUUAGAACAUAAUCAGAUCAGAAGAAAAUCCUGAUCUCGCCGGAAAAUUUGUAGAGACUCCUAUCACCGCCGUCACUUUUUCGUAGACCGUUGCAUGCAAGUGAAUGCUGGCACAACAACUUCUUGUAGCUCCUUGACUCUGAAGGGUUAAGAAUGUGUGUAGAUAUCAGAUAGAUAAAUUGCAUAUGGCAUUGGUUAACAAGGCAAAUUUUGCUGCCAAAAUAUAUAGCUCGUCGCCCAUAUAAUCAAAAGAUGCAUAAACUAGACGGGGGGCCGGAUCGGGCCCCCUAUAUGUGAAGAAAACCAGUAGUACAUUACUCAAAUGAGGAAGGUUGAUAUUAGGAAGAGGAAAAAUUUGAAGCCAUUUUUGAAGGGAAUGAGUAAGAAGCUGAAUGGAGAAAUCAUGUACAUUCACUAGCUUGAUUUAUAGGUGAAAUUUUCUGUACCCACGAAAGGGCACGAGAAUUGAAUUUACAAAGUUAGCUAGGUUGUUGGUUAGGUCAUGAAAAUGCAGUUGAUUAAAUCAUGGACAGUGUGAAGUAACAGAACCUAUCGGCUCAAAAUUCGUUGGUUAACUAAAUAUAGUUGAUUAAAUCAUGAAUUGGUAUAAAUAUUAACAGUUAACUGUGAUCACCUAUUUAAUUUAAUGGUAAUAUUGUUCUUAAAUAUUUAUUUUAAUGUCAACAUGAAUGUUCUGUCAUGUUUGAUGAACACACCUAUUUAAUAUUUUAAUGGCAAUAUAAAUGUUUGAUGUCAUGUCACUUAUUAUUUUUAAGAGAAAUUAUCAUUUGUAUAUCAUAUAUUUAGUUGGGGAUGAAAUGGAUGGACAACAGGUGUCCGAUUACCAAUUUGGAUUUGUUAUUCAUACAUUUUAUUUUUGACAACUACACACAUUUAUAUAGACGAAUAUUAUUAUAUUAAUCAGAGGAAAUCAUAGAACUUGAGAUUUUCAUCUAAUAUUUGGCGAUGGUAAUAUCUAUGCGUAUGUUGUUGAAUGGGUUGUAUGUGUGCUACCUCGGAUGUACAGAUUUUAAGUAAAUUUCUCAUAAUUUUUCCGAAAUUUGUACUCAGUACCCACUUAGAAGAUUAAUAAAUUACAAGGGAUCAGCAAAUUUGAAAAGGCACGCAGAGGGCCAACGAGUCCUCGGUUUAAAUCAGUGAUUGCCGCUGUCAUGCAUGUACCAAGCAUUCGUUACAUCAAACCAUGAUAAUCAACGUCAGUUUUGUUGGUUUGUCAAGUUUAGAUUUCUAUUAUUCAUUUUAUAAUCAAGUAAUUUGUUAAUUUACAUUUACUUAUGAAAUGACAUUAGUUAUUUGUUGUUUUUAUAUUUAUAUUUAUAUUUUUGUUUUUAUUUUUUGAAUGCCUAUAAAGGUUGAGAUUAAUAACAUAGCAAAUUAGUGAAUUAUAACCAAAGAAGCAAGUAAGUACUUGGACGUGGACUUGGAAUCCUCCUAUAAAUGCUAUGGAUCGUGAUUCACUCGCGAUCUAAUUUUAAACUGAGCAAAUAUUCAACUGAUGAUUGGUGUGGUUAACAAAUAAAAAGAAAAAUAAAAAAAUUAAACCAUACUCGUAAGUCGUACCCUAUUAUUAAAAAAAGAGAAAUUAUCAUUCAUAUACCCUAUAUUUACUCUGUUAUUAAAAAUACUACAACAUUUUGAGGGUGUAUCAAUCGUCCACCCUAAGUUGACAAAAUGUAUCAGCUGACCACCAAACCGUUAGUUGCCGUUUAAGUAUGAUGACGUCAGAAGGGUAAUUUGAUCUUUUCAUAUGAUACACGUAAUAAUUUAAGGGUAUACAAGUGAUAAAAAGAGAAUUUAAGGGUAUACAAGUGAUAAUUUUCAAGGGUAAAAUCGUCAAUUCACUGUAAUUCCGAUAACUUUCAAACGGCAACUAACGGUUUGGUGGUCGGCUGAUACAUUUUGUCAACUAAGGGUGGACGAUUGAUACACCCUCAAAAUGUUGUAGUAUUUUUAAUAACAGAGUAAAUAUAGGGUAUAUGAAUGAUAAUUUCUCUUUUUUUAAUAAUAGGGUACGACUUACGAGUAUGGUUUAAUUUUUUUAUUUUUCUUUUUAUUUGUUAACCACACCAAUCAUCAGUUGAAUAUUUGCUCAGUUUAAAAUUAGAUCGCGAGUGAAUCACGAUCCAUAGCAUUUAUAGGAGGAUUCCAAGUCCACGUCCAAGUACUUACUUGCUUCUUUGGUUAUAAUUCACUAAUUUGCUAUGUUAUUAAUCUCAACCUUUAUAGGCAUUCAAAAAAUAAAAACAAAAAUAUAAAUAUAAAUAUAAAAACAACAAAUAACUAAUGUCAUUUCAUAAGUAAAUGUAAAUUAACAAAUUACUUGAUUAUAAAAUGAAUAAUAGAAAUCUAAACUUGACAAACCAACAAAACUGACGUUGAUUAUCAUGGUUUGAUGUAACGAAUGCUUGGUACAUGCAUGACAGCGGCAAUCACUGAUUUAAACCGAGGACUCGUUGGCCCUCUGCGUGCCUUUUCAAAUUUGCUGAUCCCUUGUAAUUUAUUAAUCUUCUAAGUGGGUACUGAGUACAAAUUUCGGAAAAAUUAUGAGAAAUUUACUUAAAAUCUGUACAUCCGAGGUAGCACACAUACAACCCAUUCAACAACAUACGCAUAGAUAUUACCAUCGCCAAAUAUUAGAUGAAAAUCUCAAGUUCUAUGAUUUCCUCUGAUUAAUAUAAUAAUAUUCGUCUAUAUAAAUGUGUGUAGUUGUCAAAAAUAAAAUGUAUGAAUAACAAAUCCAAAUUGGUAAUCGGACACCUGUUGUCCAUCCAUUUCAUCCCCAACCACGGACUCUUUUGCCAGUGUCAUGGCACGAAUGAUGGAUGGUAGAAAUGAAUGCAAGGAUUAUGAAAGAGCGAUGUAGAGCCAUUAGAUAUUGUCAAUACGUAUGUAAUUAACUAACUUGAUCAAGUUUUAAUGCUGGCUAUGAGACUUAGCAGCCAAGGGCGGCAUAGCCGAAUAAAGAGGAGAAUCACACCAAGUGGAAAUGAUUUUAAUUUACAUUGAUACAGAUAUAGAACCUGGUCAACAAAGAUUGGAGAUAUAUACAUAGUUUACAUUAAGCAGCAAUCACAUAUUUUCUUUUAUUUUUAGUGCCUUACUUAGGAAAUACGGGGAACCUUAACUUGUAGGAAAUUUAUAGAGGUUUGGAUUGUGAGUGCGGGGAUCGAACUAGCUUACAACAAAUGGGUUAAAAAUAUUUUUGGAUUAAUGUUACCUAUAAGUAUUUAUUAAAUAUUUUAGAGUAAGAAUUAAGGACGGAGGUCGUUAAAGACAAAUGGUAAAUGGGAAUCAAAUAUUAUAUUUCUGUUAAAUUUAAAAAAAAAAUCAAUUCAUUAAUUAACAUGGAUCCAACUAAGCUUCUUUUCCAUGACUCUAGACUCUCUAGUGUAAUAAGCUUUGCCCUUUGCCCUUUCAAAGAUUAAAUAAUUCUAUUAAAAGUUGUUUAAAUCAACCCCUCUAAUAUUACCAUCCACACAGGCAGCCGCGUUCUGCGCUGUUAGCUGAAAAUGAUGCGGAAGUCAAAUGAAAUGAAGUGCAUGACUUUUUGAAUUCAUUUCUAACCAAAGUAGGUAAAAUUUACAAUUUGGAUUGGUUCUUUCAUUAAAUUGCAGUACGAGAUUUAAGUUUCCGUAAUCAAUCAAUCAACUCGAACAUUUUCACAAGCUCUUUCUGAUCUGAUGGUGCGUCGAGGACAAUACUGCUGAGACUAGCAGAAGGACAAACUUAAACCACAAAGCUUUGCCUUGGGGCAUUAAAUAGCAAGCAACUCAAUGCAAUGAAUACUUGGUACUCACAUAAGAACUCCUUCAGUGUUACUGAGGGCUUUCUUUGCAAUCUUGAAUUUAUUAGCAAUCUUUUUGUUGGUUUUCACAACAUACUGCUUUAAGAAAAACUCGAUGCCACUUACAAGUGUUUCGAGCUCAGGGGAGACAGCUAUACGUGUGAACAUAUUCCAUAUGACAUUGUCAGGAUACUCAAAGACGGCCUCAAAUAGCAUCCUGAAAUGCAUAAUCCUCUUAGGAGUGAGCAGAUUGGGGUCGCUGAAGUCUAUAGUUUUCAAGACUGCAAGGGAGAGAGUAAACGCGGUCACCAUCUCAGCCACAAAUUUUGCUAGGUGCAUUGAUCUUAUAAGCUGCAUAGUCUCGAGCUCCUUAAAGUGGUCCCAGAGGCAAAACUGGAAACAUACCAAACAAAAGAUAAGAAAAAUAUCCAAAGAUAGUGAUGCAGUAACUUGAAGUCAUUUGAGAGAGUUUUACCUGUAAAGUAAACUUAUGGUUCUUGUCAUGCUCACACAACUUGGAAGCUAGUAUAGUGUAAUAUUUGUUAAACACUCUCUCUUGUAAACAACACUCCACAAGGACCCGUAUAAUCUCUCGGUCCUGUAGAAACAGGAGAUAUAAACAUUAUGGGUUAAGUAAAUGAGUUGAUAAGAAUGAAGAGGAAAAAAUAAAUAAAUAUAAGAUUUGCCUACCUGUUUUGCAGGCAAAUCCAGCCUUAGAAGCUUCUCAAAAGCAUCAAUGUAGUCGUCUCCACUCAUAAUUAUACAAAAUAUUGCUCUUCUAGCAUCAGUAUUCAUUCUUUGUGCAGCAGCAAGCUGCAGCAUUUUCUGUGCUUCAAGAACCUCUCUAUCAAUUGUGCUAGCAACCAAUUCCACAUUUUCUGUUUUGACAGCCAUGUCACCAGACAGCCACCACUGACCCUUCUUGUUAGGGUCAAGAAGCUUAUCCCACUUAAGUCCUCUUAUUAAAAUGUCUCCAACUCGUAACUGUAAAUAUCAAGACAAUAGAAUACAGAAUUAUAGAAAACAGACAACCUCAUCCAGAGAAGUUCAAUGAACAUUUAAUAUUUUUGACACAAUUUUCUCUCACUGAUGAUAGAAACCCCACAGCACAUGCACUGGGAUAAAAACUAAUGAGAUGUUCGAUCCCCACUAAGGUGGUCACCUAGCCAUAGCUGCUUCUUCAUCCCAAGGCAAAAGUAAGAGGUUCAAUGCAAGGCCCCCUUCUCCUCCCCAAGGCAAAGGGGGGGAGGGGAGAUUUAAUACUAAACAAAAGAACAGUGGAAAGGGAAAAAGAAUUCCAAAAUAGCAAAUACCUUUUGUAGCCAUUUCUUUAUCCGCACGUGUUGUACGGUGUCCUCUUUUGGCCUUUUCUUGUUAUUUUUUAUGUCCAAUAUGGUUUCAAGCAUGAACUCCAUCUGCAAAAAUUGCCUUGCAAGAUACAAAUCACAAGCAAAAAGUAGUAAACAAAAGUUUUACGAUAUAAACUUUGUAAAUAUCUCACCCUUUUGCCAUUUAUGCUUUCCUGGCUAUCUCCAGAAGAAGCCUUCAACUCGUUCACCCUAUUCUGAACGCCAAGAAUAAAAUCUUUCAUGGCAGCAGGAUCAUCGGCCCUUAUUUUCAUCCCACAGCCUUUUCAAUCAAUGGCAGUUCAUAUUAAACAUGAUAUUUUUGAUUCACUGGUUGUGAUAAAUUUGUACGCACACAAGCCAAUGCAAUGACAUAUGCUCUAUAACUAACAGAAAGCAAAAGCUAAAUCAUGCAGAAUAAAAACAUAGCAGUAACCACAUCAGGAAAAUGUAACACAUUUGAAAAUAUGUAGUCUGUGGAAGUUCAAAAACUUCAAUCCAAUCCUCAAUAAAAUAGCGAAUCUCUCUGGAUUUUGAGGUAAAAGUUAAAUAUGAUACAUAAAAGAAUUAACAGAACUGAAAACUGCGUAUAUAACAGAAAAAACUAUCAACUCUCAAAACAAAGCUUACAUUGCAGAAUUGUCAAGAUUGUAGAAACGUCAAUUUCCUUUAAGCGCUUGCUCAGUGUGACAAGGAAGUCAUAUAUCAACUCACUGAAAAAUAUAACCACAAACAUUGCUGUUAGAAUAUGAGUGCCCAAAACUUGAGGGCCAUAUCAAGGGACAUGCCAAAUGAAGAGAUUUCAAUCAAAAUUCUGAAGCAAAAACCUAUACAUGUCCAGUGUAACGUAGAAACUUUUUCAAAGAAAGCUCAAUCUAGGUACUUAGAAAAGUUAUAACAUAAACAGAAAAGUUAUUGCAGAAAGAGAGAAGUUCUCAAUCACAUUAAGCUUUAAUUCAGGGUUUCUUUGAAGGAAAAGGAAAGGGUUUCAGUUUGGACCUAGUCGUGGGGUGUGGAGUUCAAGUUACAUGUUCAGCAUCUAAAACUGCCAGGAAGUUGCGAGACCUAAGAUUACAGAGCUGCAUCAAUUCAGGAAUCUCCAAAAGAAUAUCCAGUUUUGAAGGUAGACCAGUUUAAGGUAAAGUUUAUACAUAUCCAAGCACUAUCAAAUGUCUUCUUUGGUAGAAAGUACUCACCUUGAGCAAACUCCGAAUAUGCAUAAAUAGGAUAGCAAGAGAGUAAGAUUUCGCAAGGAAAGAUUGUCUCGUUUGGAGUACUCAUUCUGGAACAAAGUGAAAAAACUGAAUUCAGUUACUUUUAAAAUUUUUGCUCUACAAGCUAACAAAACCACUGAGAUUCCCGAAAAGCAGACAACUAUAUUAGGCACCAAAUUGGUUAUUUUAUCUUAACAAGCAAUACAAAUCAGAAGAAAACAUUUUCAAUGGUUAUAAAAAAAUUCUUUUCUAAUUUGCAAGGCAACCUCAAAAGAUUUAGCAAGCGAAGCCAUAAGCUUUGCACUGAAGUCAAUCCCAACCAUACAAGCCAUGCCUGCAACAAAAGCAGCAAAAACAGCGGCAUACCUACAGAAACGUGGAGAAUGUCAUUAUAUAUACAACUGCCUAGAUUUACAUCCAGCAAUGCAUCAAAACAAACGAACAACCCAAAUGUGCAUAAUUUGAUACAGCACUGGCUCAUGGAAUAAAAUAAAACAGAUUACCCUACUGUUUAGUGCGAGUAGCACCAAUAGAAAGAGUUUCGUAUUGAUAGUCAAAAUAACUAGAGUUGAUUCUGCAGAUUUGUUCCUUUGCCAAACAUAAUCCUAUUUAUUAUAAUCCUGCUCUUUGGAAAUUAUUAGCAGCACAAAUAAAAACCUAGAGGAUGAAAUUCAUCUGAUGAACGUCUUCAGUUUAAGAAAACAGCAAUAAGAGAAAACUAAAACAAAAUGGAAAAUAGUCUGCAGGUAGAAAAUUUGCAUUUGAAUCCACCAUUUAUAGCUUCCAAUUAGACAGAAGUGAGACAUUAAAUAAAAGCAAGGGAGAGGAGAUAUAAAAUAGUAAUAAUAAAAAACAAACUCUUAACUGUUCAUUGCCACGAGGGCCACUUGAACAAGAAGCCAACACCUCCUCACUGAUUAUCUGACAACUGACACUACGGCCAACAGACUGCAAUAUUUAAGAUUUAAGAGUUAAGUAAUAAUUCUAGAUCAACAAUAGCAUACCAAUUGCUCAGUCAAAGCAUGAUGACAAGAACAAACAACAUUUAAUCUACAGUCUUGAUGUACCCAUAAUACAACAAACGAAUUAUUUUACUCCAGUUCAACCAUAACCGGCCAUCAAAUAAUCAUGUUCUACACAGUUCUAAAAGGUCAAAAGCUUUUUCUUUUUACCUUUUUCUGAUAAGAAUUCUAAAAGGUCAAAGUUGGAGGAGAUAAUUAUAACAAUUUCAAAAACUUAAAUUCUUUUAAGCAGUAAUGGCAUGGACAGAGUAAGUAUGACACAAGAAUGGUAAAACAAUCUCCUGUCAAGAUUUCAAGACGACAUCAAAAGAAAAAUUUACAGAAUAAAAAAUGAAUAAUAGAAUACUGACAUACAAGAUAAAUUGAGGAGACUUCUCCGGUAAUUGAUUCUACAUUAGAUUCAGACAGCCGAUUCAAAAGACCUGGAACGUUCCAACCACACAGAGAAUGUCAAGUUUAAAUAUGUAGAAACAAGAUUCCUAAUUUCCACAUAGAAACUCAAUUUCCAUACCUCGAAUCCUUCUACGGAUUUGAGUAUGCUCUUCUGAUUCCUUUGUUGCACAAGGUCUCAAGUGAGGAGCAACAUACUUUACACUGCUUCCUGAACCAGGUGCUCUGGCAGGAGUUUCCAAUGGCACCACGACAUCAUGGGUUUCCUCUGGAUUGGCUACCCCAGGACCUAUCUCCUCGACGACAUUCUCUUCUCGUCCAUGCUCUACUGAUUUUCUCUUUCUCCGCUUCUUACGAGAAGGGGCCUUGGUGGGAGUUUCUUCCAUAGCAACAUCUAAACCAUUGGUUUCCUCUGACUCAGACCCUCCAACUUCUAAAUCACCUUCAAGAUCUUGAUCCAAUACCUUUUGCUUCUUGCGUUUUUUCUUUAGACAAAGUUCUUUAGCAUCGGGUACUUCUUCUUCUUCCUCUAAUGAAUCAAGAACAGAUGGAAUCCCAUUAAUCAACAAAUCGAGACCAUCAUCCUCUCUCCUUAAUUUACCCUUUUUCACUUUGAGUUUCUUUGCAAGUUUUCUCUCCAAUUCCAAAUCUUCCUCUGCACUUAUGAUGGCAUUUGGCCUAUCAAUUUCAAGAAAUUCUUCAAACUUUGUUUUUUGAGCUCUCUUAGCCUUCCUUCUUUGGACUGCCUUAUAAGAAGUAAGCUCAUCUUUUUCAAAAGAAUUCAACUUCACUUCAUCUUUCUCCGAUAAAAUUAAUUCCUCUGAGCUUUGAUUCACCCCCGAAUCCAUUUGAGGAGAUGAACCUUUUAAUUUAUUCGCACGUUUUGACUUAACAUCCCCAAAGGUUUUCUUCAAUUUCUGGGAUUUCUGUGAAAUUAGAUUAAAUUAUAUAUUUCGAAACGUCAACUACAUUUAACAAACGACAUAAAAGAUAAUAUUGAAGAGACAACAACAAUUUCUUCUACCUUGUGCUCAAUCCAAGCUUGAUGUUUUCUUUGAUUCUUUGCUAAUCGUGCUUCUUUUCUCUUAUCUCGGCGCCCCAAAUUUUUCUCUGCCAUCAACUGAUAAACUGCCAAUCAUUUUUUUUUUUUUAAAGUAACUUUCAUGUCAAACAAUCGCAAGAGAAUAAAUUACAAGUUCAUAAUUCAAAUAAAAUUUUAAUACAUUGACUUGACAAACAAAAGGCCUAAAUAUCAUACCGUGAAGAGCUGACGGCGAGCUGCAACAACCGGGAGGCGUUACGGUGGCCAAUGGGAGCUGCGAUUGCGAGGCUGCUGUUGUGCUGGCUGAUGCUGAUUCGCUGAGGCUAAGGCUAUCGUGAGGCGUGAGCUGCUGUGGUCGGCUGAGGCUGUCGGCGACUGCCGUUGCUGAUUUGAGAGGAGAGAUGAGGCUGUGCUGUCGUGGACUCGCGAGGCUGUGCUGGCUAUUAGGGUUUGUUUAAUUUGUUUUGUGGUUUUGCGAAAUUGCCAAUUGGGAUCGGGUGUGGACGCUUCACGGUUUCAGUUUGGGCCUUCCCCCUCAAUGUAACUUGUUAUGGCGGCGUCGAACUGUGCAUAAGGUACGACAAGUUUUAAUACAAUUGUCAUCCAGUUUUGUUAAAGUUCUACGACAAUCGUCUAAGGGGUGCAACUAUAAACGACUUGUCGUUUUUUAUCAUUUUUAAAUGUUGAAGUGGACGAUUAGUCGUCUAAUUAUCUGGUAUCGAACUACAGCUAGGCUAUGAAGAUCUUUAAAAAAUUAAAUAAAUAAAUAAAUUGAUUAAUUAAUUUGUUGCCUUCUUUUAUUAAUUAAAAUAUUACUCGAGUACAAUUAGUAUCUUUUGAGUUUGAGACUUGUACUAGUUUUGUCUUUCUGUUUAAUUUUCACGAAUUCUGUCCCUUCAAAAAGUUUCGUAUUCAAGAAAUCCAUAACAUGUUAUGAUGUUAAACAUCAGCUUAUGUUAUGAUGUUAAACAUCAGCUUACGUAUAUGACUGUACCUCAAACCUGUAACCUGUUUGUCUCAGCCUCUAUGAAGUCAGCCAUUCAACUCUCAAACAACCUAAGCUAGUUUCAAAGAUCAAGAAAUUAAAUCCAUAACUUAUUAAUGUUAAGCAAUUUUGCAGAAAUGUAUUCACAAAUGUCAUACUGAGGUUCGGUAAUGAGCUCAUCAAGAAUACCACAGCAAUGAAAUCAGAAAGCUAACAGUAUGAGAAUCAUAUCACUAGUUUGAUUGAGAUCCAUCCGUCCAUGCAACCCAUUGAUUGUCCCUAUGCAGCACUGAGCUUCCUUCAGGAAAUUUCAUGUUUGGCCUAUUAGGGCGAACUCUAAUUAUCUUGCAGGUGCGCCCAUCUGCUCUAACUGACUGAGCAAUAGGAUCCACACGGGGGUCAACAGUGCAUUCCAAAGGCAAAGAAGAUGAAGGCAUGCCUUUUUCAACCCCAGAGGAGGCAGAGAGGUCAGAUGAGGAUGAAAACUCUGGUUGUGGAAAUUGAGAGAGAUCAUAGCCAGCAACUUCAGUAUUCACUGUAGUCAAUUCUGAAAGAAAAGGAUAUUGUUGUAAGUGAAAAACAAUAUGUCUACCAAGGAAAAGAGACCACAAAUCAUAUGAUGAUAUAUCAUUUGUCUAGAACUACAGCAGACAGUUCUCAAGCGAAAAUCAAGGUCUCAUUGAAAAUAAAGCGAAAAUCAUGACGCUUGAAUAAUACUACAAAAUUCAGCCUCAUUCUAAUUUGUUAAAACAUAUUUACCUCAUUCUGUUGUGUAACUGACAAUGAAAUAUGAAGAUAUUGUAAACACAUGCCAUGUAAAUUAUGCAAUAUCUCACUCCAUACAAAAAAAGAGUUCAUCACAUGUAAAUUGAGCCAAAGUUAUUAUAGAUAAUACUAGUACCAUAUUACACUACAUCGAUGCACCCUGUAGACUAUGGAUAAAAUAGGAGCUUGUUUUACAAAUGAACAUAAAUUAUUUCCAAUAUCAAAUUGCGAUUGAAAAUGUAGAUUCAUUUUCACUGAUGACACGACAUACUUGAGAAGAUAAAAGGGAAGCAACUAGAGAGAAGGUUAUCAGCUUUCAAAUGUUAUUUGUAUUUGAACUAUAUAUGAAUAGAAAUAAUUAAUGAUCAAGUGUUUUAUACACACAUUGUAACUUUAAUUAUACUAGUUAAGACCUAAAAUUUGACCGAAAUGAUCCUUUGUUCAGCUCAUCUAUCACAAUUAGUAUACUUUAGAGAUUAAAGAAAAGUUCACCUCUGAUUUCUUCAGCUUGCACCUUGGGCAUUGAAUUGGGAUUGAAAACCAUGCGGCCUGCAGUUUGGACAUUGUGGUGCAGAUCUGCAGUGACAUUUGAUUGCAAGCUGGAUGAUGAGUAGUCAGCUUGUGCUUGGAUGGCAGGAGAAACCAAUGCAGGACCCUGACUUGGAUUGGCUGAACCCAAAAAAAAAAAAAAUUUAAUUAAUUAAAAAUAAUAAUAAUACACAUAUAUACAUACAUAUUUUCAUGAUUUCUAAAGUUCAAACUUCUCUUUUCCGUUCUUGGAAUUUGUUAAUAACUAAAGCAUCACUUAUAAACUGUUCUGUAAGGAAGACCUAGAAUAUUUGCACUCAAACAGUAGAUGGAAAGUACUUCAUCCAGGAUUUAGGAUAUGGGCUCCGAUUAAACCAAAUAUUCAAAUGGUACAUCAGAUGCUUCAGUACUUUGGACCGUCUUUCUCUAUUUAAAAAAUUAAUUCUUCAUUAACCUUAAUUAAAGUAGUCAUCUUUUUCCUCACAUAAAUCAUGAAAAUUCUGUUUAAAGUACAAGAUUUUUCCUCACUUAGUAGACAUAAUAUACAUUGACCAGCCAACAGCCCUUAGCAACUUUAACUUACAAUAUGCAGGCCACUUUGUUAUGAGCUCCAAGCUAGAUUCAUAUUCAGUUAAGAUGUGCUUCUUCAAUUAUAUGACGAAACAAGCUGUGCUCCUAGAAUUACAUGAAGAAACAAAUUAAAAUACAAUGCUUCAAUAUUUUGCCUUUAUAAGACUAAUGUCUUCACAUACUCAGGAAAAGGUACGUGACCGCAUUAAAAUUACUGAAAACAAAUUGUAGCAAAAAACAUUCAUCAUGAAAAGUUUAGGGAACUUCAACACGAGUACAAAAAUGAGAAGCCAAAAAAAAAAAAUUAAAUAAUGCUGUACCUAUGUGAGUAGGUUUUUUAAGUCUAAAGCACGUAGAAACCGUAAGUCCUAAAUAAAUUCAUUGAAAUUGAAAGGCUUACUAUUAUAUAAUUAUCAUAAAUAAAUAAGCCAGAUGGUAUUUCAGAAAAUAUACCAUUACUAGUUCAAUUGUGCACAUUUAAAAAUUGGGUCCAUAAUCACUCACAAAUAUGAGAAUUGAUGACUUUAACAAUUGACCAUCAGGGAACGUAAUCCUAUGUGCUCUCUGUAAAGUAACUAUUUAUCAAAAAUACAUUGAAAAUCCAAAUUAUUCCAGCGAUAAUUAGUAUACUUAAAAAAUGUGCAGCUAAAACCUACUAAGUCAAAAGUAAGGUAGCUCAGUAUGGGGUCAAUGUAGAGCGAAAAACAAAAUUCAUCAAAGAGUGAAUAUGGUGAUAAUAGGACACUACUUUCUUUUACUCAAGGAGUGAAGCAUACGUGAACGAUUUUAUGCAGGUGGCAUAUUUCUUUGUCUUCCAUGAAGGUUAAUUUAUAAUGCAUGUACAUACUUCAAAUAGAAGGAUAAAUUAGAAAAGAAUAAUUUCUAGAGUUGAGAUAAAGCACUUUAGAUGUAAUUGAGGGAAAGAUGAAAAAGGAAUCAUAUAUAGCACAUACGUUCUUUUAGCCUCAUGUAAGCAACUUUUGCUGCACUCAUCUCCGCUUGCUUCUUGGACUUUGCUUCUUGUCCAGAAAAAACUUGUCCUCCUACCUCAACAGUUGACACAAAAGUUGGUGCAUGAGAUUCACCAGAUUGCUUAGUAUUAUAAACUGGCAAAGCAUACGCUUCUUUCUGAGCCAAUUCUUGCAAAAGGUUCUUGUAAAGAACAGAAUCAUCCUGGAAAAAUAUGUUUAUUAACAAAAUAUGCGAAUAUGAAAGAAGAUAGAUCACUACUAAUACGAAAUUCAUAAGUUAUUCAUUAACAGUUAAUUAGAAGACUGGCCUGUUGAAAUUUAUCAAGUGACAAUGACAUUAAUGCAACUUUCGCCGCUUCAUGCUCGGCAUCUUUUAAAGUAGGAAAAAACUGAUGACUCUCAUAAGUUUGUCCAUCAAUUGUGACCUUACACUUGAAACGACUAGCAUGAGGAGGACCUUCCCUCUCACAUGAAUACAUAGGAAGAGGGAGAUUUUUCUUUUGAGUAUAGCUCUGCAGCUGGUUUUUGUAUAGGUGUUGCAUAUCUAUAAUUCAGAAAGAAAUUAUGAGUCACAUGACUUCUCAUCAUAAACAAUAGAAAUUCUUUCAUUUCCUUAUUUAUUGCCUAGAUAAAAACCAGAAGUCAAAUGUUCAGAAUGCAAGGAAAUAGGAUGUCAAUUCAAUGAAACAUCAGUAAACAUAGCAGUGAUGGCUGAAUCGCCUUGAGGAUAGAAAUACCCCGACCUUACCCUCCCCCGCUCCUUAAAAGAGUACCCUUCAUCCAUACCCCACUCUCACAUCAGGACUGCCAUCUUUAAUAGUUCUUACCACAGUAGGACUGGAACGCACACCCAUGAUCUGUGUCCCGCCAGUACAAUAUUUUAACUAAGUAGCAGCAGAACGCCAAAAAGCAUCAAUGUAAUUGAAUGGAUAAAAUAAGUACCAUCUAAGCUAAAUUCAUACCUUCAAACAAGAAACCAUCGAUGCGAUCAUCAAGCUAAAUGCCCAAGCAAUGUACUAAAGCAAUCAAAUCUAAGAAAUUGAACGUACAAAAUAAGUUCCAAUUAAGCUAAAUUCAUACCUUCAAGUCAGAUACCUCUUACUUGAAAUAAAUCAAGGUUACAGGAGAUGAGAGCACAAUCAGCUUAAUUGGUAGAGUUUAAAAAAUAUUAGGUCCUCUCUGGGGCAUACACAAUGAUGAAGAUGAAAAAGAUGAAGACUCAAAAAGUGAGAGAGAGAAAGGAGAAAGCUGAGAUUAGCUGCUUAGAGAAGGAGGCAGCAGAGAGGAAACCAAAUGGGAACAAAACCCUAACCUUGGGAAAGGAAAUAAUAUAAACAUAUACUAAGGUAUUUAUACGAGAAAAAAUACCUGGGAAAGGGCUGAAAAGAAAGAAGUUGUAUCUAUACCCCAACUGCACCCUAUUAGUUAUUUGAUUGACACAUUGCUUGACCCAAUUGGCUAGGUGUUUCCUCGUACGGGCACUGAAUAUGAAGCAGUGUGAACACUGAAAUUUCAAGUUUCCUUAUAUAUACUUUUUGAUUUCACUAUUUUACUUCUUUUCACUCACCUGAGGCUCAAUGUAAGAUCGUCAAAUAGACGGAAUACCUGAGGCUCAAUGUAAGAUCUUCAAAUAGAUGGAAUUGGAUUGAAAGAUUGAGUUCUCUCACUUGAUAUCAAAUUCAGAGUUAACUUAGAGAUCUAUUUCAUUAUAUGUUAUUAGUGCGUCUCAAAAAUGACAUGUAAUGGUCCACUCAAAUGUUUUAUUUAAAUAUCCGUCCAUAUAUUAUCCAAUAUUCCCUUUCAACAUUACCGUACCUAGCAUUAAUAAAUUUUAGGCACAUCACAGCAUAUCCAAAUUUACGUAUGUCCAGCAAUUUUCUAAUUGAAAAUGAUUUUGUACAUAAAAAUACAGAUAUGUGGACAAGAACAACAAUCAAGAUCAUCAAAUUUAGUAUGGAAGAAAAGAAUACAAAUGAAAAUAUGUGACAAUCCAACUUCAAUUGAAGUUGUUAAUUAGAACUUCACCAAGGCCAACAGAAGUAUGAGAAACAUGAAUCAUAAUUAUAAAAAAUAAUAAUAACAUAAAUCACUUAGAAGUUCUCUGAUGCGGUAAAUUGAAAUAGAGCUACAUUCAAGAAAUCAUGACUAUAGGCUUUGUCUUUAAUAGCCUCUUUAAUCCUCAAUCUUUUGACAUCACCAUAGCAGAAAAGUAAGUACACAAAAUUCAACAAUAUAUGCAUGAUCAAUCAAUAAAACCAAUAAACCAAAUAUCUAAAUCAAGAAAUUACAGAAAGGAAAAGAAAUUAUUACUAAAAUAAUUAUCUGACCUCUUGAUUUGUGAACAUCAUUGACAGUUGAGAUCGUUGCAUUGACCUGAGUAGUUCGAUCUGUUUCUCGAGCAUUUACUUGCACUGCACUUUCACUCGAAGAACCUACAAAAAUUAUUUAUAACCCAGUGUAAAGAAGAAGUAAAGUUUUCCGCACGAACAUGGUAAAGUAAAGUUUUCUGUAGGAAAAUGGUAACUUCAAAAUCCGUUUCAAACCUAUCAUACAUCCCCCACCCUCAUUUAAGACUAGUGCUUGCAAAAACUAGAAGUAAUUUAUCCAGAACAUAAAAGCAGAGAAAAUCCAGUCCAGUAUAAAUAUAAAAUUAGAUAAUACCUACCAUUUACCAUUUCAUUCAAGAACACCACACAGUUAACGAAACCAACAUAGGUAUGUUUCCAACUGUUGUACUUUCAAGUUAAUUUUGAAAGCGCGGAAGCUAAAGCCUAAACUGUUGUUUGAUAAAAGCCCAUCCACUGACUGAUACUUGGCGGGUAGCAAUUCCAUUCAAUAGCAGUCAUAGAAUAAAAGUACAAAACAAACCCCUGUUUAAAAAAUGCAAUGAAGCAGCCAUGAUUUCAAUUAUUUGCAUGUCUGGGAUUGCAGUUGAUUCCAAAUUGAGAAUAUACUUCGAGAAUAUGUUUGAUAAGCCCUUAUGUGAUGAUCGCUGGUUUAUUGAGUCUUAAAAGAACAACUCAAUCAACUAAUGUUUGAUUUGAAAAAAAAAAAUGGCAAAUCAAAAAAGUUUUGGAGUAGAUUCUCAAAAGAGUGAUUAUUUGAUAAUCCACCAUAAUCCCACAUAGUUAUCAGAAUGAAAUUAAAAUCCGAGGAAUGUUAUUUAAGGCAAACAGCACUUUUUUUAUUUUAACCAACACUUGCAAAUUGCAAUUCUUAAACUAAAAGCAUGCAAAAUAAAUGCAAAUUAAGAACGCACCUAACAGAAAAUAAUAAUAAUAAUAAUCUGAAUUGGCAAUAUUAAAAUUACCGUUAGAAGAGGAAGCGGCAGGAGUAGAGGAUGGUGGAGGAGGAGACGAGAAAUGUUGGAAAGCGAUUCUAGCGGCGUCGUUUUGGGCCUCUUUGGACGACUUGUAAAGAUCCGGAGUGGUGAAAGAUUGGUCGUUAACGGUAACGGUUGCUUGAAAGCGAGGGUUGUGGUCAAGGCCUUGUUUGGCUGUUGUGUAUACUGGCAAGUUCCACACUCUCUGGUGGCAUAGCUCCUGCAGCUUCGUUUUGUACAUCUUUUUUGCUUACAAUAUUUUCACUGAUUUUAAUUUUUUUUUUGGAAUGGGAAACUCAAGAGAAGAGAGAAAUGGAAUUUAGUUGCAAAAUUUGAAGUUUAAUUAUCAAAUAUUACGCCAAGAGAGUACGCUUCAGUUCCACGAACAGGUUCAGAAUAAAUGACGCUUGGGAAUGCUGAAAUGGAAUAAGGCCUUUUUAUAAACAAAUAAUAAUAGUAAACCGACGCCACGGUGUUUUAAAAAUAAGUUUUUUUUUUUUUAACCUUGAAAUUCCUUAUCACAGUGACGUUUUAAAAUAAUAUUUUUUUAAAAUGCAAAAAAAAAAUUUCUUUCUACCAUUUAUAAAAAAGAAAACUUAAAUAAUUUACUGUAUUAAACGUUAAAAUAAACUAAUAAAAAAUUAUCGAUAUUCUAAAAACCAAAUAAAUAAUACCUUUCCUUUAUCUUCUUCUCAAGGAAGGUGGCUAAAAACUUUCUUCUCCAAAGAGAUCUUGUUCUAUAAGGAGACAUGACAUGAAAGUUGAAGGAGAGGGUGAUCGAAGGGGGGAAUAAAAAAUCUUUUAUGGUUGGCUCGUGGACAUGGACUUCUUAUGAAAGGUGGUAACGCUGUCUCAACGUCAUAAUUAUACCGAAGCUAAGUCCAUUUCAAUCAAUAUAAAAUAUGAAUGCGGUAACGACUAACGAGAAGUUAAUAGUUUUGGAUCAAACGAAUAUACAACGUCGUUCGUGUGUUUAUCAAAUAAGAAUUCAAUUUAAACAAUGUAAAUGUGUUAACAAGAAAUUGAGAGUUAUUGAUAAGACGAGCAUAAAAUUAAAACGUCAUUCAUAUGUUCAUCAAACAAGAGUCCAUUUAUGUAUAUGUAUUAACAAGGAGUAGGGAGUUUUAGGUAAGACAAGCAUGUUGAGUUGUAAUCGGAAUAGACAGAAAUCAGAAUAGGAAAUGGAGAUCAGAAUAAAUUAUUUAUUUGAACUGUAGGAAUCGAAAUCGGAAUGAAUUGAAUUGUCAUAAAUGUGUUUACUUUGUCUUGGAAUCGGAAUCGAAAUGAAUUAAAUUAUAACAAAUUAUUAAAAAGUACUUAAUAAAUUAUUGUUAUAAUUAUUAUUUUAUAUUUUAAUUAUAGUGAUUAUUUAUUCAAAAAUUAUUAUUAUUAAUUAUUGUCAAUAAUAUAUUGAUAUAUUAAUUAAUUAUAAUUAUUAUUAUAAAUAUAUUAAUUACUAAUAUUAAUAUAUUUAUCUGCUGUACCGUACAUCCNNNNNNNNNNNNNNNNNNNNNNNNNNNNNNNNNNNNNNNNNNNNNNNNNNNNNNNNNNNNNNNNNNNNNNNNNNNNNNNNNNNNNNNNNNNNNNNNNNNNNNNNNNNNNNNNNNNNNNNNNNNNNNNNNNNNNNNNNNNNNNNNNNNNNNNNNNNNNNNNNNNNNNNNNNNNNNNNNNNNNNNNNNNNNNNNNNNNNNNNNNNNNNNNNNNNNNNNNNNNNNNNNNNNNNNNNNNNNNNNNNNNCAUCUGCUGUACGGCCAAGGCGGAUGUACGGUACAGCAGAUUUGACUUUUUAUUUUUUAUAUUUAUAUCUUUUAUUUAAAGAAGGGGCAUUUUAAGAAAUUUUGAAUGUCAACGGAAGCAAAAGAACUCUAGGUAAUGGGAGAUUGAUUCUCACCUCUCCCAAGGAAUCAAUCUCUCAUUCCUCAUUCUCAAAUAGUGGUGGGUUCCAUGAUUUCAAUUCUGAUUCUUACUCCAUUUUUUGGAAGUAAAUGCCGUUAAUCAUUUUGAUUCUCCAAUUUGGAAAAUAAAUGUACCAUAAUAUUUAAUCAAUUAUUAUGAUUAUUGGAUUUUUCAGAUACUUUUAUCUAUUUUGGUUGGAGGGACGAAGUUCACUUUCUAUUAAAAGAAACAUUAGAGGAGCUUUCAAAGUCUAGGCUAAGGUUGUUUCCCAUGGCCUUGAAGCAAUACCCAAAAAGAGCUUUCCGGCUGGCAAAAUAGGCUUGUGUUUCUGCGUCGCAAAAUGAUGUGAAUGAGCUUUCGGAGUGUUUCCUCUGAAAUUUUAGAUGCUGCAAAAUCAACAUUGUCCCGCUCGAAGUAACCCGGACAAUUUCAUUUCCUAAUUUCUUCUUAUUUAUUAUGGCAUUGAUUUUCAUUGCAAGCUCAUUGCUCUGCUAAGAAAAAGAAUAAAUGGGGGCCAAAAAAGGAAGAAAGAAAUAGAGGCAAAGGCAACAACAUUAAUGCACAAACCAGUAAAGGUAUUCCAUCGAUUUACGGCCACUGAUAGCAAGCCGGGGCCUUUAAAAACGGAAAAUACAAGCAAAGAAAAAUAGAAGCCAAUUGCUCAAUAGUGCAUAAUAUGCAUACGGAAAAUUUUCAUCACAUCACGACCCACAGUUAUUCGAAUAGGUAAUAAGACAGGAAUUUUCUUUCUUUGUUUAAAGUGAAAAAAAAAAAAAUCAAUGGCUCAGGAAGUAUCCCUCCAAUCUCCAGAACCACUCACUUGGCACUGGCAAGCUGGGUGCGGAGUAGCUUGGCAGCAGCGACCAUGUUUGAGAGGGCUGGCUUCACCUCAGUGUACUUGCGAGUCUUAAGACCACAGUCAGGGUUAACCCACAAAAUGUUGGUUUCUAGCACAGCAAGCAUCUUGUUGAUUCUGUCAGCAAUUUCUUCAGUUGAUGGUAUUCUUGGAGAGUGGAUGUCAUACACACCAGGGCCAAUUCCAGCACCAUACUUGACUCCCUCACGGAAGACAGACAGGAGCUUCUCAUCAGAACGAGAGUUCUCAAUGGUGAUCACAUCAGCAUCCAUGUCGAUAAUUGAGUGGAUAAUGUCGUUGAAGUUGGAGUAGCACAUGUGGGUGUGGAUCUGUCAAUCAAUAUACAAUAAGAUGAGACACAACAUCAACAGCUAAAUUAGAGAGAUGAGAUUGGAGAUUGAAAGGGCAACUGACCUGGGUAGUGUCCUGGACGCCACAGUUGGUGAUUCUGAAGGAGUGGACUGCCCAGUCCAAGUAGAAAGCAUGCUCAGAUUUCCUAAGAGGCAAUCCUUCCCUCAAGGCAGCCUCAUCAAUUUGAAUAACGUUAAUGCCUGCCUUCUCAAGAUCCUCGACUUCGUCCUUGAUGGCCAAAGCAAUCUGGUAGCAGGUUUCAUGUCUGCAAAAUUGGCAGCGAUUUAUGUUAAACAAUGUUUCCAUUUCAAAAGGUUAACCAAUAGUGAACCAGUUCUCAUUUAUAUACCUGGGCUGGUCAUUUCUAACAAAGGACCAGUUGAGAAUGGUGACAGGGCCAGUAAGCAUUCCUUUCAUUGGGCGAGCUGUCAUGCUCUGAGCCAAGGAGGACCAGAAGACGGUCAUAGCCUUGGGACGGCUCACAUCACCAUAGAUGAUGGGUGGCUUCACACAGCGAGAUCCAUAGGAUUGCACCCACCCAUUGGCAGUGAAGGCGAAACCUGAUAAUUGCUCUCCAAAGUACUCAACCAUGUCGUUCCUCUACAAAAACAAAUGUCCCAAUUCAAUAUGAGAUACAGCAUACUUCGUAUGCAAUUAGAAAUGCAGAAACAAAAAUGUAUAAAAUUUUAUCUAAUUCAAAACCAGGAGACAUUGCUUUGCUUCCAUUGGGCAUUGUGAAACUCACCUCAGGCUCUCCAUGGACAAGGACAUCAAUAUCAAGCUCUUCUUGGAGUUUGACAACCUUGUUGAUUUCCUCCUUGAUGGAAGCAACAUAUUCUUCCUCAGAAAUCCUAAAAAGGACAAAUAGUCACGGCACAGUUAAUACAGUAGUCGAAGUAAUUUCACACAUGGCAUUGAAUGAAGGAAAACCUCAGAUUGACUCACUUCUUAGCCUUGUAUUCACGGCGGACUCUCCUAAGUUCAAUGGUUUGUGGGAAGGAUCCAAUUGUGGUGGUUGGGAGGAUUGGAAGAUUGAGCUUCUUCUGUUGAGCAUCCAAUCUAGCACUAACGUUUGUAGCACGUCUGUGGUCUGAUCCCUUCAAAGCAGCAGCCUAAUUUACCAAGAGGAAGGAAUCACCGUUAGCAAAAAAAGGAAACUCUAAGGGGCAGCCACAUCAUAAAAAUGGAAAACAAAUCAAUCAUGCCACUUACAGCCUUUUGAACUCUCUCAUUGGUCACUCUCGGGGAGGACUUUCUUGAAGCCUGAGCUGCAGCAUUGGCAGAGAAGAAUCCCUGGAAACAAAUGAAAAGGAGAAACAAAGUUAGUCUCAUUCAUAUCAUUUCAAAAGGAAUAUACAUAUGCAAUUAGUGGGCUGAUUGUGAGAGAAAAUGUCCACAAAACUUUAACCAAACACCAAAUGCCCAAGUUGCCAAAUGAUGUUUAAUUCGGAAAAAUAUAUUUAGAAACAUUCAAAUAAAUAAUUUCCCCUUCUAAAUUUUCAUUUUCAACAACAUAUUUUACAAGCCAAGCUCAACUUCAGGCCAAGAUUUUCUGCUCCUAUAAUUAUAUUUUACCAUAAAACUAGGUCCUUGAAAGGCUAAGAUUUUCUGACUCUUGUGACUAGUCAAAGCCUAAGAUUCUUUCAAUUCAUCCGUAGCUAACAUUUUAGACUAAAAGUAUACCUCAUCCUUUUGGCCAGCCAAAGCCUUGGCCAAUGCAUUCACUUCAACAACUUUCUGGGCAGCAAAUGCCAGCCAUGACUUGAUUUCAUCGUCGAGUUUGUUCUCAUUAACAAGAUCAACAGCAGUGUGAAGAAGUGAGCAGGAGGUGGAGACCACAAGCUUGUCUGCAAAGAAAAAUAAUAAAUUAUACAACAAAUCCCAUAAAAGAAUAAGAAAUAUUUAUCACAAAGAAAAAUGCAGGCAAAGGAUGUAUACCUUUGCCAACAACACCCUCAAGCCCCCGGAGAACACUAAGAGAAGCAGCAAGAUCAUUGGCCCAAAUGUUCCUUCCAUCAACCACUCCAGCAAAGAGGUACUUGCCAGCAGGGAAUCCACUCUUGAUCAAUUCAAGGGUCUUCGUUCCACGAACCAAAUCAAAUCCAUAAGCGGUGACACCCUUCAAAGAAGUGAGGGUCUGGAAUGCCUCAGCUGGAACAUCAGCAAAGUAGGUCUCAACAAGAACAUUCAAGCCAGACAGAGUUGACUCUAGCUCGGCAUAAGCCUCACUGAAUGCAUGCAAUUUGUGUGAGUCAAGAUCCAUAACAAGCAAUGGCUCAUCAAACUGAAUCCAGGAAGCACCAGCAGCCUUAAGCUCAGAAAUAACUUCCCUGCAGAAGUGUUAAUUGGUACAACACAGAUUAAUGAUGUCACUCGAUAUAUACACACAGAGUUAUUUAGCACAUACACAUUUAUAAAUCAGUAAUAGGUGAUAAUUUCUUACUUGUAGAUUGGAAGGAUUUUCGGAAGAAGAGAAAGAAGAGAAAAGGUCUUCGCAACACCCUUGGCAGGCUUAGACAGCAACAAGUAUGACACAGGGCCAAUAAGCACUGGGACAGUUUCAACUCCAAGCUGCAGCAUUAGACAAGUGAUCGAUAUUAGCAUCUCACAAACUUGAUCUGAUUGAUAGAAAGUUACAAGCAAGUUCAGAAUUCGUUUAAUGAAAUCUCUAUGAAAAAUCUUCAGGGUCCACAAUGUGUUGAAAGUACCCUUUUCAAGUAAUUUAUCUUAAGACUAUUUUGCAAACAGUAUUGCUUUCCUUACAGAUCAAAUAAAUCAAACAACAUAUGAACACAUUUACUGAACCAAGUCUAAGUUCAAAGCUCUAUAAAUAAAUGUCAAUGAAUCUAUAGUAAAUUCUAUUGCAUCCUAAGCUAAAGAUGAGCAUAUCAUAUAAGAAUUUCAAGGUGAACGUAACCCAAUUUCAAUAUAUUGUAGAUUCAGAUAUCAAACGAAAUAAAAUUUGUAAAUAUAGACAGAACUGAGAAUAAACACUCACCCCCUUAGCCUCCUUGUACUCAGUCACAGCCUUGUGGGAAGCGUAGGAGAACUUAACAUCGGGUCCCAAUUCAGGAACAAUGAAAUGACUGCAUCAACACGAAGCCAAACACGCGUCAGCAUUCAGUACAAAACCAUUACACCAUAAAUAACUUGAAAUGCCGCUCUUCCAAGUAGUGAAUACUUACUAGUUGGUGUCGAACCACUUGGUCAUUUCCAUAGCGGGAACAGAGGCGUUUCCUCUGGCCAUGGAGAAGUAAACAUCAAAUCCAAUCUCGCCGCCGUUCCAGUUAUACCUCGGGGGCACGGCACCGAGCAUUGCGGUGGUGUCGAGCACUUGGUCGUAGUAGGAGAAAGUGUUGCUGGGAAUGUAUUUGAUCCCGGCCUGGGACAUCUGUUUCCAGAUGGAGGAUCUGAGAUCAGCGGACACCUUUUGCAAAUCCUCAGCGCUGCUCUUGCCAUCCCAGAAGGAUUCCAACGCGAACUUGAGCUCCCUCUUGGGGCCCAUGCGUGGGUAUCCAACGAUGUGAGAUGCCAUUUUACUGUCAUAAUCACGUCAUCAAUGAAUCGAAAAUCAGUCACUUUCAUUAAAUCAAGAAAAUAUUCAUUCAAAUGGAUGGGUCAUUGCUAUUACUGCUCAAAUCAAAUGAAAUCAAGAACACUUAUCAGAGCAUAAAAUCUUAAAUUAAUUUUUUUAUAAAAAAAUAAAAAACCAGUUGAAACAAGCUGAUAAUAAUCCAAGAGUUUGAGAUGAUUUUUUUCUUUCUGUAAUCACAUGAACAAUUAUGUACUUUCAGUCAUUUUUGAAGGAUUAAAACAAAAAAUUCUACAAAUAGAUUCUGAAAAGAAGAAUCUAAAAAUAGAUUCAAAAACAGUAACACAAGUAGAGUUCAAAUUGUUUUUCGGAAAAGAUUAAUUACAGAUCUGAUUGAUUCACGUUCAGAUCUAGCAAAAUCACGGCAGCCAAACACUAGAUCUAACACUAACAGUCACUCACCAGUCCAUUAGAAAAUGAAAUCAAGUUCAAAAUUCUUUUAAAGUUAAUUCUUUUUUAGAAAAUGACCAGAUUUUAGUUGAGUAUUAGUGAGUUUUUUACAAAAUAAUUUAUUUUUGUUUUUUAGAUCCAAAAGUUCGGAAAUCAAAACCAUGUUCAAUGCUUAUUCAUGAUUAACGGCGUAAAAACGCUACUGCAGAGAAGACAUAACGAAAAUGGGAACCGUACCAAACAGAGAAAGAAGAGCAGAGAAAUUGAGAGUCGAGAGGAGAGAGAGAAGAGAGCGGCGAGUUUGGGGGAGUGCCCUCUCCGUUAUUUAUAGCCAAAAAUCAAAUCUGGUUUGGUGGUUGCCUUUGGCGUGCCAACCUGUAGAUCUGAGAUUUUUCAUCUUAAUUUCUUUCUCUUAUUUAUUUAUUUAUUUAUUAUGAUUUUCAGUGCAGUUCAUAAAAUAUAGAGCUGACGCGCGCUUUUCUGAUGUGGCGCGUGAAUUGGAAAUGCGGUAGGUCUUUGUGGGCCCCACGGCACGGUCAGGACUGAAGGAAAAAUGUGAGAAGUUAUCAUAAUUUCAACAGUGCCAUAAUUAGCAAUUACACCACCAAAUAUUUCUUGAGUUUUUUUUUUUUGAUUGCUUUAAAUGCAGAGUUGUUAUGAAUUGUGUUAAUUGUAGAGUUGUUAUGAUUAGAUUACAUUAUAAUUCGUCACAAUUAUGAUAGGUAUGUACGUAUAUAAUAAUUUAUGAGUAAUGAUAUAACCACAAACUCUUAUACAAACUUAUUUUGUACAAAUUGAUGUGGCAUGAUAAAAUUAGUUGAAUUAAAUAUUACUUGAUCCACAUGAUUUGUUAUUAUUAUUUUAUAUUUUCAUUCAACCAAUGAAUUAAUGACACGUCAGUUUGUACAAGAUAAGUUUGUACAAGAGUUUAUGGUUGUAUCAUCACUCAUAAUUUAUAUAAGAUCUCGAAUAUUUAAAAAAUUUAUAAAUCAUUAUUUUCAUGUACAUUUACCUGGUAGCAAUGACAAUAACAUAAAAUAAACUCCAAACAAGAAUGGAUUAUAUUAUUUAUGUUAUUUUAUAGCUUUUUAAUUGAUUUUUAAAAGGAUUAAUUGUUAAUCAUUACUCUCCAACCGUAAUCACCAUUAAAUAUUUAUUUAAUUUAAUAGUCGGUAGAUCAUAAAUAAGAUUAGAAUAUUUAAUGGACAAUCUAAUUGCUACUACAAUUGUUAUCAUUUUUUUAAGGUAAGGGAUUAGACAAUACUCAAAUUUAUUUUUUAACCCCUUACUCCCUAAAGAUUCGAAUUUAACUAACUAAUUAAAUAAGACUGCUUAAAAACCACUCAACCACAUCUUUUGGGGACCAAUUAAUAUCGAUGUUUAAACUGAGGUUUAUUAUUAAAUUUUUUAAGUUUCAAGUUUCAACCGCUAACAACAUUAUCAUCGAUUAAUGAUAAAUAUAAUAAUAUUUCAUCAAAAAACCAUUUAACACAUCCAUCCAUAUUAAACAUAAGUAAAAAAUUUAUCAUGCAUUUCAAAUAUAUUUUUCAUCCUAAAAGUUAUGGAGAAAAUCUUGAUAUCAAAACUUACAAUGUAAUUAUGGGAUGUAAUUUUGCAUUUGAGGUCAGCACAACUUAAAAAUUACUAUGAAUGAAAAUUUAUAAUAAGCAGACACCACAAAAAAAAAUUAUUUAUAAGUAUUACAAUCAUGCAGUUUUAUUUAAGUAUUUAACCAAGUCAUUCAAUUUCUAAUUAAGACGGUAUAAAUUAGAUUUGGGCUGCCUAAGACCAAAAGUCAAAAAAAAAAAAAGAAUAUUCCUAAUAAGCAGCCUACCGCGGUCACGCGCCUUAAGAAACGCUUGGACUUAGCACACGAUUUUAAUCCAAAAUGUAUAAAAAAGGAAAAAUUUAUGAGGUGUAUAAUUAUCUUGAGUUGUUAUAUUUUGAAGAAACAAUGAAGAAAGUUGGUGGCCGAAGUUGAUCCGGGGCGAAUGGUGGUGGGCCCACGUUGUUGCAUUAUAAUUGGAGUUAUUGUAAUUUUUCUUAUAAUUAAUAAACUCCAUUUUUCAAAGAAAAUAAAUAAAUAAAUACACUCCCGAUUACGAAAAUAUCAUUUCAUGAGUGUCAAAGUUAGAGCUGGCAAAAUUUGACACGACCCGAUUACCUGACACGAACACGACAUAAAUAAAUAAGUAUGGAUCGUCAAAUUUAACACGAUUAUUAAAUGGGUCGGGUCUGGGUCAACACAAUUUUUUUCCGUGUCGGGUUUGGGUUAAAAUUCUUGACCCAUUUACCCGAUCAAUGACCCGAUUAUAUUUUCUAUUUUAAAAUAAUUUACAUAUUCUUAUAAUUAAAACUCAAAUAUUAGAGAUAUUUUUUUUAUUCUUUAAAAUGGUGAAUAUAAACACAGUGUUUUAUUUAUAAAAUUUUACAUACAUUUAGAGCUUCAAUAGUGUAAAUGUGUAAAAAUUGAUAGACAUGUAUAUUUUAUAAUAUUGAUAUAUAAUAUUAUAUAUAUAUAUAUAUAAUUAAAACCUCAAUAGUGUACAUGUGUAAUAUAUUGGUAGAUAUGUAUAUUUUAUAAUAUCGAUAAAUUAUGUAUGUAUGUAUUUAUGUACAUACGUAUGUAUGUAUUUAUGUAUAUACGUAUGUAUGUAUUUAUGUACAUACGUAUGUAUGAUAGUGUGUAAAUAUUUUAUGUAACUUUUGUUCAAUAUAUAGAUAUUAAACGGGUUAUUGGGUAACCCGAUUGUUUUUCCGUGUCGGGUUUGGGUCUCAAUAUUUUGACACGAUUAUUAAAUGGGUCGGGUUUGGGUCGACCUAAAUUUGACACGACACGACACGAACACGACCCGAUGACCCGUUUUGCCAGCUCUAGUCAAAGUGACCGUCACCUACGCAUCGCGUUUGUUGGGCGGGGUGGGUAAGGUGGGGCGAGGAGUUUGUUUGAUCGUCUGAUUACUUUGAUUUUGAUGAAACGUAUGGACGACGGCGAUGGCUUGCCAGCAAGUGGGUUUAUCAUGAUUUUGAUUGUAUUCGGGGAGAUGCUUAUGUAUAUCCUCAAAACUUCUUGGAAAUGAAAACCGCUGGGGUGGCAAAUCUUGACCAAUAAAGUGUGCGUGAUGUUGCGUUUAUAAAUUUCAAUAAUACUAUUGGCCGAUUGAGAUUAUUUUUAAAAAGUUUAAAAAUAAUUUUUAAAGGUUAAAUGUUAAUUUUAAUAUUGAAUAAAUUUUUAAAAAUUAUUUUUGAUAAAAUCAUUUUAUCCUCCAAUAAAUUUUAAAAAAUAGCGAUACAGUAAUUUUUUAAAAUCUAAUUUUAAUAAUCAAAACUAUUUUUUUAUAUAAUUUUAUAGAUAUCCGCAUAUAUAUAUUAUAAAAAUUCGAAAUCAUUAUUAUUAAUUAGGAAAUAAAAUCAUUAACUUUUAAGAAAUUAUUAUUAUUACCAAUUAUACUGACAUAACAAAAUAAAAAAUUAAUUAAUAUUAUAAAUAUUUAUUUCAGUUAUCAACUAUUAUAUAUACACAAUAAAAAAUAUUUUAUAUACAUAUUUAUAAAUGUAUAAAUAAUUUUUAUUCAAUAUUAUAUCGAAUUAAUCAUUUACAUUCUUGCAACAAGUUAACAAUAAAAUUUACCAAACACAUACGAUUGUUUUUAAAACUCAUAUUAUUUUUUUAAAAAAAAAUUACUAAACCUUUAACUGAUUCUCUUACAACUGAUUAUUUCUACAGUACAAUUAACAACAAUUAUUUUAAAAACUAUAACAUUUUCAAACUAGCCCCAUGACAAUAUUGUUAUUGUUGUUUUUCUUACUCUUAUCAAUAAAACUACGUUGCACAUAAGUGCAUAAAAAUUCACACAAAAUAAACUAUUUAACUUUAGGGUAUUAAUUGAAAAAAAAAAUCAGAUUAAGGUGAAUAAAUAUCAGAAAAUAACAAAUAGAUAAACUCUCACACUCUUUAAAAAAAUUAAUUUUAUAAUUUUAUUUAAAACCAACAGAUAUUACCAAACUUAACGGAUCAAUGUUCCAAUGUUUUCUUUUUAAUUUCAAAACCAACAGAUAUUCUUUGUUCAUUAUAUGACCUCCAAACAAAUAAUUUCAUUAAUAAAAUAAUAAUGAAAAGUAUCGUGGUGAGUACAGAGUAAUUCGGUGGCUAAUAAAAGUCUCUAUUUUUCGUCUCUGUUUUUCAUUUUAACUCUUGGGGUUGGUGCCACUUCGGCCUUGGUCGGAGUGGUGGGCUGCUGCCCUCACAAGUAUUGUGAGGACAGUGGUUCAAGCCCCCACAAAUAUUUUUGUGGGGGCUAACGUACUUAUUUAUUUAAUAUUUCAAAAAUUUCUUCUCCCUCGUGCAAUACGAGUGGAGUAUGGACAUCCCUCCUCUAUAAGGGAUUAUUUGUCUGGGCAUGUACUUCACAGAAUUCAAUGUAAUAAUAUAAGUCUCAAUCAUAUAUUUUUGAUUGUAAAUAUCAAUAUAAUAUAUCUGCUAUAAUAGCAGUUGUAAAUAUCUGUGUAAUGCAAUAAUAUGAUAAUUAAUCAUUAUUCAAAAAAAAAACUCUUGGGGUUGGUAGGCUCGUGAAUGGUCCACGUAACCUCUGGACGUAACACUCAAACAAAGACAGCACAAGGCACAUGAAAAAUGCCUAAAAACCGUAAAACCGUGACGUGUUCAACAUAUUAAUAAAUUUAUACUGUGUUUUCUUUUUUUUUUUAAUACUGUGUUGAUAAAGCACUUACGAUGGAACGACCAAUUCUAUUACUUGCAAAACUAAUUAAUAUUUCACUCUAUCAUCUAACUAAUGGAAGGCCAUCUUAAUUGAGGUUGCAAUAGUUAGAAAGUAGCGGGAAGGGUGGCCAAUGCUCCAUAUUAAUUUGCAUCAAUCCCUUUCUGGUGAAGAAGUACGGGUGAAGUAGAGGUCAAAGUUAGAAGAUGAAGGGUGUGUUUGGGAAUUGAGAGUGAGGUGCUGUAGUUUUUUAGCUGCAGUUGCUGUGAAAUAAAAGUUAUAACUGUGGAAUAGAAGUUGAGAAAAAAAAUUUGUUAAGCUGCCAAAGCCCAGUUACAAAUGUUACCAAACACCUUAGUAGCUAGGCUUUGGCAGCCCAUCUACCCCAUCACACUCCCAAACGGAUUAGAAGGGGACCGGGAUUGCUUUGUCAUAUUUGAAAAUGAUUUUGAAAAAAUAAAAAUUAAGUUCAGAAUUUGGUAAAUUCCUUUAAAAUUUCUUUUAGCAAAAUCACUCUCUCCUUUAGAUUUUGAAAAGUAUGGAAUGAGUAGUUUUUUAAAAUUUAAUUUUGAAAUUCGGAUUCAUAUUUAAUAUAAUACCAUAUAUCAUAACAUGUAUUAUAAAAAUCUAAAAUUAUCCUUAUUCAAUCAAUUAAGAAGUAAAAUCUUACAUUUAAAGAUAUUAUCAUUAUCAAUUAUAUUUAGAUAAUAAAAAAUACAAUUAAUAAAAUAAAAAUAUUUAUUUUAGUUAUCAAUUAUUAUAUAUAUACAUAAAAUGUAAUUAUAUAAACAUAUUUAUAAAUGUAUGUGUAAAUUAAAUUUGUAGAUUUAUGUUUAUAUAGAUCAUUUGCAUUCUUAUCACAUUUUAAAAGUGAGAUUUAUUAAAUAUAUAUAUGAUUAUUUUUAAAAUUUACAGCACUUUUUAAAACAAAAGUAUCAAAAGUUUAAUUGAUUCCUUAUUUUUACUGUACAACUAACAGUAAGAUGUGUUUGGUUCAAGUAUAAAAUGAUGGGAUUGGACAAUUUUAAGAUUAAAUAAUCCUAAUGCAAUGUUUGGUACCAAAAAUAAUUGUGGGAUAAAAAUAGUGGACCCCACCAUUUAAUCCAACACAAUGUCAAAAUUUUAUCACAAAGGGGGGUGUGGGAUAAGCUAAAACUUAAACGUAGGAUAACAAAAAAAAAGCCCAAAAUUUUAUACAACACAGUGAUUUUUUUUUUUUUUUGAGUAUGUCAUCAUCCAAUGAUAGUAUAUAUGCCAGAACACUCUUUUGACGUUAAUGAUAUGUAAUAUUUUCAUAUAUACAGCUAGUGACAUUGUUAUGUAAUUUCUUUUUCAUUUAUAGAUUUAUAUUAUUAUUAUAUUUGUUGAUGAUAUUCUUGUUAUGUUUAUAAUUAUAUUAUUUAGUAAUUUAUAAGUUUAAAAACUAUAACAUGUUAAAUAUAAGAAAAACUUUAAGCGAAGAUUUUGUAUUUUUUAACAAAUUUACCAAUAAUUUUUUAUUUAAGUUAGAUUAUAUUCCAUGUCAUUUUAAAAUAAAUCUAAGAUAAUUUUGAUAAAUUAAUAAAUAAGACAUAUUAUUAGUUACUAACCAAUUUCAUGGCAUACCAAACAUGAGAUAUGAUUAUUUACAGUCUAAUCCAACAUUGCACCAAACGUAAUAGAGUAUUAUAUAUAAUCCAAUGUUAUCAAAUCCAAUCAUAUCUUAUCCAAUCCGAUCCGAUCCAGUCUAAUCCAAUUUGACAUACCAAACAAGCCCUAAUUAUGUUAAAAACUACAUCAUUACCAAACUGACCCUUAAUACAAUCUCAUACAUACAUACAUAUAUAUAUAUAUAUUAAAAAUUAAAAAUUAUCUUUAUUUAGUUAGGAAAUAAAACCAUUAUAUUUAAAUAGAUUAAUAUUAUUACUAAUUAUAUUCAGAUAACAAAAUUAAUAAAAUAAAAAUAUUUGUUUGAUUUAUCAAUUAUUAUACACACAUAUUUAUAAAUGCAUGCGUAAAUAAAAUUUUAUAGAUUUAGGCCAAGGCGGAUGUACGGUACAGCAGUAUCUUUAUUUAGUUAGGAAAUAAAACCAUUAUAUUUAAAUAGAUUAAUAUUAUUACUAAUUAUAUUCAGAUAACAAAAUUAAUAAAAUAAAAAUAUUUGUUUGAUUUAUCAAUUAUUAUACACACAUAUUUAUAAAUGCAUGCGUAAAUAAAAUUUUAUAGAUUUAUGUCUAUUUAAAUCAUUUGCAUUCUUAUAACAUUUUAAAAAAAGAAAAGAAAAGUGAUUUACCAAAUACAUGUAAUUGUUCUUCAAACUUACAACACUUUUAAAAUAGAAUUUAAUAAAUGUUUAAUUAAUUUUUUCACAGCUGAUUAUUUUUAUGGUAUAACUAACAAUAAUCUAUAAACUUAUGGUAAAUAUUUGUGUGAAUGUUGGUCCAUGUAAAGAAGUAAAAACAACGCAUAUAUCAAGCAAUAAGAUAUCAAAACUCUUAGUAAAAUACAUAUACUAAUGAAAGAAUGACAGCAAUGCAAUAAAUAAGAUUAUAAUAUAAAUUAUUAAAAUUGUAUAUUAAAAAUUGAUGUAUGAAAUUCUUUUUAUUUUAGUGAUAGAUAAUGUGAUAUAUUUGAAUAAUUUGAUUAAAUGAAAAGAAAAAUAACAAGUAUGGUUGUGGAGGAAAUAAACCAUUGAACUGUGGAAUGUUAUUAAUUAUUGCUAUUUCAUUAUGUAACGUCCUGAUAAUAAGUACAGUGUUAUAGUAUAUUGAUGGGUGGUGAUAUUGUCACCCCUUAAAUUGUGUAAAGUCAACCUCAUUUACAAAUUUUUUGAUAUAAAUUAAAAAGUACAUUAGUUUUAAUAAAUUAUAUAUUUAUUGAAUAAACUAGAACCGUUAGGGAGCUGUAAUGUUAGCACUGUUUUAACUUAUUAUAAAAAAAAAAGUUAUGAUUUGAUCAUAACUCUAAUUUAGAAAAGAAAAAAGAGUUGAAUUGCUAACAUACUUAAAAAUAAAAUAAAAACAUUAUUAUUAGAUGAAAAAUUGUAAAACUUAAGGGGGCAUUUGCAAGUCCGCCACUACUCAAUAGAGCAUUAUUCAGUACUCGUUAAUAUAUCUCGAACUUUUAGGUUUUUUUAAUAUAUUUUUAAUACAUUUUCUAGAACAUUUAGAUAAAAAGAGUCAGUACUCCAAUUGAGUUGUGAAUAAACAUUUAGAUAAAAAGAGUCAAUACUCCAAUUGAGUUGUGAAUAAACUCAUGUUAAAAAAAAAAAAACUCAUUUUCACACUUGAAACGAUUAGUAAAUGGGUGAUACGAAUUUAACUUGGUCAAUAAUAUAUACCAUCUUAAGUUAACUUCAACUCAUUGAUCUUCUAUAGGGUUGAUCAGCCUGCCACAAGGCCCACAAAUUAUCACCUCUAAUGCUUUUGCAACAGUCGUUAUAAAUGCUGACAAAAUGAAACUUCUAUAUAUUUUGGUUUUUUUUUAUUUCUAUGAAAUAUAAGGCCCUUAUGGCAAAUUUCCAUCCAGCGUGAAAUUUGCUAGUUUGGCCUUGGUACUGUGGCACAUGCGUCAUGCAUGCGUGGCUGAGAUGCUUCUAAAACUAAUAAAUUAUGAAGAAUUCCAAAUUCGUACCAAAAAUAAGAGAAUAGGAGCUUGUCAUAGGUGUCCGCGGAUCGGAUUUUAUGGGUUAAACAUUAAUUCAUAUUUGAUUCGUGAUUUUGUAGAUUAUAAAUUUUUAAUUUAAUUCAAUUUAUGGAUUAGUGAAACUCAAUACAAAUUCAAUCCAUAUAUAUGCAAAUUAGAUGCGGAUUUAACCCAAUGCAUAUUCAAUCCAUCAUUUGGCGGAUUGAUUUGCAAAUUAAAAGUUUUUAAUUUUGUCCAAUCUAAAAAGUAAUUAAAUUAAAAAAAUCUAAUAUAUAAAUAAUUGAUUAAAUAAAAAAAUCUAAUGUAAAAAUAAUUUUACUACCAAUUAAAUUCAAAAUUGAACAAGAUUUAAAUAAAUUUAGAAUAAUACAUUCAAAAUUUUAAAAUAUAACACACCGAAAAAAAAAUUCAUUUAUUUAGAUCAAUACAUGAAAAUUAACUAAAAUUAUGAAUUUAAAUGUUGAAACUUGAAAGCUUGGAUGUAACAGGAAGAAUUUAAGAAACUUGAAGAGCUUGAAAAGAAAGUAAGAAAUUAAGUUUAAUUACCUCAAGUGGUGAAGUGAAACAGUGAUUGGCUUGUGCGUGCGGUGGGAUAGAGAUUUGGUGUUAUAUGUCAAAAUAUUUUGUUUGGCUUGGGGUUUUUGUUUUGCUUUAGAAAUUUUAAUGUUUAGGAAACUAUAUUUGCUUAUUUAAUUAUUUCUUAUUUUAUAUUGUUAUCGAAUAAAAUAUAAUAUUUUGUUAAUUUAGCUAUAAUUUUAUGCUGAAUAUAUUUAUUUAAAACGAUUUUAUUAAAUAAAUGUGCAUAUUUAACGAAGGUCUCUGAAAUUUCAACCUGCCUGCUAAUGAUAGCCAAUACGGCACGACCCACCAAAUGUCGGCCCACGCGGGCUUGUGGGCCAUGACGACUUUUUUUGUAAGGGCCCGGCACGGCCCACGGCACGAGUCCGUGCCCAAAAAAAGCCCACCUACCUUUUUUUUUUUUGUCCACAUGUUCAGCGUGCCUAAAAAAACCCACGUGCCUGACGUGCUUUUUUAAGCCCACCAGCCUAAUAGUAACAACAACAACAACAAUAAUAAUAAUUUCAUAGAAAUAAUUAAUGAAAAAUAAAAUAACAAUUCUAGAAUAACAAUUACAUCUAAUUUUAUUUGAACAACUAAUAUUAUAAUUGCACAUAAACUCUAUUGAAUGAAAAUGUAAUUUUUAAUUUAUUAUAAAAAUAUUUUGUUCAUAAUUUUAUUUUUUUGUGCGUAAAUAUGAAAAAUAUUUCAUUCACAAAUGAAACAUAUCUCCAUUAACUAUUAACUAAGUUAUGAUUUCAUAAAUGAAAUAUUAAUGUCGUAAAAUUUUUUAUUUAUCAUUUAUAAAAUCAUGAUAUUUAUUUAUCCAUUUAAUAAAUUAUAAACAUAAAAAAAUUAGAAUACUUAUUUAAACUAGGACUUAAAUUAAUUUUAAAAAGCCUAUACUAAAAAAAUAUAUUAAAAUUUUUAAUUUCAAGGUAUUUAUAAAAUCAUGAUAUUUUAUAUUUAUUUUUCAUUAAAAAAUUUUAUUUUGAUAUACUUUGGCCCACGUGCUAUUGGUGGCCCACGGGCCGCGUGCUUAGCCCACCAAUAAAGUGUGCUUAUUACAUGCCUUUUCGCGUGCCGUGUUUUGCCCCAUCUCUAAUCAUACCGUGCUUUUAAGGCCUGCGUGCCUAAAAUUCUAGGCCCGCCAGCCGUGCCGUGCCGUGCCGUGCCUCGUGCCGCCUGGCCCAUUGGCCAUCCCUACUGCCCGCCAACCACAUUUGUCCAAGAUCAAUUUGUAGGAAAAAAAUUUGAAAAUCAAUAAUUUAUUUAAUUAAUUGUUAAUGUAGGCAUUUGAAUCCCCACAAAAUCUGGGUGUCAGUUCUAGACUUCUGGUGAUAUAUUUUUCUAAUUAAGGAAUAAAAUAUUUUUGUCAUUUUUUUAAUAUUUUAAUUUACCAGGCAUAUCAACUAAUUAAUUUUUCUACUUAGACUAUUAAUUCAUUACGUGCGCAAUCUGUAGCCCGGCGCUCCAAUCCCAUGCAUGUUACACACAACUCAAUCAUUAUUUAUUUAUUUAUUUAUUUUGACCAACAACUCAAUGUUUUUUAUAGAGCUGUCAAAAUUUGACACGACCCGAUUACCCGACACGAACACGACAUAAAUAAAUGGGUAUGGGUCGUCAAAUUUAACACGAUUAUUAAAUGGGUCGGGUCCGGGUCAACACGAUUUUUUUCCGUGUCGGGUUUUGGGUUAAAAUUCUUGACCCAUUUACCCGAUCAAUGACCCGAUUAUAUUUUCUAUUUUAAAAUAAUUUACAUAUUCUUAUAAUUAAAACUCAAAUAUUAGAGAUGAUUUUCUUUUUUUUUAUUCUUUAAAAGGGUGAUAUAUUUUAUAAUAUCGAUAAAUUAUGUAUGUAUGUAUUUAUGUACAUACGUAUGUAUGAUAGUGUGGAAAUAUUUUAUGUAACUUUUGUUCAAUAUAUAGAUAUUAAACGGGUUAUUGGGUAACCCGAUUAUUUUUCCGUGUCGGGUUUGGGUCUCAAUAUUUUGACACGAUUAUUAAAUGGGUCGGGUUUGGGUCGACCUAAAUUUGACACGACACGAAACUGACACGACAUGAACACGACCCGAUGACCCGUUUUGCCAGCUCUAGUUUUUUAAUAUGAAAAGGUAUUGGUUAGCUUUGUCUUUAGUUUUUUCAACUUAUAAUAAGUUUGUAUUAAGGCUCCCUUUGGUACAGAUUUUCAAGUAAAACUUAUUUAGGGUUAUUUUUAGGGACCUCCCCUGAGGUUUGGUGUAUUAACAAUCUGAUAGAAAGUAUUCACGUAAUUACAAAGACCUCCCCUGACAUUUGUAUUAUGUUAAGUGGACUGUUAUUGACUAUUGAAAAUCCAAAAAUACCCUUCCUGCCAAAAUAUUUCUUUAUUCACUGAUGAACUGAUGGGUAAUUCGUGCCAAAAUCACAAAUUACUUAAGAAGAUGAAAAUAUCCAUUGGAUAAAAAAAAUGAAAUUGCUUAAUAAAAAAAUUGACAUUGCAUAAUAAUAAAAAAAAUUGAAAUAAUGUGCGGCGGCAUAGCUGCAUCUUGCAUGCAUAUUAUUAUUGUGAUUUUUUUAUUACAAACUCCAUCCUGCAUGCUUAUUAUUAUUGUGAUUUUUUUUAUUACAAACUACUUCAUAACUAAUACAUGCCACAAGAGCAGAGCUAUUAAAAGAAAUGAUUUUCAUAUUGUAAACUUGAUAGUACAGGUGUUGGCACCGACCAUAAAACCCUUAUGAUACCAAUCUUUGCUCCAUCCAUAUUUAAAUCCAGAUCAAGUAAAUAUUAAAUUGGAUUUCAGGUCCUGAAAAUCCCACUCUAUAAUUGAUAUCUUCGAGUUUUGUUGGUGCCUCAAACCUGGAUCUAGAGCAUCAUCUCUGUCAUACUCGGAACACCUAAACUAAUGGACUUGCUGCAGCUGCUUAUUCUUCUUCUGAAAUGAUGCACGCAGAUAGAUUACAGACUUUGAAAUAAGAAAUACAAUAAACAACAUGUAAUCGAACUUAAGAUUUCGGCAAACUUGUUUGAAAAUUAGAAUCAAACAAGGAAAAUGGCAAGUCAAUAUUUUUUAAUCUAGAAAAAGGGCAAUUUCAAAGUUUAUCACAUGCCAAAUUCAUAGUCUUGCAUCCACUAUUUUCUAGUUUGAAUAACAAACAAAAGCCUUAGACAAAAACACAGAGAACAUCUCACAUGGGAGCAAAAAUUGUGUGUAGAACAAUAUACUUAAGUUACAUGUGAUUACAAUCACAUUAUUUAGCAAAUACAAAAUUACCUUCUCAAAAAAAAAAAAAAAAAAAAAAACACCACCAAAUUAUUGAAGGUAUUACAACAAUAAGGCAAAAGAACACCAAAGGCAUGCACAAACCGAAACUAACACACAACUCAAUUAGUGUCAUGACCCCAAACUGAACAAUCAUAUAAACCAUUGUGGGCUCUCUAAAAGAUUAUCACAUUAUAAGCAAACAGAAACCUAUAUUUGAUGAACUACAUCUAGUACUUACACAACUCUUAAAUCAUUAGGAAAUUGCUCUUAUCAGUCAUUACCCAAUAGUUUUUUUCAACUCAACACUAACAACCCCAAAGAGAAACAACAUCCAGCACCAUUUUCAUUAAUUAAAACAGACCCAUUGUUAUUUUUAAUCAAUAAAAUAACAACAAUAUCGUGUAAGCCACUGAUUCAAGCAUUCAAGCUGUGUUUUCGAAGACUGACCUCUUCUUGCUAUCUAAUUCCAGUCACGAUAGACGCUAGAUGCCGGCAAUACUCGCUUCUUGGAAGCUCUGGACCACCGCACGACGUCAUCUUGUGCAGUAGAUGAAAAUAAAUCAAUGAUUUCAGAAAUUAUUUGUGAGUUGCAGACGCUUCUUCUCCAUGGAUGAAAAUGAUGGUGGGUUUUGUUCAAGUGUAAGCUGUGUUUACGAGGAGAAGUACACUUUGUGAAAAAAUCAUUUUCUUUCAUCUACUGGAUAAUGACUUUGGACUGGGUAAUGGUGUGUUUAAGUCUCUAUUUCACGGACAUUGAAGCAUAUUUUGCUUGAAUUUUGAUUUUGUUUAAAUUUCAAGUUUACUUUUACUUGUUUACCCUUUUAUACUGACGCUUAUGUAUUUUUAUACUAACGUUAAGGGAGGUCUUUGUAAUUAUAUGAAUACUUUCUAUCAGACUGUUAAUACAACAAACCUCAGGGGAGGUCCCUAAAAAUAACCCAACUUAUUUAAAUAGAACUUUUACAAAAAAAAAUUUAGUUAUUUGGUUGUCAAUAAACUUUUCAAGUAUACUUUGUUUGGUACAGCUUUUCAAGUAAAACUUAUUUAAGUAGAGCUUUUACAAAAAAAAAAAAAUUAGUUGUUUGGUUGUCAAUAAAAAUUUUUAUUAAAAAAAAUAUGAAAUUACUUUAUUAGUCAAGUUUUUUUAAAGUUAUGCUAUGAAAAGAAUAAAAUAAGAUUGUCAAAUAAAUAGAAAAUAUUUUAAAUAUUUUAACAUUUAAAAAAACUUUUUAACCUUUAUUUUCAAAAAUCUAAAAUUUAAACUUUUACUAGUAAAGGCAAAAUAAUUUAUUUAAACUUCAAAAGCUUUAUUAGAAAAAUAAUCAAACAAUAACAAAAAUUAUUAUAAAAGCUUAUCGAAUUAAAUAAGUACUUAUAGUUAUUAAAGAAGUUAUAUCUAACAGACACUAAUGCCGAAAGCCCCUUCUAAUUGUGGGUGUAAAAGUUUGAAUUAUGCAUACGGUUAAGGAGUUAAGGUGUGUUUGGCAACUGCAUUAAGUGGAAAUUUUUAUUUUGUUUCGAAUAAAAAUACAGCAAGCUCGUGUUCGGCUCAAAAUAAUGGAACGUUUAAUUUGCAACCGUCGGCGGACGAAGCACACCGUUCACGGCCCUUCGUAUAAAAUUGCAUAUGUAAACGUAAAUAGGUCCGGAUUCAGAUUCGUUGCUGUAGAGAGUGGCACGCACGAUCGGGCUGCUGUCGGUGGUAGGUUGGCAUUGGAAUUCUCAUCACGCGCUUCCCCAGGCGCCUACUUAUGGCAAAUUGACACGUGACGCGUGUGGAUUGAAUGGACAGAGUCCCGGGCAGUGUGUCCAAAGCUGCCAACCGUGCUCUGAUUUUUGUCAUCCAUAAUGGCUAACGACUAACGAGGGAGAUUUCCGGGCAGAAAGAAAUUGUUGUCGUUUCUGAAGGGGAAAAAAAAGUUAUUUAAUUUGUUGUUGAAGACAAAAUGAAGAUCUAAAUAAAUAAUGGCUAAUUUUGAGUGUAAAGCAACGGUAAAUGCAUUAUUAAAUUAGAUUUAGGGUCUGAUUGAGAUUAUUUUUAGAUUUAAAAUUAAUUUUGAAAAGUUAAAAUUAAUUUUGAUGUUUAUUAAUUUUUAUUAAAAAUUAUUUUUGUCAAAAUCUCUCAUCCUCCAGCAUAUUAUAAAAAAUAAGGAAGAAAUAAUUUUUUAAAAUUUAAUUUUAAGAAUCAGUUUUAUACUUAAUAUAAUCCACAUAUAUCCUCGUAAAUAUUAUAAAAAUUUAAAAUUAUUCUUAUUUAUUUAGGAUAUAAAAUUAUUAAAUUCAAACAUAUUAUUAUUAUUAUUAUUAUUGUUAUUAUUAUUAUUAUUAUUAUAAAUUCACACACGCACACACAUACUUAUAAAUUUAUAAAUAAACUUUAUUUAACAUUUUGUUCACUUAAAUCAUUUAUAUUCUUAUAGCAGUUUAACAUUAUGAUUUACCAAACACAGAUAAUUAUUUUUAAAAUCCAUAAUAUUUUUUAAAAUAAAUUUUAAUAAAUGUUUAACUUAUUAUUCUGACAACUGAUUUUUUUUGUAAGGUAUAACCAUUAAUAAUAAAUAUUUUAAAAGUUACAGUAUCCCCAAAUUGGCCCUUACUAAUACUCUGCGUUGCCAACUAAAUACUAAUUGUAACAUUAAACAUCUGGAAUAUUUUUCUCUAACGAAACAACACAAUUAAUUUCCCUCUAAAAAAGAAAAAGAAAAAGAAAAAAUAAACUACCAACCCCACCCCUUUAGACAGCAGAGUUUUAGCUGAGGCGGCUUGCUUGCAUAAGCAUUAAGGCUGCUCUUCACCAACCAUUGAACAUUCUUUCCAUUUGAUUGUUACACUUUACUUCGCCAUCUCAUGUCCAUGUACAUUGUUUUGAAAUGAAGACUUUGCGUACAACUAAUCUUUUUCAAUUCAUAAUAAAAACUCUUUUAAUUAGUUAAUAGCUAUAGCUUCCAAUUGAGACUAUAUAUAAAAAUCCAUAUUGACUGACCAAACCAAUAAUUUUUAAUUGGCUUGAGCAUUGUCUUACUUACUUCAAAAUCGUCACUCUCUUUGAAAAGAACAUGAGAGAGUUCACCUCCAUCUCAACCCUUAACCCUAUAUCUCAGUCAAGAGAUUAUUCAUGGAAAAUUCAGAAAAAAGAAAUGUUGCAAUAUUUACGAAACUCACGUCACGUGAGGUAAGAUAAAUUAUUCCUUUCUGCUUUAAUUCAUGUACAUAAUCAUGAGAAUAACUUUAAUUAUAGUUUAUUUCUCCGUUUUAAGAUUUUUCCUUUUUUUUUUUUAAUUAAUUAAUUAUAGUUCAUUCAUUAAUCCCAUAAGAAAUUAACACCUUUGCCGGUAAAGUCACACAUACAACAAUAUUUUAGAACAAAAGGGAAGAUCAUGCACGAUCAUGAUGUUUUAUUAUAUCUCUAGCAAUAUAAUUAUCUUAUAAUUAAUUAAAAACAAAACAGGUAAUUAAGCCAAAGUGGAUGGCAUGCAUCAAUCAUCAUGCAGAACACCUCCCCUUGUUUUAAAUAUAAAUAAAAGAAAUUUGUGCCCAGAAGACUUAAUUAAUACUUCUCGUUUCUGAAGUGCUCACAUGAUAUAUAGUCGGACGCAUUAUAUUUAAUUUCAUGAAUUAAUCGUACGGUUGUAUUUUGAGAGAGAGAGAGAGAGAGAGAGUGACUGAGUAAGAUAUGGCUUAAUUUAACCAAAUCUACGUAUAAAAUUUUAAAAUGAAUUUUUGAGUUUUAACUUAGGAAUUGUCUAUGAAUAAAAGUGUUAAUCAAAUAUUUCGUGUAAAAACAGUCAGCUGUAACAUUUUCGGUUGCUUUAACAAAACUGUAUAUUUCUGUAAUUUCCUAUAUGGGCCAAAAGGAACAUUUUUCUCAGAAAUUAAAAACUUAUGGUGAAAAAGAUAAGAAAACCAACAGGUUCAAAGGUGCGAGUAAACUGGGCUCUGGUGCGCCCAACUCCCUCUUUUGAUUUUGAGACUCUAUUGACCAUUGAGUUUGAGGCCCCAACGGCCCAGUUUAAAACUGUUAUGAAAAGAAAAAAAAUAUAACUAUAAAAUUAAAAUUAAUAAUGUUUGAUAAAUAUAAUUUUUAAAUAAUAAUUUGACAAAAAUAAUAUAGGGUCUUGUGUAUAUUUUUAUUUGGCAUUUCAAUUAAUCUGCUUAUAUAUAUAUAUAUAUAAGUUAAUCUAUAUUUCUUGCAAGAAGAUAGUAUUUCUUUAAUUAAAGUCAUAACUAAUAUAUAAAUUAUCAACUAACCAUCAAACAUUUAUCUCAUUUUAUCUCCACCACGAUCAUCACCAUUCAUCCUGUCACGAUCUUUAUGUAACUACAAUUAUUUUUUCUUUAAUAAUGUCAACCCACCAACCCCAUAACAAUAUCUCCAAACAUCUCAUCUCAAAAUUCCUAAUAACAUAAGUGUUUAUGUAUGAAAGAAAAUGUGAAAUAUAUAAUCAAAAAGUAGUUUAAUAAUAUAAUGUUUAAAAAUUAUGGUAAAAAUAAGUGAGAGUUUGGCAUGGCAAGUUAAUAAAAAGAUAAAAGCUCGGACACUUGAUGCAUCAAAGUAGCAAUGUCUGUCCAUCAUUAUCAUCAUGCGGGUUUAGGUGCUUCUCAUGAUAGCAUUAGCUGGUAAGACCAUCAUGCAUCGUACUUUCAUUGUUAUACAUUUUGAAGGUAAGAAUGGUUAUGUUACGUCCCUCCGAUUAGGUGUAUUUUUCUUCUUCUUCUUCUUCUUUUUCUUCUUCUUGUACGUAAUAAUUUCUCUUUCUUCCAUGAAGAUUUCUUUCUCUCUUUCUUUUUUUUUUUUUUAUUAUAAAUAAAAUGAUAAGAACUAAUUUCCUUACUAAUUGGUAGGGUCGUUUAAUGGUUCAGAUCCAUUAGAUUUUGUCAAAUUCAAGUCCAAUCCAUCAUAUAUUCCAUUUUAUAUUCCGGAUCCGAUCACUAAUAGAAAUCCAUUAUAAUUUAAAACAAUAAAACGUCGAAUCCAAUUUAAUUCGAUAUGAUCAAUCCAAUUAAAAUAAAAAUUUACAAAUAAAAAUCAUUAGUUGCUCUCUCCAGUUAUAAUUCUUAACAAUUAAAAAAAAUACAAAAUAUCAACUCCUUUAAUAUUUCAUGAUUCAUGUACUUUAUUAUCAUAUGGUUGGAAAAAAAAGUUGAAAUUUGAAUAUUAAAAGCAAAUGUUGGUUGCGACCUGCUGUUUGUAUUCUAUAUUGUUAUAGUAUAUUUAUAGUUAUUUUUUUAGCAAGUUAAAUAUAAAAGUGACAUAUAGUUUUUUUUUAUAAAAAAAAAUAAAUAAAGAAAAUAAAAAAUUAAUUGGUUGGAUUGGUUUAUAUUGGAUUUGAACAUAUAGAUCCAUAGACCAAUCUAAUAACAUUAUAUUUUUUAUUUUGCAAUCUUAUCCAAUCCAAUCAAAAUGUCAAUAUGACAAAAGUUGGAUUGGUUUUGAUCAGAUCGAUUGGUUUGAUUGGAUUGAAUUGAAUUAGAUCUUGAACAUCCUACCAAUUAGACUUUCCGUGAUUUUUUUUUUUCCAAAUUUAAUAAAGAGACUUCCCAUGAAUGUUAAAUGCAGUUUUAUUGAUGAAUUCUGCAAUUUUAAGAAAUGUUUGAUACACGAAUAAUGCAUCUCAUCAACCAAGUAACUGCGUCCCCUGCAGCAGCCGCGGCUUCAACUGGAAUACUGCAGCCACACCGGUCUUGAGACUCAACAUUCGGCCGAAACUCAAGCAAAAGUUGAACAAUAUCAGGCCUGCUUUGAGCUAUAGCAAUAUGAAGCAAUGUUUGUCCCUGCGCACCAGCAGAAUCAGCUGGGUGGGUUCCAAGCAGGGUCACUCUGUUCAAGAACCUCUCUUAUCUCAUCCAUUUCACCAUCCUUAACUAGCUGAACCACAACAUGGGACCCAACAAACAUGAUCUUGAUUCCUAUUGAUGAACGCUGGCUUCUUCCUUCUUGUGAACCAGUCACCAGGAACCGAAUCAAGCAUCAAUGUUGCAUCUUUAAUUGCAGCUGCAGGAACGACAACGCUAUGCAAGAGGAAGGAAUCAUCACAGUGAGGGAAAGUAUGAAGGAGAACUGAUCCUGGAGGAAGAUGAUACGCAAUCUCUAUGCUUACUGUUCCGAGUGGUUGCAUUGACCUGAAUAGUUCGAUCUAUUUCUCGUGUAUCUACUUGCGCUGCACUUUCACUCGAAGAACCUACAAAAUUAUUCAUAACCCGGCAUAAAAAAGACGUAAAGUUUUCAGCGCGAGCAUGGUAACUUCAAAACCCGUUUCAUACCUAUCAUAUUUCAUUCGUCCCGCACCCUCAUUUAAAAGACUAGAGCUUAUAAAAACUAGAAGUACCUUACCCAGAACAUAAAAGCAGACAAAACCCAGUCGAGUAUAAAUAUAACGUUGAAUAACACCUACCAUUUACCAUUUCAUUCAAGAACACCACACAAUUAACGAAACCAACAUCGGUAUGUUUUCAGCCGUUGUACUUUCAACUUAAUUUUGAAAGCGCGGCAGCUAAAGCCUAAACUGUUGUUUGAUAAAAGUCCACCCACUGACUGCUACCUGGCGGCUACCGAUUCCAUUCAAUAGCAGUCAUAAAAUAAAAAGUACAAAACAAACCUAUGUACAAAAAAGGCAAUGAAGCAGCCAUGGAUUCAGUUAUUUGCAUGUUUGGGAUUGUGGUUGAUUCCAAAUUGAGAAUAUACUGCGAAAUUAUGUUUGAUAAGCAUUUAUCUGAUGAUUGCUACUUUAUUGAGUGCCUGUUUGGUAUGGCUUAUUUAAAAGCCAUAAGUGCUUAUUUAAUCGUAUAAGCACUUUUUUAAAAUUUUUAUGGUGUUUGGUUAUUUUUUUAGUAGAGUUUUUUUAGCUUAAAUAAGCUAAUUUACCUCUACUAGCAAAAGCCCAAAAUUUGAGCUUUUGGGAGUAGAGGUUAAAGAGCUUAUCUAAAAAAUAUAUAAUAAAAAAAAUAUCAUACAGUUUAAUGAUUCAAAAGUGUUUUUUUUAUUGACAACCAAACACCCAAUGACUUUUUGUCCAAAAACUCUAUUGGUAUAAGCUCUACUGCUAUAAGCUCUAUUGUUAUAAGCUCUAUUUAAUAAGCUGUACCAAACGGAGCCUAAAGCAUUCAUUUUUUUUUUUCGCGUUUGGCCUCUUCACUUUUUAAAAAAUUUUAUGGUGUUUGGUUAUUUUUUUAGUAGAGUUUUUUUAGCUUAAAUAAGCUAAUUUACCUCUACUAGCAAAAGCCCAAAAUUUGAGCUUUUGGGAGUAGAGGUUAAAGAGCUUAUCUAAAAAAUAUAUAAUAAAAAAAAUAUCAUACAGUUUAAUGAUUCAAAAGUGUUUUUUUUAUUGACAACCAAACACCCAAUGACUUUUUGUCCAAAAACUCUAUUGGUAUAAGCUCUAUUGUUAUAAGCUCUAUUUAAUAAGCUGUACCAAACGGAGCCUGAGUCUUCAAAGAAAAACUCAAUCAACUAAUGCUCGAUUUUUUUUUUUAAAUGACAAAUCAAAAAGUAUUUUGGAGUAGAUUCUCAAAAGAGUGAUUAUUUGAUAAUCCACCAUAAUCCCACUUAGUUAUCAGAAAUAAAUUAAAAUCCGACGAAUGUUACUUAAGCCAAACAGCAUUAUUUUAUUUUGACCACAAGGACCACAACCCUCAAGCUGUCAAGCAACCGUUACCGUUAACGACCAAUCUUUCACCUCUCCGAAUCUUUGCAAGUCACUAUCAAGCAACCGUUACUAAUAUUUAAUCAAUUAUUAGGAUUAUUGGAUUUCUCAAAUACCUUAUGUACUUUGGUUCACUUUCUACUAAAAUAAAUAUUACAGGAGCUUUCAAAGUCUAGGCUAAGGUUGUUGUAAACAUAGAGAGAUUCAGAGAUAUAACAGCUUGUAAUUACAUACCACAAAGCAUAACUUUGUUCGAAUGAUAAUGAUCAUAAUCCAGAUUAUAGACGUAGAGAGAGGAGAAGUCGUACUUGAGGGGCAAAACGCGGCGUUUUGGCUCGUGGAUGAGGUGCUGCUCCUGAUCGUCGUAGAUUGAAGGGAGGAGAGGUCGGUCGAGGAAGUUUAGGAGACGGUGGAGGCUGAAUUGGUGAAUUUCGAUGAAGACUGACGAAUCCAAUGGGGCUUGAGGGUUUGAUUUGCAAAGAUGAAAGAUAAGAGCAUUGUUUUGGUUUCUGUGCAAAAAAAAAAAAAAAAAACAUGACAAGCGUUGUUUUGGUUUUGGUUCUAAAAAGAUGAAAAUUUGACUGCAAUGGAUCCAUACGCAGUCGGUGUCAAAUAAGAGGAGAAACAAAUAUGUUAAUCACUCGCUCAAUCACUCAUGCGAAGUGCCUUUUUUUUCGUUGCUUUGGCUUCUGAGAAAUAUAUGCAUCAGAUAUUACAACUCUCGAGGAUAAUGCAUUUUGUUCCGGUUUUGACUGAUAUUUAGUGGCAUUUGAUAAACUGAUACCUCAGAACCUGGUAGAGAGUUUAUUAAAUACAAAGAGAACAAAAAUAUAUGACUAUAUAAGCUUUUACACGGUUGAAGAUCCGGUCAAAUUGGCUUUAGUUAGCAAGAUCAUUUAAAACUUUCAAAAAACGAAUGGUAUCAAAAAGCUCUGAGAAAAAGCGGAAAAAAGGCACCACAAAGAUCUUGCAAUUAUUAUCACAGCUUGAUAAGACAUGGAAAUGUAUCUUACAAAUUGGCCUUCCAAGCAUCAAAGAAUUGGGUGGCGACAACUCCCAUUCCUAGCUGCUACCGUGGCCAGUCCCUUCUAACUAAAAUGGGACAGGACCAAAAGCAAGGUCUCUCCCACUCUCCUUAUGUAUAUAAAAUUCCCUACAUUCGAAUAAAACUACAGAAAAAGAUUUGCACAUCAUCUUCUUUCACCUUAUUUUGCAAUCUUCAAGAGUUUGGAAGAUUUCAAAGCACUUGUUAGAAUGUAGCACUCCAUUAAGCAUUCUCACCUUCCCCACACCCCAAUGGACCUCCUUAAUCCUAUCGGCAGACCUACAAAUUCUGCUGCAACUCCAAUCAAAUAAAGCAACACAAUUGUUGCCUGCCUAAGCCUUCCACUCACAGCCUGCAAUGACAAGUUCAUGAUACAAAAUCAGAAACAUUAAUAAACAAAAAGAUAUUACCAUUACUUGCAGAGGGGGAUUUGUUGCAAUUAGUAAAUGCCAUACUUAUCACUUUCAUUGCAGAUAUCAUCAUCAUCAUAAUACUAGCAAUCCAGCACUAAUAGUCAGAAUAAUAAUAAUAGUAGCAUGAAUAAAGAAUUUCUGCAGAGUAAGCUCUAAAGAUGCCGAAAGUGUCAUCUAUUAUGUUAAUAAUAAAAAAGUCUAUCAAGAAUUCAAGGAAAGAAAACUCAUUAACAAAGAACUAAACUUUUUAAUAAUGUUUAAUAAACUACGUACCUAUGAUUUUCUAUUAUUAACAUAAAUGACACUACGUACAACUGAUUUUCGCUUUCUAAUGUUUCAAAUCAUACCGAGAAAUAUAACAAUUACCAAGUCAGUAAGUAGCACAAUUACUUAAUAAGACUUUGACUUGUCUAACCCAAAAUUGUACCCAAUUCUAUACUCUACCAUGAAAAGCUUAUGAAGCCGAACUUACUUUGACCAAACAGUACUAUUAGCUCAGUUAAAGGAAACCACAAUUGAACAAAGUUCAGCUGAAAUAACUGAACUAAAAAAACUUGAUAAAAUUAAAAGUAACUUAUAACAGUUUAGUAAAGAAGCAUACAAAACAUGAAGAUAAAUAAACAUAGGUCUAUUUUCUUGACACUACCAGGUCCUUUCCUUUUUUUUUUUUCAGAUAAGAUCUCGAUACUACCAAGUUUUGGAUUCAAAAUCACCAUAUUACAAUAAUAGUUGUGAUUCAUGGGAUACAAUAUGUAGCAGCUUAUAUGUCGGCAAUUAUAGUCAAAGAUGGUUGUCAAACAUCAUCGCAAAUCAAGAAGCUAAUAAAGACCAUGUCACACUACAUUAACAUAUAUCAGUUCUUUGAUACAAAGAUAUUGAAUGUUAUACAUUUCUAAUCCCAAGUCCUGAAAUACAAAACAAAAGUUCACUUCACACAGUCAUAAAGCUAGACUGCUAGAUAAAUGGACAAUAGGCAUUGGAUAUGGGUCAAUAAACUAUUAAGCUAAUUAAUGCACACGAAGGAAUCCGUUAGAGCUAGUAAAAUAGCCCUUACCAGAGAACUCGCAGAAGCAUUCAAUUUCCUCAAAGGAGAUAACUUACAACAUAAACAUUUUGAUAAGCAGCAACACACAUAAAAUAGCUUCACUCACUAGCAACAGAGCAACUUCUUCAACACAUUAAUAAAUCCAUUUUCAUUUUUAAACAACAAAAUAAUGCCCAGUUUCUCCAGCACAAAUAGGGUAAGCAGUAAUAGAAAAACAUGAUACAUAGGAAUUACCGGCCUCAAGAAAUCUCCAAGCUUUCUGUCCUCUGCUUCAAUUGCUCAAUCAAGAAUGCCCCAGACGUUGCGCUAGCGUGGUGGUGGAGCGUCGCGAAGCGUGUGGCGGCGGUGUCGGCGAAGGCAGGUCAUGAAGAUAGUUGGUGUCGCGCAGCGAAGGCAGUGCAGCUGGUGUCAUGCGGCGAAGGCAAAUCGCGUGGUGGUGGAGUUGGGGUCGCGCGGCAGUGGCGGUGCGGUGCUGAGGCAUAAUAGUGGCGGUGGCGUUGUGCGACAGUGGCAGUGUGGAGGCAGAUUGCGUGGAGCUGGCGGUGUUGAGGCAGAUCGCGUGGAGGCAGAUGCCGCGGUGGUGGAGUUGCUGUCGCGAUCAACGCCUGUGAAAGGGAAUGAAAGUGAAGGAGAUACCUACAAAAGAAAGAACGAGUGAAAUUUUUUUUUUUGUUCAAGGGUUUCAAACCCACAUAAACCCGACUCUCACACGGGUUCAGUAAGUUUAUGCGGGUUUGACUGCAUUACAAAUUGGUAUGACCACAACAACAGUACAAUGAUUGGUAAUUACCAAACAUGCUAUUUAUGUUGGUAUUAAAUUAAUUUAAUACAAUGAGGAGUGGUAAUAUCAUACAAUGAGGACUGUUAAAUAUGGUGUGUUUAAUAUGUUGUAUUGUAUUAUAUUAUUUUAAUACAAAUAUAUUAUAUUAUCUUGUAUUAUAAUAUAAAAUAAUGAAAAAUAUCGAAUUUCAAUAUAUAAAAAAAAAAUAAAUAUAUUUUGUUAUAUUCGAUCUGCUGUACGGCCAAGGCGGAUGUACGGUACAGCAGAUAAGAAUUUAAAUACAUACACUUAUAAUACAACUUAGUUUUUCCACAUUGUCGAGGGAUCAAAACAACCCAUCAUUGGAGUCCAAUAAGUUAUGUGGCGACACAAAAAAGUAAUUCUAUAUUUUUUACGUCAUAAAUAUGUAAAAAAAAUUGUAUUAUAUCUUAUUAUUAUUAGUUUUUUUUCUUCAGUUUUGACAAGUAUAGUUUUCUUGUUGAGUGGCUCAACAAGGCUGGUUACAAUUUCGAAAUAAUGUUCCAUCUGUAUCUGUUUUCCUUUUGUUUUUGAUUUUGUAGUAUAGUUAAUUUGUACGAAUUUGUUGCCUGGUUGGUUUUUAUGCUGAAAAGUCAGUUCAUUGGAAAUGACAGAAAAUUGUUUUUCUUUUUCAUUUUUACAGAAAGAGAUUUGCAACGUUAUAAAAGUAAGAGAUCCUAAGAGAUCCCUGAAUCAUAUUAAAUAUUAAACUUAAGAUACAGUCAAGGCUUUUAUUAUGUUACUAAUCAUGUAACGAAUAUAAUUAUGUAGCAGUCGUUAAAUACAAAUUUAACAGUUAUAAAAAUAACAUGAUUUUAUUAUCUUAUAUUUCUAUAAUCGUUGAAUUUUUAUCUGCUGUACCGUACAUCCGCCUUGGCCGUACAGCAGUAUUGAAUUUUAAAAAUUUAAUAUUAUUUUUUUAAUAUAAAUAUUAAAAAAUAUCAUAAUUCUUCAUAGAAAUCGAAGUUCAUGGCAUUAAAUUUUUAACGCCGCAUACAUAAUAAAAAAUUUGAUUCUCUAGUGCCAAUAUAAUAGAAUACAUAAAAACGAGACUGAGAAACUACGAAUAAAGCUCAUCAUCAAGGACUCCACAACAUUAUAAGAAGUACUAUGUAACAUUUGCCAAAUUACAACACCACAUCAAGACAUAUCACAAUGUAAAAUUUUUCCUAGAGAUUUGGUAAUUGAAAAACACAAUUCAAGUUGAAAACUGAUAGUCGACUUGAAAAGUUUUAACAUAUCCCAUAAAAGAAAUGUGCCAUGCCAAAAAUCCUAACCCUUGGCUCUUUGACGAUAAGAAAAUAUUGAAAAUUCCAAAGUACAGUGCAAUGGGAGAAAGAAUGCCUAUAAAGCUAGUAAAGAUAUUCUUAAACUACUAUUGGGAUGUUGGGCUGGUUGGUAGCAAAACCCAAACCCUGCUGCUGAUUUCCGAUACCACCAUCUUGGAUAAGCCGCUCUCCCUCCUCUUCCUAACUCCUAAGCCCAAUAUCUUUCCAAAACCUUCACAACCCACUCAUAAAUCUCAUUGUUGUCGUGGAUAUGCAAAUUCUCAAUCUUUUCUACUCCAUCACACUCAUCAAUCAUUUGGGUAUAAACAUUAACCCAAUUAUCCAUUCCUAUUUCCUUGUUAACCUCACCCACCUUGAAAAUGUUCUCAAGACCCUAUAGACAAACUGUGACGAUCCUUUGGUCCAGACAAACCAGAAGAUCACAGAGCGGUUUGAUGCAACCUUGGCUCACCAGGAAUCUGCAGGACCAUGGUACCAUAAGUGAUUCUAUCACAUGAACAUCAUUAGAUUAAAAAAAGAAAAAAAAAAGAAACAUCUAUCGUAUGAACAUUGCUGAGUGAAUAAAAGAAACAUACUGAAUAUGUUCAUGAGAUCCUCCAUAUGUGGCAUUUAAGACAGGCCAUGCAGCCUCCUUGAUUUCAAGUUCUGCAUGUUGAAGAAGAGGUGCACAAAAGGAAGGAUAAGGAAGGAUGAUAUUGGCCUCCAUAACAGCCUGUUGAACAAAAAUUCGACAAAUUAUAAUUAUGAGUAUAUUUAAGUAGCAAUUUUGUCAGAAUUAACUAGACUUGACUAUUGAGGAAGUCACAUUCAAAAAUAGAAAAGACGAGCAAGCAAUUGUAUUCAUGCUAUCGGGACCAAAAUACUAUGAUGCAAGCAAGAAAGAAAAACAUACAUACAUAUAAAACACUAUCUUUGAGUUGGGUAUUUUCUUUCAAUUUUGAUAAUGGCAACUUUGGAUUCUUCUGCUGAAUUACCACCACCACCACACCAUUGUAGUUUCACAUACUAAGAAAAGGCAGGUUCAGCUCCCGUGCAUGCCCAUAAGAAUAUGAUGUAUUAAUUAGAAGUAAAAUUAAUCUGUUCAAUUAAGUUCUCUCAUAUAUUUGUGUGCGUGUGUGUGUUAAUUAGUUUGCUUUCAAAUCUUUUCUCCCUUCUUAAUGAUAUAUAUUUUAAGCAUGAUAUCAACCACGAUGAAUUUAUUAGCCGAUUUUUAAUUAUACAUUCAGCAUGAUAUCACAAACCAAGAGCUUAAGUUAGCCUAAUUCUUCAUAAAUCUAAUAAUUGCAAUCAAUAAUAAUGCUGAAAAUACGAGUUUGAAUUAAGCUAGCAACUGGUUCUUAAAUUAUGCAAUAUGUAAUCAUAGGUUUACUUAAAGAUUAAAGCAUUUCUGCAAUCCAUUGUGCAAAAAGAUUAAAAAAAAAAAAAAUAGUUGCCAAAUUUUAUCUAAAUAAAAAUUCCUUUAGUGGUUAGUACUUGUGAAUUAUAGAAAUUAUUAUUAGUACUUGCUCAGCGCUUUUUAGAUUUGUACAGGUAGAUUACGCCAUUUCAAACCCGACCAUCCAUUUAGACAUACAAAUCCCCCCAAUUCCCUGUCCUCCGCCUUUACGCGACUCUCCACUGUAUGUGCCAACUAAUUAAUUUUUUAAUUACUUGUUUAACUAAUUAAUUCAUUUUCUCAAAAGCAAGAUUAAUCUAUUUGUUCAAAUCUGAAGGAGAUUAAGUUAAUUGAUUUUAUUGUAUGUAAAAAUAUACAAAGAACUCAUGAAGCCAACUAGAAAAAAAAAAAAAGACAAAAAAAAAAUCAAACCCAGAAAUAAAAAGACAUGCUUCGACAGAAAAUUAAUGAAAAUUAUACUGAUUGUGGUUCAAUUUGAUCAAACCCAAAUAAUAACCGGUUUGAUUGAUGACUCAGCGGCAAAGUGCAGGCGCAUCAGUGGUUGCACAGAUGAGUGUUCUCGUGCGGCACGACAAAGCAAUUGUCGGCGAUUGUGAUUGGUGAUGACAUCGAGCGAUGGGGGUAAUGGCAUCGGUCGUGACUUUGUGAUGGAGAAACGAAUGUUAGAUUCGUUCGAAGAUUCGUGUUUUGAUUGAAUAACAAAGAGAGAUUUUAUGAGUUUUAAUUAUCUAAUACGAUACCGCAUAAACCCGACUCGUACGUGGGUUUAUUUUAUGCGGGUUUCGGUGUACUAAAGCAGUAAAUUUAUGUGGUGCAAUUCAAACUGAUUUCACCGCCAAAAGAUCGUGUAAAUUUAAUAUUAUACAGGGUUUUAAUACUAUGUAAUCCAAUACACCAAACAUGCCCUUAAAAACGGAUAGCAAUCCGGGGCCUUUAAAAACGGAAAAUACAAGCAGAGAAAAAGAAAAGCCAAUUGUUCAAAAGUGCCUAAUAUGCCCACGGAAAAUUUUCGUCACGACCCACAGUUACUCGAAUAGGUAAUAAGACAGGAAUGCCUUUGUUUGUUCGAAUAUAGAAGCACAAUGGCUCAGAAAGGAUCCCUCCAAUCUCCUUGGCACUGUCAGCUGGGUGCGGAGUAGCUUGGUGGCAGCAACCAUGUUUGAGAGGGCUGGCUUCACCUCAGUGUACUUGCGAGUCUUGAGACCACAGUCAGGGUUAACCCACAAAAUGUUGGUUUCUAGCACAGUACGCAUCUCGUAGAUUCUGUCAACAAUUUCUUCGGUUGAUGGUAUUCUUGGAGAGUGGAUGUCAUAGACGCCAGGGCCAAUUGCAGCAUCAUACUGGACUCCCUCACGGAAGACUGACAGGAGAUUCUCAUUAGAACGAGAGUUCUCAAUGGUGAUCACAUCAGCAUCCAUGUCGAUAAUUGAGUGGAUAAUGUCGUUGAAGUUGGAGUAGCACAUGUGGGUGUGGAUCUGUCAAUCAAUAAACAAUAGAAUGAGAUACAAAAUCAACAGCUAAAUUAAAGAGAUGAGAUUGGAGAUUAAAAGGGUAACUGACCUGGGUAGUGUCCUGGAUGCCACAGUUGGUGAUUCUGAAGGAGUGGACUGCCCAGUCCAAGUAGAAAGCAUGCUCAGAUUUCCUGAGAGGCAAUCCUUCCCUCAAGGCAGCCUCAUCAAUUUGAAUAACGUUAAUGCCUGCCUUCUCAAGAUCCUCGACUUCGUCCUUGAUGGCCAAAGCAAUCUGGUAGCAGGUUUCAUGUCUGCAAAAUUGGCAGCGAUUGAUGUUAAACAAUGUUUCCAUUCCAAAAGGUUAACCAAUAGUGAACCAGUUCUCAUUUAUAUACCUGGGCUGGUCAUUUCUGACAAAGGACCAGUUGAGAAUGGUGACAGGGCCAGUAAGCAUUCCCUUCAUUGGGCGAGCAGUCAUGCUCUGAGCCCAGGAGGACCAGAAGACGGUCAUAGCCUUGGGACGGCUCACAUCACCAUAGAUGAUGGGUGGCUUCACACAGCGAGAUCCAUAGGAUUGCACCCACCCAUUGGCAGUGAAGGCGAAACCUGAUAACUGCUCUCCAAAGUACUCAACCAUGUCGUUUCUCUACAAAAACAAAUGUCCGAAUUCAAUUUGAGAUCCAGCAUACUUCGUAUGCAAUUAGAAAUGCAGAAACAAAAAUGUAUAAAAUUUUAUGUAAUUCAAAACCAGGAGACAUUGCUUUGCUUCCAUUGGGCAUUGCGAGACUCACCUCAGGCUCUCCAUGGACAAGGACAUCAAUAUCAAGCUCUUCUUGGAGUUUGACAACCUUGUUGAUUUCCUCCUUGAUGGAAGCAACAUAUUCUUCCUCAGAAAUCCUAAAAAGGACAAAUAGUCACGGCACAGUUAAUACAGUAGUUGCAGUAAUUUCACACAUGGCAUUGAAUGAAGAAACACCUCAGAUUGACUCACUUCUUAGCCUUGUAUUCACGGCGGACUCUCCUAAGUUCAAUGGUUUGUGGGAAGGAUCCAAUUGUGGUGGUUGGGAGGAUUGGAAGAUUGAGCUUCUUCUGUUGAGCAUCUAAUCUAGCACUAACGUUUGUAGCACGUCUGUGGUCUGAUCCCCUCAAAGCAGCAGCCUAAUAGACCAAGAGGAAGGAAUCACUGUUAGCAAAAAAGGAAAUUCUAAGGGACAGCCACAUCAUAAAAAUGGAAAACAAAUCAAUCAUGCCACUUACAGCCUUUUGAACUGCCUCAUUGGUCACUCUCGGGGAGGACUUUCUUGAAGCCUGAGCUGCAGCAUUGGCAGAGAAGAAUCCCUGGAAACAAAUGAUAAGGAGAACCAAAGUUAGUCUCAUUCAUAUCAUUUUAAAAAGAAGAUACAUAUGCAAUUAGUGGGCUGAUUGUGAGAGAAAAAGUCCCCAAAACUUUAAUCAAACACCAAAUGCCCAAGUUGCCAAAUGAUGUUUAAUUCGGAAAAAUAUAUUUAAAAACAUUCAAAUAUAAUUUCCCCUUCUAAAUUUUCAUUUUCAACAACAUAUUUUACAAGCCAAGCUCAACGUCAGGCCAAGAUUUUGUGCUCCUAUAAUUAUAUUUUACCAUAAAACUAGGUCCUUGAAAGGCUAAGAUUUUCUGACUCUUGUGACUAGUCAAAGCCUAAGAUUCUUUCAAUUCAUCCGUAGUAAAAGUAUACCUCAUCCUUUUGGCCAGCCAAAGCCUUGGCCAAUGCAUUGACUUCAACAACUUUCUGGGCAGCAAAUGCCAGCCAUGACUUGAUUUCGUCGUCGAGUUUGUUCUCAUUAACAAGAUCAACAGCAGUGUGAAGAAGUGAGCAGGAGGUGGAGACCACAAGCUUGUCUGCAAAGAAAAGUAAUAAAUUAUACAACAAAUCCCAUAAUAGAAUAAGAAAUAUUUAUCACAAAGAAAAAUGCAAGCAAAGGAUGUAUACCUUUGCCAACAACACCCUCAAGCCCCCGGAGAACACUAAGAGAAGCAGCAAGAUCAUUGGCCCAAAUGUUCCUUCCAUCAACCACUCCAGCAAAGAGGUACUUGCCAGCAGGGAAUCCACUCUUGAUCAAUUCAAGGGUCUUGGUUCCACGAACCAAAUCAAAUCCAUAAGCGGUGACACCCUUCAAAGAAGUGAGGGUCUGGAAUGCCUCAGCUGGAACAUCAGCAAAGUAGGUCUCAACAAGAACAUUCAAGCCAGACAGAGUUGACUCUAGUUCCGCGUAAGCCUCACUGAAUGCUUGCAAUUUGUGUGAGUCAAGAUCCGUAACAAGCAAUGGCUCAUCAAACUGAAUCCAGGAAGCACCAGCAGCCUUAAGCUCAGAAACAACUUCCCUGCAGAAGUGUUAAUUGGUACGACACGGAUUAAUGAUGCCACACGAUACACACACACACACACACACACACACACACACACACACACACACACACACACACACACACACACACACACACACACACACACACACACACACACACACACACACACACACACACACACAGACAGAGUUAUUUAGCACAUACACGUUUAUAAAUCUGUAAAUAGGUGAUAAUUCUUACUUGUAGAUCGGAAGGAUUUUGGGAAGAAGAGAGAGAACAGAAAAGGUCUUCUCAACCCCCCAGGCAGGCUUAGACAGCAACAAGUAUGACACAGGGCCAAUAAGCACUGGGACAGUUUCAACUCCAUGCUGCAGCAUUAGACAAGUGGUAGAUAUUAGCAUCUCACAAACUUGAUCUGACUGAUAGAAAGUUACAAGCAAGUUAAGAAUAUGUUUGAUGAAAUUUCAAUGAAAAAUCUUCAGGGUCCACAACAUGUUGACUAUACCCUUUUUAAGUAAUUUAUCUUAAGACUAUUUUGCAAACAGUAUUGCUUCCCUUUACAGAUCAAAUAAAUCAUACAACAUCUGAACGCAUUUCCUGAGCCAAAUAUAAGUUCAAAGCUCUAUAAUAAAUGUCAAUGACUCUAUAGUAAAUUCCAUCACAUUCUGAGCUAUGGAUGAGCAUAUCAUAUGCCAAUUUCAAGUUGAACGUAACCCAAUUUCAACAUAUUGUAGAUUCAAGUAUCAAACGAAAAAAAAAAUAUUGUAAAUAUAGACAGAACUGAGAACAAACACUCACCCCCUUAGCCUCCUUGUACUCAGUCACAGCCUUGUGGGAAGCGUAGGAGAACUUAACAUCGGGUCCCAAUUCAGGAACAAUGAAAUGACUGCAUCAACACGAAGCCAAACACACGUCAGCAUUCAGUACAAAACCAUUACACCAUAACUAACUUGAAAUGCCGCUCUUCCAAGUAGUGAAUACUUACUAGUUGGUGUCGAACCACUUGGUCAUUUCCAUUGCGAGAACAGAGGCGUUUCCUCUGGCCAUGGAGAAGUAAACAUCGAAUCCAAUCUCGCCGCCGUUCCAGUUAAACCUCGGGGGCACGGCACCGAGCAUUGCGGUGGUGUCGAGCACUUGGUCGUAGUAGGAGAAAGUGUUGCUGGGAAUGUAUUUGAUCCCGGCCUCGGACAUCUGUUUCCAGAUGGAGGAUCUGAGAUCAGCGGACACCUUUUGCAAAUCCUCGGCGCUGCUCUUGCCAUCCCAGAAGGAUUCCAACGCGAACUUGAGCUCCCUCUUGGGGCCCAUGCGUGGGUAACCAACGAUGUGAGAUGCCAUUUUACUGUCAUAAUCACGUCAUCAAUGAAUCGAAAAUCAGUCCCUUCCAUUAAAUCAAGAAAUUAUUAAUUCAAAUGAAUGGAUCACAUUGUAUAUAUAUGGGAUAAAUAUAAUUAUGAACAAAAGCGUCUAAUCAAUCACAAAAAGCAAGCGACUGCAUCAAAUUUAGGGAUCCGACCCGACCCGACCCGAUCUGUAAAUUCCGGUUUCAAUCGGAUUAAGAUGAAACCUCUAACCCGAUAUAGUUGGAUUUUGGCCAACUCGAUCGGAUCAGAUCGGAUCGGAUUAAACUUAGUCCAAUCCGAAAAAUUCAAAAAAUCAAAACUACAAUAAGUAUAAAUCUAAAUUUUCAAUUCAAUUUGAUCUAAUCUGAAUAUAUUCGAAUCGGAUCAAAUACUAUGCUCUGCUUAAACUUGGAUUAUAUUUUUUUCAAUUUGAUUAACCUAAAAUUCGAUUGGAUAGAUCCAAAACUGAAUUUAUCUACCCCUCAGUCAUCAAUCAAUUACAAAACCUAAAAUCCGAUUGGAUAGAUCCGAAACUGAAUUUAUCCACCCUUAAGUCAUCAAUCAAUUACAAAGGCGACUGAUGUUUAUACAAUGGACAAUUAUUAAGUUACAGCUCUUGUAAUUUACAACUUAUACAAAAAUAUGUGAAAAAUUGUGAUAGGCAGUACAGUGUCAUGAUUUUAUACAAAAAUAUGUAAACAAUUGUGAUAGACGGUAGAACCUCAUGAUUUUAUAAAAAAUACGUAAAAAGUUGGGAUAAGUAAUGGAGCCCGCAUAAUUUUUUAUCAGCUGCAAGUUGCAAGUUACAGCAACUGUAACUUAGCGACCCCGACUUCAAUGUAAAAUGAGAAAGUACUCCUCCGCAUAGUACCUGAUGCUCAAAAGUCAAAUCACACGAAAUGCAAAUAGACUUAUCAGAGCAUAAAACCUUAUAUUACUUUUUGAAAAACGAUUUGAAACAAGGGCAAAAUUACAGUGUAACCGUACUUAGUCAUUGAAUUCAGCUCACAAUUAUCAUUAUAGUUAGAUCUAAUAACUAGAUCCAACUGUAUCCACAGUUAUAUUGUAGUUAGAUCUGAUAACUAAAUCCAGAUCCAGCUGUCCCCACAAUUGUCAUUAUAGUUAGAUCUAAUAAUUAGAUUCGGCUGAUUCAGCUGUGAUGUAGUACCCUGUAGUGCCAUAACUGGACAAAGAAACAAACUGAUAUAUUUUCUUUUUUGAAACAAACUGAUACUAAUCCAAGAGUUUCAGAUGAUCGGUUUUUUUUUUUUUUUCUAUAGUCACAUCAAUAAUUAAGUACUUUCAGUCAUUUUCGAAGGAUUAAAACGAAAACUCUAAAAAAAUUCUGAGAAUGAAGAAUCCGAAAAUAGAUUCAGAAAUAGUAACACAAGUAGAGGUCAGAUUGUUUUUUGGAAAAGAUUAAUUGCAGAUCUGAUGAACUCAAGUCUAGAUCUAGCAAAAUCACGGCAGCCAAACACUAGAUCUAAGACUAACAGUCACUCACCAGUCGAUCAGAAAGUGAAAUCAAGUUCAAAAUUCUUUUUUUUUAAUAGAUCCAAAAGCUAAUAUACAUAUAUAUAUGGCAAAAUAUAUAUACCGUACCCGAGAAGGACGAGCAGAGAAAUUAAGCUUUUUUCGAGAGAACGAGAAAGAAGAGAGACGAGACUGUUAGAAAUUGCUGUCAGUUUAAUUUUUAUUUAUAGCCAAAAACCUAACCUUGUUUAGUGGUUACUGGUUACCGUCUUCGGCGGUGUUGAUCUGAGAUUUAUCAUUUUAAUUUCUUUCUCUUACUUAUUUAUUUAAUUUGGGUCCAACUACGGUGAAACUGUAGUACCGUGCUACAGUUAUUUUCAACCGUUUGAUUCACUUGGAUGGUGGGAUCCAAUAAAAUCCAAUAACUGGGUGCAACCGUAGCACGGUGCCGCAGUUGCACCACAGUUUUUCCCAUUUAUUUAUUAUGCUUUCAGUGCAGUUGGCAAAAACAUGGAGCUUACGCGCGCUUUUCUGAUGUGGCGCGUGAAUUGGAAAUGUGGUAGAUCUUUGUGGAUCCGCCGGUGCAGUGAAGAGUGAAGGAAAAAAGAGAAAAGUUAUCAUGCCAGAUCAUUUGAAGAGAGCCGCAAUUAGUAAUUACACCACAAUAUAUUUCUGAUUAUUUGCUUACUUUGAUGAUGUUUUUACUGAUUAGUAAUUGGAAUAUGUUAGAAUCUAAAUAUAGUAGAAUCAUAAUAGAGUUGAAUCAAAAUAGACUAUAAUUAGAAUGGAUAAUGGGAAUUAGAAGAAUUAUUUGCUUUAGUUGUGAGAAUCCAAAUUGGAAUGAACUAUAUUGUCGUUGAUAUGUUUACUUUAUCAUAGAAUAUGAAUGAAUUAUUACAAGUUACUAAACAGACCUUAAGUUGAUUAUUGUCAUUAUUUAUUUAUUUAUUAUUAUUAUUAUUAUUAUCAUCAUCAUCAUCAUCAAAAUUAUUAAUCUUAUUAUUAAUGUUAAUUAUAAUAAUUAAUAAUUAUAAUAGUAUUAUAAUAAUAAUAAUAAUAAAAGCAAUCAUAAAAUGAGAAUUUCAAGAUUUAAGUAGAGAUAAUAUAAUUAUUUUAGAAAAUGAGAAUUUCCAUGAGAAUGUGAACUCUAUUAAUCAUUCCCAAUUUGAAGUGGGGCCUGCCAUUUUGAUUCAAUCUCUCAUUUAAGCAAGUAAAUACGACAUUUAUUCUCAUUCCCUCAUUCCCACUCUCAGGUAGCGUUUGUUUUUUAACUUAAUGACUUAAAGUGACUUAACUUAAUUAAUUAAGUUAAUUAGAGGUGUUUAUUUUUAUAACUUAAUGAGACUUUUUAGAUAAUUUUGACUUAAUAAAAUGAGCCAAUUUUUUUUGGCUUUUUACUUAAUGGAGAAAUUUGAAUUUAGUCAAUUACUUACUAAUGUCAAAAAUAUCUAUGUUUUAUAAUUUAUUUUUCAUGUCUAUCCCAAAACUCACCCAUAGACAUUUACCCCACAUAAAAAUAUCCCUAUUUUUUCUUUCUUAUAUUAUAUACGAUAAAAUUUGAAAUUUAUGGUAUUUUAUAUAUUAAAAUUCUAAAAUAAUUAUGUAUUCACUUGAAUAUAGUUUUACUUAUAACUGUUAAAAUAUUGUGGUAUUUAAUAUAUUAUUUAUUUGACAUUAAAAUUUAAUAAGGAUACAAAUGUAAAAGUACAUAUUUUCAGUUUUUUCAGUUAAAAAAAAAGCAACUUAAUACUUAUUUUUCGAGAUUCAGACGAAAAAAUAAACAUAUUAUUCAUAUUCAGACAUUUAGAUAUAUUCAGAAUUCAAACUAAUUCAGGUCUAUUCAGAUUUUAGACAAAAAAAACAAACGCCACCUCAAUCAAUAAACACACCAUAAAUGUAGAGUUGUUACUAUUAGAAUACAUUAUAAUUCAUCACAAUUAUGAUAGGUAUAUACGUGUGUAAUAAUUUAUAUAAGAUGCUAAAUUUUGAAAAUAAUAAAAAAUCAUUUAUACAUAUUUAAAAAAAUCAUUAAUACAUUAAAAUGUGCAUCACAUAUACAUUUACAUAAUAGCAAUGACCAUAGUAUAAAAAAAACUCCUAAAAGAGAACGACUUCGUUAUUUAUGUUAUUUUAUAUAUUUUUAAUUGAUUAUUAAAAGGAUCAAUUGUUAAUUAUUAUUCUCCAAACAUAAUCACCGUUAAACAUUUAUUCAAUUUAACAAUAGGUAGAUGUUAAAUAAUAUUGGAAUAUUUAAUGAACAAUAUAAUCACUAUUGCAGUUGUUUUUUUUUUUUAGUAAUGGAUUAUUCGAAACUCAAAUUCAUUUUUUAGCCCCCUUACCUCUCUUAAAAUUCAAAUUUAAGUGACUAAACAAAUAAAACUGCUUAAAAUCUAUACGACUACAUCUUUGGGGACCAAUUAAUAUGGAUGUUUAAAUCUUGAUUUAUUAUUAAAUCUUUGAGUUUCAACCACUAAUAACAUCAUCAUCGAUUAAUGACAAAUAAAAUAAUACAUCAUCAAAACCAUUAAACACGUCCAUCAAUAUCAAAAACAAGUAAAAAGUUUAGCAUGUAUUUCAAAUAUACUUUUCAUCCCAAAAGUUGUAGAGAAAGUCUCGAUAUCAAUGUCACUAUGAGACGUAAUUUUAUAUUUAAAGUCAGCGCAACUUAAAAAUUACUAUGAAUGAAUAAUACACCAUAAAAAAAUUAUUUAUAAGUAUUUUCAUCAUGUAUUUUUAUUUAACAAUGGUGACAUUUAUUUUUUAACUUAAUGACUUAAAGUGGCUUAACUUAAUUAAUUAAGUUAAUUUUAGGUGUUUGUUUUUAUAACUUAAUAGGACAUUUUAGAUAAUUUUGACUUAAUAAAAUAGGCCAAUUUUUUUUAACUUUUUACUUAAUAGAGAAAUUUGAAUUAAGUCAGUUACUUUCUAAUGUAAAAAAAUAUUCCUACUUUAUAAUUUAUUUUUCAUGCAUAUUCAAAAACUCACCCAUAGAUAUUUACCCCACAUAAUCUCAUCUUUAUUUUCUUCCAGCCGUCAUGGAAUCCCUCCUCACUUUGCUUCUCUCCUCUAGUUCUUGAAUCUCCCUUUAAUUUCUCGCUAGGCAAAGCACUUGAAUUGGGCUUUUUUUUUUUCCUUUUCAAUUACGUUUUCCAACAUUCACUUAUAUAAUAAUCAACUAGUUGCUACUCUUUUUAGUGAUAAAAUUUGAAAUAUGGUAUUUUAUAUAUUAAAUUUUCAAAAUUAUGUAUUCACUUAAAUGUAGUUUUACUUAUAAAUAUUAAAAUAUUAUGUUAUUUAAUAUAUUAUUUAUUUGACAUUCAAAUUUAAUAAGGAUAUAAAUGUAAAAGUACAUAUUUUUAAUUUUUUAAGUUGAAAAAAUAACUUAAUAUUUAUUUUCAGAUAUUCAAAUAAAAAAUAUAUUAUUUAAAUUCAAAAAUUUAAAUCUAUUCAAAAUUUAAAGUAAUUCAGGUCUAUGCAUAUUUCAAUCAUAAAAACAAAUGCCACAUGAGUCAUUCAAUUUCUAAUUAAGAGGAUAAAAAAUAGAUUUGGACUAUCCUAAGACAAAAACAAAAAAAAAAACAAAAAUAAGAUUUCCUAAUAAGUGUACUAACGUGGUCACGCGCCUUGAGAAACGCUUGGACCUAACACACUAUUUUAAUCCGAUAUGCAAAAAAAGAAAAAAAAAAAAAAGGAAAAAUUAUGAGAUGUAUAAGUUUCUAGAGACGUGUUAAAUUUUGAUGAAACAAUGAAGAAAGUCGGUGGCCGAAGUUGGUAUGGGGCAAUGCGAAUGGUGGUUGGCCCACGUUGCCCUGUAAUUGGAGUUGUUAUAAUUUUUCUUAUAAUUAAUAGGACUUGACACAGACUGCAGCAUCAGCCGUUGGAUGUGGAGGGAGAAACUAAACAAUAGAAAACCGUAUGGUGGGAUGACGGUAGAUGUUUGUUACAGAAACUGUACCAUAGACAGGUCCUAAUUAAUAAGCUCUACGUUUUGAAACAAUAAAUAAACUCCAGAUGACCAAAAUAUCAUUUCAUACUGCUACCUAGACAUCUUGGCGAGGGUGGGUAAUGUGGGGCCCGGAGCUUGUUUGAUCGUCAAUUAUUCUCUGGUUUGGUGAAACGAAUGGACGGACGAUGGUGAUGGCUUUUAGGAGAUUAGUAUUAUUAUUAUUAUUAUUAUUAUUACAUUGAGAUCGUAAAACAAAAAAUUCAAUUAAUAAUAUAAAAUAUUUAUUUAAUUUAUUAAUUAUUAUAUAUACACAAUAAAAAAAUUUAUAUACAUAUUUAUAAAUGUGUAAAUAAAUUUCAUUCAAUAUUAUAUCCAAUUAAUCAUUUAUAUUUUUCUGCUGUACCGUACAUCCGCCUUGGCCGUACAGCAGUAAAGCUGCUGAUGCUUUAUCGCGAAUUCAUGAGGAAAAUGUGAUUGAAGAACCCAAACCAACAACUCUUUGUUUGUCGUUAGACAUUUACCCCACAUAAAAAUAUCCCUAUUUUUUCUUUCUUAUAUUAUAUACGAUAAAAUUUGAAAUUUAUGGUAUUUUAUAUAUUAAAAUUCUAAAAUAAUUAUGUAUUCACUUGAAUAUAGUUUUACUUAUAACUGUUAAAAUAUUGUGGUAUUUAAUAUAUUAUUUAUUUGACAUUAAAAUUUAAUAAGGAUACAAAUGUAAAAGUACAUAUUUUCAGUUUUUUCAGUUAAAAAAAAAGCAACUUAAUACUUAUUUUUCGAGAUUCAGACGAAAAAAUAAACAUAUUAUUCAUAUUCAGACAUUUAGAUAUAUUCAGAAUUCAAACUAAUUCAGGUCUAUUCAGAUUUUAGACAAAAAAAACAAACGCCACCUCAAUCAAUAAACACACCAUAAAUGUAGAGUUGUUACUAUUAGAAUACAUUAUAAUUCAUCACAAUUAUGAUAGGUAUAUACGUGUGUAAUAAUUUAUAUAAGAUGCUAAAUUUUGAAAAUAAUAAAAAAUCAUUUAUACAUAUUUAAAAAAAUCAUUAAUACAUUAAAAUGUGCAUCACAUAUACAUUUACAUAAUAGCAAUGACCAUAGUAUAAAAAAAACUCCUAAAAGAGAACGACUUCGUUAUUUAUGUUAUUUUAUAUAUUUUUAAUUGAUUAUUAAAAGGAUCAAUUGUUAAUUAUUAUUCUCCAAACAUAAUCACCGUUAAACAUUUAUUCAAUUUAACAAUAGGUAGAUGUUAAAUAAUAUUGGAAUAUUUAAUGAACAAUAUAAUCACUAUUGCAGUUGUUUUUUUUUUUUAGUAAUGGAUUAUUCGAAACUCAAAUUCAUUUUUUAGCCCCCUUACCUCUCUUAAAAUUCAAAUUUAAGUGACUAAACAAAUAAAACUGCUUAAAAUCUAUACGACUACAUCUUUGGGGACCAAUUAAUAUGGAUGUUUAAAUCUUGAUUUAUUAUUAAAUCUUUGAGUUUCAACCACUAAUAACAUCAUCAUCGAUUAAUGACAAAUAAAAUAAUACAUCAUCAAAACCAUUAAACACGUCCAUCAAUAUCAAAAACAAGUAAAAAGUUUAGCAUGUAUUUCAAAUAUACUUUUCAUCCCAAAAGUUGUAGAGAAAGUCUCGAUAUCAAUGUCACUAUGAGACGUAAUUUUAUAUUUAAAGUCAGCGCAACUUAAAAAUUACUAUGAAUGAAUAAUACACCAUAAAAAAAUUAUUUAUAAGUAUUUUCAUCAUGUAUUUUUAUUUAACAAUGGUGACAUUUAUUUUUUAACUUAAUGACUUAAAGUGGCUUAACUUAAUUAAUUAAGUUAAUUUUAGGUGUUUGUUUUUAUAACUUAAUAGGACAUUUUAGAUAAUUUUGACUUAAUAAAAUAGGCCAAUUUUUUUUAACUUUUUACUUAAUAGAGAAAUUUGAAUUAAGUCAGUUACUUUCUAAUGUAAAAAAAUAUUCCUACUUUAUAAUUUAUUUUUCAUGCAUAUUCAAAAACUCACCCAUAGAUAUUUACCCCACAUAAUCUCAUCUUUAUUUUCUUCCAGCCGUCAUGGAAUCCCUCCUCACUUUGCUUCUCUCCUCUAGUUCUUGAAUCUCCCUUUAAUUUCUCGCUAGGCAAAGCACUUGAAUUGGGCUUUUUUUUUUUUCCUUUUCAAUUACGUUUUCCAACAUUCACUUAUAUAAUAAUCAACUAGUUGCUACUCUUUUUAGUGAUAAAAUUUGAAAUAUGGUAUUUUAUAUAUUAAAUUUUCAAAAUUAUGUAUUCACUUAAAUGUAGUUUUACUUAUAAAUAUUAAAAUAUUAUGUUAUUUAAUAUAUUAUUUAUUUGACAUUCAAAUUUAAUAAGGAUAUAAAUGUAAAAGUACAUAUUUUUAAUUUUUUAAGUUGAAAAAAUAACUUAAUAUUUAUUUUCAGAUAUUCAAAUAAAAAAUAUAUUAUUUAAAUUCAAAAAUUUAAAUCUAUUCAAAAUUUAAAGUAAUUCAGGUCUAUGCAUAUUUCAAUCAUAAAAACAAAUGCCACAUGAGUCAUUCAAUUUCUAAUUAAGAGGAUAAAAAAUAGAUUUGGACUAUCCUAAGACAAAAACAAAAAAAAAAACAAAAAUAAGAUUUCCUAAUAAGUGUACUAACGUGGUCACGCGCCUUGAGAAACGCUUGGACCUAACACACUAUUUUAAUCCGAUAUGCAAAAAAAGAAAAAAAAAAAAAAGGAAAAAUUAUGAGAUGUAUAAGUUUCUAGAGACGUGUUAAAUUUUGAUGAAACAAUGAAGAAAGUCGGUGGCCGAAGUUGGUAUGGGGCAAUGCGAAUGGUGGUUGGCCCACGUUGCCCUGUAAUUGGAGUUGUUAUAAUUUUUCUUAUAAUUAAUAGGACUUGACACAGACUGCAGCAUCAGCCGUUGGAUGUGGAGGGAGAAACUAAACAAUAGAAAACCGUAUGGUGGGAUGACGGUAGAUGUUUGUUACAGAAACUGUACCAUAGACAGGUCCUAAUUAAUAAGCUCUACGUUUUGAAACAAUAAAUAAACUCCAGAUGACCAAAAUAUCAUUUCAUACUGCUACCUAGACAUCUUGGCGAGGGUGGGUAAUGUGGGGCCCGGAGCUUGUUUGAUCGUCAAUUAUUCUCUGGUUUGGUGAAACGAAUGGACGGACGAUGGUGAUGGCUUUUAGGAGAUUAGUAUUAUUAUUAUUAUUAUUAUUAUUACAUUGAGAUCGUAAAACAAAAAAUUCAAUUAAUAAUAUAAAAUAUUUAUUUAAUUUAUUAAUUAUUAUAUAUACACAAUAAAAAAAUUUAUAUACAUAUUUAUAAAUGUGUAAAUAAAUUUCAUUCAAUAUUAUAUCCAAUUAAUCAUUUAUAUUUUUACAGCGGUUUAAUAAUAAUAUUUACUAAAUACAUAUGAUUAUUUUUAAAAUUCACAGUAUUUUUAAAAAUAAAUUUUAUAAAAUUUUUAACUAAUUUUCUUUACAACUAACUAUUGAACGGUUUAACUAAUAGUAAUUAUUUUUAAAAUUAUAGUAUUAUCAAAUUAGUCCUAUGUCAAAUUUGUUAUUGCUGUUUUUUUUUUAAUUAAAAAAUUACAUAGUGCAUACGUGCAUAAUAUGCCCAACUCAAAAAUUCACACAAAAUAUACUAUUUAACUUUAAGGCUUUAAUUGAAAAAAAAAAUUAAGAUUAAGAUGAAUAAAUACUAGAACAUAACAAAUAGAUAAACUCUCCCAUUCUUUAAAAAGAUUAAUUUUAUUUUAAACUUACACUUCGAAUUCAAAGUAGACAUUGAUUGAUAAAAUUAUACAAACGGAUCAAUAUUCCUACAUUUUCUUUUUAAUUUCAAAACCAACAGAUAUUGUUUGUUCAUUAUAUGACCUCCAAACAAAUAAUUUCAUUAAUAAAAUAAUAAUGAAAAGUGUCGUGAUGGGUAUAGAGUAAUUAGGUGGCUAAGUUUCUACUUUUCAUUCUAACUCUUGAGGUUGGUAGGCGCGUGGGUGGUCCACAAAACCCGUGGACGGUAGCAUUCAAACAAAGACUGGAGGCACCAGAAAAAUGUCCAAAAAGUGUGAAACCGUGACGUGUUCAACAUGUUAAUAAAUUUAGGCAAAUGUUAAAGUUACGGAGCUGGCUACGUUACAGAAACUGUACGUAACAGCCAUGCAUUUUUUAUUCGUUGGAUCUAGAGACUGAAAUUGGAUGGUUGGGAUUAAAGGCCAGAAUAGAAAUUAAUCACGGGCAACCGUUUUUAACAUUUAGAAGGGUUUAUUUUCAUGCACACCCAAAUAUUUUGACAAAUAUCAAUAUGCACCCAGUAACUUUUUAUGUAAAACCACAUAACCGACCCGUUAACUUUUCUACUAUUGAAUUAAAAAACUAUCAUGCCUCAAUUGAAUUAAAUUGAUCAGGUAAAAUAUCUUUUAUAACUUGUCAAUUUUUACAGUGAAAUAUACGAGUAUUUAGUAAAAUCAAAUUUAUUUUUUAUUCAGUAAUCAAAUUUUUUUAUUUAGUGAAAUCAAAAUUAUUUUUCUUUAGUUGUAAGAUUUUUUUAACAAAAAAAUUCUAAAAUCAGAUUUAACUCAUUUACUAUUUUAAAAAAUGAACUUUUUACUAACCAAACUAGAGUUUAUCUUUAGUCAACAUAUUUUUUUCUCUAAAAUAACCUUUGAUAGAAUUACUUAUAUAAACAUGUCAGUAUCAAAAUUACUUCAUAUUUUACCAUCCAUCAAUUUAAACUAGUGUGAAAUUUUUUUAGUUUGAUAUUGAAAAUAUGAUAGUUGAUGAGAGAAAUCUAAUUCAAAUUUACAGAUAGAAUAGUUUCUUAUAAUUGCGUACAUGGUAUAUCAAAAAUAUUUUUUUGUGAGUUUUUAAAAAAAUUGUGUCACAAGAUGAAAUUAUCUCUUGAUUUUUCAAUUCCUGGAAUUUAUGUAAAACAAUAAACACAAGUAAAUCUUUUGGUUUGUGACUUCUUGAAGGAAUGUUUGGGAACGCACAAGUUCCUCUCUCCUUCAAAAAGAAUGAUAAGUGCAAAUACCAACCUAGAAAAUUGAUUUAUAAUUCAAAGAAGAUUUGAUUGAAGAUGAUUAAUUGAAAUUUAUCUUUGCAUGAUGUCAAACAUUUUUCAAAAUGACUAAGUCAAGUCUCUUUGUUAAUUCAAAUCAAGAAAAAUUAGAAAAAUAUUAAUGCAUAGAAAUUCUACUAAGAGUUAUUUAUGAAAUUCUCAAACGAAUAGAAAUUAAAUUAACAUUUUUAAAUUUUAGUUAUGGGUUUAUUUUAAAAAUGGGUUUAGAAAGAAAUUUGAGGGGUUUAAAGAACCCCGCCCUUUCUUUAAUUAUUCGGUGAAUUUGAAAUAUAUUAAUAAGGUAUAAGAAUAUGUUAUUCUAAUCUUCUUAUGCAAAAUCUAUGCAAUUAAAAAAAAAUUCACCAAACGGUAUUUGUCUUUUUAUUGACAUUUAAUAAUAUUGAUGGCAAAUAUAUACAAUUAUCAAUCAAUUGUUAUCAACUAUUCAAGAUAACUGAAAAACUAAUUGCGUGAAGUUGGAGUAAUGAUUGUUUGAAUUGCCAAGAGUUUUUUUUUAAUAGAAACUAUUGCAAUUCAUAUCAUUAAAAAACUUAAAGACUACAAGUCGAAUAAAAAAUCUUUCCUUAUAAAAGAAUUUGACCAACUCAAAGUACAGUGUUAAAUCCUUGAGAUACAAUGAACCUAAAAAUCCUACUUUGACACACCACAAAUAAUGAAUCUAACUUAACAAUCAAUGGAGAUAAAUCAAUUUUACUAGCAAAAUAUAAGCCAAAACACAAGGCAACGUCUUCACCAAAAUCAAUAUCAUUCAAAUAAUUCCCCUUGUGAACGCCUGAAGCUAUCAUAAAAACAACAAAAAAUAAAAAAAUAAAAACAAGUAGACAAGCAAAAAAAUUCCCCAAUAACAAGUUACCCUACAAAACUUUUCCUUGUAGAACAUACACAGAAACCGCAGCUAUAGGGCUAUCGAAAGUAGGGAUGGCAAUGGGGAGGGGAGGGGAGGGGACCAAUCUCCCCAUACCCAUCCCCGAUAUUUUGCGUAUGUCCCCGUCCCCGUCAGAAUUGCUUGAGAGAAUCUCCAUCCCCUCCCCGAAUAAUAACAGGGGAUCCCCGAGGGUCCCCGGUCUUUGGAAAAGCUAGGAAAGAAAAGGGACGUGAAAAACAAAGGGGGUAGAUUUUUUGAAGGGGAAAGAAAAAGAAACCCUAGAUCUAAAUUUUUCUCUUCUCUCUAUGAAGAACUAAACCUAUUAUUCUGGUUGAAGAUUAAUAAAGCUUUGGUUCAUCAUUACUGUGAGAUCUUUCUUAUGCUUUAAUUGUUUUAUUGCUUUUUGGGUAUUUGUUUAUUCUCUAAAUUAUUGUCAUGAUUAUAUUUGUUAAUUAGAUAAUUGGCCACUAUUUAAUUAUCAACUUAAUCUAUUGUCAAUUAAAAGAUUCAUCGUAUGAAGAUUUUAAUAUUUGUGACAAAUAGCAUAGCAGUGCGUUGUGUUAUGAGAAUAAACAAUCUAAUUUAAAUGAACCAUCGUAUGCGUUUGUUGAUUAGGAUUUGGGUCUCUCUGAUUUUUCAGGUUGUCAAUUAAUUAAAUCCUAUGAUUGUAUCUAGGGUUAUCUAUUAAUUAGGGAAAUAACCAAUGGUCGUACCUUAGUUAUCGACUAGUUAAAGAGAGAUUGGCUAUUAAAGGGUCUCAGUAGCUAGGGAUGGCAAAAAUCCCCACGGGGACGGGCACCCUCGGGGAUUUUCCCCAUUCGGGGAGGGUACGGGGAUAAUUUUAUACCCAAUUUUUUUUUCGGGGAGGGGACGGGGAAAAUUUUUUACCCAAUUUUUUAUUCGGGGAGGGGACGGGGAUGAGGUGGAAUCCCCAUCCCCUACCCAUUUCCCCAUUUUAAUUUUUAUUUUUUAUUUUUAAAAUUACUAAUAAAUAUAUAACAAAAUUAUAAAUAUUGGCAAGAUAUGAGUGGAAUUUUGGGUGUGACAUGUAUAUUUGAUCCAAGGUAUAAAAAGAAGUUCAUUGAAUAAUACUUUUCUUUUUAUUUUUAAAAUUACUAAUAAAUAAAUAACAAAAUUAUAAAUAUUGUUAAAAAUAAUAAAUAUCAAAAUAGUUGUAUGUUGGGAAAGUGGUCACCCCUUACCAGGAAUUAGUGGAAGAGUAUCAAUUGAAGUUUUCACCAAUUGUUUAUUGCUUUGAUUAUACUGGUUGUAGUUCUUCUAUUAGAUCUACAGGGGAUUCUUAUAAGAAAGCAACCAAAUGGAUGACAUGUUUUGAUGAUUAUGUAAACAAUGGAGAUUGUGCAGUUGUUGCAGAUGAAUUAGAUUCAUAUUUGGAUGAAAAAGUUAUACCCCGGAUGGAAGAUUUUAAUAUUUUGAGUUGGUGGAAGACAAAUGCUAAUAGGUAUCCUACAUUAGCUCGAAUUGCUACAGGACGAGCAGGAGGUAAAUAGUUUUAUUAAAAAUAUUAAUUAAGUAUCUACAUUUAUUUCAUUUAUUUUAUUGCCGAUGUAAAAAAUAUUUUUUUUUUCUUUUUAUUGUAGGAUUAUGAAGAUUGAGACAUUGAUAAAGAUAAUUAUUUUAAUAAUUUAUAUUUUGAAUGUGACUUUGUAAUGGAUCAAUAUUAAUGUAAGAUAUAUUUUAAACUUUAUUUUUAUCUGAAUUUUUUAUUUUAAUAUGAUUAAUUUAAAAUCAAAAAUAAAAAAAUGUAUUAGACUAUUAAUUAUUCGGAGACCGGGGACCCUCGGGGAUCCCCUGUUAUUAUUCGGGGAGGGGAUGGGGAUUCUCUCAAGCAAUUCUAACGGGGACGGGGAGGGGACGGGGACAUACGCAAAAUAUCGGGGAUGGGUAUGGGGAGAUUAGUCCCCUCCCCUCUCCUCCCCAUUGCCAUCCCUAGAUUUUUGCCAUCCCUAUCGAAACCUCUACCCACCACUAUUAGAGUUAAAAAAAUCUCUGAUAUGAGUGUAUUCUUCUAAUUUGAACUCUAACGUGAUUUUUUGAGAGAUUCAUUGGAAAAAAACCUUAAGGAGUUAAAGAAGAAAUUUAAAAAAAAAAUCAUAAAAAGAGGAAUGAAAAGAAAAAGAUGCUUUACCAAGAGUUGAUUGACAGUAAUUGGUAAAUUUGAGCAUGCAAUAAAAUUUACCCAUAUAUUCAUAUGACAUAAAAUAUAAUUUUAUUCAUUAAUUACACUACUAAUUUGUCUAAAUUUUAGUUUUUAAAAAAAUAAAUUUCUAUAUAUUUACAUAAAUCUUAGUUUUUAUAAAAAUAAAUUGAAAAAUAAAUUUAUGUUUUUAUAAAAAUAAAUUUAUGUUUAUUUUUUUACAUUGACCUGAAGAAAAGACUAGUACUACUAAGCUGCUGUACGGCCAAGGCGGAUGUACGGUACAGCAGCAAUUUGACUGUUUGGGGGUGGGGUUGAUGGCUUACAUCAAAGUUAGUGUGUGCUAAGGAUUAACAAUAAUAAUGGGGUAAAUAUGAAAUUAAUCCUUGCCCAAGCAUUAGAAGUUCGUCGGUUUUCUUUUAACCGGAUAAUUACCGGUGAAUAUGUCACGCGUUCCUACACGUGGCAGCAUCUAAUUUAUUCGCUUGUCAUUUCAGUUUCUGUUAGUUACAGUUUCUGUAACGUAGCUAGCUCCGUCAGGUACAGGCAUGUUGUAACUUACGUUUCUCGUAAAAAUCAUAUAAGUUCUAUUUCUACCGCUAGGGUGAGCAUGGGUUGAUUUGGAUUAAAUUUUAAGUUAAUUUAAAUUAAAUUAUAAAAAUUUGGGUGUAAUCUAAAUUAAUUUAAAUAUUUUUAACAUAACUCAUGGGUUGGUUAAAUCAAACUAUAAAAAUUUGGUCCAACUCAAAUUAACUCAAAUAUUUUCAACACAACCCAAAGCAACUCAGUUGGAUUUUAUUAAAAUUAUAAUAAUUAUUAAUUGUUUUUAAACCAACCAUUUUGAGUUUGGUUUGGAUUUUAUUAUCAAAAUAUAUUUUUUAUUUUGAGAAAUUUAAUUUUAUCAAAAUUAUAAUAAUUAUUAAUUGUUAUUACUUAUUAAAUUGAUAAUAACAUAUAAAAAUUAUAAUUCAUAAAAAUUAUAAAUAACAAAUUUUACAAUAACUUAAUCCUUAAAUUAAAGAAUACUAGAAAAUUAAAAUAAAGUUUAAUCACAAAAAUCAUUAUUUAUCAAUAAAUAAGAAAAUUCUAAUAAAAAACUUCUACAAGCACGAUAUCGACAAGUAAAUUCAAAGAAAGAAAGAAAGAAAGAAAAGACUAGUACUACUAAGUAUUAACCCUAUUACAACACAAACUCUAACAAUGUCCAUACAAAUAAAAAAAAAUAAGACAUUCUAACUCAAGUGUCAAAGCAAUCCAUCAUAAUCAUUUCCAUCCGUAGUACUUUAAUCGAGAGAUUCCACGAUUAACUGACAAAAUGUAUGACAAUGAUAAUUUACAUUGAUUAUGACAUAAUAGAGAUGGAUUUGUCAAAGCCAAAUCAUUUGCUGGAAAGGAAUUUAGUUGAAGUAGGAACCAAAAUUCAACUUAGAUGGAUCUAUAAAAUUGGUCAUUCAAUACAUAAGUACUUUAUCAACAGAUUCAACACAUUAUAAAUUUAUGGAUUCAACUAAGUUACAACCAGCUGCAACUUAUUCCUCUCACAUAAACAAUAAUACAGCGGUAGGCUAUAUUAUUUACAAAAAGUACUUAUGUAUUGAAUGACCAAUUUUAUUACCUGCAAAAUUAAUUAAUCUUUCACUCUAUCAUCUAACUAAUGGAAGGCAAUCUUAUUUUAGGUUGUAAUGAUUAGAAACUAGCAGGAAGUGGGGGCGAUGCUCCAUAUUAAUUUGGAUAAAUCCCUUUCUAGUGAAGAAGUUAAAAUUAUAAAAUAGAGAUCAAGAUAGAAAUUUAAAGGCCCCGAUUGUUUUUUACAGACUUAAAAAUGAUAUUGAAAAAUUAAAAGCUAAUUUUAGUAUUUAAAAAUUACUUUAAGAAAAAUCACCCUAUCUUCCUGUAAAUUUUGAAAAGCAUGAAAAGAGCAGUUUUUCAAAAAUUGAUUUCGAAAAUUAGUUUCAUACUUAAUACAAUUCCAUAUAUCCUAACAUUUAUUAUAAAAAUUCAAAUUAUCCUUAUUAAAUUAGGAAAUAAAGUCAGUACAUUUAAAUAAGAGUGAUGAUAUAGACACAAACUCUUGUACCAACUGACGUAGCAUUAAUUUAUUAGUUGAAUGAAAAUAUAAAAUAAUAUAAAUAAAUCAUGUGGGCCAAGAAAUAUUUAAUUUAACCAAUUUUAUCAUGUCACAUUAUAAGCAACUUAUAAACUCAUUGGAUUCGACUCUUUACUAAAAUAAAAAUAAAUUAAUAUAUAUAUAUAUAUAUAUAUAUAUUUACAUACAUAAAAUGUGAUUAUAUACACAUAUUUAUAAUUGAAUAUGUACAUAAAUUCUGUAGAUUUAUGUCUAUCUAUACAUUUGCAUUCUUACCACAUUUUAAAAGUGUGAUUUACCAAAUACAUGGGACUUAUUUGAAAUUUAUAGCACUUUUAUAAAUAAAAUUUAUCAAACGUUAAACAGAUUCUCUAUUUUCGCGUAUAUAUCCUCAUGUAAAUUAUAAAAAUUCAAAAUUAUCUUUAUUCAAUUAGGAAAUUAAAUCAUUAUUUUUAAAGAGAUUCUUAUUAUUACUAAUUAGAUUCAAAUAACCAAAAAAAUACAAUCAAUAAAAUAAAAAUAUUUAUUUUAGUUAUCAUUUAUUAUAUACACAUAUUUAUAAAUGCAUGUGUAAAUAAAAUUUUAUAGAUUUAUGUCUAUUUAAGUUAUUUGCAUUCUUACAACAUUUAAAAAAUGAGAUUUACUAAACACAUGUGAUUGUUUUUAAAAAAGUUACAACACUUUUAAAAAUAAAAUUUAACAAAUGUUUAAUUGACUCUCUCCAAAGGUAAUUGUUUUUACAGUAUAGCUAAAGUAAUUUAUAAAUUUAUGAUAAGUAUUUGUGAAUAUUGGUCUAUGUAAAGAAGUAAAAACAACAUAUAUAUUAAGCAGCAUGAUAUUAAAACUCUUAGUAAAAUACAUAUACUAAUAAAAGAAAGACAACAAUGCAAUAAAUAAGCUUAUAAUAUAAAUUAUUAAAAUUGUAUAUUAAAAAAUUAUGCAUGAAAUUCUUUUUCUAUUUUGGUGAUAGAGAAUGCGAUAUAAUUGAAUUAUUUGAUUUAAUAAAAAAAAAAUAUGACUGUGAAGGAAAUUAACAAUUGAAUUGUGGAAUGUUAUUAAUUGUUAUUGUAUCAUUUUGCAACGUUCUAAUAAUAUGGACAAUGUUACAGUAUAUUGAUGGGCGGUAAUAUUUUCACCUCUUAAAUUGUGUAAAGUCAGCUCCAUUUAAAAAAAUUAUAUAUAAAAAGCCCAUUAGUUUUAAUAGUUUCAAAUUAAGAUUAAAUGCAAAUAAUUAACCAAUUAAAUCCUUAUUAAUAAGAUCAUUGAGCUUUAAUUAAACUAAUAAAAUGCAUUUGAUAAAUGAAAUUUACGAUAUUUAAUUACAUGAAAUUUAUUGACUACAUGAAUAAUAUAAUUGUUCAGCUGUUUAAACUUUUUCCCUAUUUAAAUUUUAAAAAACAAUGUGAAAUUUUGUAAAUAGUUCUUUGAAAUGGGGUGGAUUUACACCAUUUGUGCAGUGCAAAUAUCCUAAUUCUAACAUUUUUUUUAAAAAAAAAGACCAAAUCAUAACAUUUUUUGUAUACUAAGUUAAAGUAGUACUAACAUUAUAGCCCCCUAAUGAUUUCAAUUCAUUCAAUGAAUAUAUAAUUUAAGCAUGUUAUAAACUAAGUCUCUAAAUCGAAUUAAAAAAAGAAAAAAGAGCUUAAUUGCUGACAUAGUUGAAAAUAAAAUAAAAAAUUUUAUUAUUAGAUGAAAAAUUAUGAAACUUAAGGGGUAUAAGCGAGUCGGCAGCUGCUCACCAGGGCAUAUGUAAUAUUUGUUAAUACAUUUCAAAAUUUUAGGUUUUUUAAUAAUAUUUUCAAUACAUUUUCUAGAAGGUUUAGAAAAAAAAAAUGACUCAAUACUUUAAUCGAGCUAUGAAUAAACUCAUGUGUUAAAAAAUUUCAUAUUUACACCCAAUAAGAUUAAUUAAUGGGUGAUACAAAUUUAAGAUAGUUAAUAAUAAUAUAUAUCAUCUUAAGUUAACUUCAACUCAUUAACCUUGUAUAAGGUUUGAUGGGUCGUGCCGCAAAUUAUCACCUCUAAUCCUUUUUGCAACAGGCAUGAUGAAUGCUAACAAAAUGAAACUUCUAUAUAUUUAGUUGUUAUUCUUUUUAAUGAAAUAAUAAGGAGCUUUGCUGCAAAUUUCCAUCCAGCAUGGCAUGGACGCACGUGAAAUUUGCUAGUAUGGUCCUGGACAUGCGUGGCUGAGAUGCUUCUAAAGGCAAAGAAUUCCAAGUUCAUACCAAAUAUAACUUUCUGAUAUUUUUGUGGUAUCAAGUUUGUUUUUCACAAACUAAGGUGUCGGCGUAAAGUUGUUGUCCAUGCAAUGAAGUUUUAUACAUAAAUAUAUUAACCUAAAUUGUUACUAAAGUUCCAUAAUUAGCAGUUCCUGAGAGUUUUUACUAUAUAUUUUUUUGUUUUAAUUCAACAUAUGUUUAUUUAAUACGAUUUUAUUAAAUAAAUGUGCAUAUUUACCAUAUUUGUCUACGAUCAAUUAGUUGGAAAAAAAAAAGAAAAUUAAUAAAUUUAUUUAUUUGAUUGUUAAUGGUUUAGGCAUUUGAAUUCCCACAAAGUCAGGGUGUCAGCUCUGGACUUCUGGUGAUGUAUUUUUCUAAUAAAGAAAUAAAAUAUUGUUGUCAUUUUUUUAAUAUUCUAAUUUACCAAGCCUACCAACCAAUUAAUUUUUCUAAUUAGAUCAUUAAUUCAUUACACGUGCAUUCGCUGGCCCAGUGCUCCAAUCCCAUGCAUGCUGCACAACUCAAUGUGUUUUAAUAAGAAAAGGUUUGGUUAGCCUGUGCUGAUGCCAGAAGCCCCUUAAGGAGUUCAGGUAAACGUAAAUAUGUCCAGAUUUAGAUUUGAAUAUGUAAACGUAAAUAGGUCCAGAUUCAGAUUCGUUGCGCUAGAGAGGGGCACGCACGAUCGGGCUGCUGUCAGGUGGUACGUUGGCGUGGCAAUUCUCAACACGCGCUUCUCCUGGUGCAUACUUACGGCAAGUUGACACGUGACCCGUGUGGAUUGAGUGGACAGAGUCACGGGCACUGAUUUUUGUCAUCCAUAACGACUAACGUCGGAGACUUCGAGAAGAAAGAAAUUGUUGUCGUUUCUAAGGGGAAAAAAAUAUUUAAUUUGUUGAAGACAAAUUAACGUCGGAGAUUUUUUUUAUUUUUUAUUUUUAAUUUUGCAAUCUAAACCAGUCUAAUCAAAAUGUCAAUUUGACAAAAGUUGGACUGAUUUAGAUUAGUUCUAUUAGUUUGAUUGGAUUAAAUUGAAUUAGAUCUUGAACAUCCUAACACUUUUCAUGAAUGUUUUCCUUUUUUUUUGAAAAAAAUUAAUAAGGAGAAUUCCCAUGAAUGUUAAUUUUAUUGAUAAACUUGGCAAUUUUAAGAAAUGUUUUGACGCACGAAUAAUGCAAUUCAUCAACCCACAUAGAUAUGGAUAUAGGAAGCAGAGACCAGAUCGAUCUUGACAUAACGAAAACUUGUAUGUGUAUAUGUAUGUUACAGACCAGAUCGAUCUGUAGCAUAGACUUCUCCUAUAUGUAGGUUAUAUUCAAAUUACAAAAUGAACACAUGUUAAGGAUCUACAACUUCUUCUUUAAUCUAAUAAGCUCCCUCAACUUUAUUCCAAAACAAAAAAGAAUCAAAUUUUUGUUGGAAAUAUUUAUGAAUGAAGAAGCAAAAAGCGCUUGUAUCAAGGAUCUAAUUAAAGAACUGCCAGAGGCAUAGAUCUAUCAAAGCUCCCUCGCAUGACUCUUGGUCUCGGUGGCUUCUUCUUCUUCAUUCCGAAUUUUCCCUCCAUCUGAUCUCUUCCAACCUUUCCAUUUCCAAAUUGAAUUGAAACUUGCCUCAUAUUCGUUUGUUGAAUCCCAUCUUUUGUUGCACCACCAUGCAUCAAAAUCCUUGAAAUCCCAGCAUAAUGCAAGGACUCAGCUAUUUGCAAUGGGGUCACGUUCUUACUUGUCCUUGCCUCAACAUCAGCUCCCUUCUUCACAAGCAAUUCAGUCACAUCUGUGUGGCCAGAUUCCACCGCACAAUGCAAAGCUGUGUACCCAUCUUCAUCUUUAGCAUCAACAUCAAUCCCUUUAUCAAUCAGAAUCCUCACAACCUCAAUCUUUCCCUUAAACGAAGCCCUAUGCAAAGCAGUCCAUCCAUGUAGGUCUUUCCCAUUGAUCGCGGCGCCUGCUUCGAUCAACCUCUGCAUUGUCCUCACUUCCCCUUUCCUAGCGGCAAUACACAGGCUGUCACCAAGCUUCAACGCGUCAAAGAGACGGGAGUGACCGCACUCAGCAGCAACAUCAUAAGCGGUCUUUCCGCUCUUGUUUCUAAUAUAUUUAUUAGCACCCUUCUGCAAUAACAGCUUCACCAUUUGCUCAUAUCCCAAGCUUGCGGCGAUAUGCAAAGGCGUGUCACCGUCUCUAGCGUUGCGUAUAUCAGGCCUUGCUCCGUUUGCUAACAGAAGUCUCGCGCAAUCUCUUCUUCUGUCUUCAACCGCGAGAUGCAGAGCUGUGUUACCAUCUUUUGUUAAAGCAUUGACAUUAGCACCUUUGAUUAAGAGAAGCUUUAGUACUUCCAAAUGGCCGCCUCGUAAGGCCAAGUGUAUGGGCCCCCAUGUUGAUGUUCCUGAUCUUUCUGUGCUGGCUUUCCUCGCCAACAAGAGCUCAACAAUAAGUGCUUCCCCUGCAGCCGCCGCGGCUUCAAGUGGAGUACUGCAGCCACACCUGCCUUGAGACUCAACAUCCGGCCCAAACUCAAGCAAAAGUUGAACAAUAUCAGGCCUCCUUUGAGCUAUAGCAAUAUGAAGCAACGUUUGUCCCUGCGCAUCGGCAGAAUCAGCCGGGUUCCAAGCCGGGUCACUCCGCUCAAGAACCUCUCUUAAAUCAUCCAUUUCACCAUCCUUAACAAGCAGAACCAAAACAGGAGACCCAACGAACAUGAUCUUGAUUCCGCUGUCGAUGAACACUUGCUUCUUCCUCGUUGUGAACCAGUCACUGGGGACGGAAUCAAGCGUCGACGUUGCAUCUUUAAUUCCAGCUCCAGGAACAACAACGCUGUGCAAGAGGAAGGAAUCAUCACAGUGAGGGAAAGAAUCAGGAAGAACCGAUCCUGGAGGGAGAUGAUACGCAAUCUCUACGCUUAGUGUUGCGAGUGGUGAUAUGAUUCCUGAUUGCGGCUUCACAGUAUAACGAGCCUUGUUUGUAGGCUGAAUCCUGAAAGCAACAGGCAUCGUGUGCAUGACAUUGCGGAGAGUCAGCUCCCCGGAACAUUUCUGCCCUGGUUCAAUUCUGAUAGCUACAAGGUUCGACGGCUCCAAGCUUACAAGCCUAUCCAUUGAUUAAUUUUCUCUCCGUUUCCCAAGGACUGCUGAAAGGGGUUCUUUGAACUUUUUGAUUCAGGCUUAUUUUCUUCACUUUUGGUGGCAUGGGGAGGAAUUAGAGGAGUAACUGUAAGAGCUGCAAGUGUUGGUGUAAUCAACUGUAAUAUAAGGAGAAGAGAGGGCCGGCUCUAAUGGGAGACUGCCACGUGGUGGUGUUAAAAACAAUGAGACUUGUUCUGUUCGGCGUCCGGAGUGUAUAUACAGUUGUGUUAGUGGUGAAAGUUAAAGAAAUCCUGAAGUUAUUUUCGGAGUGGCUUCUGCAAAGUCACUUUCAGGAUUGUAUUGUAUCAUUAAAAAACAAAGCCAGUUUUUGUUGUUCUAGUAAAAGGCGAAUCAUUGGACAAACUCGUAAGAAUAUGUUGCCAAAUGUAUAAAAUAUGAAAUUCAAACAAUGAUUACAAUGUGAAAUUGGACAAUGGACAUGGCCUGUGUGAAUUGUUUUGUGGGCUUACUAAUUAAAUUAAUUCACUAAAAAUAAUGUCACUUUUGUGUCUGUGAAGAAGCCGAAAUGGCACAGUCAUUUACGUGGCCAACUACGGUGACUACUUCGUCAGUAGCUGCUCGAGCACUUGGUCAGCACAAGUUGCUUUCUUUCUUGGCGGGAUUAGUUUUUCUUCAUUGCUUUAAGUGGUGCAUUUCUGCAGUUUCAUUUUGCUUUGCUUAUGCCAUUGGAUUUGUGCCCCAUAAAUAAAUAUAUAAUUAAGCGGAAAAGUAUCAAAUUUUGAAAAAGCUUAGGUUUUGUGUGUGUGUGUGUGUGUGUGUGUGUGUGUGUUUUAAGCCGAAUUACUCGGCUAAAAAUUAAUCCGAUUAUUAUUGUUUUGGUGCUUAAGAUGUGACUCUAACCUAAAGCUCAUUUGAACUCUCUUGAUGCUCAUAUGGUAUUUUUUGUGUUGUGUCGUGCUGGCCCUUACACAUCUCGGCUCAUAUUUUUCAUGUUACUAAGUUCUAAUAUGUACAAAAGAAAUAGAGCAAUGUCCGGUGGUAGAUCCAAACACUCAAUUUGGGGUGCUUAUUUUUCAGUCUCAAAUUCGAUUAUUUUCUUUUAAAAUAUUAAAAUAAUAGUAAUAAAAUACUUAUUUUAAAUACUGAGCUCAUUACAACCACAUAUGUAAAAGUAUCAUUUAUAUUUUUUUUCUAAAUAAUCUUCACAAAAUAUUUUAAAAAAUAAAAUUAUGUGACUAUGGGGAUUUGAACCAAGUCUCUCAAACUACUAAAUAACACUUUUACCACUAAAUUACAAAUCUUUUAACAUAUUAAAAGUGCAUCCAAAUUAUUAUUAUUAUUUAAUUAUUUCAUAAGAGAUUUGGGGCACAUUUAAAAGAAAAAAAAUUAAUGGUGCAUAAAGGACUAAAGCCUCUCUUGAGUCCUUGACCUUAACUAGGUCCACCCAUGGUAAUGUCAGUGAUACCCAACUUGAAAAAUAUACAAGAAACUUGGAAAUUUAAAUUAAUGAAUAAAUAAAUAAAUAAAAGGAAACUUAGUGAUUGUAGCUGUUGUAUUGUAUUGUGGAUCAAAGAAUUACAAGUUCUUGGUUUCUCGGUAUUGGCUAAUUUUGAAGUUAAAUGAAGUUCGAAAAUAUUUACAAGCAAUAAAAUUAUCAACUGAAUGAGACAAGGAAAGAGUAUAAAGACCUUAGCAAAUUAGCAAUCCUUCUUUAAUUUAGUAACAGUGACGCUUAUAAAGUUAGAAGACGUAUCAAAUCUAAUUUAGAUUUUGCCCCAUAAAACUAACUUAACUUAUAGUGCGUCUUUGUUUAAUUAGUAAAUAUUCCACAAAAACUGAUCAGCACUUUAUAGGAAAUUCCAAACACGUUUAUAUUCACAAGGAAUAUGUCAAGGAGAAAUGAGAAUAAAAAAAUGUAAAAACUAAUAAAGCUUCAUUAAUUAGAAUUUAUAACCAUAUGUGCUCCUAUACUACUUUUAUUAUUAAGAAUUUGAAGUAGAAGGUAGUUGAUUAUCAUGAAAUUACAAAAUUGUAAACGGAUUUGUUCUUUUGGAAAAAGAAAAAAAAAAAAAAAGGAAGGAUAGUUGAUUACUUGAUUAGUGAGAAAUCAUACGUAUAAAGGACAAAUUGAAAAAUGGGACCUGAAUUGCAACAAAGCUUCAUUGGAAUUAACUGCCGAUAAAAUUAAAUUAGUAUCACCCUACCCUUUCAUCUUAAUAUAUUCGAAAUUUCACCGAUCAAAGUUUCUAGCUUCGAUUUUUACGAUCUCUCAUCCUAAUAACACCAAAAGCAUAUUCAUUCGUUUGUAAGAUUAUGUAACAAAAUAUAGUAAAUAGCCUAUAAUUUUUUUGUUUUACUACUAACCUGUUAUCAUUCUUUUCUAAUAAUACAUGUUAAAAUAUUCACAGAAAAAAUUUAUCCCUAUUACACCCAACCACCUUUUUUUGUGUUUUUUUUGUUCAAAUUUUAGCAUUAAAGGGACAAUAAUGUCCUAUGAAAUAUGCAGAAAGACAGUUAAUAAUAUUCAAAAAUGUAAGUGGAGGUAUCUUACGCCACACACACAAAUUACACGACUCUCAUUAAUGUGUUGUUGUUGUUAUGUGUGGCGUAAGUUACAGUUGAAUGUCAUAUUCAAAAAAGUAAGUGGAGGUAUCAAUCUCCCUAAAUAAAUAAUUUAUGGAAGGUUGUUAGCUGUUGUACUUUUAGUUAAUUUUAAAAUCACAAUAAUAUGGUUAAUGUUAAGUUACAUGCAUGUAACUUAGGAGGAUCCCAAUAAUAUACCAUAUUUUAUUAAUAUGUACAGUAUUUAUAAUAUUUAAAAAUUAAGGAAUUAAUGUACGCAUGUAAAAGCUGCAUUGGAGCCAGUUGGAAAUCUUACUGUCUUGAUAUAUGCAACGAUUGUAGCAGCUAAAAAGGCAUGAUAUUUACUUAAUAUUAUUUCAAACAAUAAUUAUUUAUUUAAAGCAAAUAAUAAUAAUGAGGGCAGAAGGACUAUUCUAGGAUCAAUAUGGUGACAGUAUAAAUAAAUAAUAUUAAUUAUUAAUGCAUUGAUGAGUAUUGUUAAAAUGACAUAAUAGGUUUGUUUCAUUGAAUUGAACCUUUUCUCUUAAAAUAGCUAUAAUUUGUUCUCUCUCUCUCUGUGUUUUUGUUUUUGUUUUUCACUUUAGUUUUACUUCUCUUAAAAAACCAAAAAAAAAAAAACAAAAUUAAUGGAAACUGAUGAUGGGAAGACGGACAAUUUUCUAUAUUGUUAAAUAGAAAUGGGCACAAAUGUGAGUUUUUUGGGGCAAAAAAAUAUAGUCAAUGUACGUAGCGUUUGUCUAUUUGAAAACCCGUCAAUAUAAAAACAGGACGUAAAGCUUUCAGACAAAGUACUCUUAUGGCCGUACUUUCCAUAAACCAAAUCAAAAGAAGGAAAAUAUUUGUGUCUGGCUUCGAUGCGACUGUUAACAUUCACAAAUAAACACCUUUGCAUGGUCAGAAAAAUUAACAAGAAAUUAGAAGGCGAUGUUGCGUUCUACUUAGUUCUCUAGGAUUUGUGUCAUUUGUUUAUGCUACGGUUCGUUCCCAUUUGCAUUGCGUGGAAUAAUUGGCCGAAUAUUAUUAAUCUCAAUCUUAAUCUCUCAACUCUUGUCCCUUUAAUUUUUGUUUGUAUCUUUUUCUUUUUUUUUUUAAAUAUCACAUACAAUGCUUUUAAUAAAUAACUUCAUAGAAAUAUUUAAUAAAAUCCAACAUAUAUAAGUUCAAGAAACUCAAAAAAUAAAAGAAAAUAAACUCACGUUGUCACUGGAGAGACUCAAACAUGCUACCUUAAAAUUAAGUAGAGGGUGCAACUACUUGCACUUUAAAAAAAGAAAAGAAAAAAAAAGGGGCUUUGAACGCUCGUGAUAAUUUGCAAGUUAUGGAGGAUAAUCAUUGUACAAUGGGGAGAACUCUUAUGGAACAAUAUUCAAACUGAUAUUGAAAGCAUAUAAGAAUUUGGCUUGGGUGUUUUGGUGCCAUGAAUGAGUGCAGAAACAAAGAGGAAGCUUUGUCCCUUUAAUUUGAUCUGCUGUAUUAUAAUUAUUGAGAUUAAUCAAAUAAAUAACCGAAACAUGGUUACAGUUUUAUAGUGUAUUGCAAGUCUUUGGAGAUACUAUGUACCUCAAAAAAAAAUAUCGUAUAAAAGAGUGUUUUGUUUCACAGGGGUUCAAUGAGAUUUGAGAUGGCUGUAAUGAAAGUGAUGUAAAUUUUUUGGACUCUAAUGAGGUGUUUUUAGAUGGAGGGGGAUUUACAAGUAUUUUAUAGGGGUGAUAAAUGACUGUAUACCCACCAAAAAGGCCCAUUGUUCGAGUCCAUGAGCAUUACAGUUUUUUUUUUUUUUUUUUUUGAAAUUCAGAACAUGCAGUUUGUUUGAUUCAACUUCCGAAUUACAAAAUUAGAAUAAGAAAAAAAAAUGUGGAUGUUUUUUCUUUAAUUUACAUAAUAAUACAUGGUGUGGACGAUGUCUAUUGAGGGAUAAAAGAGGAAUGGGGGCACUGUGAAGUUUGUGUUUUUGUUUUUUUUAAAUUAUCAUAUUCAUACUGUCUAUAAAAAUAUGCAAGUUAAAAAAUUACUCAUGAUAUUGUUGUUUUUGUUUCAUAUAAUACUACUUAUGCACAUCGCCUCAUGCAAACAUUUCUUAGUUAUGCUUAAAAAAAUGAGAUUCUCACCAUGGGUCACUGUAAAAAUCCACAGAAGCCGUGGAUCACAGUAGGAAGCCCACUUGAACAGAAGAAGCUACCGAAAGCUUCGACAUUGUAUUUAUGAAAUGCUUAGUAAAUUUUGUUUUAUUUUGAAUUUAUAUUAUAAAUGGUGUGUUGCUAAAUUAAAAAAUAAAAAAGAAAUGCAAUGUGUCAAAAUACAAGAAUCUUACGGACAUUUUUGUCACAAUAUAUGUAAAUAAUUCAUAUCUUAUUCAUAUCCUAUGUAAGCUUCACUUGUUUAACACAAUGGUGGUUGAAUCUUCAAAAAUUCAUAAUCUUAAACAACCAAAUUUGGAAUUAAUUAAGCAAAUUGCCUCUAUAAAUUGAUUACAACAACCAACGACGUGUGAAGCCACAUGUCAAUUUCCCUAGACAGCCCAAAUAUUGAGGCGCUGUGAGGGAGCAAGGUGCAAUCGGAUGGGGGAAAGAGAGAGAGCCAAUGGUGAGAAUGGAUCGUGGUGAGGGAGAACCAACUGGUGGUGAGAUUUGUGGCUUCAAUGAGGUGAGUUUCGUGGCGCUGUGAGUGAAGUGAGAUUUGGCAUGAGUGUGAGGGAGAAUGCGUGUGUUGUGUGAGUGAGGUAAGCUGUGUCUGUUGUGUGCAUGGAGACUCUCACCACAAUUAGAAUUUAUAGUUAGCACAGAACGAAACACAAUAUUCUACGCUAACUGUGGAGUUAACCAUGGUGAGAAUAUCAUUAUUGUUUAUUAUAACACUUUUUUUUUUAAUUUGUUUUGACAAUAAAAUAAAGAACCUUGUAAGAAAACCUCAAUAACUCAAUUAAAAAACCAACUCAACCGAUGAUAGGUAAAUUGAGAAAUUUUCAACUAAAAAUUAUUAAGAUUGGUUUUAACUUCAAAUCAUAGUCACAUAGUUUUGUCCUUAUAAAGAUCAAAAUAAUGAAUUCUAACUCCGAAGUUUUUAGAUUUAUGUGACGAACUGACGAUAGUAUAUUGAAAUCGAUUGAAAUGAAAAAUUUAAUUAAAUGCAAUUCAAGAUGUAGUAUCAAAUUCAAACGAUUCGGAUUGUUUUAAAAAUUUCAAUGCUUUAAUCUAAAUCGAUUAAUCAAUUACACUCUUGCAAUUAUAUACCGUUAAAACUAAAAUAUGUAAAAUUUAGGGUGCAUUUAUUACCAUUUUCAAUUUGUUGUUUUUCGUUUUAUGAAAAGGAAAAUACAGAAAACUUGUUUGGUGAGCUCAUAUUGGUGGAAAACUGUACAGUGAUUAAAAACAAAAAAAAAUUCAUUUUUCAAUGUUUACAAAGGAAACAAGAAAACGCUAUUACACUGGGUUCUCUAUUUUAUUUCACUUUUACUCUCUGCCAAGGCCCUACCAUCUUAACUUUUAUAACAUGGUGUAAUAAAUUACGUGGGCCCAUUUAAUAAAGAAAUAAUCUAAUAAAUAAAUUAUUAUAACAAAUAUUUAAAAAUAAUAGCAUUCCAUACCUUACAGCUUAAUUACUUAAUAUAUUACCCAAAUUAUUUUAAAUAAAAAGUGAUAUCAUAUAAUUAUUAUACUAAAUUAUUACAUUGUUCGACCAAUAUGCAGUUAUUUAAAAAUUACUACAAACUUUCUUACAUAUAUUAAUGAAAAUAUAUCAAUAAUAAAGUUACAUCUUGACAGUUAAUAUAAAUAAAUAUAUGAUAAUUAUGAAAUAAUUAAAGAUUUUCUCAAUUAAUAUUAUCUUAUAACUACAAUUUAUUUACAUAAUUAAAAGUUUUUAAGAAAUUAUUAAAAUAUCUUCAAACCUAUAUGCAUUUAUAAUAAUAUAUAAUACAUCAUAAUAUAAUAACUAAAUAGAUAAAUUAUUUAUUAAUAUAAAAUAUAUGUUUAUAUUCAUUAUAUAAUAUUAUUCUUUCAUAGUAGUUUCAUUAAAUAAUUCUCUACUCUCUCUCUUUUUAUCUUUAUUUUUUCGGACAGACAAGUAACCAAACACCGCUUCACCUUUUUUUUAUUUUCAAAUACUAUUCUUAAAAUAAACUACCAAACAUAUUUUUAUUUUUAACAAAAACUAAUCAUUUUUAUUUUAUAAAACAAAUUGAAAAGUACUAUUUAAAAUAUAAUACCAAACUUACCCUUAAUAAUUUUAUAUUUGUCAAAAAGAUGAGAAGCUAAGUGGCACUAUCGUUUACCUAUUCAAACUAAACGUGGAGUCACAAUAUUGAAGACACUUUGGUGGCCACAACACUCUUUUCUUUAGUACGGAACAAUCUGGCUUACAUGACACUACAUAAAAAUAAAUAAUAAAAAAUCACCGAUUCCAACUGCCCCGGACAAAAAACAGGCCACACGUAAAAAGGCUUCUAUUUUUAUUUUUAUUUCUCCCCAUUUUAAAGAUGACGUCAUGGUGAUUAUGAAACCAGAAAAUAACAAAUUUUAGUUGUCUGAUUUUGUAGUUAUCCAGCGAAAACUAAAAAAACAGUGAACGCAGCAGCAGAUCUCCGUGUUUGUCGUCGUUCGAUGAGAGAUUCCGAUUCGUGAGCAUCGCAAGUGUUGAAAUGGAAUCAGACGAAAUGAGGAGUUAGCCUCUUAUUAUAUAAUAAUAAUAAUGAUAAUAAUAAUAAUAACUAAUCUCUUUUAUCAUAUAAUUGAUAAUGGAAAUUCACAUUGACAAAAGGCAAAUUACACACUGACUGGGCAGAAUAAAAAACAGUCUCUCUCAAAAGCAAUAAUUUAAACACUAACACCACCUUAAGGAGACACCCCAAAAAUAAAGCAGCAAGCUCUUACUGUGACCACACACACACACACACACCAAACUUUUAUUAUAGAAUAAAUCUAAGAUGAUGGAUGAUGGAUGCGUCACAUAAAAGUUAAUUAAUUUAAUCGCUGUCACUGCUGCUGCUGCUCUCGUGUCCGUCCUCGUGCUUCUUCUUCUUCUCCUUCUUUUUCUUCUUCUCUUCACCGUGGGCGGCGCCCUCGCCGCCGCCGACACCGGGGAUCUUCUGCUUGAUCUUGUCCACCAAGCCCUCCUUGUGUUCGCCCUCCUUGUGUUCCCCGCCGUGAUGCUGCUGCUGAUGGUGAACAUCAGUAGUGCCGACACCGGGGAUCUGCUGCUUGAUCUUGUCCACCAAGCCCUCCUUGUGUUCGCCGCCGUGAUACUGCUGCUGAUGGUGGACAUCAGUAGUGUGGUGGUCCCCACUAUGGUGCUCUCCCUUGUGCUUGUCCUCCUCCUUUUGCCCUCCUCCCAUGUGAAGGGCUUCUCCGAUCUUGUGAAUAACUCCUGACAUUUUCCCUUAAAAUGACUCUGUUCCUCUUCUUUUCUUUUCAAUGAAAAAUAGUUGUUUGCGAUCUUCUUCUGGUUGUUGUUGUUCUUGUUGGGUGAUCUUGGCUUGGUAUUUAUAGGCUCCAAAAGGAGGGACUAGAAUUAGGAUUAGAUUAUAGAUUAUUUUAAUACAUUUUAUGGCAAAUUCUGAUUUGGAAAGAUAAGAUUAUCCUUUUGGUUUUCCUUAUUUACCCUUUUGCACCCAUUACGUGUACGCGUCUUCGUGGGCUUUUUGGGUAUUUCAAUUAUAUCGCCAAUGCUAAAUCGACACGUUGCAUAUCAGCCGCGGUACUGCCGUAUGUAGUUGUCCAGAAAUCGAGUCGAUUCUCGAUCGUACAAUAAUUAAAUAAUAUUUCAUACGAAAUGAGUUUAGAUAUAUUUUGAAAAUUUAUUUUUAAUUUAAUUAUACGUGUUAUAUAUUUGUUAAUCGAAUAGAGGUCCCACGUAACAGAGUGUUUCUCUAAUCUUUCAUUGCUUUUAAUUAAUUUUACCCAAAUAAAAAAAAAAAGGAAAAUUUAGAGAGAGAGAGAGAGAUAGCGAAUUAGAAGUUGAUUGUAAUAUCGACACCUGUCAGACAAUCAAAUAUCGUUAGUUAAAAAUCAGUUGUCCAUAGUCAUGGUCAUAGAUGGCGAAAUUGAUACUUAUUUUAAAAAACAAAACAAAACAAAACGAAACGAAACUAAACUAACAGAUGUUGAAAUGCAGUUCCGUGUUAACAGUCUGUGAUGAAUCUUUAUCUUUGAGUAUACCAUUCAAGAAAUUAUCAUUCAAAAAUUUAUUUAAAGCAGCAGCAAAUCACCUUCUAAUUCCUGAAUCAAAUUAAUUCGAUUUUUUUCGAGUCGAUCAAUUCAUUAGAGAAUUAACGGGCUAAGUUAAAGUUUUGUUAGUUAUUUUUUUUUAUAUUCCUUUAGAUGAUAUGAUUGUCAUUGUCUUUCUUUCUCUGGGCAACAAUAAAUACAAGAUGUGCAAAAGCGUAGUGGAACAUAAUUCGAUUAUGGGUAAAGGGAUCAGUCCGCAUAAUGAGGAUAAAGUUUUUCUCUUUAAAAAAAUUUAACCCAAAGAAAAGGUCGUAGUUUGUAAUAGCCGACACGCAGAUAGAUCACAAAGCAUGGCGGUCCUGAUGGCAAUAACUAACUGAUAUCUUCUGCGAUGAGAGGAGAUCACGUGGUUCUGACACGUAUCGCCCCAUCAACUGAUGUUGUGGCUGCAAUCGCGGCCCAGUCUUUAGAGAGAAGAAAGAUCUGUUAUAACGGGACCUACUUUAGCAUCUAUUUACGACAAAGCCCCUAUUUACUCUACUUAGUAGUAAUAAUAGCAAGUGUCGGGCUUGGAUUCCGUGUUGCUUUAAAUAAAUAUCCGCGUAAAAAGAAAAUGCUUCUUUAAUCCCUUCCUUGUAAUUUUUCGACACGUGGAUGGUUGAAAUUAGCGUGCCGACAUCUUAGGAAUUUUAUCUUGGAGACGGGAACACUGCAGUAGGCAAUGCCAUUUUCUUCGGAUGGUGUGUGGUGACAACGCCUUGGAUUUUGACGUGCAAAGAAUUUAAAUUGAAAAAGAAAAAAAGAAAUUACCAGAAUAAGCAUAGAAGAGAUAUUUUUCUUUUUGUCCUUUUUGGAAUGGAAAAAGAGAUCAAGAGAUUGUUCCAGUAAGUAUUACACAUGUCACAGGCUUAUUCAUGCCCCAUUAUGGCAACUUUUAUGCCUCGCGGUGCCCUCGGUUCCAGCAUAAUAGCUAAGACUUCAAUUUUUCUAACAUAUUUUUGUUACAAAUAUGAACGGAGUAAAUGUAUAACUUUAAUCCUUUGAAUAAAGAAAUGGCGGUUCUCCUGCUCGUUAAUCUCACUUGAAUCCCACCCAGGCAAAAUUUCUUUAUUUUAUUUAACAACAAUUUAAAGAAAGAAACUUUUGCCAGGUUGAAUUUCAAGUGAGAUUCAUUCGUGGGAGAAGUGCCAUUUCUUUAUUCAAAAGAUUAUGGUAAUUACAACUUUCAAUUUCGACAUAAAUUAAAAUUAUAGGCUAUACAAUAAAAUUGCCCUAAAUUAGUCCUAAUCAAUUCAGAUUAUAAAUUUAGGUAUAUUUAUUAUUUUAAUAUAUUAAUGUUCUAUAUAUAUAUAUAUAUAUAUAUAUAUAUGUGUGUGUGUGUGUGUAUNNNNNNNNNNNNNNNNNNNNNNNNNNNNNNNNNNNNNNNNNNNNNNNNNNNNNNNNNNNNNNNNNNNNNNNNNNNNNNNNNNNNNNNNNNNNNNNNNNNNNNNNNNNNACAGCAGAAAAUAUUUGCUAUGGAUAAGGAGACAUGGUCCCACGUCCCACCGUCCCAAUGCAUAUUUUGUAUGUUUCCAUCUUUUCUGAAAUUUUAAUAAAUAAAGUUUUUUGACCACUUGGCCAAAGAACCUUACCCUUACACAACUUUGUGGUUGGAGUCCUGUGAUACAUGUAAGAACUUAUUUUUUUUCUUAAUUAUAAUAUUUUAGAAUAUAAUUAAGUGAAGUAGGUUUUUUUUUUAAAUAUGAGUAAAAUAGAUAUUUUUUAAAUAUUAAAGAGAGUAAAAUUUGAAUAAUAAUAUAUUAAAAUUAAUACAAACUAAUUUUAAUAAUUAUUUAAUUAUAAAUAUCAAUUAUAACAUCAUAUAAUAUCAAUUAUAAUAUCGUACAUCUCAAUUAAUUCAAUAAUAAUAAUAAUAAAUGUUUUUUGGGAUAAGUAAACAGUCGCAUGGCGACAAUAGUGGAUCUGGAUUAGAGUGAAGUGGUCCCAAGAGGCUGAGGCUGUGGCUGUGGAGUUCUAAAAGUCAAAAGCUCCACGCACUUUGUUUCAGUACCAUACACACUGAAAAAAUUUGCAUUUGCAAUGACGAAAACUUUUCACGAAAUCAAAACACCUCUAAACUAUUUUGUUAUCGAUAUUUAAUGGAGGGGUUUCCUACCUUUUUAACACUCGAUUCACGCCUUGACGCAUCUCACAGAAAACCUCAUGAUCCCAUUAAUCUUGCGUAACAUAUCUCAAAGCCAAUGCAAGUGAUCUUGUUGCCUACUUCCCUUUGACGAUUCAAAAUUGUUGAAAAUAAUUCUUUUUUUUUUUAACCUCAAGGAAGUGACAAAAUAUAAAAGAAUAUUUUCUACACAUUAAACAUCUAGAUUUUUUUUUCUUUUCUUUUUAGAGUACUUGCACAAACCGUUUCCAAGAGAGACCUUUUUUUUUUUUUUUUUUUUCCGGGCUUGGUUACUAAUUUGGUGUGAAUACUCUAUGGUGAAAAAGGAAUCACAAAGCUGUAAUCAAUUUUUUUGCAUCAUUUAGUUGUAACUUGAACAUUGGGAGGUUUAUAAAGAAUUAAAUUAAUUAUAAUGCCUCUACUAGGAAAAGUUCAGAGUAGCCCUUCACAACUUUUUAAAGGCUUAAUAAUUUUCGCUUUCUUCCUCUCAUAACAUAACAAAAAAUUAAGAGCUUUACUCGUACACGUCCUAUGGCUAUAUAGUAUUGGGUUCUCUACUUCAAUCGGCUAUCUCAAACCGAAGGUUAUUUGGACACACCAGCAGUCACGUUUGGAAACUCUCAAAUGCUUGGAUUGUAAUUCUUGUGGAUGAGAUCAUCUAAAUCUUGGGCCCAAGCCGGACAAUGGGUGGACAAAGAACCCUAAAAUACAGUAAAGCUUCUAACACCCCACUAAAACUCUUAAGAAAUCCUACCUUUUAUUUUUAUAUCUCUUUCUUUUAGAAAUUAUAGAGAAGACAUAGCAUUUUAAUUAUUUUCCCUGCCAUUGAAAAUAAAUUCUGUAAACAUAUUUUUUCAUAAUAAAAUUAUUGUUAUUAGAUAAUUUAUUUCUUCAUUGUUUCAAAAUUAUUAUAAUUUUAUCAACAAAAUUAGUUAUGUCAUAUAUUAGGAUUAAAAUUAAUUAGGAUCCAUAACUUGUAAAGACAUUUUAGUUUAAUUGAAUUCAUAUUUGUCAUUUUAUGUAAUUUUCAAUAAAAAUACGACUAUGAGUGCAAAAGUGGGAUGACAUAAUAUUAAAAGAGUGUGAAAUAAUCGGUAAUUGAAAUGGAUUGAAAUCAUAAUAGAGUAUGAAAAUCAGAAUAAAUUGUUUACUUUAGUUGUAGAAAUCAAAAUUAAAAUAAACCAUAUUAUCAUUGAUGUAUAUAUGUUUUCUUGUAAUCGAAAUGAAUUCUUAUAAGUUACUAUAAGACCCUUAUGGUGUGUUUACUAAUCAGAAAUCAGAAUGGAGUGGAAUUUGAAUAUAGAAUGGUAGGGGUAUUCGCGGAUCGGAUUUUACGGAUUGGACAUUAAUUCAUAUCCGAUCCAUAAUUUUACGGAUUAUAAAUUCUCAACACAAUCCAAAUCCAAUCUAUAUGUUUGCAGAUCGGAUGCGGAUUUGACUCAAUUCAUAUCCAAUCCACUAUUUGACGGAUUGAUUUUGGAAUUAAAAAUUUUUAAUUUUGUCCAAUCUAUGAGGUAAUUAAAUUUAAAAAUCUAAUAUAAAAAUAAUUUAUUAAAUAAAAAAUUAACGUAAAAAUAAUUUUACUACCAAUUAAAUUCAAAAUUGAACAAGAUUUAAAUAAAUUAAUUAUUUAAAUAAAACUAGAAUAAUUUAUUUAAAAUUUUUAAAUAUAACAUAUCGAAAAAAAAUUCAUUUGUUUAGAUUAAUAUAUGAAAAUUAACUAAAAUUAUGAAUUUAAAUGUUGAAAUUUGAGAGCUUGGAUGUAACAGGAAGAAAUUAAGAAACUUGAAGAACUUGAAAAGAAAGUAACAAAUUAAGCUUAACUACCUCUAAUGGUGAAGUGAAACAGUGAUGGUUUGUGCGUGCAAUGGGGUACAAAUUUGGCAUUAUAUGCCAAAAUAUUUUGUUUGGCUUUAGAAUUUUUAAUGUUUAGGAAGCUAUAUUUGUUUAUUUAAUUACUCAAAUAUUUAAUUAUUUUUUAUUUUAUGUUAUUAUUGAAUAAGAUAUAAUAUUGUGUUAAUUUAGCUAUACUUUAAUUAAUUAAUUAAUUUAUUAGUAAGUAGCAUUGCUACAUUUAUAAGUUUUAUUUUUUAUUAAAUAAAUACUUUUUUUUUUCAGAUUCACGAAUUUUUACGGAUUUACAGAAAUAAAUCCAUAUCUAAUCCAUCGACUGUGGUUUUUUAAAUUUUCAUUCCAAUCCGAUCUACCAAUCCACAAAUUAUAUUUUUACGGAUCGGACGAAUUGAGCGGAUCAAAUUGGGUUCUGAACACCCCUAGAGAAUGAGAAUCAAAAUAAAUUAUUUACUUUAGUUGUGUGAAUCGGAAUUGGAAUAAAUUGUACUGUCAUUGAUGUGUUUACUUUAUCUUGGAAUCAGAAUGAAUAAUUUCAAAUUACUAAACUGACCUUAAUUUUUUAUUGUAAUAAUAAUAGUAGUAGUAGUAGUAAUAGUAGUAAUUUUCUAUUAUUAUUAUUAUUUUCUCUCUCUUUUGUUUUUAUUUUUUUAUUUUUCUCUUCUUCUUCUCUUCCUCUUUUUUUAUUUUUCUCUAAUUCAUCGAUACUUCUUCUUCUUCUUUUUUCUUUCGUUUUUAUUUUUAAUUUUUCCCUUCUUUAUCGUUCCUUCUUCUCCGUCCAUUCUCUAUCUUCAAACUCUUUUUACUUUUUCUCUUAUUCUUCAUUACUUCUUCUCCCUUUUUUUUUUUUUUCUCUUCUUUAUUAAUUCUUCUUCUUCUGCGUCUAUUCUUCAUCUUCAAAUUAUCAAGUGAAAAAUACCCACGGUGCCUUACAAGAAGAAUUGGUUUUGUUUGCUUCAAUUAUUUUUUGUAUUUUGUACUUUUGAUUGUUUCAAAAGAGGAUAAACUUGUAAUAAUGCAAUUUAAGUAGGGAUGUUUUAGACAAUUUUGGGUAUGAGAGUCUAAUUCCCAACCCCCCACUCCCUCGUAGCAGACUCCCAUUCUUCAUUCCUAACUUGGUGUUGGACCUACUAAAAUAAAUCCCAUUCCCCUUCUUAUUUCAAGAAGCAAACACGAUUUUGAUUUCAAUUCCCCAAUCCGAAAGUAAACGCACAAAAAUUGUACCCAUAUGAGAUUGCUUAUCCUCGAGUUUUUAGAUUGAAAAAAAAAAAGGAAAAAAGAAUGGCCCCAUUAGGAAGGGAUUUUAAGUGUUAGAUAAAGCCGGUGUUAACCAUUAGAAGGUCUCCGACCUUCAACUGUAAUAUAUUAAACCCAGAUAAAUUUACAUAUAAAUCACACAAACCAACAUGCCAAUCAAAUAAAUUACAUCAACUAACAACAAUUGACACAUUAAUUUUCAUAAUACAGAGGAUGCAGAAAAUUAAAAUGUUUUAUCUUUUCUCCUUAUUUGUGAAUUGGAAAAUGAAAAUGUUAAACAUACAGAAGAGUGAAACAGGAUGGAUAUAUAUACACACACACACACACACAGCUUUGGAGUUCAAUGUCAUCGUAUUGCUCCAAGAAGAUUGGCGCCAUCAAGCUUUGCACCUUCCAGAUGCUGUUUAAUCAUCACCAUAACACCUUCAGUAGACAUUAAUACAUAAUAGAAACACAAAAUUCACAUGAUCUGAAUGUCUGGUCUAUUUUACUUACCGUAUCUCGAAGAUUUACGUGCCGUAAAUAAGCUCUUUGAAGGUUGGCACCCUUUAAAUUGGCAUUACGUAGCUUUGCACCCUGCCGCAUAAAUGUUCGAAGUUUCAACAAAUUAAAGUCUCCUGAGAAAUACAUGUCACGAAAAAGUAGGGCUGAAACUUGCAUCUAAUGUACAAGAUUCAAUCAGGGGUGCUUGUCCCACAGUGAAAGUGUAUGGGGGAAAGUGCACUUUCACAAACCAAAGGGGCAAGAUGUGAUUAUCACACGAUUACAAAAGGACUGUAGUCAAGAGAGAGAACUGAACAUGCAGCUUGUAUUGAGGCCAUGAAAAUUGAUGAAAAGCAGUAACAAGCAACCAUUUUGAAAACACUUCAUAUGGUCGAAUCAAUAAAUCAAAGCUAAAAUGAUGUUGACGAUCGAUAGCUUUUAGGUGAUAAGAGUCUUGGCACUACAGUUAAAAUUAUUAUCUAGGAGUGCACACAUUAAUAAAAAAAAACACAACCAAUAAGCAUGCACUCUUAAUCAGCAUAUAAAUUAACAAGUUAGUUGCACCUUAUGUUGUUCCACAAACAGAUUGCUCGAACAAUUCACAAUCUUACCUUCAAAUUAGCUCCUUCCAAAUUAGCUCCCUCUAGGUUGGCAUUAGUAAGAUCAGCAGUCUGAAAAGUCAAGAGGACAAACAGAUUGCAAUUUGAUUAAAAUCUCAAAGUAGCAACAUUCUGCAUGAAAGAAGAGCAGCACAAUUGGCAACAUACAUUUUAGAUUAAGAGGAUGGGAUAAAAGCAAAAUUACAAGGACAUGAAGCAAAUGAGCCAUGUUUAGUAUGGCAAUUUUGACCCAAUAAUUGUGGCAGGUCUUGGAGAUAACAUAGGCAUACACAUAAGGCAGAAGCAAAUACUGUCGCAAACUCCUAGCUAACUACAAAUGUUCCAUAUAGAAAAAAACACCUGCAAAAGUAAGGGAAAAAGCAACAGAUAAAGAACUCAAGAUGCUAGACCUGUAAGUGUGCAGAUCGCAGGUCUGCUCCACAGAAGCUGCAGUCUAUCAAGCAAGCAUCUGCAAUGAUUUAAGAUAAAUUUGAAUCCAAAUGACAUUUUACCGCAAGUAGUUCCAGCCAUUUUGGGAACAAACAAGAAAUGCUAUUUUGUAUUCAUUGUAAUUCCUUAAGCUAAAUAACAAUCAUGUGCUAUCUUAACCAAGGUACAGUUGCAAAUUCUGAAAUUGUGAUGCCAUAGGUUGUUCUUAAUCUUUUUGAACUGAAUAUUGAAAAAAUAUUCCUUCAAUCAUAAAUGUUAAAUAAUUAAAAGAACUGUGAGGGGGGNNNNNNNNNNNNNNNNNNNNNNNNNNNNNNNNNNNNNNNNNNNNNNNNNNNNNNNNNNNNNNNNNNNNNNNNNNNNNNNNNNNNNNNNNNNNNNNNNNNNNNNNNNNNNNNNNNGGGGGGGGGGGGGGGGGAAUGAAUAAGCGGAUGCAUACAGAAAAUUAUGGAAAAUCUGUUAUGGAAAUAAUAUGAAAAUGGGUAUGCAUAACUACAUACUGAAUCUUGACUAAUUUCAAUUUAAUUCAGAUAAGAAAUUCCAGUAUGGGAAUUGCCUUGUAAAUUUGCACUCUGAAGAUUUGCACCAGCUAGUAAAGCUCCACGAAGGUUUGCCCCAGCAAAUUCACAUCUUCCCUAGGCAAGAUAAAACCCUUAAAAGGCAAUUUUGAAAAAUACAUAUAAUUGGGAGAAUAUCCAGUAUUGCUUUGACUCUCUUACUCACGCAAAGUUGCAUUGUGAAAAAUGGAACCCUCAGCAUCCACAUCCUGUAUCAAGAACAGACAGAUUCAGUAUGAUUAAUAUAACUGGUUGCUGGAAGACAGGACAAAAUCGCAUCUUGUCACUGUCAACUUGCAUGUUAAGAAUUAAACACGAAAACUGCAUGCUGUCCAAUUAUAAGAAACCUAUAAAAUUCAAAUCAACAUCAAUACUGGCUUAAGGAAGAUAUAAAAAUAAAAAUUAUACCAACCCGAAAUUUCGCAGAUUGAAGAUUUGCACGUGAGAAGAAAACAUUUCUAAGACACGCAUAGCUGAAGUCCACAAGUGAAAGAUCCUGGCCAUUUUAAUAAGAUAGCAUCAGAGGAAACAAUAUCUAAUGAAUAUAUAAUGUUCUUUCUUGCUUAUCUGAGAAUACUAAUGAGAUUAUCAAAAAAACUCUAAGCUACUGCUAAGAAGUCUUGUGUUACAUGAGUAUGAAUUGAGGAGGUAAAGAAGACCCUUCUCCAAUAAGUUACCAUAGAAGCCACAUAAAACCCUAAAGCAGUUACAAACUUACAAUGACCAGAAUAAACCACCCCAACUAUCUAUUGGCAAGUAAAAUCACUUCUCUGGAUUUCUGAAAACUAGCAAAACAAAUGCAUAAAUUGGCAAAUUCGAUGAUUUCCUCUGAAAACCAAAUUAUAGCAGACAUAAAACUUGGAAGUAUUCAUAGAAUAAAAAUCUUUCAAGCACCUCAAUUCAGUAAUUAUUACCAGCUUAGAAAGAUCAAGGCCAGAAAGAUUAAGUCCUCGAAAUCUGACUUUUUCAGACUGUAUACACUUGAUGAUAUCAAUGCGUGUUAGCUCAGUAUCUAACUCAUUAUCUUCCUUUCUCUUAUUUAUGACAGCAUGGAUUCUCUCAAUUAGUCCCUGAAAUGAAACACAUUAGAUGCAAACUAUUAUUUGAAAAAAGAAAUACAUUUUAUCCACUAACACACAUGGAUUUCAACAGCAAUCAUACAAUAAUUGAGGAAGGACGGUCAUAUCAGACUCAUCUGCCAAGAUUCAAUAAGCACAUCAAACUUGUUUACAUGUAAUUUCCACAUUCCACGUGAAUUUAUAAGGUCUGCCUAAGCAAACCAAAGAAGGCUACACUCAGUACUGUGUGUAUACUGCCUUACCUUUGCUGUUCCCCAGAUACCGUCCUGCAAUCCAGAUACUUAGCUGUGAAGUUUCAAGCCAGCGAAACCAUUUUAAAAGUACACAUGGACACAGAUACCAUUAUCUGAAUCAUCUUCGAUAACAAAUUAAAAUGCCCUAGCGUUCAAAAAACUUAGGAUCUCUUUAAGUGAAGUUCCUUUAAAAAAGUAGAAAAAAACUGAACAACAAUGUCAUGCUAAUAAAAGGUAAAAAAAAUAAAAUAAAAUAAAGCAUAAGGACAGAAGUUCACCAGGAGCAUGCCAGUAUAAACCAAAACGACCACAAAUCUCAACCAUAAAAUUUAAAGUAGUAAAGUAAAUAAUCAAGGGCAUGCAGUUGGCACAGGUGCUUCCAAAUAAAAUGAUGAUUCUUUUCAAACAGAAAAAAGAAAUGGAUGUUAAUAAACUAGAAGAAACCAUGUCUUACAAGUAAUUGAUAAUAUUCUGCUUCCCGUAGAAGCUCUAAAAACUCUGACUCUGUUAAUGUGGGGACAGCCCCAUCCCUUAACCAAUUCAGAAUAUGCCGAAAAUGUUUUCCGUCCCUAUCAACAAAGAUAUAGCCCUGCAAUAAUUCAAUAUGCUCAAAGAUAAGAAUCUGAAUAAUAUACCCAAGAGAAGUGCUUUUCCCUGGAAUAAUAAAAAGAAAAUAAGUCAAAACGUUUUUCUUAAUGGAAGAACACAAAGGAACAGCUCUAUGACUAACAUGAAAACCAUAAAUCAGAAUAAGAACCCAAAACUGGUCAUUUGGAGUUUCACCAGAUCAAAAAGAUCACAUGGAAAUAAAAUUGUGAAAAUGGGAUUAUUUAUGCCGAGGUCAUGGCUAAACUGCAAUCAUUACUCCAUUUUUGGUAGAAGGAGAAGAAGAAAGAAGAGUAGGUGAGUCAUCAUUCUUUCAGGUGAGUCAUCAUUCUUUCUCUGUGAUUAAUUGAUAUGAUGGAAGUGUUGUAGAUAUUAAUUUGAUAGUGAUUCCUCCCUUCAAAAGAAUUCAUUCCUUUUUUUAUUAUUUCACAAAGUUUAACUAAGACUGAGUUUUCUCAAUUUGAAGGCAUCGUGCACUCUACCCCUUUCUUUUCCUCACAUUGCUUCUUCCCAAUCCCAAAGGGAAGAAAUCAAGAAACAAUUACAAUUUUUAACUAUUCACCAGCAAAAACAAGGCAAAGAAAGAUGCUGAGUGUAAGCAAAAAUAAGAGAGUUAUACACCUCAGAGUCUUGGCACACAGUAUGGCGACCGCUGAACAUAGCUGCAAGCAUAGAUUCAGGCUCACGACGAGUCAGAGUAUCAAUUGUUGUAUAAAAUUUCUUUCCCCCUGGAUAUUAAUACAUAAAAUAUAAAUUUGUUCACUUAAAAGCAUGAAUUGUGCAAAUUUGUCAAUAAUGUCAUUCUUUCACAAACGUUCACCGAAAUGUAUAACAAUAAGUGCAUCAUAACAUAACUAAACGGCUUAAGAACUGCGCAGAUAUUACAUACAGUAGAGAAACAAGAAAUAGAAAAUGAGAUUUGCCCUUUUUAAACAGAAAGCAAUCAAAGAGUAAACUAAAGAGCUAAUAAUUCACAAAAUUCAGUUGAUUAAACUCAUUUACAAGUAAUUAGCAACAAAAUCCAAGCUAAAUAAAAAUAAUGAAAAUUAGGUUCUUAUAACAUCCGUCAAUUCUAUGAAAGUUUACCACGAUCAGCAACAAAUAGAUAAAUCGCAAUAAAGAAAAACCGACGACAUGUCGGUUGUGUAGUGCAUAAGUAAAGGAAUUUGCAGAUGAUGUAAAGAGAAUGAGGGAUAGUAACUGACCGAUGUUGAGACGAACCAUUGAAGACGAAUCGGAGUCCUUCGCCAUUGUCGAGUGUAAUGACUUGUCGUCUUACUUGCGCUCAUAGGUAUUUAUAUCAUAGCUGACACUGUUCGAAGGACAGCAAGGAUUUGGUGGGCACAAAUGCAUUUUGGAAAUUGGGCUUCGGCCCAAGAAAUCGAAAAUCAGAGGCUUUUUUUUAAAAAAAAUUUAAAAGGAUUAGAAUGUCUAUAAAUUAAUAGGGCUGAGACCAUCUUAAAUCUAUUAAGUAAAAGAGAUAUUAAAUAUUUUAUUAAUUAAUAAUUUAUUAAUUUACAGAAUUAUUUAUAAUUCAAUUAACAUACAUUUAAUAACUAAACAUUCAAUGUACAUAAUUUCUGAUUACAAUUCAAAGCACUAACAAUACUUCAUAAUUUCUUAUUACAAUUCAAGAAUUCAACCUCAUAGCUUUUAGAUGCAAUAAGAAAAAUAAGAAAUAAGAUUCAGUUAUAUUUAAAUUUUAAGAAAAAAACAAUAAAAUCAUAUUUUAUGUAAUUAAAAUAUCAUAGUCAACUACAUUUGUAAUUUCAACAAAUUAUUACUCUAUGAUUUAAAUGAGACCACAAAGUUAUAUAAGAUUUUAUCGAAAUUAUUAAUUUAAUCCAUUAGUCCAUGUCAAGACCUUGAAAAUUUAAUAAUUAUAUAAUAGAGAUUAUUAAUUUAUCGAGUAUUAAUUUAUAGAAGUUCUGAUUGUAUAUUAUUUUAUAUUAAUAAAGAAUAAAGUAGCAUUCUUUUUUAAUUCCGAAGUAAUAAAAUUAUGGCUAAAUUAAGAGAGUAGAUAUAUUUUAUAACUUGGUUUAAUAACAUCACGCGCCUCCCUUGUAGUUUUGCAGCUUUGAAGCUUUAUAAUGAAUCCUAUUAGCUUUGGCUGGAAAGUUAUAUUGUUAAAGAGAGUUUAUAUAUUAAACAAGGUGAUCUAAUAUUUCCAAAACUAAAUUUGGGAUCAAAAAUAGAAAACAUUUGCAUGUUUUUACCUUUUGGAAGAAUUACUUGAUAAGUGCUUCACAGAAAAAUGCUUGCUAUUAUAGAGCACCCUAAAAAAAAUCCUUAAUAAUUGAGGGAUCAUAAUAAAGUUCAAUUCUAAAUCUGUCAGAUAGAUCGAAAGUAACAAACCAUAUAUAUUUAAAUCUAUUUAGUAAUCCAGGGUUACAAGCCAAGCGUGCAAUAGCCAAUUCUGAAAAUCAAAGCUCAGCCUAUGCUCUCUGAGCACAAAUAAGAUCUGAUAUAUACAUAUCGAAUCCUCCAUUAUGUGGAGUGAAAUUUCCAUCGUGUACGGUGUACCUAACAAUGAGAAAGCAUGGCAGCAUAAAUUCAUCUUCCAUGUUAUUCUACUUAUUAGUACUGGUUCCCUCAUAACUUCUCCAAAUCGGGGAGGUCUGCAAUGUGUAAAGCACGUAAUCAGAUAAAAGAAAGAGAGCCAAAAAAAAAAAAAAAGGUAACAGCCAAAAGAUUAAAUUUCUUUGAGAAAUAGAAAAUGGGAGCUUUUGGCAUAGGCACAGAAUAGAAAGUAACAGAGUCAUUUACAGUUGUUCAGAAUAUGCAAGCUGAAAACAACUUUGAAUGCAAUGGACAAUUCCUCCAACAAACAAUCGAAUUGGAUUGUGGAAGAGACAAAAGCUUAAUGAGGUUAUGGUUUUGGCUAGGUGAACUCAAAAUUCUUUUAUAGACCAAGUAGGUAAAAACAAAUCCCAUAUAGAUGGAUGAACCUCAUACCAUGAACAGUUAAUCGCGAACACUUGCAGGCUUAUGCACACGACUAUGAAGAUACUAAGGGUUUCACCGAUGGUAAGUGAAAAAUAUAUGAUGUAUAAUUUAAAUGGAAGCACAUAGUUUCGGAUUGAAUUCAAGGUUAAAGUUCCACAGACAGACAGAAGAGAUGAAGCUUAAAAACUUACAGAGCAUUCCUUCAUCAUCACUGCUUUCAUCAUUUUGGCCAACAUGCUGAAAAAAGAAUAUGAUUCAAGUUAAAUGAUUGAGCAACAAUAAAAAACGUGCAAAAUUAAUGCUCUCUCCACAAAAAUUUCAGUCUAUAUUGGUAAGAAGAAACAGGAAGAAAAAAUUACCUCAGCAUCAUCGUCAUUGGAAGCCAAAUCAGCUGUAAAGACCACAAAAUGUUUGGUUAGAACCAGUGGAAGUCUUACUCUAAAAUUUUUAAUUUUUGAAUUUCGAAAGAUCUCGUAAUGACAAAGAUUUUCAUAUCCAGUGACCAAGUUUUGAAAAUUAGAAUACGGAAUGACAUCAACUAAAUUCACUAAUAUAAGCUAGAGGAAUCCCUAGUAGAUAUAGCGCACAUGCACACAUGAUAUGCAUCCGAAUACACAAUAAUAAAUUAUCUCAAAGUCAAUAAGAAGCCAAAAUUAGAGAUAAACUUUUAGCCACUAUAAGGAAGACUGAUAUUUGCAGUGUGAUUACAAUAAACAAACAGAAACUUCACUACCCAUAAGUAAAACAAAAUAAAUAAAGGAUAAUAACUAACCAAGAAAUGGAAAAGCUCACAUUCUCUGAACACGCACCCCAAAAAGAAAGAAAGAAAUAAAUGUUCUCAUUGGAUCUGAAGCACAAGCAAUCCACUGACAUCCUUCUAUAAUUAGGUAAUUUAAAGGGGUUAAGCUCACAUCUUUUACGGAAGUAAGAAGAGAAUUAACAACCUUCCAGAGGAUUUAGGGAAAUACCACGAGGCAAGAAAAAAGAAAUAUCCUUCUUCAAUCUAGAUAUCCUGAUACUGCUCACCAUCUACAACAGUCUGUGGCUUAAAAAGCAGGUCACUGAUCUCUCCCUCCCUCUGGCACCAUUUUCUCUCAUGUCUCAUUUUUCCCUUCCUGCCAACUCCCACUACAGUAUUGAAACCUAUUCUAUCAACUCUUCCCCCUCCAAUAACAAGACCAAAACCAAUUUUACUCGCCGGUUAGCUAGGUAGUAAAUGGAAAUUUGUGAAUCUGUCAUUCAUCCGUAGAAACAAACCAGAACUGCAUAAAUUCUCUUCUCUCCCAACAGCUUCUUUUCUCCAGAAAUAGGCACAAGUAUUUGACAUGGAAACAGUUUAUCUAACAUGGCCACCUUUAAAGACAAAGACAUACUAAGGACGUGGUUUUAGAUACGGAUACAAGAAACAAUCACAAAAUGUAAAAUCUAUACAUAUGAUAUUAAUUUCCAAUGGAUACAGCAAUUCAUUCUUUGACAUAACUUCAUCAGAUUACUAGGUUUGAUUAGGUUAUACACACAUUUAUUCAUUUAUUGAAUCUACAUGCACUUAGAAUGAGAGGUACCUAUAAAAACAAGUUACCAGAAAACAAUACAGCUAGAAAACAUUAAUCUAAGUAGUUCUAUAGGUUUAACUAACUGCAGGAAAAAACCAUUGAUUUUGUCCGCCAGAUUAUCGAGAUCCUAAUUCUGGUAAAAAGAAAAUGAGAUAAUAGAAAAUCAAAAAUUAAAUAGACACAAAAUGAGAAAUCAAGAUCAUAUGGCAACUAAUAUAUAGCAUGGGCUGCAGCUAACAAGCAAUAUAAGCCAUGAUAUUAUGCCAGAUACAAAUUUUGAGAUCCAAGAGAGAUCAAGAAGCAUGAAUACCACUAAAAUAUCGAAAGAAGUGAGUGCAGAAGGAUAAGAAAUCAGGUUGAUAUUCUUCAUACUUUGGAUCAACACGUAGUGAUGCAAUAAACUUGUAAUUAGCUUCAAAUGUAUAGGCUACCAUGUCAACAUUUCCGAAAACACACAAGAUUGUGCUGGAUUCAUACAUAGUACAUAUAUAAAAAAACAAUCUGCUUCUAAACUUCAUGAGAACAUCGAAUAAUGAACUUACAAUUUGAUCCCUCAUCAUCUUCAUCGCACCAUUUGUUCCAAUCAACCUUAAUGUAAGGUGCUGGUUUCUCUUCUGACUUGAGUAGCCUUUUCCACCAACCUUUCUCUUCUUUUUGGACCGAGCAUAUUAUGUUCCUUAAGCCAACUUUAGUCUUACAUUUCUGCACCACCAGCAACAAAACUCAAAGCAUUACAAAAGAGGUAUAUUUAGCCGCUCUUGACUCGAGUGAGAGAACAGGAUAAAUAGCCUAGGUAUAUCCACAUCCAUGUUAUGAGAUUGAUUAUGCAACAGCUAACUUUAAUAUAAAGCUUUUGCUUCAACAAAGACUAAAAUGUUUGUAAUUGUUAUGCUUUUGGAGCUAAAAUGUUUGGCAAACACCCACUUUUACUCUGCACCUAAUAUCUACCACCCACCCACACACUAAGUCUCUCGUUUGGUACAGCUAUUUAUCAGUAGUGGCUUUAAGCCACAACAUUUAAAGCGAAUUUACCCUAAAAUUUUACAAUGAAAAACCUAUACUACCUUUAACAUUGUUGUCAAAAUUAUUAUUAUAAGUAAUAUUUACCAAACACUAUCAACUUCCAAUUCAUAUCAAAGAGCUUUCACUCCACAAUAGCCGUGUCUUCUUAAGCCAGAACAACACAAUACCAAAGGCCUUAAGCUAGUGAUUUGAUUUCACAACAACUGCAGAUCAAGCCUCAAUCCCAAACAUACAUAAAUCAAAUGCAGAAAGCAAAAAUUUAACAAUAUGUUUGGUAUACUAAAUGUCUUUCAUAGUUUCAUUUCACAGGGUAUUUAGACAUGCAAUGAUAAAUUGGAGCAAUUUCAAGAACCGAAUUGACCUCAGGUAAAAUUUUGCCAAAAAGUUCCAAGCUGAAGUCGUAAAGCUCGCCUUGGACUCCGACGGCCGAGAAGCCAAAAAUCCCCUGAGGCUCGCAUUUCACAGAAAUGUCUUUCGCAUCGGGUAAUGAAAUGGUAAGGUAUACUUUAUCGGAGCGCUGAGCCCAAAGAACCUCCGGAUGGCGACUGAACAUAAAAGAAAUAAUAAUAAUAAUAAUAUUAUUAUUUUUUAUUGUGACAAUUUUGAACUAAUAAUUAGAGACAUUUAACAACAAUAUUGAUUAAUAUUGGAGAAGAAAAAUAAGGUUACAAGAGAGAAUCAGAAAGAUUACCUCAUUCUGGUGGAUGAUUGAAAACGGUGGGUCGAUUGAUGAACAGAAGUGUAACUGUCUGGGAGUGAGAGUGACUCUGCUGUUUACUGGGUAGAGUGUGCUUACUCGAAGAAAUUGAAAGUGAUAAUCUCGGGCAAGCCAACACGUCGAUUUGGUCAACAGUGGUCCAACAAACCAGGAACUAGGUUUUUUUUUUUAAAUGAUUUUUUUUUUCAGUAUUAUAUUGCCCCGCCCGUGGGCUAUUACAUUUUGGCCCUUUUGGGGACCCCUCGUUCUCUUACAAGAAGGGAAUAUUCUUUUCCAUCCACCGGUUUGUAGGCAGAGUACAUAUACUCUUCGAAAUUAAGGACAAAUUUCUGAAUCGUGCCGCAUUAGAAUUAAAUUGAGUCUCAAAAGAAUUUUGGUUAUAAGUAUAUCGUUCAAACGGUAAUAUAUUAAAAAAAAUAAUAUUUACUACAAUGUAGACCUAUCGGGACUUUGAAGCCCAGACCAAUUCUUGAGUCUAGCCUAAUAACACCUCAACAGAUCAAAAUUGAAAUCCAACUUAAAUUUCAAUAUUGUGUAGGGAUCUGCCUUAAUUUAGAUAUGUCAAGACCUGCCUUAGGCAUCAAAGUGAUCUAUCUUAACAUAACUAAGACUUUCUUUAAACAUCACAAUGAUUUAUCUUAACGUAGUCAAAUCUAGCCUAAAAAAAUCUAAAGAAGGAAAAAAGAAAUUAUUUUCACGUAUUGAGAGACUUAAAUUCUUAACCUUAUUCAUAAGAAAAAAAAGUGUAUUACUUAACUAAAUCGUGACUAAAAAUUAUAAUUAUUAUUUUUUGUACAUUUAGCUUUAAAAAAUCAUUAUAUAUAUAUAUUCAUAUAAGUUUUGACAUAAUAUACAUACCACUUAUUUGUUUUUUAAAUUAUACGAGAAUGAAAAAACUCAAGCAUUAAACACCAACUUUUGUUUCAUGCUAUCAAUCAACUUGAGAAAUUUUAUAAUAUAUCGGAAGUUCUACGUCACAAUUUAAUACGAAGCCUUCGAUUAAUAAUAAUUAGACACAUGACAAUAGAUGCUAGAGAAAUUUUAAAUUCCCUCUUUUCAUUAUCCCUCCAAAUUUAGAAUUUCAAAAAAUUAGAGAAUAAAUGUUGCUUGCUCUCUUUGUUAUCUAAUUCUAAUUAUUAUUUUUUUCUCUCUCUCUCCAAUCAAGUUGCUAGCAUUUUUUAAAUCUAUUGAAGAAUAAGAAGAAGGUUUUUGUCGAUGAAAUGAUUUUGGCAGCCUUUUUUACCCAAAGCUAACAUGAUUGCUGCGACUACCAAUGAAGAAAAAGAUGUGUUUUGCUGGCGAAGAAGAUGAUUUUUGAAGCAUGAGUGGCUGCCGUUUAUUUUUUUCCUUCAUAUUUUUCGAUGUAGUGGCUGUCCUCAAGUUUUAUUCAUUUACUUUUCAGUUGGCCUACUAUUUAUUGGCAUAAUGAAAAAUUUUAUUUUAAUAAGCAUUUAUAGAUUAAUUUGAGGAGGUUUCUUUUGCAAUAUUAGUGUGGUUUCUGCAUUGGUAUGAUUUAAAUUACGAACUUGCUACAAUCUUUAAUUAAACUGUCAAAAGUAAUUUAAAAAAUCUUUAAUUAAACCGUCAAAAGUAAUUUAAAAACUGACAGUAGAUAGAUUAGAGAUAGGCUUGACAAUUUAGCCCGACUCUAUUUUUAGUCUGAUUGAUCCGAUCCUAAUUUUUAAGACUUUGGCCUGAAUUUUUUGAUUUCGGGUCGGGUUCGGGUCAAAAUUUUAAGGCCCGAACAAAUUUAGGGUCAGGGUCGGACUUAAAACCAACCCGACCCGACCCUAUUUAAAAAAAAAAAAACUAACACACGCACACAACACAUGACAGUUCACUCUCUCUAAAUCGUAAAUCACACACACAAAAUACACUUACACAAAUUCACAAAAACCCUAAGCCAGCCACCCAGCCUGCUGCCGUCCUAUCAGCCAACAUCGUGACCGUCCGCCGCACGCCAGCCAAUCAGCCGUCGUCUCGUCGUCGCAUGUCUCACCAAUCAGCCAUCGUGACCGUCUGCGACGCUGCGACAUGAACUUGAACCAGCCGCCCUUUGUCGCCGUCCUGCCGCAUCCGCCUGCCAGCCAACGAUCAAUGCACACAGUUGAAUUGUGGGGUGGGAAAUGGUUUCGAUAGGGUCGGGCUCGACCCGACCCUAACUAUAAAGAGGUAGGGCUUUUUUAGGGUCGGGUUUUAAUUUUUUGUUGAUCGGGUCGGGUCGGGUUUGGCCAAACCCGAGCCCGACCCGACGUUUUGCCAUCCCUAAUUAGAGAUGAAGAUUGGAGAGAGAGAAAAAUAUAAUUUGAAUGAGAUAAUAAAGAGAGAAGAAAUUCUAUAAUACAUCAUAAGUAAUAUAACUCAUUGAUGUAUGCAUGAUAUAUGUAAUUAACCUUAAUAUAACUAACACUUGUAUGGUGAUAUUUCAAAAUAAAUAUACAUAUGUUAUAAAAUCAUUUACUUAUUGUAUGACUGACAUUUUAUUUUUGAUGUAUUGUACAAUUUCUCAGAAGAGAGUAGUAUUUAUUAUCUCUAAUUUUUUGAAAUUCUAAAUUUUGGAAGGAUAAUAGAAAGAGAAAUUUUAAAAAUUUUUCAACGUAUAAUGCCAUGUAUCUAAUUAUUAUUAGUCGGUGUUCCACGUUAAAACGUAAUAUAGAACCUCUGGACCUUACUGUAUAAUGUACUGUAGAAUUUCCUGAUCACACACUUUCUCAGUUGCAAAAGAGGUGGGCAUAUGAGUUCCUUACGGGGAUUUAGUGUGAAUCCACGCAAAGCCCAUAUAGAUUUUUCCGGUUAACCGCUAUGGCAUCCUAGUUUUAAACUCAGUACUAAAUUUACAGAUCCAUUUAAACCCCCCAAAUCAGUCUCUCACCGUCUCAAGUCUCAAACAAAAAACCUGACCGGAACCCAAACCGCCAAAUCCGAUUCGAUGGUGGACUGUGCUAAAACCCCUAAAAUUCCAAGACUGACAUGCGGUAAAGGAGAUGGUGAUAGACUUAGCAAUCUUCCGGAGCACAUCAUUUAUCACAUAUUCUCGUUCAUGGAAACAGUUGAUGUUGUUAGAGCAAGCACUGUUUCGCGAAGAUGGAGGUACUUGUGGCUUUCCGUUCCUUAUUUGAACUUCGACUAUCACACAAUUUGGUCAGACCCGGAAAGUAGAUGGUCUCGUAGGAAAAUCAAUGAUAAGUUCAAAGAUUUUGUCAACUGGGUAAUAUUUUCUCAAAAUGGGUCUGUUAAUAUUCAAAGAUUUCGUCUUUGCUGCUGGGAUUAUUUAGCAAGUUACGAUAACGAUAGAACGAUUUACAGAUGGGUUUCUGCUAUGGCACGUCGAAACGUGCAAGUGCUUGAUCUGGCUAUAGCUUCACUAUACCCAUUUGAGUUUGACUUGCCACAUAGUCUUGUAACUUGUGAUUCAUUGGUGGAACUGAAGUUGAGUUUGAGCUUUCAUGUUCACCGAUGUUUUUUAAAGCUGCCUACUGCUGCUGGUUUUAUUGGGCUCAAGUCUCUUGAUUUACAAAGUGUUGCGUUGGAUGAUAAUUUGUUUCCUGAAUUUAUUUCAAAUCUUCCCCUGCUUGAGAAUUUGUGUAUGUUGUCAUGUGUUUUUCCUGAAUUGAAGGUUCUUGACAUUUCUUCCACUAAUUUGAAGAAUUUGGCUCUGGAAUCCAUUGUUGGCAAUGAUAAUGCUGGCAAUGAUGAUGCUGGCAAUGAUGAUGCUGGCAACUACAAGCUUAAGAUUGCUUGUCCAAAUCUUGUGUCUUUUAAUUAUAUAGCUUUAGCUCCAUGGUUACCUCACUUUGCUUUUGAGAGCUUAAACUCCUUGCAAAAUGCAUUCAUUGACCUGGAUGAUUAUAACGAGGAUGACAUGGAGAACGAAAGAUGUCAUGUUUUAUCUACAAUCUUCAAUGACUUUCGUGAAGUUAAAGUUUUGAAAUUAUCAGAAGCCAUUCUUCUCGAGGUAUGAUUUCAAAUACAUUCAUUGCACCAAAUCAUGAUUCUGCCAGAACUUGUCUACACUUUUUUAUUUUGACAUUAGAAAUGAAGCUUAAGUAAACUGAAUCUACUUUCUUUGUUUGGUAAAAUAAGAAUUCUAUUGAUUAUGGAACCUUCCUAAAUGCUAAUUUGUUCUUUAGACUGUGUAUAAGUCAUUGUGACAUUGUAUGAAGUCUCAUUUAUCUGAGUAAUCAAUUGUUAUUGAUGUCAAAGACUAGAACUCAUUGGUGACUUGAGUUUAUGUAUAUUAUCGUUUGUUAGAUUUUUUGUGUGAUUAUUGCACUUAACUUGACUAAUGUAUUCUCUUUCUUUUUGCCAUUGUUCCUCCAGGUUCUUGAUCCUGAUCCUGCUCACGAAGAACCAGCAUUUUUUUCCACUUCAUUCAAUAAUUUGAAGUCCUUAAUACUUUCUGCAGGUCCGGGUGUAUGUCUCAUGCCAUCAAUGCUUAGGUUGCUCAACUGCUCUCCAAAUCUAGAAGCUCUUGCAAUAUAUUCUCCUAAGGUAAUCUUAACACCAAAAACUAUUCCAUUUGUUAGAUACCGUCGCUUCUAUCCAUUUUUUUUAAAAAUCAUAUCUCCCAUUUAUGUGCUAAAAUUUUAAUUUUGUUAAAGUGCAACUGGGCUUUGCUUAAAUUAUCGCAAUAGAGUUGAAACCUGAAAGUAUUUGUGAUAUAUUAUGUUUACCGCUUAGAGCUUAAAGUAAAUGUUAAUCUUGUGGCCUCUUGGUUGUUCCCAUGCUAUUGCUUGUUGAGCAGAUGGUUGAAUUUAGAGUCAAUCAAUCGGUUGUGUUCUUCUGAGGUUUGUGCAAGUUUUGUAAAAGAGCAAAGUUUAGUAUUUGUUUAGUUUGUGAAAAUGAUAUAGCUUUUUCUAAUUCAUCUUACUCUAUUCUUUGCUUAAAAAUGAAUUCUCCUUUUGAUUUGAUUCCUUGACUGCAUUUCGGUCUGUUUUCUCUUGGCAGCAUCGGCGUGGAUAUAAUGCUUAUAGGAAAACACCGAACAAGGCUGCUAUUUCAUGUUUGACAAAUCAUCUCAAGACAGUUGAAAUAAAACAUUUUAGCGGUGAUAUGAAUCAACUUGAAAUUGUGAGGUUUCUUCUAAGGAAUGGACAUGUAUUGCAGAGAAUGAGUAUUAGAUGGGUGGCAGAUGUUAAGAAUCAAGGGAAGAUUAUCUCAAGGAUAAUGAAGUUUCGGAGAUCAUCUUCAAGUGUUGUGCUGAAAUUCCUAGAUCCUAAGCCAGCUGAUGAUUUUUCAGAUUAUUUAUUUGAUGAUGAGCAAAAGAACUAAAAUUAUGUUUAAAUUAAAAAAAAAAAAAGUGGUUUAAGUGUAUGUUCGAAUUAAAUAGUCUUUUGGAUUUGUAGAAACUGAAAGGAGUACAGUGCCAGUCACUGUGGCAGCCUUAUGUUUUGUUUGAAAAAAUUCGGAAGCUUCUAAAUUGUUAUAUACCUCAAUUCUGAAGUCGUUAGUAUGUAUAUUAUAAGCAAUACAUAUGUUCCAUUUGUCAUAUUUUAUUUUGGCAUUACGAUUGUUUUGUCUUGAUUAAUAUUGAUUAUAAUUUGUUUAACAUUUAUCUGGCAUAUGUAGAAUUAUACUUUAUCUGAGUAGAUGACGCUGCUGCGUACAUCUUCAGGACUCGGUCAUAAACUGUUUAUCUCUGCGUCUGUCUAGCAUCCAUCCACGUAUGACCUGUCGGCUUUUUGCCCGCAAGCAUACAGUUAGGGGUGGUAAAAAUAUCUGUCCGGUCUGGAUUCGGUUCGCACCCGGAUGUUUUAUCCGGCCCGGUCUUGGGCAUCAUUUGAUAAAUUCGGAACCCGAGUUUUAUUAAGCGCCUUGGCCGUACAGCAGUAUAUUAUUUUAAAUAUUUAUAUUUAUUUGACUCAUUUAUUACAUAUAUAUAAAGUUUUAGACACUUAAAGUUUAUAUUUUCAUGUCAAAUUUCAUUAAAAUAAAUUUAAAACUUAUAAAAUUACCAAAAAAUAAAAAAUAUAUACAUAUAUAAUAUUAAAAAAUAUAAAAUCUGGGUACCCAAAUUAAAACCCGGCACAAUCCGACCCAGGCAUCUAUGCAUCCGGGUCGGGUCCGGUCAUUACGAUACCCCGACCCAGCCCAGGGUUUUGCCAUCCCUACAUGCAGUGUAUAUGAAUUGCAGUUCUUGUACGGACAACAUGUCAUCCAUAAAACUCGAGUUAUGUUCUUUUUAAUCUUUAGUUUAGAUUACAUUUUGCAAAACUAAUAAACGAUAGAGCUCCUAGCAAGGUCAAUAGUUAACUGCGAAUCCAGAAGAUCGGAAUGCUAUACCUUUCAAACAUGCAUUUCAAAGCCAUCUGCGGAAAUGGAAAACAAGCAUUUCAAACUCGUUGUUAAAACAAUGAUAAAAGUAAUUUUAAUCCUAAUUUUUAAUUCCAGGCAUGAAGCUAACUCAUAUACAAAGAGAUAUCAAGUAAGCAGAGGCGAAAGCUAAAAGCUUUGGUUACAGGGGUCGGUGUGAAUAAUGUAUAUAUCGUUUAGACAUAUUUUUGAAUAUCUAUUUUAAUUUAGGGGAUAUUAUAUAUAUUUAAAAAAAAUUAAAAUUUUUACGGGAGCCAUGGCUUACUAUAGUCUCCAUUAAGAUUCACCCUCCCUACUUUUCGUACUUCAUUAAAGUAUAGGAUAAAUAUUUACAAUAUUAUAAAUAGAUUUUAUAAAAGCAGUCCAUAUAUGAAAGUCCUUCUGCACUCUGAAUUAAAUAAAAAUAACGUGAGACUAACAAUUUAAGAGUCUUUUUUGCAACGUAUAUCGUGCAGUGAUGUACUCUAUCGACGGAGGACUCUCUUCAUAUGCUUUUUAUUUUUCCAUGCCUGAUUAUAAAUAGGAUCACUCUAUGUUACAUUAAACGUAACGUACACACACUCACAACAACAGUAACAAGUCCCAUCAUUAGAACUGUUGCUGUGAGUGCGUGUAUGUUACGUUUAACGUAACAUAUCACUAGCCUUAUAAAUAACAUCACUUUUAAGGAUUUUUACAAAUUUUUAUUACAACCGUAACUUUUGUCCUCAUACAAUAACGGUGUCCAUUGUCCACAUAUAAAAAGUUCAUCAAUAAACAUAUAACCUAAUUAAAAUUCGUGACAAAAUCCAAAGGAAAGAAAGCGUGGAGUAAUAUAUAUAACAAAGGCAUUGAGCAUACACCAGGUGUAAUUUGCAUUGCAUGGCCACCCUUACGUGGCAGUUCCGCCGAUUAACACAUCUUUAAAAGUUAAAGCCCCCCUCUCUCCUUGUUAAGGGCGUUUCAACACAACACUCAUCAAUGCAAGCAAAGAGACAGUGAAGGAAAAAUUAAGAAACCAAUAUUGUCACUUGGAAGAAAGAAACAAUCAUUACAUAUAUAAUACGAUGGAUACUAAGAACAACAGGAAGCAUUUGUCCUGCAUUGCCAACGACGUCGUUCACAGAUGUGCACUGUACGUAUCUCUCUCUCUCUCUCUCUCUCCUUUUCUUUUUCUCCCCGAUCACUUUGUUUUCUUUAUAUAUACGAAUGUAUGUAGAACGUAGUAGGUUUUGUAUAAAUAUCUGUUGCACACAUUAUUUGAUGUGCAUUUAAAUAUAAUUAAUGGUAAUUGAGAUGACACACAAAGACAAUGCAAAAAAAGAAAAAAAAAGAGAGAGUAAAUUAAUGAAUUUGCCUUGAUCCAGUUAAUUUGUGUGCAUUUAGCUGACUGUAAGGUGGUUUCGAGUGUGUUUUUGUUUGGCAACUUUUCACACAAAAGCACUUUUGGGAAGCACUUUAUGUAAUGUAAGUGCCUCUAAAAACUGUUUUAUGUAUUACUGCCAAAUGCAGUGCAGAGGUUACAAUGGGAGGGUCGGUUUUAUACCUGUUCUUCGAGACUUAAUUUCAAUAGGAGAUUGAAAUAUUUAUGAGAAUUAUGUUGUUAGCAGACUUAAUUCUUUUGGAGGAAUUCAUUCCAUCGUAGACCACUCAAUGAAUUUGGUCGAUUGAGAUUAUUUGAGUGCAUGCUUCAAAACUGGAGCAUUAAUUCUUUGACAUAAAUGGGCUUUAACAUAAGGCGCGUUCGCUUAUUCCAUUUAUUCAAGAAGUUGGCACUCAAUUUUUUAUUACUAGCCUUUAGAUGGCCAGCAGCCUUUUGUAGCCCUUUCUAGUUUCUACUAAAGUGGUUAUGUGCAAUAGUUCUAUUCUGGGUUGCAAAAUUAUUGUGUCAGUAGAAUCCACAUACAUUAUGUACUUUUCUGUAUUUAAUUUCAAGAGGCUUAGUUAUAUCAUAGUUUUAGGAUUAUAAUAAGUCUGUCCGUUACCAUGUUAUUGGAAUUUUUUUUUUUUUCUAAAUUAGUUGGACACAUUAUUGGAUUGGUCAAUAAAGGAAAGCAUUUGGCAAGUACUUGGUUUGAUAUUAACAUAUAGUUGCAGUAAAGCACAUUAACUUGUGCAUCCUGAAAUUCUUGCAGGCAAGUAAAGGCUUCUGAGGAUUCAUUGGUGGAGGGGUUUGAAGCUGAAUGGAAGCCUGAAAUCGGACAGUAUUCGAAGAAAUUUGUGGAAUAUUGCAGCAUAAAGGCUCUUACUAACAUGUGCCAGAGCAUAGAAGAAAAGAUUAGUGAUGGAUCAUUUAGUCGACUCACAUUUGAUAUGAUGCUUGCCUGGGAAAUGCCUAGUGCCGCCGAUGAGGAGUCUCAUACUGUAAGCAAUCAUCAUAAUACUCAUAUCCUAUAUUUAUUUCAUGGUCCACCAAAUCAUUAUGAUAUUAUCCCAAUUUUGGUGUGCCUAUCUUCUCUUCAAGUUGCUUCUUCUAUUUCUUUUUCAUUAUACAUUCUCUGGUUCUCAUCAGUUUUCGCUCCAAUUAAAAGAAGCAUGAAUUCUUUCACUUAUCUGCUGAAUCUGUUCUAAUGAUUGGGCAAUAGAUUUUUAUUCCUCUCUGUGGUUACUACUAUUUUGAUCUUGUGCAGGAGUGCAUGGGAAAGGAGAAUGAGGAUAGAAAGGCUGUAAAAGUCACUUCAGAUCAUGAUGAAAUUCCUCUCUUCUAUACAGACAUCAUGCCUCUUCUAGUAAGAGCGUCUCUUUCUGAUCAUUUGAGUGCUAAUGUACCGACCAAGCAUUAGCCUUCACUGAAACUCGUAUAUGAUUUCAUGAACAUUGAUUAAUUGUUAUUUUUGCUAACUACUCUAUGAGAUCUGAUCAAAUUAGAUAUAUAAAUGUUGCGAUUGAUCUUGGAUUUGCUUUAUAUUUGGCCAUCAAUUAUAUUUUACUCUUCAUUUUUAUAUUUGUUUGGUUUGAUAAUUUACCCUCUGGCCCAUAUAUAUGAUGGUAGGUUAAUAAUGAACCGAGUGUUGGAGAAGAUGCAUUUGUAUGGAUGGGAUCCUUAGUUCCUCUAGUUUCAGAUGUUAUUAAUGGGAGAUUUACAUAUGAAAUUCUGACAGCGCCAACAGGAAACCGGCUCCAUUCUCCAGCAUAUGAUAUAUUUCUAAAGGAGAUGGACAAGUAAUUCUUCCAAUUCUUCCAUGCAGCAAUUUUACCACUCAGAAACUUUAAGUGCCGUUUGGUUUUGUGACAUGCAAAUUAUCAUGGAACACUCAAAAUGAGUUGUUCUUAACAAUUUCUAGAAUUUGCAAACUCACUAACCAUAUCUGAAAAUGCAGAAGCAUUAUUACCACUUAUUGAUAACAAUAUCUCUGCUCGACUUGUUUGGGUGCUUUCAGCCGUUUUUCAUUUUCUUUUGGAAAUCUUGAUUUCAUAGAUGCAUAAAACAUUUGCAAAAACAAGCAACUCCAAAGGGUGUUGAGCUGGCUGACGAUGAAUUUAUACUGCAUGUGGAGGGAACUGCAAGCACACAGAGAGUAGUGCGCCAUAUUGGGAAAACAAGUUGGCCUGGUAUGUCUUUAGUUUGAUGUCUUACAUCUUUUUAACUGCUGUAGAAAUUGUUACUUGGAUUUUACUAAUCAUAAUUGUUGUCUCUAGGUAGGCUCACACUGACAAAUUAUGCGCUCUACUUCGAGGCUUCGGGAGUAAUAACAUAUGAAGAUGCUCUAAAGAUUGACCUCUCAAAAGAUGCUGAACUAUCUGUUAAACCAACUGCCACAGGUCCAUGGGGUGCUCCGCUUUUUGACAAGGCAAUUGUAGUCGAGUCCCCUGAACAGUAAGCAUAGUUGCACUUAUAUGAAAUUACUGGAGCUAUUAGCAUCGUUAUUCUUAUUUUAAAAAUUGUUAAAUGCUUGGUAGUUAUCCCAUAAGCUAGAUUUUAAAUGCAUAACAUACAAGGCAGACAUCAGAAAGCAUUCUGAUUCGUUUAUUAAAGUUUGUCUUUUAUUAAGCUAAAGAUAUUAAUGCUGCUAGAUUUUUCUAAUUUGGUUGUAGAUAUUGGUUAGUUACACUGUCAAAUGAGCAAAUCUCGUGGAUAUUUCAUAGUGUGGUUAUGCAAUUGUUUUUUGCCCUUCACUUUUCUAGAUCUGAGGGAAUUGUCCUGGAGUUUCCAGAGAUAACUAGCUCGACAAGGCGUGAUCAUUGGCUGGCCCUCACAAAGGAGAUAAUGUUAAUGCACAAAUUCCUGUCAAAAUUCAAGGUGGAAUGUCCAAUACAAGCAUGGGAGAUGAAUGCAAGGACAAUACUUUGCAUCAUAAGACUCCAUGCAGCAAGAGAAAUGCUGAGGAUAUUGCCUCCAGAUCCCACAAAAUUCUUGAUUUUUGCUUUGUAUGAUGAGUUGCCAAAGGGAGACUACGUGCUAGAAGAGCUUGCUGAGAGUCUGAAGAAAGUUAAUUGUGGACAUCCUUCCAGUGCUAGCUCAAUUCUGAGAUGUAUGAACCUGUCAAUUGCCGCAAGUGGAGAAGUAAAAGAAGGAAAAGAACUGGAGGAACAUAAACAUAUAAGUGAUGAAAGCUGUUCAUCACUGGAAACUGCCAUCAAUCAAUCUAAAGAGCAAGCAAAGGCAAUUGAAAUUGCUAAGUCUACCACUGAGGGCCUGAAAGAUGAAGGGAUCAGUGAUAGUAUCCUUGUUCUCUUGGUAUGUUUUUACUUCCAAAUUGUUGUUUAUGCUGCUGAUUUUAUAUUGACAGAAUAAGUAAUGACAUCUCAACAAAUCAUGGUAUUGAGAGCUUGUUUGACAUUUAUCAAACACAGCAAAGAAAUUGAAUUUUAUGAAAUUCCUAUAGCACCCUAUAAUUUGUACCAAAAAAUCUCUGCACCUUUGGCAUGCUGUAUGGUAUGGAAGUAUAGCUGUCUCAGAGAGGUUACUGUUAUUUACUUUAUUUGGUUUUGUAGUAUUGAUGUUAAGUUUGAUUUAAUAAUGUAGGAGCUACUAAAGCCACUUAAAAGUGUUUUACCCUGGAUUCGAGAAGUUGUUUCAUGGGAAAAACCAGCAACCACCCUCACUGUGAUUGCAACAACUCUACUAAUAGUGUACAAGUAAGUCAGUGCUCCCUCGUAAUUUUCUUAUAUACGGAAAUUUUUUUGAAAGUGCAUGUUGAUCAAGAACCACUUCAUUACUUGGCCUAUUAAUGUGUAAACUUUGCAAAUGACUAGUAAACUAUAUAAUGGCAAUGUAGGGAGUGGGUAGGCCAGGCUAUAGCUGCUUGUUUGCUCACCAUCGUGGUGAAGAUGCUUCAGGCAAGAAAAAAAAGGUUGACAGACAAAUGCAAUGAGAUAGUAGUAUGCACUGCUUCAGAUCAGAGCACCGUGGAGAGCAUUGUGUCGGCUCAAUACAGUUUGAUAACUAUUCAUGAGAUGUUGCAGGCAGCAAACAUUAUGAUUUUGAAGAUAUGGUCGAUAUUAAUUUCAAAGGCCCGCAAGGUACUCAUUUUGAUAACCUAUGCUUUCAGCUUAGCAAUUAAAUAUCGUUUUCAAUCAAUAUUGCUUAUUCGUCGUUAGCUGAAGUUCGUUUACCUACUACAUUUGUUGGAUGUCUUCAAUUAUUGAGGAGUCUUAGUUGCAUUUCCAAAUUGUUCUAAAUCCUCGUUUCAUUUAAUGGGUUGCAGCAUGCGGACACGGUUAUGGUGGCAUUGACUGGGUUAGCAAUAGUAUUAGCAGUUGUUCCAUUCAAGUAUAUUGUCAUGGGAGGUGUGCUGUACGGCUUCAUUAUGAACUCGAAGCCAAUGAAGUACCUGGGAAACAACUCAAACGACCAAAGCGGCAACAGACGUCUAAAAGAAUGGUGGGAGUCAAUCCCUAUUAUUCCUGUUCGCGUCGUGGACAAGCUUCCUGAGUGCCCAAAAUAAUGUGUCGGCUCCUGCACAAUCACAGUUGCCUAAAUCCUCUGUUUCUGAACUUUUGUUAUCAACUUACUGCACGAUAUACACUUCUGAGUUUGCUUUUGCCAUCAGAGUAGAACUGUAUCUGAAACACAGCAUACACUUAAAUGCUCAUUACAAAUUUGGAGAAAAGCACAAGUAGAAAAGGAUUGAAGACAUUCAGUAACGUUGAAAUUCUGCAUUUUCUUUAAUUUUUGUUAUGAACAAGUUUCUUAAUUAUUUGUUCUCUUGAUGUAAAAUAGCAUAUUGCUGGGAGUAAUGAAGAUGUGACUGUGCUUUUCCUAUUAGCAUGUUAAUAAAAGCAAAAUGGAAAAUUAUUAGUUACGUCCUCUCGUUUUGCGGCUUAUUGAGCUAACAAGUAACUUCUUCAUUACUAGCGUGCAAGUUUGCAACUAGUGAAUCUCAAAUAUAACUCUACCCAAUGGAUGGAUGUACGAUGGAUGUACCUACCCAAUCAUUUAUUUCUCAUUAAAUCUGUUAAAACAGAAAAAGUCCCGACGUCAUAUUCUUCGCGCCUUUUAAAAAACGACACGUGUCGUAUCCCACUACUCGCGUGCUGGAAACUUUAACCCACUCUGACUGCGUGACAGCAGAUCAUUCCCAAUUCAUUUCAGUUUCACUGUCACUUUCACUCCUCCUCAGGCGCCUUCCGACAAACAGGAAGAAUGCAAACUUGAAAACCCCCAAAAACCCUAACGUUCCCCCGGAGACCCUAACCCACCAUAAACCCUGGCUCUUAAUCCUAGCCACUAUGAGCGACCAAGACGAGCAAUCGCGAGCUCAGAAAGCCGCCCAGUUAACAAGUCCGCUCUCAUCCUCUCUCUCGAACCUUUCUUCUUCUUCAAGAAGCAUCCCCUCUAAUCAAGAUUUCCAUUUCUUCUACAAUUUCCCUGAAUUCAAUCAACCCGUCCAAGAAAUCGCGAACCAAUCGCAGCUCCUCCUACAAUCCAUCGGCUCAUCGGAGAUUUUUAACCAACCGAUCAAUUUUCCUGAUGAGGUUGACAUCUCGGACGCCUACGACUGGCUUGUCGACGUAAACGACAACGUUUUCGAGCGUAUGGAUGUUUCUUUCGACGAAUUUAGUAAAGUAAGAGGGGAAAAUGGGGAAGGAGAUGGAAAUGAAGGUGGCUUUCAGUUGGUUUAUGGGAAGAACAAGAAGAAGGGCGACAUUGUGGGUGGCUCUGCCCCGGCCAGUGUGAAAGUGAAGGACAGGAAAGAGAAAAGCAAGGUGCCGUUUCAUAUAUCGACUAUAACAAAACCGCAAGAGGAGUACAAGAUAGUUGUGAACAAUGCGAACCAGCCGUUUCAGCAUGUUUGGUUGCAGAAGAUUGAGGACAGUGGACGGUUUAUCCAUCCUCUUGUAAGUUUGUUAUUUUUUGAAUAUUUUGAUAUUGGAUUUGACUUACUGGGUUUGUUAAAUUUGUAAUCUGAAAAUAGUACCUUUCUUAGGGACUUUUUAGUGAUCAAUUAUUUCUUUCAUUUUCUUUUUGGGUGGUUUGUGGUAUAUGUUUACGCUUAUCUUGUUUGGAAUUUGUGUGCAAUUCUUAUUAUUCAUGCGAGAAUUUUAACACUAUCAUGUGGUUCAUGCUUGCCAAAAAUAUACCAAAACACUUUUGCUUAUUGCUAUUGCUUUAUUUGUACAGGACAAUCUUUCUGUUUUGGAUUUUGUUGAUAAAGAUAUAGGGGAUGUGGAACCUGUAAAACCUCCCUCGUUGGAGCAGACACCAUUCAAGCUUGUGGAAGAAGUUAAAGAUUUAAAGGAGCUAGCUGCUAAAUUGAAGAGCGUAGAUGAGUUUGCGGUAAAGUCUGACUUCUGUGAUUAUGUUUUAUUGAUAAAUAAUGCCGUGGUUCAGCCUUACUGCAGUAGUUUCUUUUUUUCAGCCUUUUGAUUUCUCUUUUCUGAUGGGGCAUUUCAUAUACAGAACUGAACACUGUCCUAUGUAGAGGAUAUAGUGUAGUUAAGGCACAUGUCACCGAUGUCAGCUACUUCAAAAUUAUAUAGUGCUGGAUGUGGUUUAAGCCAAUAAGACAAGAAAGGGGUGUGGCCGCCUAUGAAGAUACAUACAAAUAUGUUAAUAUUCGAAACAUAUACAAAGAAAUGUGCCUGUAAUAGUUUUCCUGUCUACGUAAAGUAGUAAACCAGCUGUCUAUUUAAUCUUGAUACAAGUUUUGCAUGUUUAAAAAAUUAUCUUUCAUCUUUAACAGUGAGUCCAUUUUUAGCUGUAAUCCUUUUCUCAAGCAUGACUUGGUUUUGCUUUCGUUUUCAUCUCAACAGUAAACCUGUUUGCAACUAGAAAACAUUGUAAUUUUUUUGUAACUUUUCUCUAGGUCGACUUGGAACAUAAUCAAUAUCGAUCUUUCCUAGGAUUGACUUGCCUGAUGCAAAUUUCCACCAGAACCGAAGAUUUUGUGGUAGAUACGUUAAAGCUUCGCGUUCAAGUUGGGCCAUAUCUUAGGGAAGUUUUUAAAGAUCCUACCAAGAAAAAGGUUGGUCCCUUCAACAUGCUCUCGCGUAGCUUUGUGAUAAAUCUUAUUUUUUCCCCCCCAAAUUAUGUUAACUUUUACUUUACUAGGUGAUGCAUGGAGCAGAUCGAGAUAUUGUGUGGCUUCAACGGGACUUUGGCAUAUAUUUGUGCAAUAUGUUUGACACAGGACAGGUUUUAUCCCUUGAAACUCUCUUUGAAAUUUGAGACUUUAUUGAUGAUCUUGUCUGGUUUUUUGUACAAUGGUUAAAUUUAUCUUAUCUUAUCUGCUUUUUUGUGGUCUAAUUUAUGAGUGUUGAUGCAAGCCUUUAUUCUACUAAAUUAGUUAAAUUGAGUUAUCUUUUGAUACUGUAUUUUCAAUUUUGUAAUUCAUCUUAUGUGUUUGAGUCAAGGUUUGGCUUCAAAAAGCCUUGUCAGUUACAUGUCAUCUCUCCCUUAAUUUUUUCAAAGUAGCUUCGCUUGUCAUUUGAACUAUUUGUAUCAUUAUUUUCAAUUUUGAUGUGGAACUUCCCCCAUUUAUUAAUGUUCUUUUGGUUGUUUUUGUGUAAUGCUCUUUUGUAAAUUUUACCGUGGCAUUUAUUUUGUUUUGCAUUUCAAAUAAUAGUGAGAAUUGCUUUUUUCAGUCCUAAGUUUAUUGGUUUAUUGUAAAUAUACUGUAUAUUUAUUUUGGUUUGCAUUGGGAGAUGAUCGUGGGAAUUUGUUUCUGUCUUUUCAUAAGGCCUCAAGAGUCUUGAAAUUGGAGAGAAAUAGUUUGGAGUAUCUUCUACAUCACUUUUGUGGAGUUAAUGCCAACAAAGAGUGAGUCCUUUUGUAAAGUACCUGAUCUGUUUCUCCUUAUAGUUUCCGCCCUUCAUCAUCCUAAGUCAACUCAUUGCAGAUACCAGAACGCAGAUUGGAGAGUACGUCCUCUUCCCGACGAGAUGCUGAGGUACCUUUGGUUCUCUUUUUAUCUUCUUUGUAACCUACUUUUCUAAUGAGUUCUCCAAAAAAAAAAAAAUUAUGAUCUGUUUGGCAUGAAAAUAAUUACUACUAUUUUAAAGUUCUUGUAUUCUUUGGAAAAGCAGAAAUCAUAUAUCAUCAUUUAAGUGUUUGGGGUUUCAUCUUUGCCUGUAUUUUUGUAGAAACUAAUAAUAUUUUUUUUUCUGUGGCUUAGGAUUUGAAUUGUGGGAAUAUCUAUGUUGGAAAUUAAUAAUGAGUGCACAUUGACUCUUGAUAGUGGACAAAUAUUUGGACAGCCAGGAAGGGGAAGGCCAACAAAAGUUUUGGGUUUUUAUAAGUUGAAGUUAUGAAUGGUUUUAUAAUUAAUUAGGUAUAGGUUUCCUCAUUUGGGUAUUUCUGGGAGAUCUGGGUUAUAAGAUUGAGAUAUUCCAGCCUGUAUAGAUAAUUGUAGGGUUGCCUGUGUUUGUGAUAUUCCAGCGCGUUUAUUAUUACUACUUCUUAUAUAUAUAAAAUUUUAGACUCUUUCCAUGUCUAACAAGAAGUUUUCAUGAUAUCACUUGGAUCCUACUCAUGCAGACUUGUAAGGCAUCCUUAGGUGCGGUUAUGUGAUCUGGUUUUUAUAAAUAUUUUUAAAUUUUUUGUCAGAGACAAUGCCUGUAGUGACAAUGUACUGACUUAUCUUUUGGUUAUUACCAAGCUGAAUCAGGUUGCCUGUGGUUUAUGACCAUACCAUUUGGUCUUAUAAAAUGUUCUUCCCUUCACCUCAUGUUCUCAUACUUUAAAGCAUGAAUAAUAUCUAAGGGCCUGAGAUUAUUUCAUUAAUUUUUCCCAAGUCUAGAUCCUUCCCAGAGAAAUGGAUGGAUUACCCACACACUCACCAGUAACAUGUCGUACUUUAUGACGGUUUUGCAUUACUGCUGUAUGUCAUUUAAUUUGCCCUUUUGAGGAUUCUUUAUUUUCUCUGGGCUGAUGUUACUUUGUGGUGCUUUUUUUUCCUAUUUAGUCAAAAUAUAUAUUCAUCAUAGAGUUUCUCUGUUAGAAUUUUCUUAGCUUUGAGGAUUCGUUAGUGGCAUAUCAUCCAAUUGAUUAUACUUGUGAUGACAGAUACGCUAGAGAAGAUACACACUAUCUGUUGUAUAUAUAUGAUAUAAUGAAAAUCAAGUUGUCCUCAAUGCCCAAGGAGUCUGAGAAUUCUGAUACUCCCCUGACAGAGGUAUGAUUUUUGCUUAACUGUUGGUGUUGUUUUGUAAAACUGUUGGGCAUCUCUAUGAUUAUAGAGAAUCCAUUUUUAAAUGCUUUUUUCAGAUCUUGUUGUGCCAUGUAUGACAGACCAUUGCGUCUGGAGAUUGGCAUGGAGCUUAAUAAUUACAAUGUUAAAAAUAGAACAUAAAAUAUUGGGAAGUAUCUAUCAUGACUAAUUCUUCAACUGUUUAAGGAAGAUAGUUUAAAUCCGAAUAUCCUUUUUUGGAUUGUGGACUAAAGAAAAUUGUCAACUCUUGAUUUCUCUUCCCAAGGAUGAAGACGUAUCAGUCUGUUGGCAAACACAUUUUUUGAAUUUUACUUUAGUUAUCUAUAAUUUUACCAUAUUGAGCAAACAUUUUGUUGCAAACAGGUCUACAAGCGCAGUUAUGACGUAUGCAGGCAGCUGUAUGAGAAGGAGCUUCUGUCAGAAAAUUCUUAUCUCCACAUUUAUGGGUUUGUCUUUGUCCCUAUUCAUCUCAGUUUAAGUUUUCAUUUAGUGGCCUCGCCUGUUUAAAAUCUUCUCUCAUACAGUUUUUGUUUGUUUCAUUCUUUACUUAGCAUUACUUCUCUUGUUUAAUUUUAGUUCUAUUUUGGACUUCGUAUUUAUGUGAUUUGACAGAACUUAAUCAGUGGAGCUUAUUUCUCUAUGUUGAAAUAGGUUGCAGGGGGCUGGUCUCAAUGCUCAGCAGCUUGCUGUUGUUGCGGUAUGUCAGUUCUUCAUGUGUUUUUCAAACUUUGCCACUUUUCUAUCUGGAUAUUAUAUGCAUGAGGAUGCUACUGAAAAUGUAUUAUCCGCAUGUUUUGUUUACUAGUUGCAUCUUCAAAUGAAACAAAGUCUUGACCCAGAAGAAUCCGUAACGCACCAAUAGUCACUAAUAGGAUUGUCUUGAGAAAUUUACUUCUAAAUUUUUGAGUGGAUGAUAGAAGGGUGGAUUUUAAGUAGCUGACACAUCAUUGCCAACUGCUGAUAGAGUCUGUUGCAUACUUGAGUAUUCUUGCUAGUUCUGGCCCCAUUGAUCCCACUUCAAUGAUUUGCAGGGUCUUUGUGAAUGGCGAGAUGUUAUUGCUCGUGCAGAUGAUGAAAGUACUGGCUAUGUAUUGCCAAACAGAACUCUGAUUGAAAUUGGUAGAAACCUGUCUGAAUUUCCUCCAACUCUCUCUUCUAUAUGUAUAUAAUCCAUUUGGUGAGUUAUGAGUUAAUCAUAUUUUCCUUUUGUGGUAAAAGCCAAACAGUUGCCUACUACUGCUGCCAAGUUACGUCGAUUGUUGAAAUCAAAGCACUCAUAUAUUGAACGCUAUAUGGGUCCGGUACUUAGCAUCAUAAAAAAUUCUAUGCAAAAUGCUGCUAAUUUUGAAGUCAUUGCUCAAAAAUUGAAAGAGGAACGUAUGGAAGUGGUAAGACCUGCAUGCUCAUGUUUGAUUGUUUUGUUAUAUCAGUGAUCCAAAUUGAUUAUUUUUCUUUGAGAAUUUGAUGUUAAUGCCUUCAAUGGAUUGCCAACAUACAUUGAUUUUCUUUUUCUUUUCCUUGGAUUUCGUUAGAAUCAGACCAACCAUCUUUUAAACGAGGAUGAUGGUCCAAAACCUUAAGGUCUACUACGAUGAAUUGCUACUUUUUGUGCAAGUUCUUGUAAUUCACUCAGCUGGUUGUCUUCGGCAAAUGAAAGGAAAAAGGAAAUUCAUCCAAUCCAGUUCUAUUGAAGAAAAAGAAUCCUAGUUGAUCUUACAAAAUUAAGCUUUCAUAAUUUGUUAACCCAUGGAAUGUGAUUAAAACUCAUGGACAAAGGAUGUUCCAGUUGAGAAAGGGAUUUGAGUGAUUUUUAGCAAUUAUCAGUGAUGUCUUCAUUAGAAGUAAGUUUAUGGUUUAUAGCAGUAAAUGCUCAAUAAUUAGGUACUCCUUGUAUAUUGGCUGACCGGGUCCCAUGUUUGUAGUAGGUUUUGUGAGCUACAGAGGAUUAACUUCAGUCAGUUUUCCAUGUUAUGGCUGUUAAGAGCUAUGUCACCAUUUUUCUUUGUUUACAUCAAACUAAUCUUUUUUUUUCCCCCCAUUUUUCCUUAUUUGUGUAGGCAUCAGAAGAAACUGAAGUUUUAGUUCUUGAUACUUCCUCAAACUUGAAAAUUCCGAAUGUUGGAAGGGAGAGUGUUGAUGGUGUUGAUGCAUUAGUUGGUACCACGAUGCCUCACCCACCAGCUUACACCCAGCUGAAACAAGAGCCUCCAAAGGUUGGAAGCAGUGUCGCAGAACUUGACAGAAAUGGACUAGGGUCUUUUGCGCAUCCUGGAGAAGCAAUUGCUUCAGAAAAUAAAGAAGCUACUCAUAUUUCAACACUUUCCAGCUCUGGUCAAAGUAGAGACUUGAAUGCUUGCAAGUCACCUUCACCAAGGGUUGUGAAUUUGAUGCCUUAAUGUGGAUUUUUUUUUUUUUUGGUUAAGAGGUUUAGCAUUCAAUUUCUUUUUCUUUGGUUGUGAAUUUGAUGCCUUAAUGUGGAUUGGAUUUUUUUUUUUUUUGGUUAAGAGGUUUAGCAUUCAAUUUCUUUUUCUUUAUAGGUUACUGAAGCUGCUGUUCAGGCUCUAAAGAAGCCGAACCGUGGUUUUGGAGCACUGCUGGGUAACCCAAAGAGAAAGUUUGAUGGCGAGAAAAAGGUGAGUUAAUCAUUUGCUAGUAAUGGUUGUUAAACAUCUGCUAUGUCAUUGUCACAUAGCAAAAUAACUAUUUCUGAGGCCUGCCAGUCACCCAGUUUGUGCAUGUGUGGUUGGGAAGAAGGCAACAAAGGAAGAAUAUAGUUAAACAUUUGCUAUGUUAUUCUUACAUAGCAAAAUAACUACUACUGAGGCCUGCCAGUCAGCCAGUCUCUGCAUGUUGGUUGCAAAGAAGGCAACAAAAGAAGAAUGUUUUUUUUUUUUGAAUCUUCAUUCCAUGAUUCACUUUCUUUUCAAUUUUUCUUGUCAACUAGCAUGUACAUUUGCCUUCUUGUUGCCUUUUUCGUUGCGUGAGUCAUUAUGAAUUAUGAUUUAUAUUAUACGGAAAUUGUGAGUGGGCAACUGUUGGGCUAUAAUCAAACAUGCAAAAUUUCGGGUCCCAUGACUAAGCGCUGCUAUCAUCUGGAUUUGUGUGUUGUUGCAUUUUAUAUUUGGUUAACACCCUUCUUAUUAUCCUCCUUUUGAUUGUUUGUUUGUCUUAAUUAGGACAAGGAAGCUAUGAAACUAGAGCAGAUUAAAUCCUCAGUCAAUCUUCCAUUCCACUCAAUUUUUGCAAGAGAUGAACAGUUAAAACCAGUUGAUGUGAUGAAGUCUGAACCAAAUAAGCCUGACAUUCCAUUUCCUUCAUCUUUUGGUAGUGGGCAACAAACGAAACCAAUCAUAGAGGAAUCCAAUAGAGUUACAGUAGUUUCCCAAUCAGAAGAACCCGCUCCGGCUGCUAGGUCUGAUACAGAAGAUAUUAUUACGUUGGAAGAUGAUAUAGAUGAAGAGGAACAAAACCUUGGUAAUUUGGAAACUGCAAGUGCGCCCGGAGAGGACGGUUCUGCAGGGUCUGCUUUGGAAAUGGGUAAACAAGAUGAGACCAUGUCUCUCUCUGAUUUAUCAACUAGUUUCCAGGAGUGCUUCCACUCUGCUAACAACAAUAGAAAACCUGGAAAGCCUGAGAGAUCUGAAGAACCUAGUGGUUUUUUGCAGCUUAAGCCGUUUGACUUCGAAGCAGCUAGGAAACAGAUCGAGUUUGGAGAAGAUGCCAAAGAAAAAUCAGCUGGGGUUGAUGGAAACAAAAGAAAACCAGUGAACUCUGGAGAUAAGAAAAAAGUUUCAGCUGUAGAUCAAGCUCAAAAAGAUGAUGGAACAAAAGAACUGUCACAAGGUAGACGACGUUCUGCUUUUCCUGCAACUGGAAAUCGAAGUGCAACAUUUCGCUGAGUCUCUGGUAUCAAUCAUGCUGCUCUGUGUAGCAGAAAUUAGUUGAAUUUUGGAUUUUCACAAUCAUGUUCUUGAUUUAAAUGGAAAUUAAUGCUGGUGGACAAAUUCGCAAUGGUUGUACGUAUAUUUCCAUUGCUUGAGGUCUUGUCUGAUACAGCAUGAGCUAACCUGAUCAUCUUUUGAUAUUCAGUAACAGGAGAGAUGUAUGGUCUGCAGGAGCCAAUGAUGGGCAAGUGAUACCUGAGGCCGGUGUCUAUUUGAAGGUAAAAUGGGCGAUGGUUCUAGGUUUCAUAUUAGGUUUUUGAUAGUCUUGAGUAAUUGCCCUACUAUCUUCAUAUUUAAAAAACAGGAUGGUUUCAAACCAAAGUGCGGUUUGUAAUCAAAAGCAUUUGAUCUUUUUGUUUUUGUAACUUUACGGGUUUUAUUUUUAGAAAAAUGGUUCUGUACUAUGGUUUAUUUCUGCCUUAUUUGAUAUUGUGGUCAUCUUAGGCUUUAUUUAGUGUAAUUUUUCAGUUAUAUGUUCGUUUGGGAAGAGGAAAUGAAGUUAAUUUUAUUUCACACUUGCAUAAGAAAAAAUUGUAAUGUUUAUAUUAUUUUUGUUAAAAUUAUUAUUUAAAAAUUAUAUUUGAUAUCUAUUAAUAAUUUUUAUUAUAAUUAUAAUUUUCUUUUUCCUCCAUCAUCUCAAUUGCUUAUAACUGCUGUUGAGGAUGGUUGGUGCGAUGUUAAUAAUUUGUAAAGGGCUUAGUAACAUCUGGUUCCGUGAUGUCGGCCAAACCAUAUCGAAGGGCUUAAUUUGACGGUCAUCGGGGCCUCCUGCCCAGCUGCCCUCCUUUACGGAUUCCGCUUCCGCAAAUUAUUUUAUAUAAACUGUUGUUACAUGAUAGUGGUGGCCGGAUGAAAAUACUACAUGACCAUAUAAUGCUUUCGGUGCAAUGAGUGAAAAAGAGAAAUUUUUAUGUAUUCUCGGAUUGAAGGAGAAAUUUUAAGAUUAAGAUUGUGGAGUGGUAGCAGGAGUAAAUUAUUUACUUACAUCACUAUGAGAGUGUGGAACGAAAAUUAGAAAUUAUGUAUUUUCUUUGUCUUAGAUUGAGAGUGAAUCAUUUUAAAUUAUAAUUUUAUCCUUAUUUAAAGAAUUGUAGUUUUUAAUUAUAAAGUAAAUAAAAAAAUAUAUUUGCACAAUAAAUUAUUUAUUUUGUUAUUAAUUUUAAUUAUAUAAAUUAAUAAUAAUUAUUAUUAUUCUUAAUCAUGUGAAUCAUGAUUUUUUUGUUAAUUUUNNNNNCGUACAGCAGAAAUAAAUAUGAUAUUUUUAUUUUUAAAUAAAUGUGAUAUUAUUUUUAUUUUUAUCAAUAUAAUUAUAUUAUAUUCAAUAAGGAAAUGAUAAAAAGAAAGAAGUGGGAGUAGAUUUCUACUUUUUAUUCAAAAACAAAAAUGAGACCCACAGAGUAGAAGCCUAACUCUCCUCCUUAGAUGAGUACUAAAACGUUUAAGUAGGAGAAAUUCAUAUUUUUGACUCCCACUCUACAAAGUAAACAUAAUAAUAAUAUCAUAAUAACAUUUGAUAAUUCUAUAUAUUUGUGACGUCAUAUCUCAUCAAUUGAUUAAUAAAAUUAAAUGGUGAUUAUUUAUGAAAGAACAAAAUUAAUUCAUGUGAGUUAUGGUUAAUAAAUAAAUAAAAUAUAAAAUGUUAAAUUUUGACUAUAAACUAAUUUCAAUAUCUAAUAAUUUAAAAGCUCAAUAGAGCUAUGAUAAAAACUAAAGGGAGGAUUCUUAAUCCGAUCCGGGAUCUUAAUCAGUUCAGGACCGAUCCACUUCCAGCUAUUACGCGUCAAACAUCCAUUUGACGAUUGACGUGUCACGCCAUCUCACUGUCCUCACAAGAAAACCCGUUACCUUCAAAAUGCUCCAAACCCAUCAACGCCGAAUUCAAAUCAAGCCCCAAGACCAAAUACAAAGCAAAAACAAAUAAACAAACGUCUGUUCAUUCAGUCUGAAAAAAUCAAAAGAAGUAAAAGGAUUGGCGAUGGCGAUGGCGGUUGAAGGAGGAGGGACAUUAUCGGAGAUAUAUCAAAGUGCGAAGAAGUUGCUGUUGAGAGCGAGAGACGGAGUUGAGAAACUGGAGAGACUGGAGAGCUCGACGUCGACUGGGGGAUACGAUUCGCCGGAGCUCUCCUUCGCUGUCAAGAAAGAUAUUUCUCAGAUCCAGUCACUCUGCGUCGAGAUGGAUCGCCUAUGGCGCUCCAUCGCCGACAAGUCUCAGCGCGAUCUCUGGAAGAGGUACCUAUUCAUUUACUGUUUUGCCACGUGGCACCGAAUCAACCUUGUGUCGUGUCCUAAUUGCUCUACGCCAGUUCGGUUGCAAUUCUGUGCAUGAACCGCAAUUUUUAUACUGAAUAUUACAUUAUUGAUUUUGUCUGAGCGACAAGGCAUGCUUCCACGUUUACUUGUUGCUUAGUUUUAUUGUUUUGCCUUCUAUGUUAACAGUCUAUAUAAGUUUUAUAUGUGUUACAGGCAUGUGUAUAUAUGGAAGUACAUUAAUAGCUGUUCAUGCUGUUGCUUGCUUGAGGUCGUUGGUAUAUUUGCAUUUGGAACUAAAUGUGCUUGGUGUGGGUUCGCUAUGUGUGUGUGUGUGUGUGUGUUUGUUUGCGUUUGAUGUUAAAUGGAAUUACCUUCUAUCGAGUCAGUGCCGCAAUUUGAUUGCUUGGUUUUUCAGAGGUGUGUUUUUAUGUUAUGUCAUGCAGAAAAGUUGAACAAGUAGCAGAAGAGGCUGAAUCAUUGAAAGAGAGUCUCGAUAAGUACUUUUUAAGAAAUCAGAGACGGAUAAAUGAAGCUAGAGAGAGGGCGGAAUUGCUUGGAAGAGCUGUAUGUUUAUUCAGUUUUCGUUAGAAGUUUUGAACGGAUUCUGUAGUGUUUUUCUUGUCUGGAAACGAGAAUUAGCUUUCCAAUCUGAUGAAUUUCUUUUAUGUUAUAGAAUGGAGAGUCGUCUCAUAUUUUGAGAAUUUUUGACGAGGAGGCGCAAGCAAUGCAGUCAGUACGCAAUUCAUCGAGGAUGUUGCAAGAAUCGUUUGCAACUGGGACAGCCAUUCUUGCCAAAUAUGCAGAACAAAGGGAGCAUCUAAAGGUAUUGACACUUAAGCUCCUUGUUUACAUGCACAGUUGCACACUAGAAAUUUUUGCCAAGCUCACUCAAACUGUGUGCAAACAAAGUUCACUAAACAGGGUCAAAUGAGAAAUUUACAUUCUUGUCAUGGUUGUAUUCUUAACAUGAUUAAAUAUUUAAAUGAGAACAAUGUUAGAUCCUCAAAGCAAUUAUCUUUAAUAUUGAUUUAUACUACUGCUAUAGAAAUUAUAAGUGUUUGCAGCACCUGCACAAAUGGCUGCAGAGAAUUUAGUCUGUCUAUGGUAAUAAUUUUAAAAGCUGGUAACUCCAAAUAUUCAACAGUGGCUGACAAAAACAAUCCUCAAGUUUUAAAGUAAAAGCAAACUUUGCUUUGAAAUAAUCAGUGACAACAAUGACGUGAAAGUGUCACCAACUGUUUAUAUAUAAUAUCUCCAAUAUUCCAGAAUUUAGUUUCAUAAUGGCUGGCAAAGACUUGGUUUUUUUAAGGUUUAAAGUAAAAACGAUCUCUGCUUUGAAAUGUUCAGUGGCAACAGUGAUGUAAAAUGAUCAGCAACUGUUCAUAUCUAGUAUCUCCAAUGUUUAGAAUUUUGUUUAAAAGAUCCGUUCCAUCCAUAAAAAAAUUUCAUUCUGAAUAAGCAACUCAAGAUUACACUUCGCAAGAACACACCAUCUACCAUUUCUCACAAAUUUAAAUGUCACAACCUAUGAUCCAUUACCAAUUGUGAGAAACGGCAGAUUAUUUGUUCUAAUGAAGUGUAAUUUGAGUUGCUUAUUUAAAAUGAAAUUCUUUUAUGGGUAGAAGGGAACUUCUAAACGAAGUUCUAGGAAUCAAAUUAGCUGUUUAGAUUUGAAUAGUUGGUGAUGCUUUGAUGUCACUGUUGCCACUGAUUCUUCUCGAAAAGAAACAGAUUUUUAAAUGGUAUUAUAGAGGUCACAGAAAAAAAAUAGUCAUGCUAUCAUUGAUAGCACUUGCCACUGAUGUUGAUAAUGAGUUUAACUGAUUAACUUCCAUCUUUGGUUCAGAAAGCACAAAGGAAAGCUCUGGAUGUUCUCAACACUGUGGGUCUGUCCAAUUCAGUAUUGAGGCUCAUUGAGAGGAGGAACCGUGUCGAUACAUGGAUCAAAUACGUAGGAAUGGUUUCUACAGUGGUCAUCUUAUAUUUCUUCUGGAGGUGGACUAGGUGAUCCGAUCUUCAUACUUAGCCACGCAUAGAUCAUUAAUCCGCAUACUUUGGAAUGAUUAAGUUUUGUUCUUGAUAUUUGCCCCAUAAGAGGGUUAAUGAGGAUGUACAAGGCAUUCUUUGAUGAGAGACUAUCCUCUUAUGAGGAUGUAUAAAGCAUUCUUUGUUAAGAGACUAACUCGUAUAGGACGGACUCCCAAAGAAGGUUCUUUGCAAUUCUUGAACAUUUAGAGCGAAGUUGACGAAACGUGCUAGUUGUUUUUGUAUUUUGGCAAAAGGGGAAUUACAGAGUUCGAAGAUUCUAAGAAAUGCGCCAAUUUUGUUUUGUUGUCAGAACGCAAAAACGGCCUGAUUGUGGACGGUUAAAUCCGGAAUUAUGUAGUGGAUUUGCAGUUAUUGAAGGGCAUGCUUGGGAAAAUAAUAUGGUCAAAUAAAAUCAAGAACAAUUAUAUUGUAUCUGCUGUUUAUGCGUCCGUACUUGAAGGUGUCCACGUGGCUGGUGUGUGUUUGUUAAACCAGUAAAAUUAAGUAGUGCGAAGUUCUGAUCGCCGCUCAUUGAUUGUUUUUUUUUUUAACUUUAAAUAAACUAUGAGAAAAGGCUUUGAAUGAGUCGCAGAUAAAUUAAAGUUUUUUUUUUCUUCUUCUAAAUUUAUAUCCAAUGGUUCGGCACAUGUUAUUUUCUUUAUUUUUAGUGCACACGGUAAACUAUUGAUAGUAUUUGGUGUAAACUCACUUUCAAAUCGAUGCUUCACGAAAAGUCCAAAUGACGCGCUAUGAAAGUAAUAUAGAUAACUAGGAUAAGUGGAAAUGAUAAACGAAUAAAAUGAAGUAAAAAGAAUUUUUCAUUUUUAAGGGUUACAAAAUAAGAAUAGUUAAUUACUUAAUUAGUUGACUUGCUAAAAAUUUUUCAUGCAAACAAAUGGUCUGGACUGGAAUCCGUUUAAAUGGAUAGGAAGAAAAUUAGAGUGUCGUAAAAGUACUGGAGUUUCAAAUCCCCUCACGUAGUCACAAGGAUUAGAAGAAAAUUGAAUUGUUAGGCAAAAUGAAAAAAAAGAAAAAAGCUUAACAUUUUUAUUUUCUAAAAAAAUGUUUUUCUUAGUUGUUUUGUUUUUUAAUUUUAAAUAUAUUUAAAAUUUUGAAAUUAAUAAAUGACUUUGAAAACUUGAGUGUGCUCGAGCCUCGAGAUCUACUCAAAUUCUUUUACAUUAUUACAUUAUGAAAAAUUGUAUGAUGUCGUGAUUAAACUAUUGUAUCAAUACUAUGAUAAACAUAAAUUUUAGAAAUUAUAUAUAAGACUAGUAAGUGAAAUGUAAAAUAAAUUAAUUAAUAUAAGAGUGGUAAAUAAUGUUUUAAAAUUAUAAACAAAACAAACACUUAUAAAAAUAACAUAAAAAUUAUAAAUCAACAUUAAAUUUUAAUGUAAAAAUAGUUUAUUUAUUUAAUUUAUUCAAGCAAAGAAAAACUUUACUCAUCAAUUGAAAACAAAAAUUUUGUAUUGAAAACAAUGGGAAUAAGUUUUAUUAAUUGAUUUAACCAUGAAUUUUAUAUUCAUGUCAGGAUAUUUAUAAACUGUUUUUUUUUUUCAUUUUCUAUCAUAGUAUUUGUUUACUAUACAAGUUGAUUAAGUAAACUUAUUAUUAUUAUUAGUAUUAUUAUUAUUAUUUAUGUGGAUCAAGCCAAAACAAAAUAAAAAUACAUUUGAAUAUUACUAGACAUAUAUGGAAUAUUAAUACAAUUGAAUCUAACUUUCAGUUUUAUACAUAAUUCAUCUAGUUUCAAAUUUUACUUCUUAUACUAAAAGAUCAUUUGAGGUUGCUAUCGAGGAGGUUUAAAAUGAUGCAAAAUCACUUAUAUCACAAAUAAAAUAUGAAAAAAAAUUUCUAAAAUUUGAUUUUGAGAGUAAGUUUUAUCCUUAAUAAAAUUCCACAUAUAUUAUCACGUCUAUUACAUAACCACAGAAUUAUCAUUAUUUGAUUUAGAAAUAAAAAUAGUAAAUAUAUAAUGUAAUCAUUAUUAUAGUGAGUUUUUAUUUAUUUUUUCAAUAACUCUUAUAAUAUUUACUUAUUUUACAUUCAUUUACAACUCUUCUAUUUUACUUUUAUAAUUUAUAUGUUAUUUUACACUUAAUGUUGAUGUACAAGUUUUAUAUCACAUUUGUAAACAAGUUUUACUUUAUAUUUACAUGUAUUAUGUUUUAUUUACUUAAUUCAUGUUUUAUUUUAUACUUAAUGUUGAUUUACAAGUUUUAUAUUAUAUUGAUAUAAGUUUUUAUUUUAUUUACUAAUGAUAUAUCAACUUACCACUGUUAAUUUACUUAUUUUACCUUCAAUUUGCAAGUCUUGUGUUUCAUUUACAUAAUUUAUUAUGUUUUAUUUUACGUUUAAUGUUGAUUUACAAGUUUUAUGUUAAAUUUACACCUCUUAUAUUUUAUUUACACAAUUUAUGUUCAAUUAUAGUAUAUUAUAGAAUGACUCAUUUGACAUUACAAUACAAAAUUAUAAACAUAAAUAGAUGUAUCAAAAAGUCUUGUCGAAAAAUGAAUCCACCUUAAUACGGACCUGUCUCAUUGUUUUAUAAUUAAAGUUGCACACUCUUACAAUGAACUUGAAGAAAUUGAAUUCUCAACAUCAAUAAUGAGGUGUCUAUUACUAAUAAUAGUUUAUAAAAAAAAUAAAAAAAAUAAAGAAAUAUGAUUAAAUUGAUCAAUGUAAUUUUAUUAAAAAAAAGAAGCAUUUUUAUUACAAAAGCAAUCUCAAAAUAUAUAUUUUUUGUAGUUACAAAAAAUCAUGACCUAGUGGCGACCUAGUGGCGACCUGGUGGGCGUAUAUACAAAAAUCAUAAUAUUUUUAUACUGAUUACAUAAAUUCGGUGAUCACAGACCACAGUAAAACCCUGAAACCGCCCAACGGGGUUCUUUACCAGAGGAAAAAAGGGAGGAAAGAAAAUGACUUUUUAAUAUAACGGCACGGGUUUAAGCCAAAAACGGUGGAAUCAAAUCAUUGACACGUUCGUGCGAUGCCUUCACUCCUCAGGCAAACCAGACUCCCGCAUGUGAAUGCCACGUGAACGUAGCUUCUUCACAUAAUUUUUACCCCAAUGUCCAAAUUACCCCUUAUCUUUUACUCCUUUUUUUUUCUUUUUAACUUUGCCCGAUUUUGAAGUCUAUUACGUAUUGCGGACUGCUGCCCUCGCUUGACGUGUUUUUUCUCCUUUUUUUUUUUUUUCCCUCUCCAAACUAUUCUUUUCAAUUUUAACUAAAUAAUUUUUUUUUUUAUUACGAACAUCAACUUAAAAUUUAGGUUAGUUAGACACUUCCCCACUUCAUCCUUAAAGUCAAGUAUUCAUAUCUAUCUGUCUAUGGUGAAUAAUUUUUUUUAUUUUUUAAACUACGAACAAGUUAUCUUUUUUUUUUUUCUUUUCCAAUAUCACUAUUUAUCCACUUUUAGUUUAAUUCUUUCUGCCUAAGAUGAUCAAUUUAAAUUAAAAAUGGGAUUUUGAAAUUAUUUACUAAAAAUCAUGAUUGUUCUUUUGACGUAUUUGAAUAAAGUUUAUUUGGAAAAAUUAAUGUAAAAAAAAAAAAUGUUGGAAGAUUACGACAAUGGAAAUGUAGUCUCUGGUGAAAUGCUCUGAUUCAAUCAAUCAUCAGCAAAUGCGGUUCGCACGUUGGCAAUGGAACUCGUGAUAGCACAACCGUGAAAUGUCCUUCAUUUGGGAGUCCACGUUAAUCACAUGUGGGUCCAUCUUGAGUGCUUUUGUGCUUUACAAUUAAAAUAGACAGACAGGCUGAUGACCUGACAAUUUCGAGCCUGAUAAAGCCCCUUCAUCAACUUGAUCAGAAGGACAGGACAGCUAUUAAUAGAAAAAAGCAGCAGACUAGUACUAAUCGAGAAGUCAAACAGAUAAAAACUAAAACUAAAUAAUCUAAUCUCCUCCUAAUUCACUAAAUUAUUUUAUUUCUAUUGGUAUAAUUAAUUAAUUGAUUGAUUAAUCAAACAUGCCUUCACAAUUAAAUAGUUUCAACAGUGUAAGUUGAACCACGUGUCAAGCAAAAGCAACCAUCAUUUAUUAUAAUUUUUUUUUAUUUUUUUCGAAAAAGGAAAAAUCAAAAAACAAGGCAAGUUGAUGCCAACAGGAUCUGAUCCGGAAGGGUAACCGAGUCAUUUCGCCGUCAUGCAUGCCUCAAUCCGGAUUGCCUGCCCGCCCCCACGUUGGAAAACCAGGGACGCAUCGAUAAGCAGUUUCAACACCCAAAACACAAACUUGGGGGCGGGAAUUGCAAAACGAAAUAACAGCUUUUGCUUUUGCUUUAAUUUUUUUCCGUUUGUUUUCUUAAAAAGAAAGAAAAAAAAAAAUACUCCCAGUUCCACAAUAGAGCCCCUGGUUUUGCCUAUUUCUUUAAUCCUUUUACGCAGACUCAUGAUAAAUAUCUCCAUCUAUCAGUCAGUCCAUACGGUUUCCUUUCAUCACCAACCCCACCAACGAAAACAAAAAAAACAAAACAAACCCCCUCUUCAGAAAUAUAAUUAUAAUUUUCUUUUUCUAUUGAAUUAAGCUUGUUGGGUAUAAUUUGCUAAUUAAUCAAAGAUCGAUCUAUGACGACGGAAGCGGUCAGCAAGGUUGGAUAUGCGCAUAGUAAGGUUGCUAUGAAGAAGAAGAGCGGUUAUCGAGGUCGAUGCAGGAGAAGAAAUCACGACAGAUAUGCACCCGAUAAUAAAACGGUGCCGAUGGCGCUGCAGCGUCUGUUUCUUUCUUGCAAAGACGUCUUCAGAGGCCCUGGAACCGUUCCCGCUCCUUCUCAUGUCCAAAUGUUGUGCUCUAUUCUUGGUAAGUGUUUUUUUUCUUACACUUCAUCAUUUCUGGUCCAAUUUUCUUGUUUUUCAUUUGGCCGCUGCACUCGCAUGACGUGUAUGUUGUGAAAUCUGAACCCAUCAUCAUCCUUCAUCCAUGCACAUAUAUAUUAUCAGUCAUGAGAAAUUUUGAAUCAGCCAUUAAAAAAAGAAAAAAAAAAAGAAAAGGAAAGAUUCAAUAUUAUCAAAUCAAUACCAUUUUGUUUCAUGAGAUGAUCUAUGAAAGAUGGGAAAGGAGCACUGCUCCUUAUUUCAUUUCCUGUCACGUCUGUGUUUCAAUCAAUUGUAAUAAUACAUAUAGCCACGUAAAAAGCAAGGGGCAAUACUCUUUACAGCACGAAAACCUUCUCAAAAAAGGGGCUUUACUUUAUUGGCAGUAAUGAAUUGUUUUGAGCAAUUCAAUUCAUCAGUGCACUUAUCAUGUUUACGUAGUUUGUCAAUUUGGUUCCAGUUUUUGGUUCUUUUUAUUGGAUUCAGUGCCGAAAUGUCAUGUGUGUUCAUAGGACGUACUGGGAAAAGGAUUAGAAAUCUGUACUGAAUUUUUUUAAAUUUUGGGGGGGGGUUUUUUUUUGGGGUGGAUGGGGUUAUGGAUCUAAGUGGAUGGUACCAAUUUUCAAAAAUGUAGUUUAAUUAACUUUCCAGUUGAAAUUACAAAACCAAACCAUCCGAAAUGGAUUCUUCGAGAAAAGGUGGGUUCAGAAAACAAAGUGGUUGCUUCUAGGUGAAUCCAGAUUUUUUUCACGCGGACACAUGGUACCUUUUGGUUGAUUACCCAGCCACAGUGUUGCUUGAGGGGACAAAAAUAUCAUAUUUGUUUUUUUUUUUUUUUCCAAAUUCCUUUUUAAUUCGUAACUCAAUCUCAUGGGAUCCUACUCAGCAGCCAUUGUGAUUAUUUUUUUUACCUGACGACGCAAAAAUCUUUGCAUUAGAAAGGAUACAUAAGCACAUUUGCCUACUGUUGCUACGUGUACAUGUGCAAUGGUUUGGUUGCAAAACUGGAAGCAUUGGCACAUUAUAUAUAUGUGUGUUUUUUUUUUUUUAAUAUGUAUAAAUGCAUGGAUCAUGACACUUGGCUAAGUUAAAAUUUCCAUUUUCUCGUUAUCAUAAAGAUUGCCAGUGACUCAAACAAGCUUUUCUUUUUAAAUUUAUGAUGCUACAGAUGAAAUGAAGCCAGAGGAUGUUGGGCUUAGCAGUAAGUUACAGUUACUUAGUGCCAAAGAUGCAAUGAAAGGGACGCCAAUUGUCACAUCCACUACAAUAUACAAAUGCCAGAACUUUUCGGUAAAGACAUAAGCUAUUCAUAUUGGGCUAAAUUAAAUUCUUUUAUUAUCGUAUACUAAUUUGUAAACCAUACUAAUUAAUAGUGCAAAUUUGAUUUAGAACUUGAUAGAUUACCUUUUGGAUUCUCUUUUGUGCAGUUGUGUCUUUUCUUUCUUCCUCCAACUGCUGUGAUCCCCUUGCACAACCAUCCGGGAAUGACUGUUUUUAGCAAGCUUUUGCUCGGGACAAUGCACAUAAAAUCGUACGAUUGGGUCGAUCCUGUUGACGCAAACGAUUCUGCAGCCCCCACAAAACGUGAGUACCGCUUACCUUAUACAUAUAUGUCCAUGUAUAAUGCACACACGAACACACACACACACACACUCACAUAUCAAAACAACACGAUAACUUGAAUGUGCUAGCUCGGACUAGGAUGAUCAUUUGUGACUGAAAGUGAUGAUUUAAUUAAUUUGCAGCGCGAUUGGCGAAGUUGAUAGCCGACAGUGAUUUCACAGCACCUUGCAACACUUCUGUGCUAUAUCCAACAACAGGAGGCAAUAUCCAUGAAUUCACAGCCAUUACGACAUGUGCCGUGCUCGAUGUGCUUGGACCUCCCUACUCUAAGGACGAUGGUCGGGACUGCUCAUAUUACAAGGAGUUGCCACUUCCCGCGGUUCCAAGUAAGCGAAACAAAACCACUUGUUACUGAUUAAAAACAACCUCGUUUAAACCUCCUCGAGUAGCGCUUUCAGAGGUCUUACCAAUUAAACCCACCGAUUUUGUUAAUGCAGAUGGAGAGAAUCAGGAGGCAAAAGAGGAUGAUGGUGGUGAGAGUUGUAGGUGGUUGGAAGAGAUUGGGGUGCCAGAGAACUCACACAUGGAUGAAAUUGAGUACUUGGGACCGCAGAUAAUUGAGUAGUAGCUGUAACUAGCUUCAGCCCACAGUCGCGUGAUAAAAAAAAAUUUCAACGCAUUAUCUUCUUUUGUUUCAUAGCUAGUCAAUGGUUUUGUAUUUAUAUAUACACAUAUAUUACGUUGUUUCCUGACCUGAGUUUUCACUAUGUUAAUAGCAAAAUUUCAUUUCUUUUUCUUUUUUCUCUUUAAUCCCGGUAUCUUCUUUAAUAACUUGAUUACUUGAGUACACUGUACCAUUGAAAUCAUGGUUCAUGCCAUAGUUCCCUUAGAGGAAGGUCCAAACCCGGCUUAGGAGAAAUGGAGGUUUGGGCUGUCGAGGGCCUUGGUGUUGCUAUGUUCCCAAGAGAUGUUUACUUGGGCUGUCGAGCGCGCCGAGAAGUGCUUAAUAUUACAUCAAUGGGCCGGGCUUGUAACCGACUACUACACAUUCCCAUGGCGGCAAUCCUGAUCAGUAAUUAACUUGGGAUUUUGCAUUCAAUGAUUGCCACAAUAAUAUCAGCAAACUUUUCAGAAGAACCUUAAUUGAUAAUUGUCAUUUUGCAAUCAUAGGUUAGUUGAUGGAUAUACCAUGGGCCCUGAAAAUUAAUUAAAAUAUCAAACAUUGUAUGCUCCUAGGUUGGAAAUUUUUCAAAAUUUUCAAUAGAAAAAUAACCUCAAAAUCAAUAUUUUACAUGUGAAGAUCUGUUUCAUUAACAAGCGCGAUGGGCCAAACGGAGGGAGCCAGGAAUUUUAAGCUGUUCAUAUUUGACGCCCUAAUUUGGGAUUUGCUAAUACGGAAAAACUUUGAGCUGCUCACUAAUUUAUAUCUUGACUUCGAGAAUCUGCGCAAUUACUAAUUAGUAGCCAUCAAUAAUUGUCAAAAAUCAAUUUUGAAUUUCGAUAUUUUUGAAUGCAUUGGUGUUACGUGUUUCUCCAUACGCGUUAGUAAAUUUGAGAUGGUGUAAAUUUGUAAUAAACUAAUAAUAUCUUCUUUUUUUUAUAAUUUGAAAAUCAACCCAAUCUGAUUCUCUAAAUUAACAAGAUCAAAUUGACUAUCCAAUGUUCAUUCACUAGGAAAGUCCUAAAGGUCCCUCUAAACUAGAAAGUUACUCAAAUCUAUGGCCAAAAUAAAGUCUUCUUAUAAUUAAAGAAACAACCCAUCUUUUUUUAAGAUCUUCUGACAAUGAAUUUUCAAUUAUGAUGGGGUUUGAAGUUUUGAAAUUUUCUAAGAAUUAUUAACAACUGAAAAGAGAAAGCAAAAGAAAAAGGACGAUGUGAUAUGGCAUGGGACAUGGACUUCCCACCACCUUUACAUUGCCAUCAUGCAAAAAAAAAGCUCUCAAUUUUAUGCUUAGCUUGUUCUUGUUUUCUUUCUUUUAUCACUUCUUUAUUACGUGGGUCUUGAAUUCUCAAUAGUUUCUAAUUGUUAAAAAACUCCAUGAAAAUUGCUUUCCCUAUUGUAAUACCUCCAUUAAGGAGAAUGAAGGGUUAAAAAUGUACCGACAGAUACUGGAAAAUUAUUGAAUGAAGUAAUCAACAUGAUUGUUCACUGACAAUAUUAUAUUCGGAAUAAUGAUAGCUGGUUGUUUUGGAUUGUUUUAGAUGUUGUAUUAGCCAAUUAGGCAUAUUGGUAUAUAUUAUUAUUAUAUGAAAUACUAUUGCCUUUUUUAUUAGCAAAAGACUUUCGGUUAAGAUUUUGCUUAAUUACACGAUUGCAUCGUGAUUGUUUUUAAGCUUCAUCAUUCAAUUCCAAAACUUAACGUAACAAAAGAUCUUACUAACAAUACUAUUUUAAUACCCAUUUUUUUCCCAGUCACGUGAGUGUAUAUGAUCUCCAUAUCUUUGGUACUAUAUCUAAAAAAUUUUUCCAAUCAAAUUAAUUAACACCCGCAGCUACAUUUAAGCAAAUUGUUCUAAGCCGCUAGGGUUUAAUCUAGUAGUUAAAACACAACCCUUACAAUUGUGAGAUUAUGCGUUCGAACCCUCACAACAAUACAUUGUGGGGGUUUAAUUUUCUUCUCUAAUUUGAGUGAAAGCAGUCUCAUAAAAAUAUGGAUUGUGCUUGUCCCAAAAUUAUUUAAUUAUAAAUAUCAGUAUACUAAUCUCAUAAAAUAUAAGUAAAUACGAGUUGGAAUAUGAUCAAUAAUGUCAUAUAAUUUUUUUUAUUUAAAAAAAAAAAAGCAAAGUGCUAUGCAAUCCACUUGAUAUUACGACAAUAACUGGCACACUAAUGAACAACUAGUAAAUUCAUUUUAAAAGAAAUAACACCCCAAAUCAUUAAUAUUUAAAAAGAAUCAUUUGAAAAAAUCUUAAAAAGUGUUCGGCAAUCCACUUGUCAUUGUAACAAUCACUCACACGCCACUGAUCAACUUUAGUUUCAUUCAGUAUGCCGAGAAAUAGAAUUUAAAAAUAACAACACCUCAAAAUCAUACAUAUUUGAGAAGAAUCACAUGAAAAUUGAGCAGGUCAAAUAGUUGUGUAUAGAACAAAUUUUUUCAUGAGACAGGCUGGAUAGCAAGAAAUGGAAGCCAACUGUGAGUUUCGGUCUUUCAUAGAAUUUGGCCUAACGUUGUCACAUUCACUAUUCACGUACCCAUAUUAUCAUCAUCCCAGUGGGCACUGGCACUGCUGAGUGCUGACCCAAUAGAACAAAAUAAUAAUAAUAAUAAUAAUUCCCACUUGCUCAAUAUUUUAUUCUUUUCAUUUUAAUUGUCAUUUUCCCAAGUAAAUAAAAACCUUUUAUGCAAUUAAUUCUGCUUGUCGGGUGGAUGAGGUGGUUCAUCACGUUCAAAUGUUCAAUCAAUGACAAUUUUAUCGCAAAUUCCAUUGCUUAUAAUUGUUGUAACCAAACAAAUCCCUGGUGCCUGCACUAACACCUUAGCUUCAUUUUCAAUUAAGGCGGUUUUCAACAACUUAUUAACUUUAUUUUUAAAGAAAAAGAAAUCCCAAGUGUUUUUCUCACUAAUUGAUUGCUUAAAAAUACUUAAGAAAAUUACCCACAAAUAAAUUAACGAUAAACAUUUAGUACUAGCUUAUGAUUUUUUUGGGGGGGGGGGGGUUUCUAAUAAAAUUUGGAUUAUUUGGGUUUUAUAUUUGAGAAAAGUUAAGUUACGACGAUCGAUAAUUAUAUACCCUUAAAUAAUUAUUAUCUAAUUUGGAUAUUUUUAUAUCUUAAUGAGUUCGUGUUGAUUUGCCAAUCUUACAAGUCUUUAUUUUACAAAAUAUAGAUAUUUAGAUUGAAAAAAACAUAUAUAUAUAUGUAUGACAGUAUGAGUAGUGUAUAUGUUACAAGAUAUUUUAAAAUUUAAUACUUUAGUUGAGAAAUGCCAUCACCCUCAACUACUCGGUUACAAGAAUAUUAUUGCGUUAUUUAAUAUUCUGUUAUCGAUUGCUUUAUUAGGAAGAAAUAAUGAAAAAUGGGACAUCCAUUGCUAAAGUACAACACAACAUUGUUGACAAGUGAGUCCCCCUUGAAGUGACAACUAUUUUUUUUCUUCCUUAAUAAAGGACGAGCUAUGUGUAUGUGGUUUUGCCGUGCAACCCAAGUUUCAAUGUCUGUAUCAUUUAUAGGGGGAAACCUUAGGUGCAACCCACACACGCCACUCGGCUUUUGGCAGCCUGGUUGAGAGGGCAGCAGUUAUUUUUGUGGGGGCUAAAACAUUCAUUCUUUUUUUCUUUUGUAAUUUUUCAUCUGUGAGGAUUAUUUGUCAAUAUAGAAAUUUGAUACUGUAAUCAAUAUUAAAAAAAAAAAAAAAAGUACCCACACAUACACACAUAUAUCUAAGAAAAUAAAUGAUGAAUACUAUGUAAGAGAAAAUUUGGUAGUUACAGGGUGAACACUUUCUUAUCAAAAUAAUAAUAAUAUAAUAAAUUAGAGACCCUCCUGAAUAUUUCCAACAUGCUUCUCAAAUUGCAUGAGUGUUGGAUUCAUCAACUUAUUAUUAUUAUUAUUAUUAUUAUUAUUAUUAUUUUAUCAUCAAUUGAUGUGCAAAAGGGUGAUGUUAUCAGUUAUCACGGCCUCCUGAGAAAAAAAAAAACUUUAAAUUCAACGUGAAAUGAAAAAUGUAAGGAAUCAAAUCGAAUUGUCAAAAUGAAAUGAGAGGCGAACAAUUUAACUGUUCAGAAAAGAAGCAAAGGCGCCAAAAGCAACGGACGGAACAUAAAAGUGGGUCCCACGUUUCAAAGGGACAAAACCAGAGAAAGCCAAAGCCCACCCCGCAACGAAAGUGAUGCCAAAGCUUACAAUUUGUAUUACCUUAAAAAUUCUGUUCGGUUCAUUUAAAUUUUAUUAUAAAAUCAUUUUCAAAAUUCCAAAUUUUAUAACCAAAAAAUUCGCUGCAUGCAGCGAGAAAGCAGCAAGUGAAGAAUAAAGGGUUCCCCCCGUCAGCAAGAAUCUUUUCUUUUUUUUUUUCGCUUUUUUUUUUCCCUUUGUUUUUUAAGAAAGCAAAAAUUAAGAGAGCAUUAGUUUUGCUGUCAUGAUAAGUAUGGUGUUCAAGAGAGUGUCGGCUAGUGGGAAGUGUUUUGUCAUUCAGUCAUUGUGUUUGCAAUUUUCUUAUGAACCCGUGUCAAUAAAAUGUCUUGGCUUGUGAACAGAAACUGAAAUUGAGCUUCUUUGUGUGUCAGUGAGAUUUACAGUGUCUGUGCAUUGAAUGUAUGGUUGCUAAAUUUUUGCUUUUUUCUUCUUCUUCUUUUCUUUUUUCCCCCCGAAGUGGAUAGUCAAGAAAUAUGAAGAGAUUAUGACUUGAGAUUUUUUUUUAUUUUAUUUGAAGUGAUGAUCUGAAUUAACUGGGCUUUGGUUUCUAUGGUAGAAGUUUUGUUCUAUUUUGUGAGGGGAUUUCUUCAUGAGUUAGGCAAGGAAUUAAUUCGUUUUGAAGUUAGAAUUUAUGUGUUCAAAGUUAGUUUCAAGUGACCUUUCUAAAGUCUUUAAGGUAUAUUGUUGGAAAUUAGCUGGCUUUUUUGUUCAAUCAGUCUCUCAAGAGGUAAGCUCCUUAUGAUCCUUUAGAAGUUUUUAGUUAUGAUAAUGUCGAUUGAUAAAUUAUCUGUAAUUUGUAUAAUAUUUGCAGAGUUUCUGUUGAUCUUGGGAGCUGGCGCUUCUGUAAUUGAGAAGCUAGAGGCAUCACUCUGUUAUCCCAGCGGAUUUUUAAAAGCUCUAGAAUCCCUUUGUGAUUUUCUCUAGUGUUCCUUUUUGUAUGCAUUGAUGGCAAGAGCAUCCAGAUUCAGUCAGUGUGCACUUCUGGUGCUUGCUUACAUUUUGCUUCAGGUCAAUCAUUCGGAGCAACUGCAGUCUUCUCAGGCUCAGACCCUUUUGAGGAUUCAAGGGCUUUUAAACAAUCCAACUGUUUUAAGCAGCUGGAAUAUCACCACUGAGUUCUGCAAUACAGAACCAACCUCGUCUUUAACUGUAGUAUGCUACGAAGAGAGCAUAACCCAGCUGCAUAUAGUCGGCAACAAGAGAGCUCCUACGUUGCCUCUAAGCUUUUCCAUGGAUUCCUUUGUGACGACUCUUGUUAAGCUUCCGGACUUGAAAGUCCUCAGGCUGGUUUCUCUAGGUCUAUGGGGUCCCUUGUCUGGUAAAAUUUCACGUUUAUCGUCACUGGAAAUACUUAAUAUGAGCUCAAAUUUCCUGAAUGGUUCUGUACCUCAGGAGCUUUCAAUUUUAACUAGCCUUCAAACACUCAUACUUGAUGAAAACAUGCUUGCUGGUCGGGUUCCAGAUUGGUUGGGUUCAUUACCGAUUUUGGCUGUUUUGAGCUUGAGGAAUAAUAUGUUCAAUGGGACUUUGCCUGAUUCGUUUAGUUACUUGGAGAAUCUUAGAGUUCUUGCGCUUUCAAACAAUCACUUUUACGGAGAAGUUCCUGACUUCAGUGGUUUGACUUACCUUCAAGUACUUGACUUGGAAAAUAAUGCUUUGGGACCUCAGUUUCCUAAAGUUGGCAAAAAGUUGGUUACAAUGAUACUGAGCAAAAACAAGUUCAGGUCUGCCAUUCCUGCUGAAGUGAGUUCCUAUUAUCAGCUUCAGCGGCUAGAUCUCUCAUCUAAUAGAUUUGUUGGACCAUUCCCUCAAGCACUUUUAUCCUUACCUUCUAUUACUUAUUUGAAUAUUGCUGAUAACAAACUCACGGGGAAGCUUUUCGAUGAUCUUUCUUGCAAUCCCGAACUUGGAUUUGUGGACUUGUCAUCAAAUCUGCUGACUGGACAGUUGCCGGAUUGUCUACUUGCAGGUUCUAAAAACAGGGUUGUCCUGUAUGCUAGAAAUUGUCUAGCAGCUGGAAAUGAAAAUCAACACCCGCUUUCCUUUUGUCAGAAUGAGGCUUUGGCAGUGGGAAUUUUACCUCUGCAAAAGAAGCAGAAACAAGUUUCCAAAGCAGUUCUUGCGUUGAGUAUAAUAGGAGGAAUUAUUGGGGGAAUCUCACUUUUUGUGAUUGCUUUCUUGCUUGUUAGGAGAACUAAGUCCAAGCAAACAAUGAAGAAGACUCCAACAAGAGUAAUUCAAGAAAAUGCUUCAACUGGGUACACCUCGAAGUUCCUCUCAGAUGCAAGUAAGGCUUCAUCUCCCCUUAAUCCCCCUGCCAAGUAAUUCCCAUUCUGUGUUUCUGUUGAAAUCAAGCAUGAAUCUGGGCACACCUCAAAGCUGCUACUGGAGUCAUGCAUUGUGCAAGCUUUAAUGUAUUUAUGCAUGUGUCCACACACAAUGUAGUGUUGCAUUUUUAGGACAUAGGACCGUAAGUUUUAAUUGAAAGGUUGUCUUUGAAUACUCUAUUUUGAUCAUCCAACUUGAAGCCCUCACAUAGAAAUUAUUGACCAGUCAGUUGCAAGAAAUCGAGUGAUGAUUGUGUUCUUGUCUUAAAGCCAGUUAAUAAUAUUCUUGAACUGUUAAAUUGUUGUCCAAGUUUUAAGCUAUAUUAAAAUUGACCAUAUGAUCGUUUGUGCCCCCUGAAGGGUAUAUUUCUCAAACAAUGAAGUUGGGAGCACUUGGUCUUCCAGCUUAUCGAACCUUUUCCUUGGAAGAGCUUGAGGAAGCUACAAACAACUUCGACACCUCUGCUUUCAUGGGUGAAGGUUCUAAAGGGCAGGUAUGCUACUCUGGUACAAUAUAUAUAUGAUGCCUACUUUCAUGUCGCAAUGAUGCACAGUAUGACAGUUCUGACAAUUUGUAUUUUCCCUUUGCGUGAUCCGUUCAAAGAACGGAAAAGGAAAAGUUGGUCCAGCAUUUCUCUACACCUCACAUAUUUCAUGCUUGCAGAUGUACAGGGGUCGCCUGAAGAAUGGUACCUUCAUUGCCAUUAGGUGCCUUAAAAUGAAAAAAAGCCACAGCACUCGAAACUUCAUGCACCAUAUAGAGCUGAUAUCAAAACUCAGACAUUGUCAUUUAGUCAGUGCUCUUGGACACUGCUUUGAAUGCUACUUUGAUGAUUCAAGUGUUAGCAGAAUAUUUCUCAUCUUCGAAUACGUUCCAAACGGCACACUAAGGAGCUGGAUAUCUGGUAAUUCAUGAAAAUCUUUAAUUCGUUUCUCAGGGUGGAGGAUAUAAAGUAAUUAAAGCCACUCUUUUGUACUCCUCUGCUCUAUAAGCCGGCUUUAUGGGGUCUUCAAAAGUAGCUGUGAAUUUUUUAACCUUGAUCCUGCGUGUAGUCAUUGAAUAAAGUAAUCAAUCAGUCUAGAUAGUUCAGUUUCCUGCAAGUAAUUAAUUUACUUAAAGAGAAUAAUUCGUGGUUUUUAAAAUAUAUUGUUCAAAGUCAUCAAGAAAAGACCGAAUCGGAAUCAUGUUCCAUAGUAAUCACAAGAAAUUACUAUUUUAUGUCCUCCAUCCUGACUUGUUGUUAUAUCCAGUUAAUCAAAUUAUGCCUUUAUGUUCUGGCUGGUUUCAAAGUCUUAGAUACUUUUAUGCAGAAGGGCAUGCCUGGCAAUCACUUACUUGGACACAACGUAUAUCAGCUGCAAUAGGGGUGGCAAGGGGCAUACAAUUUUUACAUACAGGGAUUGUGCCUGGUGUAUUUUCAAAUAAUUUGAAAAUAACAGACAUUCUACUAGAUCAGAACCUUGUUGCAAAAAUUAGCAGUUAUAACCUGCCUUUAUUAGCAGAAAAUGCCGAGAAGGUAAAAAGGAGAGAAUCUUCCUUUUCAUCAUUCUGUCCAUCUUUUCCAGUGCCAUGCACUUUUCAGUUGAUUUGUAGCUUGCUUCAUCUGUGCAGGUUGGUCAUGUAACCCCUUAUUCUGGAUCCAUAAAUCCUACAAAUAGUGCAAGGUAGGUAAUUGCUUCAAUAGUCUGACAAAUGUUGUUGCAGUUCAUUAGAAAUAUUAAAAAAUAGGGAUAUUAUCAUUUUUCCACCAAAGGUAUUCUGACACAUCAUGUCAGUACCACGGUUUAGUAAAACUAUCAAUUUACCACCAAACAUUUAAACUGUUAGCAUUUUCUCACCAUUCCGUUAAAACUCAGUUAAUAUGUAAUGAAAAUUUUCUAAAAGGUCAAUUUUACCCCUGGAGCAUAAAAGACCAUGUAAUUAACUUUUUAUGAAUUUUGUAAUUAAAUCAUCAUUUAUUGUUCUUCCUUCUUAAAGGACAAAAAUUACCCUUUAUGAAUUUUGUAAAAUUGACCGUGUGGUGUUAGGUAAUUCAUAAAUUGAUUUAAUUUAUUUAAUUUUUAAAGGGCAAAUUUAUUUAUUUAAUUUUUUGUGUAAAAUUAUUAUCAUCAUAUCAAAGAUUAAAUUGCUUCUUUUGCACUUUUUUUUUUUUUUGCCCUUUCAUAAAUUGAGUUUUAGUAGUAUAAUAAAUUGUCUUUAGCUCGUCAAUUUAAUAAAUAAAUUUGCCCUUUAAAAAUUAAAUCAAUUUAUGAAGUACCUAGCACCACACGGUCAAUUUUACAAAAUUUAUAAAGGGUAAUUUUUGUCCUUUAAGAAGGAAGAACAACAAAUGAUGAUUUAAUUAUAAAAUUCAUAAAAGGUUAAUUACAUAGUCUUUUACGCUCCAGGGUAAAAUUGACAUUUUAUAAAUUUUCUGUUACAUAUUAAUUGAGUUUUAACGGAAUGGUGGGAAAAUGCUAACAGUUUAAACGUUUGAUGGUAAAUUGAUAGUUUUACCAAACCAUGGUACUGACAUGAUGUGUCAGAAUACCUUUAGUGGGAAAAUGAUAAUAUCCCUAAAAAAUAAAAGGAAAAACUAAAAAGGAAGCCUUAACGGGCAACUAAAAUUGCUAAAAAGAAUAUGUUGGGUAUAAACGUAUAAGAUCAUGCACUAAUAAAUCAUGCUGCAUGAAUAUCUACUGCUAUGAGAAAAUAAGUGAUGACAAUCUUCAAAUUUCCUCUAGUUUCUGCUCUUAGAAUUUUCUAGUCAUACAAUUCUACCAAAACAAAUUCAUUCUGAUUUAAAUUGAUGUAAGAACUGUUCUCUCUACACUCUCUUAUUUGGCAGGGGGAAACUUGAAGAUAAGAUUGACAUUUAUGACUUUGGAUUAAUUUUACUAGAAAUUAUUGUUGGGAGGCCAUUAAAAUCCAGGAAAGAAGUGGAUCUUCUGAAAAAUCAGGUAAUGGUUCUGCUUGUUUACAUUACUUUCUUUCAAAAAUCUUUCAUAUCCAUUCUUCUUUCUCAGUCAUCAUGUGAAGAGUUCAGAAUGCCGUGGAAAUUUGAUCACUCUUUGGUGCACAGCUAACACAGUAACACCCUAGGAUUUGUGUUCUAAAAUUGCAUCUACUCGGGCUCUUCUAGAUUUAUGCCAACUCUACUGCUAAAACUUGAAUGUUUCUCUUCUUUGCAUCCUUAAUCUGGUGGCUUACAACUAUGUCAUGUUAACAUAGACCGAAACCUCUUCAUGAUUACUAGCUGGUUACUCAUGACAGCAUACCUUUGACUUUCUGUAGUUACAAGCUGUCAUUACUGCUGAUGAAUCAGCACGACGGAGCAUGGUUGAUCCAGCAGUUAACAAGGCAUGUUUGGAUGAGUCACUGAAGACAAUGAUGGAAGUCUGUGUCAGGUGUCUGCUUAAGAACCCAGCAGAGAGACCUUCAGUUGAGGACGUGCUAUGGAAUUUGCAGUUUGCUGCUCAAGUUCAGGAUGCAUGGCAUUCUCAGAGCAGUGAAGGGUCUCCAAUCUCACCUCCAUGGCCAUCACACCAACACCUUUCCUUUCAUUAGUUGCAACAUUCAGGUCCUUACACUGCUAAAUAUAAACCUGUUAACAAAUCUUUUGAUAUAAAUACACAUCUUAUUUCCUACAAACUCUCCAGUAAAUGUUGAGUUUCUGGUCUUCGAUCUUCGCUUUACAUUGUGCCUACUGAUUUGAAACAAAAAAUUUGAAAUGCAGGACAUGCUGUACGUGGCUUGAUGACAAUUGUGCCUGAACAUUUUCUAUCACUCCUACCUCUUUCCUUCCAUGUAAUUUUUGCGACAAACAACUCUAAAGUUACAGUUGAAGAUGACAUUUUUCAGAGAGACCAAAAGCUAGCUGUCUCUUGUUAUGCUAAACAUCUUGUUUCCAGUUCUCCAUGGUUGGAUCCUAGCACAUAUCCUGGAUUAUAGAUCAAUGGUUGCAGGUCCCGUAUCCCAGUCAAAUCAUCUAUGCAUUUGUUUAAUAUUUUUCCACAAUGAUGAUCAAAGGGGAUAUGUUGUCUGCGUCCAUUACUCUUUCUUUACUAUUGUAAGGUGCAGCUAAAAGUAAUGAUGUACAAGCUUUUUCUAUGUUAUUGUAUACACAUAUCUAAGCCCAAUGUUUUGGCAGGAGAUGGUUGUUCACUUUCGAACGUUUUGCUUCUUUCUGGGAUCCGGGUUGAAUCUCAAAUUUUUACAAUUUACAACCUCAAAAUCGUUUAGCCGUAGGUGUGGCCUGUCAAAAUUCAAGUUUCAAGAUCAGUCUCUAUUUGAAUAACAUUCAGUAAAACCCUACAGGUUUAGUAAGAUAUCGUCAACCUAACGGAAUUCAGAGAUCCAUCUUCAGCCAUUAAUAUUCCAUCCAACUUACAAUGCAAUGAGCGUAUCAGAUAUUGCCAGAACAAGAAGUCUCCAUUCACUAAUUAGAUUAAGACAGGAUUUUAUCCCAAGUCUUAAUCGCAUCUGUUCAAUUUUUCUAUGCAAUCGCUUUCCUAGCUCAUGGCCCCCAUAAUUCGUGGUCCUCUAUGUCAGUUGUCAUCCUCUUGAUCACCUUUAUAUUUCAUUUUUCCUCUUCAAAUAAUAAUGUUUCGAGGUUUCAUGUCCAUGGAUGUCGACAUGCUCAAGCUCGAGGAAACUCCAAAAGGGAGGUAAAAGGAAAAUGAGGUUGUAAUGGAGAAAGGGAAUUUGGUGAAAAAAUAAUCACCAUAAAACACAAUGCAAAAUAAGAGUUACUAAAAGACGGCCAUUCACAACAUUCAAAAAUCCCACAAAAUAAUUCCAGUGAGUAAGAGCUCCUCUGUUUUCCUCUUUUGAGAGUUGAAGAUUGUCUUUAAGACAUCAUUGUACUCCUAUACAAAUGCUACAAAUAAAUUACAGUUAGAUGAAAAAUGUUUCAAAAGUAUAAUUUAAAAAAAAAAUUGAGAAAUUAGCAAGAGGUUCAACCAGAGCUGUCUACAAAUCAUCCAAAGAAAUCCUCUAACUCUGAUAACAAUGCACCUGAAAUCACAUUUAUGAAGGACACCACUAUUGGACAAAUCCAGGGAACAUCGUCACUUCAGAACCAGAGUGCUUUUAUUAGGCUUUUAGUCUGCUGUCCAGCUCUGCUCCACUAUUUCCCGCACUCUUCGGUUGUACUCUCUCUUAUUCUCACUGAACAGCCGAGCUGCUUCAGAGUUUGCAGGAGAGUUUGGAUUUGGAUCACAAAGCAGAGACUGAUAAAGACAUAAGUAGCAUCGGGUUAGCAUCAUCUUGUACAUCCACUGACAACCCCCCAAGCUCAUUUAUUUUAGGAUCAACCAUAACUCACAUGAAAUCUCAUGCAAAAACCAAAUUGUCAAGUGCAAACAUAGCAUAUUUGAAAGCUAUAUUAUUAACCAAUUAUUUUAAAGAACACAUUAUAACCAAACUAUAAAUGUUUGAAAUAUUGAUGAAGAAGCUGAUGCAAGAUUCCAUCAUGUUGUGAGUGAGUGAGUGAGUCAGGGGGGGGGAGGGGAAGAAAAGUCAGUCACAACCUGGUAACAAGGAUAAUUUCAGUUUGAAUAAGCAUGUAUUCUGAUUACCAGCUACCAUCAACAAAGAUCAAAAAGAUAAAAGAAAAUGCCAAAAUCAUAACAAAUACUCCACAAUGCCAUCAUUGUUAUGAGAAAGACAAAUUUGAAAACUUUUCAUUUGCAUUUUAAGUCAAAAGACAAAUUUGAAAACUUUCCAUUGCAUUUUAAGUCAAGUUAAAUAUGGUAAGUACAAUAUCAUGUCUUCUCCCACCAAAAACAAAAAAAAAAAAAAGACAAUAUCAUGUCUUCUCCCACCAAAAACAUAUGGUAAGUACAAUAUCAUGUCUUCUCCCACCAAAAACAAAAAAAAAAAAAAGAUUCCAGAUUAAGAGUGCCAACAGUAAUACUACCUGGGAUACUUGUCAUUGUACGAUUUUGACCCCAUGCACAUGAGUUUAGGAAUGAGCAUGAAAUUUUACAGGUUCGUCUAUGUACAGUAAAAAGUGCUCUAUAUCACAGUUUUAUGUUAGCUUUCGCGUGGAUUAAAAAUUAGAUAACUAGAAUUCCAGCCUUGUUUUGUCUAGUCCAUAGAAACACUUGAAAACAGCCGCAUGUUUGAUACUAAAUCUCAAAAAUCAGUUUGUUUACAGCAUUUUUCAGAUGAGACAACUGACUAUAGAUUCCUCAAAUUUCUUUAAUGGAAAAUACUUAAAAUCAUUCAUAUCAAUGCAUCAAACAGUAAUAUUUAUGUGUCGUAUUUCAGACCAUAAACUUAAACAUCAAAUAAUAAAGUGACCAGGUCAUAAAAUCACAGAUAAAAGAGAAGCAAGAUAUGUUGGGAAGAAAACAAAAGAGAAACACCGUGCAAUUAGUCUUUCUUAUGCACAUAAAAGAUACAAAGGAACACAGUAGGCAAACCAAAUAAUAUGAAGUCAUCAUUUGAUGAAACAGGGACUUUGGUCUAUGCAAACCAGCAGAUUUUCUAUUUCGAAGAUUGUCUUAAAACAUGGAAGAUUCACAUUUAUGUUCAGUUAAUAUAUGAAAACAUAUAUAAUGAUGCAAAAAAAAUGCCUUCACAGUGCAGGCUUGUUGACCUCAUAAGCACUUGGAAUUGCGUCAGGGUAAGACAAUCUGAAAAGCUUUUAGCCACUAAUAUCAUGGGUGUGAUUCAGUUGCCAAUUCAAACUAUCUCCACAUUUCAAUUAAGUAGAAGGACUUAUAAAAAGAAGAAAGGGGGAAACAGGAAACAUAACAAAAAUACGGAAAAGGGGGAAACAGGAAACAUUUAACAGGGGAAACCUUAAAAAAUGUGUUAGUCAUAUUGUCUAUUCUCUUUUCUUUUUCCCCCUUCAAAGCAAAAAAGCAAUUUUCUUUCAAUAACCAACAUUAAUUAUAAGAAAUUACGCAGGCAGAAAACAUCCAAUAUCAAUCAAUGAUUAACAAGAAAUAGAAUCCUUUUCCCACAAUCAAGAAAAAUGAAAGAAAAGUCAAACAAAUUUGCACCUGAAUAGAGGUCAGUAUAGCUGCAACAUCAUAUAUAGGACUCCACUGAUUUUGUAAAAUAUCCAAACAAAUACUUCCAUCUGCAUAGACUGAACAAACCAUAGGCACAAGUCAGAAAUCAGAGUCAAUCAUUACGAAGACCAUGUGCAAUAUAAUAACAAGCAACAUAUCAUUUAUCACCAAAAUUCAAAGAGAACAAUAACAAGAAAAAUAUAAUUAAUAAAUAAAUAGAAAAAUAAUUUACAAAUAACAUACUAUUUGGAUGAAACAUCCGUGAGACGAAACGAACUGUUGGGGGUUUAUUUGGAUAAUCCUCUGUGAAUUGUAGAGUCAACUUGAACGUACCUGAAGAAAUUCAAGAAAAUGCUUAGAUGACAAAUGCAAAAACCUAAAUAUUUCAACUGUAAAGACAAAGGAUAAGGCAUAAGCAAUCAUUUUUGUUAAGUAGGAGUAUUUAGGCCUCAAAUGCGACUGAAAGCAAGGAUAGCACGAUAUAGAAACAGAGGUAUAAUUAUUUACUAAAGCAGAUUGUCCACCAUCAUGCAGCAAUCGAUCUAAAGCCACUUCGGCAAUUAAAAUUCCAUCAAAAACACCAUUUACAUAAUUGGAACGUGAAAGCAUCGUUUACAAGAUAGCUCAUUCUGCUCAUAUUGACAGUCCUUCUGAUCAAAGAUGAUGACAAAAAAAAAAGAAAAAAAAAAGAAAAAAAAAAGAGGUGAUCGAAUUUUCUCAACAUCAAACCGGAAAAAAAAAAAAAAAAAACCACUAACACAAACAUGGACAAGGUAAUUAAAUUGUAACAAUAUAUACAAGUUAUGACCCACAACAGCAAAUACAACACAAGCCAAGAACCAUAGGAAUUCAACCAUGUUCUAUACACAGAAUCAGCUUAGUUACAGGCAAAAUAAAAAAGUCAGCUCAUCAAAGCUUUCGCUUAAUUAUACAUUAAAACUAAUGAACGAAACCUAACAAGCAAAAGCUGAGUGAAAAAUGAAAUCAAAAGCAUAAAAUUAUUUCUAUAAAGUAAAAAGACAAUAAAAUUCCCACCUCCGUCCCAGGGAGUAUCAUCGGGCCUGCAAAACACCACGAAAAAGGAAAAAAAAAUCAAAACAAAAACCAAAAGAAGUACAAAAAAGAAGAAAAGGAAGAAAAGAAAGUGUACCCAAAAAUAACGGCGUUCCACAACAUGAUGUUGUUGUCUUGAGGGGCACCGCUGAUGCCGGCGGGUGGAUCUUGCUGGAGGCGCUUGAAGUCCCGCAUCAGCCGCUUCUUCGCCGGUGUUGACAUGGCGACGUCGUGUUCUACAGAGAGAGAACGAGAGAGGAAAGUUCUAGAGAAAAGAGGGAUCUGAGCAAAAAUCUAAUCUAAAGAAGACUUUGUUGCUGCAUACGAGUUGCCAUGACAUAGCAAUAGGCCCAGGCAAUAGGCAUAACCUGUGCAACACCGCCAGCUAGUUUUGGUUUGUGAAUUGUGAUUGUGAUUUGUGAGUCCCACGCACACACUCUAGUCACAGCCGCCUUCUACUUUUUAUUUAUUACGCGUCGUGGGAUCUGAGCUGUUCAAACUUCAAAUUGUUUUAUGUCAUUUACCGCAAGGGCCACGUAAUUUUGUUAUGUAUUUCGAAAGAAAUUAACCGCCGCCACCACCACCAAAUUACUUUAUUUUUUAAGAAUCAUCCAUUUUACCAGUAAUUGUUUGUAAUGCUGAAAUAUCUUGCAUGGGAGUGGAGAGGAUAAAGUAUCUGAAACUCUUCAAUUUAAUUUAAUCCGAAUUGGGGUUCGCAUCCAGUUCGGAAACUUUUCUCACCCUUCACUGGCCCCAACGUUCAGAUUCUUAUGCUACUAAAUUUUAAUUCUAUAAUAUUAUCCCUCUCCUCUCGACGACCCAUAAAUAAAUACACACCUUAUUUUGAAAAUUUCUUUCCCAUAUUAACCCUCGAAUAAAUGCAGAAUUUUCUGGUCUUUCAUUUUGGCUUGACAUCAUCUAUAAUGGUCUGAUGGGGGCAGUUACAGUACAUGCAUGUAUCUCAUACAUGCAUGCAUAAAAAAUUAUCGUUAGAUUAAAUGGAGUAGAUCCAAUGGUUGAGAUUCAUCUUAGUGUUAAAUAAUAAAAAAAUUUACAAGAAAUGAAAACAUGUAAAACUGGCAACUUGAAACUUUGAACUAAUAAAUAUGAAACAACUACCAUUAAUAUUGAUAUUAUAACCAUUAAACUUGAAACCAAAAUAACUUGAAACUUUAGACAACGAAUAUGAAACUUGUGAUCAUAAACUUGCAAUCUCAAGAAUCAUACAAAUCAUGUACCAAUAAUAUAUGAAACAACUACGAUUAAUCUUGAUAUUAUGACCAUUAAACUUAAAAAUAAAGUAACUUGAAACAUAGGGUAAUGAACAUAAAACUUGAGAUCCUAAAAAUCAUACACAUCAUGAACCAAUAAAUAUAAAACAACUACCAUUAAUAUUGAUAUUAGGAUCAUUAAACUUGAAACUAAAGUAACUUGAAGCUGAGAGCAAUGAACAUGAAAUUUGGGAUCAUUAACUUACAACCCUGAAAAUCAUGCAAUUAAUAGACCAAUAAACAUGAAACACCUACCGUUAACUUGAUAUUGUGACCAUUAAACUUGAAACCACAAAGAAUUUGAAACUGAGGGCAAUACACAUGAAACUCAAGAUCAUAAACUUGCAACCCUGAAAAUCAUGUAAUUAAUGAGUCAAUAAACAUGAAACACUAUUAUUAACUUGAUAUUAGAACCAUUAAAUUUGAAACUAAAAAAACUUGAAACUGAGGGUAAUGAACAUUAAAUUAGGGAUCAUUAACUUGCAACACUGACAAUUAUACAAUUAAAUAGACCAAUAAAUAUGAAACAUCUAUUGUUAACUUGUUAUGGGAACCAUUAAACUUGAAAUCGAGGGUAAUAAAUAUAAAAUUUGAGAUCAUUAACAACCCUAAGAAUCAUAUAAUUAAUGAAUUAAUAAAUACAAAACACCUACCGUUAACAUGAUACCGAUAUUAUUAAACUUAAAACUAUUUUUUUAUUGUUAUCUGACCUAUAUUAGUAAAAUAAGUAUUAUUUUAUUUCAUAAUUUUUUAAUCGUUUAAGGAGCUCCAAGUUCUUUUUCUUUUUUUCCAACUGUUUGGCUGCCAAGUGGCAAUGUUUUUUAAUUUUUUUAUUCCUUGCAUGUAUGUAUGCAUGUAUUAAUUUAUUAUAGCACAGGCCUGAUUGCAAGCAAAAACACUUUAGGGUCCUACGCUCAUCCUGUUCGCUCAUAGCCUAGCAACAACCGAUUCGCGCCUCAAAACAUUUUCUAUCACUCUUCUCUUGCCCCGCCUACGUAAAUUUGGUGACAAUCAUCACCACAAGGUUAACAGUUGAAGAGGAGAGACAAAAAGCUAGCUGCCUAACUGCCAAUGCCUGUUAAGUUACGUCCUGCAUCCCAUCAAGUAUGGUCCUGUAGCCACCUCCUAACUUAAUUGCCUCCCUUCAUCCCUAUUUCAGAGAAUAUAAUUACAAGGUUUCACCUCCAGCAAUGCGGACAUUGUCAAGCUCAAGCAUAUUGAAAAACAUAGAUAAAAAAGAGGGAGGUUAUAAUACAUUCCAACAGUAAUGGAGAAAAAAGGGCUUCAACAGAAUAAGCAAUCACCAUAAAAAUACAAUGCAAGAUGGCCGUUCACAACAUCCAAAAAUCCGACUAAAUAAUUCCAAUGAAAAAGAGCUCCUCUGAGGUUGUCUUAAGACAUACAUCACUGAUUCACUGCAGCAAUAAUACCCCUAUACAAAUGCUACAGAUAAAUUACAGUUACAUGAAAGAUGUUGAAAAGAAGAAGAUGGAAAUGUUGAGAAAUUAACAAGAGGUUCAACCAGAGCUAUCUGGGAGGAAGAAUCUGAAGAGAUUCUCUAAUAACAAUGCACCUGAAAUCAGAUUGAUUACGGAGUACACGACUAUUGAACAAACCAGCCACACCAGCCCCAGUUUUCAUCUUUUAUUUCUACAGCAUAACCGGCCGGUGCUUUCAUUGGACUUUUAGUCGGCUGUCCAGCUUUGCUCCACUAUUUCACGCACUCUUCGGUUGUACUCUCGUUUAUUCUCACUAAACAGCCGAGCUGCUUCAGAAUUUGCAGGGGAGUUUGGAUUUGGAUCACAAAGCAGCGACUGGUAAAGACAUAUAAGUAGUGUCAUGUUAGAAUCAUAAAUACAACCACUGCGAAUCUCACAAGCUCAUUUGCUUCAAGAUCAACCAUCAUUUGUACUAAAUAUCAUUUGAAAACCAAGUUGGCAAGUGCAUACAUAACAUAUUUGAAAGCAAUUGACUAACCAAUUACACCAAAAAAAAUAAAGUUUUGAAAUAAUGGGGAAGAUAAUACAGGGGGCCAACAUAUGGUGACAGAAUCAAUGAAACCUGGUACUAAGGAACAUUUCAAUUUAAUGAAAACAUGUGUACUAACUAACAUCGACAUAGCAAAACAGGAUAAAAUAUCCUGAAAACCAAACAAUGCAAUCCUUGUCAUCACAAGGCAAAUAUGGAAAUGUUCCAAUGCAUUUUAGUAAGUAUUAGAUAUGGUACGUACAACAACACUUUUUUGAAAAUUGGAUAUUGAUGAUCGUCUCAAACAUGGAAGAUUCACUUUUUAACUUUGUUUAAUAUAACAAAAAAAUAUACAUAAUGAUGCAAAAAGGCCUUCACGGUACAGAAAUGUAAGCCGACAGAUGCUUUCGGACGUCAUGAGCACUAAGAUCUUAUUAGGUUCAGAUACUCUUAGAUAUAUUUAGCCAAUAAUAUCAUAUGUUUGACUUAGUUGAGUAUACCAUUCAAACUAUCUCCUCAUUUCCUUAAAAUGGGAGGAAUUACAUAUACACGAAACAAAAGGACAAAACAAGUUACCAGUCAUAUCAUUAGUAUCUUCUUUCUUUGAUGCAAAAGCACAAUUUUCUUGCAAGUUCUCGAUAAUCAGGCAUUAAUUAUAAGAAAUUAAGCACAGUGAAAACAUCCAAUUUCAAUCAAUGAUAAACAAGAAACAGAAUCUCUUUCCAAUAGACAGGAAUGAACAAGAAAAGUCAAAACGAAGUUUCACCUGGAUGGAGGUCAGUAUAGCUGCAACAUCAUAUAUAGGACUCCACUGAUUUUGUAAUAUAUCCAGGCAGAUACUUCCAUCCGCAUAGACUGAUCAAACCAUAGGUAAAGAGUCAGAAAUCAAAAUCAAUCGUUAUCAAGACCAUGAGCCAUAGAAUCCCUAUAGCACAAUAAUCAGCAAAAUUCAAAGAAAGAAUAAUAGCAAGAAACUUAUCAUCAAUAAAACAUUAGCAACAAAAUUUAAAAAUAAGAUAAUGACGUACUAUUUGGAUGAAACAUCCGUGAAACGAACCGAACUGUUGGAGGUUUAUUCGGAUAAUCCUCUGUAAACUGAAGAGUCAACUUGAACGUACCUAGAAAAGUUCAAGAAAUAGCUAAAACAACACUUGCAAAAACCUAUAACUUUCAAGAAAAAGAGACGCUAUAACGAAAUAUGAUAAGUCAUAGGCAAUCAUGUUACUUAAUGGUGGUUCAGGUUUAGUGGGAGUCUUUAUUUUAAGCCUACAAUGUAAAUCAAAGCAAGUAUACCAUAACAUACAACCUAACAUAUAAUUAAUUACAGAAGCAGAUUGUCCACGAUUAGGUAACAAAAAUUCAACAAAAAUAAGCUACAAUCAAAUAUUAGGCAAAACCAAUAAUUCAGCUUAACAAAAGUUUUACAUUUUUACAGCUGAAUGAAAGUAAAAUUAAAAGCAUAAAUAUUUUGUAAAAAUCAAAGAUAAUCAAAUACCCACCUCCGUCCCAGGGAGUAUCAUCAGGCCUACGAAACAUCACCAAAUGAAAAACAAACAAGAAAAUCAAAACAUAAACCAGAAAAGUUACAAGACAAAAACAAAGGUUAAUUAAAACAAAUACCCAAAAAUAACGGCGUUCCAUAACAUGAUGUUGUUGUCUUGAGGGGCCCCGCUGAUUCCGGCGGGUGGAUCUUGCUGGAGGCGCUUGAAGUCCCGCAUCAGCCGCUUCUUCGCCGGUGUUGACAUAGUGGCGUUUUAGAGAGCAAAACUGAGAAGCGGCUUUUGCAGAGGGGGGGAGGGGGGAGAAUGAGAGAAGAAGCUUCUAGAGAAAGAAGAGAUCUGGGCAAAACCUUGUGAGGAUGCUGCAUGCGAGUUAACAUGACAAUAAUGGGCCGGGGCCGGGGUUGGCUGAGCAGUGAGCACCAAUUUUUCUUUUUUUAAUUUUAAUGUUUAACGAUAAAGUUACAAAUUUUUCCACGCAUUUUUAUUUUAUUUUAUAUUGAUAUUAAUUCAAUUCGUUUUAGUCAGUGGGCUGAGGAAAAAUAUACAUAUGGUCCCCACGCCACACACAAGUAGGACACCUAUGUAUUUAUCGAAAUUGACCUUGGCCAAAACUCCUUUCCAAAAUCGUCUUGCAUCCUUCACAUGUUCUCUCAUUGGAAAGCAUGUAGUGCAGCAAUAUGUCAAACACCAGUACACCACCCGCAAAAUUCUACAGAGAGUAUGAGUAUAUUGAGGAAUUUGAUAUUAUGGAUGCAUUUUUGUCCAUAUUUGCAAAUUCCUCAUUUUCUCAAAUGCUUAGCUCAGCACUCCUGUCAUUUAAUGAAAACCAUCAGGGACGAUAAUGAUAUUCGCAAACCCGUAAAUCCAUUCACACCAGUCCGUUGCGGGUUGUGAGCGGGUUUGAUAUUAGGAAUUGAAAUUCGCACUAUGUUGUAGGUGGAUUUAGUAUUAGGUACAUAUCCGAUGGAUACUCACAUGAAUAUCUGCCAAAUCUAUAAUUUUUUUAAUACAAUUUUAAUUAAAAAAAUAAUUAAAUCUAAAAGUAUAUAAAUAAAAUAAAUAUAGAGUGCAAACAUGUCAUGUGUGGUGUGUGCAAGUUGCAACUCAUAACCUAACCUAAAGGAAACCUAACUUAAAGGAAACCCAAACUAUUUCUUUUUCAUCUGUGAGCAGCAGUCGCAAAAUCUAACCUUCUAAACUAUUUCUCUUUCACCCAUGGGCAGUAGCCGCACACCCAUUUUCCUUUCACCCGUGAGCCGCAGCCGCACACCCAUGAAAUUUUCAUGGCAUUUGUGGUUAUUUUUUAUGGAUUUAUAUAUUUCAUACUUAAAAUCGAGAAUUUGUAUAGAAUUGAUGUUGAAAUUUUAAUUUUAUAUUUACAUUGAUUAAAUUUAAAAUUCAGUAUAUUAUGUGGAAUUUUAGCUUAAUAAUAUAAAUUUACAUAUUGAUUUUUAUUAAUAUAACCUUUCGACAGUCAAAUCAGUCACCAGACUUUUGGAAAUAUAAAUUUAGAAGGAGAAAGAUUAGAGAGAGAAAGUUAGACUUUUUACUUUUUGAGUCUAUUUUUUUUCUUACAUUUUAGUGAGAAUGAAAGACAUAUUUGUCGACCAAACGGAUUUGACUUAAGUCUUAGCUAUUUUGAUGACAAAUGUCAUUGCUCUUGUGACAUUUGACAACACUUAUUUUUUAGUACGCAUGUUGAUUGACAUAUGGAUAUACAAACUUAUCUAUAGAUUAAAGGAAAAAAACGUUUUAUCUUUAGGUUAUUUUUACUAAGACCUUGAGAUUAUAGGAGCCUUUAAAUUUAAGAGGUUUGUCCUACGAUAAGAGCCUAGAACCUCAACAUCUUUUGGGCUUUGAAGUCUUAUUACUUAGGAGAAUCAUUCUAGGUGAUUUGUCCACCACUUCGUGGGCUUAAUUGAGAGAAAAUUUAUUAAAUGGGCCUUAUUGAGAUUAAAUUUCUUUGGGCUUUAUUAAAUCUAUUUUAUUUUUGAUCCAACACCAACUUGGAUUUAAGAUUCAACACUGCCUCCUUUAGUUGGAAAGAGUUCAACUUCCCUUCUUAGUUUGUAUAAAAUGUAAAUUUCUUCAUAAUUUAUUAUAUCUAAAUUCUUCACCUUUUGGGGUCAAUUUAGCUACGCUAAUCAGAGUUGACCCCGAUAAAUUUGUAAUCUUUUUUGUUUCAUUGUAUGUUGUUGUGUGUUUAGUCCUCUAUCUAAUACAUCCGUAUCACAAUUGCUUGUACGCUAAUUUCCUACUGUGUAAUUUUUUUAUGUUAUUUCGUUAAUUUCCUCCAACAUGACUCGGGGACAGGCUGCUGCGAGUGGGACUGUGAGGUCUUGCAAUCCAAUUAAUUGGGCAUAGUGAUGGACCAGGACUGUAUAUAAAAGAACUGCUUAAAGAUCGUACAAUCUAGCAUCGGCAAGGCCAGUGCUUUCUAUGUAUUUGAUUACUAUGACUCCAUAAAAAGUAUAUAACAUGUACUGUAAAAUCACUUAAACUGUUAAUUAUUAAGAGAAAACUAAAGAAAAAUCAAGAAACCCUGAACAUAAAACGGAAGUUAAUUUGUUCUCCUGUGAUUGUGAAGUAUCUGAUGAUGAUCAUUAGUAAACAUGAUUGGAAUCUGACUCUCUUCUUCAUCAUCUUCGUCGUCGUGGGCAGGCCUUGAAAGUUCAUGAAGAGGCUCCAUGCUGUGGCAAGAUAGCACUGUCUCAGCUGCAAAGUCGAAGUUGGAAGUAAGGUUGCUCAUGUUGAUGAAGUUUGUGGAGGCCGAGGAGCUGUUUGAGUAAGCAGGCUGCUGUUGCUGUUGAUGCAGUAAUGCAACAUGUUGCGGCUGUUGCGGUUGCUGUGAUGUUUGGAGAGCGUUUGCCAUCGCAAACCUGCUGUUUAAAAGUUGAUUUUGCACCAUUGUUAGCUCUGCUUGCAGGGAGGCCACCUGCAAUUUAAUAUUUAUAAUAUCAAUUGCUUUUCUUAUUGCAGUUUUUGGUUCAAUGGGGGCUAGAAGAAUAAAUUACAGACUUUAAAGGGCUAAAAUAAAAUAAAAGAAAAUCUGUAAUGCUAAAAUGUAAAAUGUUCAAAGUAAUUGAUCAAAUUUCAAUUAACGCCCUUAUUUUUACCAGAAUUUUGUCACCUUUUAUGUGACAUUUCUCAUGAAGCGGUACGCGCAAGAAUUGGUAGUUAAUCUACUCUUAUAUAAAUAAAAUAAUAGUAAUAAUUAAUUAAUUUUUGUAACUGAAACGAGCAUUUGGCUUAGAAACAAAAUUAAUUACUAUCGGCAAAUUAAAACCUGUUGCUGCAGAGCAAGAAUGGUGGAAACACAACCGUAAACCGGGUCGGAGAGGCGGGCCUGGGCCUCGUAAGAUAUAGUAACCACAGCAUCUUGCCGCCGGUUCACCGGAAUGUGUAGCAAGAGCUUGGAUACAUUGCUAGCACCAAAGACUUUGUGCACGGCAGCGAACCGGGCGGCUCCCUGGUCUGAGCCAAAGUGGGGUGCAAAGAUGCACCCACUAACGCACUUUCUCCUCAAGAACUUGCAUGCCCCACAUGGAGCUGCUGGUGCAGGUGCUGACAUGGGCUCGGCCUCUGGCGAGGGCGCGGUGGUGGCACGUUUUCCAGCGCCCCUUCGACGGGGUUCGGAUAUGGGGUCGGGCUGUUGCUCAGCCAUUUUCUGGGGUGGGUUAGGCUCAGAGUUUGUUCAAAACGGAAAGGUGGUGGAGUUGUUACUUAUAUGUGAGAAAUUAUGACGCUGGGCACGUUAGUUUCGUGAUGGGUAGCAUGGUGAAUGUGGUAAGCUUCUUUAUCUUUUUCGUUUUUGUUUUAAAAAAAAAGAAUAUGUAUGACCAUUGCAACCCAUUUUUGUAAAUUCCAUAUAAAUGUGGAUAUACACACACACACGAAUAAUGUAAUGACCAAUAUUGCUAAUGUUAUAAUCUAUAACAUCAUCGUGUGAUGUUAAGUUGAUAAAUACUUUGUGUGAUGGUGUCAUGUAUGUUGAUAAUGCUCUAUAAGGUGAGCAAUCGUAUCAUGCCAGUGUAAUUAAAUUGAGGUAUAGGCUAAUACUAUCAUACCAUCGAUAUUUAACAGUAAUUUUGUAUGGUAUAAACUACAUAAAUGGCUAUUUAUGAAUAAAUCAAAGAACUUAUAUAUCUUCGUAUUGACGAGAUUAAAUCUUUGUGCUAUUGUCCAUGAUAUAUAUUAAUUAAUUAUAGUUUGUUUUUAUAUAUAUUUUUUUUCCUCUACAAAACGUGUAUCUAGCUAAUUAUCUUUAAAAUGUAAUUAUGAUAUCAGAAACAAGAGAGGGACAUUAUGGUUGGUGAGGGAGGGAGAGAUGGAAAUGGGAAGAGCCUGAGAGUGUGAUGGGCACGGGCAAAGGAGGUGUCGGUGGGUGGGUUAUGGGUUUAAUUAAUUAAUUAAUUACAGGUUUAAGAUGAGAAAAUUUGAAAAAUAAAAUAAUGAUGUUAAUAUUUAAGGUUAUUAGUUUGGAACAUGAAUCAUGAUACAUGAAGAAGGCUGGGUUGUCUUGAUGAGAAGGCACAAUAUUUGUGCUGCCCGUGGCGUGUGGGAUGCUUCACCUCCAACUCCAAGCUUGCUAAUGCUAACAGUAACAGAAGUUCCAGACACUUCCAGUAAUGCAUUUUGCACUCACCCUUUUUAACUUUCACUCCUCCUCGACAUCCCUACGCAACUUCACUACACAUCAUUUUUAAUUUGCAACAUUGCAUUCCAAAAUUGGGUCUCAAAGAUUAAGAAAAAUAUAUACUGGUCCAAGAAGACACAAGAUAAUUCUUCUCGUUAAACAUAUAGAGUAGGGUGAACUUGGGGUAAAUCUUGCAAUAGAUAGAUUCAAGUAUUCUCUGAAGGCAAGAUUCCAAAACAAGAAGUGCUGCCACAGUAACAUGGUAGGCCCUUUGGCCUGGCCCUAAUUUCCCCGUAGCUAAAAGCAAGCUCUUCACCUUCUUUUAUGUCUUUUGAAGCCAAGAAGCAGAGGCGAGGAAGUAUAGAUCCUGAGCUUCUCACCAGUGUUGUUGACAGGUCACCACCAUCGCAAGAAUGAUUAAUAAAUCGGGCAAUGUUUCCAAUUAUUGUGGCAUCAAUGUUCAUCCUCAAACAAGCCUUUCCAGAUGGAAGGUGCUCCCUUAUGACCAAAAGAGCAGAGGAAUUUCCGGGACUCGAUGCAAGUCCAUCAUAGAUUUGUUGCCGCCGCCUUGCUUCUUUUGUGGUCAAAAGUUCACCUAUUCAAGCAAACAUCAACUAAGACAAUUUCUAACAAAUGUCCACAGAAACAAACAAUAAUUAUUUCUUAAAUAUCCAAGUAAAUGAAAAUGUUUUACACACUAGACCAAUUCAAAGCAAUCAGUUAUUACCAUAAUGUUUCAUAAACCCCGUGAUGUGGGAAGAAUGGAAAGAAAGAUCAAAAACAUCACCCAAAGUGCCCAACAAUGGCUAGUUGAAUGGAGAAAAUACAAUAGAGAGUCAAAGCUAUAACUCAGGAAAAGUAAGCAGCUAUAUAAUGGUAGUCAUAAGAACUGGAAGAUAUGGCUAACGGCAAGCUAAACAGCCCUAUGGUAGAUGCAAAACAUAGUGGUUAUAGACUCUAUUCUACCACGUAGCAGAUGUAAAAUAUAAGCUGUAUUAGACGAACAAAAUUUGCCUACCAAUUAGGCAAAAUUAAUCCAAAUAAUAAGGGAUAAAAACUAUAAGAUUUGAAACAUGGGAUUCGAUAAUACUGCCAUUGAACUAGAAUUGUACGAACUGAAGGUGGUCUUCUUCUUGGUCAAAAUAAAUAAACAAAUGUAAUUCCUUCAUCCGCACAAUCCCAUUCUAAAACUAUGAACUUAUGAUUCCAUACUACCGUAACACAGCAGAAAUAUAAUUCCAACAACGGCACGCGCUAAAUCUAAUAAUAAGUCUUACUGUAUCAAAUAAUCAUCAAGCAGAUGCAACUAGGCAUAUGUAUAAUUAAAAUCACAAGCAUCAAAAACUCUAAACAAAUAUUACAAAAAUGCCAACAUACAUUUCCAUUUUGCCGAUACCUGCGUACUCACAGAUGAAUUGCCCUUGCUUUAUGAAUUGAUCGGCAUAUAAACCCCACCCUUUAUUCACACUCCUCACAAUCUUCAAUCUCACCGAUAUUCCUCUCUGAGUCAACCGAUUCCCGCACUCAGACCCGCACCCGCAACUCGGUCCGCACUCACUCACUAUGCCCACAUCCUCCAGACCCGAAAAACACGGACACCCAAAUACCCCAUCACCAAGUCCCACCUCAAAACACUCUUCACAGUCGCACCCAGAUUCACUUUCGUCUGACUCGCAGACAAGACUCACUGAGUCAAACCCGAGUGGACUCAGAGAAGAGUUUGAUUCAGCAUCAGCAGCAGCAUUGGUGGAGGCCCAAAAUUGGCGUGGUGGGAAUUGGGCAGGACAAGGAGGAGGGAUUAUCUGUGAUGGGGUGUAAAUGAAGUAGGCGUAGGGGGUUUUGUCGACGGCAUUGUGAAAUGGGAUCGGGAAAUUCUCGACGGACCUGGAGGCAUCGAGAGAGCGGGAGAGAGUGAUGGAUUUGGAGAUUUGGGAAAAGGUUCUGCAUGUAAGAGAUACGUUGGCGAGCUCCCCUGGGGUUAGCCAUGGGAGUAUUAAGCGAGCCCACUGAAGGAAUUGAUUCUGCUUUUGUUCUUCAUCUACCUCGAUGGUUCGUUUGUGACAGUUUAUCAGCUCCGUCGGUGCAUUGCUGAAUGCCAUCGAGUUUUCAAUGCUGUGUCGUCUGGAACUCGCAUAGUCGCAUCUCGUUUGUUGUGGUUUUUAAGUUUUAGCAUGAACAAAAUGUACACACGGAAAAUACGAUGUCGUUUCGACCACUUGCUCUAAAAGUCUUAAUUGUUAUCAUUAUUAAGCAGAAGCGAAACAAUUACAUGGGGGUUUCGUAGGGGUGUUCAAAAUCUAAUUCGAUCCGCUCAAUUCAUCCAAUUCGCUGAAUUUGAUCCGUAUAAAUUCGAUUCGUGGAUUGAAUAUGGAUUGAAAAUUUAAAAAUUCGUAGUCAAUGGAUUGGAUAUAGAUUUACUUCUGUAAAUCUGCAGAAAUCGGUGAAUCCAUAAAAAAAAAAAAAUUUAGCCAAGGCGGAUGUACGGUACAGCAGACUUUGGAUUAAUUUCUGAAAUUACAUUUGCAACAAAAUUAUUAUAUUACUCUUUACAUUUCAUGUGGCAAAAAAAGUUCAAAGACACCAAAAAAAAACACCUUACUACGUAUAUAUACACAUCUCAACACACACUAGCAACAUUCAAUACUGGUUGGAUACACUCUCGACACGGAUUUGAAGGACAUCAGCCGCGCGAUUCCGGCGAGAGCAAGCCAUCUUCUUUCCCAAGUCCAUCAAGCCACUUCACAUUCAUUGGUUCCAGCUGAACAAUUUCACUAUCACAACCUUCAAGAUCGCCACCCGUACGGCUUCUCCUGGUUCCUAUUGUAGAUGGUUCCGUAAUCACCACUUUUCGACAGGCGCAACAGCCCUGGUGAAGGAUCAGACUGUGUUUGGUUUCCAAAACUUCGUCAUUUCAAUUAAUUGUGGCUUUAUUUGAACAAUUAAUUUCGGUGUUAUAUUAACGUAUUAUUGUAACUUUAUUUGAACAAUUAAGCUUGGUGUGUUAUAUUUUGAAACUUUGAACGUAUUAUUGUAGCUUUAUUUGAAUAAUUAGUCUCGAUGUGUUAUAUUUUGAAACUUUAAAUGUAUUAUUUUAGCUUUAUUUAAACAAUUAAUUUAUUUAAAUUUUAUUCAAUUUUAAAUUUAAUUGGUAGCAAAAUUAUUUUAAUAUUAGAUUUUUUUAUUUCAUCAGUUGGAGAGAACUAAAAAUUUUUAAUUCGAAAACUAAUGGGCAAAAUGGUGGAUUGCAUAUGGAUUGAGUCAAAUCCGCAUCCGAUCCACAGACGUAUGGAUUGGAUAUGGAUUAAAUCAAAUCCGCAUCCGAUCCGCAGAUGUAUGGAUUGGAUUUAAAUUGAAUUUUAUCAAUCCGUGGAUUGGAUUGGAUUGAAAAAUUAUAAUCCGCAAAAUCAUGGAUCAGAUAUGGAUUGAUGUCCAAUCUAUAAAAUCCGAUCCGUGAACACCCCUAGGGUUUCGUGACAUAAAAUGUGGCAAAAGAGAGAUAUGUGAGACUGCUUUUAUAAUUAAUUUUUUGGUGACUUUUACAACCAAAGCAUCCCUGGAAGGCUGGAAGUGAAAAAAAUAGUGAGUUAAUUACAAGAUUGUAUACAGGUUGAAAAUGACUAUUUCUCUAAUGGCUCAAUUUUAUCAUUUUGGUUUGAAGGCAAAAAUUGGCUAUACUCUCGUGUAUUAACACUUCAAAAUGUGGUUACAAGACCUAUGCCUAGCUCUUCUGCAAGCUCAUCCCAUACUGGAAGGAGUGUGAACAGAACAAGGAAUAUGGCCACUGUAACAAUGGCUUUCCUCCACGUUCCCACCUCAGUCACAUCGUUUAGGCAUGGUUUUUCUGGAGUUCUCUGAAAAACAUAUAGUUGAAGCCGAAAUCAGAAAAGGAUUUGAAAGCAUGAAAAACAUAUAAUUCACCCUUAUUUAAUUUUGCCUAUCUGGGUACCUGGCAUAUUAUCACAUAUAGUCCCCAAGGAAGGGAUAAAGGCCCACCAAGCUGGAAGCAGAAAAAAAAAAAUUAGUUGAGAAUAUAAAUCACCUGUUCAAUGAUUUAAAAAACAAACUUAUCUGAAACGUUAAAGAUGCUAUAUCGAAUCAAAGUAAAUCAAAUAAAAUAGAAUGGAUGCAGCAUUGUAUUAUGUGCCAUCAGCACUAGAAUGACCAAACAAAGAAGCAUACCACUCCCAAUCCAAGCAUUGUGUAAGUUGUCAAGCCAAAACCAAUCAGUGCAUUUCUUCCAAAAGCACCCUAUAAGCACAUGCCAUCAGUUUGUGCUAAGGGAUUGAGAUUGUUUCCAGUCCAAAACUAUACCCCUUGAUUUAACAAAAUGGAUAUCCCAGUUCAAAUAGAAGAUAAAAAGGCUACCUGUACAGCUCUUCCACCAUCAAGGCACCCCACUGGAAGCAUAUUAAAAGCUGUUGUGGUCAAGCCACACCUGCAAUAGUAAAUUUUAUGCAUCAGCAUACCUCAUAAUGUUACAAGUAGAAUAAGAGAUUCAAGAAAUUGUGGGCUACCAGCCAGCAAUCACCAAAGGAUGAAUUGUAACUGUUGAAGCAUGCAUUGCUCUGCAAGUUAAUAAGAGCAACGUGUCAAUAAAAAUUUCCAUGAUGCAAGCAAGAAUUAUUAAGUUCAGAUUAGUCAUCUGCUAGAGUAAUCGAAAUAGGAAACAUAGCAGUGGCACCAGUGAAUUCAUAGUUUGCCAACUAAUACAGUUUUUUUUUUUUUUUAAACUAAGUCCAUGGAAGCAGAGAAGGGCUCACGUGUAACCAAGAGUGGCUCUGCUGAUGAGACCAAGAAGCAAUGAACCUUGAAACAAUGUGCUGGGAACCUGCACCAAAUCUCCAGCAGCAUCUGGAUUUGAUGAGAGCAAUAGGCCAACAACAAACAUUGAGAAAGAUAAAGCAGCACCAGCAAUAGGACCCGCGAGUGAAAUGUCGACUUUUGUACUCCGAUCUGGAAGAAUGGAUUUAAACUACAAAAAGAAAUAUGUUUUAGUCAUUCAACUUAGAUGAUUGAUUCUAAGAUGCAUUAGACUUGACAACAGAUAACUUGCAGAGUUGCAGUUAUUUUCCAGAGUUCUUUAUCUAUUGAAGAUCAAAAUCUGAGAACAAGAACACCUGAUAGGAACAAUGCAUUCAGACUUGAAAGUAAAAAUAGGCAUACGAUUUUUCCAACUUGUUUCAAAGUCUACAGACUAGAGUCACUGUCAGAUAGGUUUACCUGAGUGAUUGCACCAAAGCUGCCAAGAGUAAUGUUUGGAAUGAAAAAGGGAAUGCUUAGUUUUACUUUCUUCGGGAAAGCAGCUAAAAAGUGACCAACUUCCUGCAAACAUUCAUCCCACAUUUAGCAAGACAAACCACAGCAUCAGAAUUUAAUUAAUACAUAUAUGACCAACAUUUGAUCAUGUCACAUGGAGGAAAAACACUAACCAAGAAAUAGUUAGAAACAAAAUUAGACAAUGCAUAAUAAAAAUUCUGAUUACUGUUAUAUUCCAAUCACUAAUAUACAUGCUGUGUGAUUCUCUGACUGAAAAUCCUGAGCGUUGAAAAACACCAACAUUAAUAGUACAGUAAUCAAUGAACAAUAUCCAUGCAUCUGCCAGAGGUUCGGAAGUGUUCAAUACAGUGUCAAAAAUGGCAGUCAAACUAUCCAUACACAUGAAAAUGAAUUAC
rnacentral:lncRNA from 1 species